CAGCAAUGGUGCACGGUCUGCUCGACAUGGCCCACAGCACUAGCCUCUUCCUCAGCUGCUUUAGCAGCAGCAAGAGCAUAUUUGAUGAGGAGCAGGAUGUGGGUCAGAAACUCGCCACCGUUGCUCAGCUGCCUGGCAUGGAAUCCAUCAGAUGCAUUGGUUGCUGCGUAGCACAACAUCUCCGUCCACACCUUUCCAAUUAUUACCAUCUUAUAUGUGACCCCCAAGGCCCCCAACUUCAGGUCGAGCAAUAACCCAACAAGUGUAUUUGCUUUCCCCAGCACAACUUUGCCCGCGGCAUCAGCGGAAUCAUAUGUGAAUGGUUGCUCAUUAAGACCCCUUUCUUCCUCGUAACCCAGAAUUGUCUGGUAAACCUCAUCCACACUUGGAUCAUGAUUCAUAAAUUCAGUCAAUAUCUUGCAGGUAUGGUGAUACAGGCUACGAGCAUCAGCUUUGGAAGGCAGAAUGUUAGGGUGCUCGACGAGGAGAUACAUCAUGUAAUCAGAGAGAGUAUUGAGAGUAUUAACUGCUUCAACCUUGUCGACCAGCUCUGGUUUGACGUCACGGUGAUUGAGGAAGGUGCUUGUGGCGAUAUGCCAAAUAAGCACACUCUUCUGAAAUUCACAACUCAUGCUCCAAUCGAGCUGUUCGCUCUGGGCAAAGCCACUGAAUCUGCGAGCCCAGUACCCACUCUGGAUGGCCACAUCUUCAAUUUGUACCAUAUCACUCUUGCCACCUCUGAGCAUGCCCCAUACAAACUUCUUCACCGCAUGAGAAAGCUUGGGAUGUUUGGUGCAGCGAGCUUUGUUCCACACGUCCCGGAGCCCAAUCAGACGGGCUAUACUUCCCUUCAGGCCACUCUUUCUUCUCUGAACACAGAAGGAUAUCAAGUUAAAUUGCCCGACAGAAUCAGACCACCUUCCAUCCUUGAUGACGACGAGGUAACGUGCGAACAGAAUUGCAUUGGCCAACCAGUACAAUCUGUAGCGUCUCAAGACGAAAUAUGUCCAGGUCGACCCAAUCGCCUUGAAAAAAGAUGCGACCUCCAGUGCGCAUGCUCCGCCCAGAAGAGCAAAAGUGAUAACAAUGUCGGGUGUGCUGUAUCCAUCUCUCUUGCUUUUUGUGAAGACCACGAGAGCAGCGAAGCAACACACAAGUGAAAUGGCACGGAUCCAGUGGCCACGGCUUCUGUGGAUCACUUCUGCCUUUGUGUAUAGCAUGUCGUACAUCAGGCCGAGCUGCAACUCCACUCCCUUGUACAGCAGCUCAAUAGUGCUCUUCUCCUUUGCUGCUGCAUCUUCACCCUCGCCGUCUUGCUCUCGAAAUCCUUCUGUAAGAUACUUUGUGAGAUUAAUUUCUUUGUAACUCCAGCGUAUGGACGCCUCAUUCCUGUCUAUGAUUAAAGGCUUGACAAGUUGAUGGCGCAACGCGUGUGCUCUGAACACAAUAAAUGCAUAUGCUCUAAACUGUUUGUUUUUGGUGAAGCAGUCUCCACCGUAUUGGAGAAUUCUUCUCUUUGCUUUUUUUGAAUAAUAAUAAAGAAAAAUGUCAUAAAUCUCCACGAGAAAAGGCGUACGUCGCCUUGGGGUAUGACCCUUGCUUGCAAGCUUCAGCGCCCAUAUCCUCUCGCCAUACUUGAAAACUCCGGCAGCAAGAAUCUACAUAGCGGCGCGGACAAAGGUCGCCUCCCCUGAAUUGAUGUACUUGUAGAGCACAUACGCAGUGCCGGCGACCUGCACCAACAUAUUUAACAGGUGGCGCCGCCAGAGUUCAUUGUCCUCCAGGGCAUAAGCGGUGAUGGUAUCCUGGCCGCCGAGGUGCAGCAGGAGGAACGGCGCCCAGAACGCCACCAGCUGAUUCUGGCCGGACGAUUUCUUCGACAAGGACGAGGAAAUGUGCCCCAGAGCGUAUGUCGCAACGACAUCAGCAAGCAGAUACACCAACCAGAGGAGGGCCUUGACAACAGACGAGACACUGUAGCUGCGGAUCCCAGCGAAGAAGAAGAGGAUAACCUGCAGACUGAAGCUGAGAACAACAACAACUUGGAUCUCCCACUCAUUCCACAGUUCCAGCAAAUACUGCAUCAUCGGUGCUCCAGCUUCACCCAUCCUGCAAUGUAUGUAUGAAUGUGUUGUAGCAAAUACUGCAUCAUCGGUGCUCCAGCAUAUACAUAUCUAUUUGAAAAUGAAUAUGUCACAGUAUAUAUAUACAGCUUGGAGAAAUAAUAGUACACGCGCCAAUGAAUAAAUGCAUACCUGUGAGUGAGCUCGAUUCGGCUUAUGGCAGCAAAGCUACAACACAGAAGCACACGGAAUUGCUAGGUAGGAGGAGAGAGCUCAGGAGCUAUGUGGUACUACAAGAAGAAUGGGAGGAUCCGAUGGGUGUAUGCAUAUGCUUAUAUAACCAGAAAAAAACCAUCCAGAUCAGCUGGUUAUUGCGUUCCGAGUAACAAGUUGGGUAGCCUCUGCCCGAGUAUCUUUGUUAUUAAAGUGAUUCUUAUAAGAUUCUCCAACAGCUGUCUCCUAUCUCAUUCCUAUGGAUCCGUACGUGGUCCUUACUCACUCCUAUAGAAUCUAGGGAGCCUUUGGUUGUUGGGUGCAACCAGUGAGAGAUGGUCGUACGGGCUAUAUUCAAUCGGUUCGGAUGACGGUCGCAUAAUAUGAUAGGAGUCUAGAGAGCUUAUCCUUCUUAUUGCCAUUCCGGUUGUGAUUGUUAGCAUGAACUUUUCUUUACUUUUAUUUUUCGCUCCACUUGAGAGCUGUAAGACGACUUGGUGAUACUUUGUGACUUCUUAAUAAUAUGGCUGCAUGCAUCAUUAUGAUGCAGAGACCGGGGUACGCCUCCAUUUCCAAAAAAAAAGCUGUCUCCUAUCUUUUUUUCUUUCUAUAUCACUUCUCUUAAUCAGAAACCGCUUGAGAUUUUUCCUAUGUCUAAGUCAGUCCAGUAACAAGUGCUACUAGGUGAAAGUGUGAGUUUAUUUUUCUGAAUCAAGUUAGACAUAGGUAAGAAAAUUAAAUCAACUUACACUUUGGUAUUUUUUUGUCCCACCAAAACAAGUGUGUUGUACUAUUUUUCAAAAAAAAAACACACUCAGAUCUAUUAACCAAACCAGCAAGUACAAACACUCCUGGAAAAGAUAAAAUUACAUCAAAAUCCAUGCGGCUUCACCGUCUACAUCCUUCCAAACAGGUUGAAUUUUUUUUGAAAGGGUGGAUUACCUCCGGCCUCUGCACCGAUGGAUGCAUACAGCCAAUCCGAACAUGUUGAUGGCACGCCAAUGCUAGCCCGUCGUUGUUAAUCGCGGACGGGAGGUCAUCAAAGGUAGUGCCCCUUGAAGAAACCUCGUCACUCUUGAAAGAGCAACAUAUCAAAGAGUCAAACCUCCAUUAUUUCUCAUGGAGCACAAGCUAGCACCGGGCGCCGCAUCGAAGUGAUGGAGACAAAACCUACAGAGCAUAAUCUCACCAGCCAGAAUGAUUGGUUGGGAAAUAUGCCAUCGAGCCAUUGAUGCCACCAUAGAUGACACUAUCGAGAUGGGGACCCUCGAUGGGACCUCAUUAUUUGCUAGAUUGGCGUCGCCGUCAGAAAAGACUUUACUAAGCGCCGCUUUCGAAAGGGGCCUAAAUGACAGACAAUGGAAUCCUACCUAAAACCCACAAAUCAGGGAAAGCUACAACUCGAUUUGGAAGAUCAAGGCCUCCUUGCACUCCCACGCCGGUAGAGCCUGUGGAGGAGGAGGGGGUCAGUGACCUACUGGCGGAGGAGAGGUGGCGGCACGGUGCGCCUAGAGAUUUUUUCGAUAAAGGAAAUUUAUUGAUAUCGCGGAGAUACUAGUUACACCCAGCCUCUGCAACAACGCAAUACCAUACUGGCACUACGGAUGCACACAACUAAAAAAUAAAUAAGAAGAAGCUAAAAAAGAAAAGUCCCGCUACAGUGAUCUAGUCCUUGAAGCAACAGUACAAACACCACCAAGACAACACCUGAAGUCCAAAUUCUCCAAACUGACGCCUCCAUGAAGGAAACAGUCCACAAGCGCCGUUGUUGCCCGAUCAUAGAUCAUAUGUUUUCACCUUGAAGAAAGUCCACGCUCUCAAAACCUAUUAAGGACAGACCUUGAAUUUUCAUCCUGAAAGGUAAGACCUUGAACUUCUCCUGUGUUGUCGCCCCCACUUGCAUGCCGCUGCUACGAGUCCCGAAACACCAAGCAAAUUCCUUGUCACCGCAAAGACUCGGACCACCUUUACUAGUCCUCAGAUCACAGCUUCCAGGAUAUUUUCUGCCUCUGGCUUCAUCAAGGAACGAAAAAGAUAUGUCCCAUGAUGGAAACAAGUAGCAGAGCUUCACGCCGCUCCCUCCCGAAACCAAAUGGUCGGAAAAAACUUGGGUGCACACGACCGAAUCCCAUCUGAUCUAGCAAUCUCCAGGCAUGAGGCGCCCAUGGGAGUUCGCCAGUGGAGCCUUCCGAAACUUGACACUCCGGCCAGAUCAAGGAGGACAAGCAUCAAGCAGAUCUUUGUAUUGACGUGAGAGAACCCCUAGGACCGCCGCCUUUAUUAGGCAGAACGAUGGCCCCACGCCUUCGCCCGCUGGCUCCCAACAGCAGGCCGCCGUGCUGCCCUCGCGGUCACAACGGUCGCCAUGGUUGCUGAAGAAGACCGAGGCCGCCGCCCCGGCGUCCCUCUCCGCCGCGUGCACCUCGACAUCCAGGGCCGCCGAUCUACAACGACCGGAGAUCCCGUCGCAUGGGGAUGAAAGGCCCUCGCCGCCACCCGCCACGUGAGGAGAUGGAGGCCCGCCACCACCGUCAGCCACGCAGGCUUAGCCCGGUGGCUUCCUCCAGCGGCGGCAUGGGACGGAGGUGGAGGGAGCGGGGCGGCGGCGUCUGAGAUCUGAAUCGCCCGUGUCGCCUCCUGGAGCAACGCGAGCAAGAGUGCGCCUAGAGAUGACCUCUCUUAGGGUGUGUUUAGUUUCAGUCACCAAGUGGAACGGCACGGGUCGGUUCCAUCCCGAAGUACCAUUCUCGUGUAUGGUUGACCCGAGGUACCGGAACCCACUCGUUCCUGGAACGGCAUAUUCGGUCGAUAUGCCGAACCUGGUCGUUCCUUCGAAUUGGCCGGACGACGCAGAACGCAACAGUCUCACCCCUUUCCCCGACUCUCACUCACCCCCAAUCUCAGCGCCGCCUCCCCCUCGAUCUGUGACGCCGUUGGCCACCUCCUCUUCUCUCCCAAUCGAUCUGCGACGCCACUGUCCUGGUGUUGUACGUCAUGCCGUUCGAGAGCUUCAUCUUCUUUUGCUAGUAAACAAAGAGGGAACAAAUUGCUACCGAUUGUAAAUUGCAAUUAGCAAAUGCGUGUGUUGUAAUGUCGAGUAUGAACUCUGAAUUAUUAGUGCAUGCGGCCAUGCGGGAGUCUGAACUCUGAAUUGUUGAUACAUGCGAGAGUCUGAACUAUGAAGGGUGCACGGUAAUGGAAAUUAUUUCUUAUGUAUAGUGACUAAAUUUAUAAAUUUUCUAAACUAUAAUACAGUUGAAUUUUUGCUGAUAAUUCAAAUAAUUUAUUGAUAACAAAUAUUGUUCUAUUUAUAUGAGCCAAUUCGGAGAGAUAAUUUCACCAUUUCUAACCAAAUUCAUUUUGUUCCAUUACCCUUACCAAACAUUGGAAUGUAAGCAUUCCGUUCCACCUAACGGUCCCUACCGAACAUAGAAACGGAACCAACCCACUCCAGUGGAAUGGAACCAUUCCAUUCCAUUCCAUUCCACUUCGUUCCUGAACCAAACACACCCUUAGGGAUCAAAGAGGAACGGUUGGGGGAAUUGUCUUUUUAAGUGUUGUGCAUCUUUAAACUAUUAUAAUUUUACUACCUCAUUAAAUAAGGGGUAUGAAUGUUUUUUUCAUGUUGGUUAAUUAAUGUGAAAAUUUCUGAAGUUUCAGACGCUGUUGUUUUGAUUUAGGGCACCAAUGCAAAUCUUAUGGUGGCAUUUUUAAUGUAACAAAAACACAAGGAAUUGUGAUAUAAAAAGGGAAAUCCUUAGUCAGAUUCUAUCUAAGAAGCGCAAGUGAAGCAUGUGAAACUUUUUUGUGUACAAAAAGGACUAGGGCCAUAUAUUAAGAUCAUAGAUCCUUACAAACACACCCUUACAGAAAAACAGAUAUACAUUCAAACUAUUGAGUGUGGUGAAGUCUUCUUCCUACUACAUCCAUAGGCGGUGAACCGCGAGCAUAGCUCGAUUCCGCCUGUAGGCCUUCGCUCGGGCAGAGCAAACCUUUUGAAACCGAGGAGCUUAUAAACGCAGUGGGUGGGUAGUCGUCAAUGCAGACUAGGAGACGCCGGUGACCACGAUCUGCAAAUCAAAUCGCCGCCUUGGAGAAAAGAAUGUCGACAAAUGCCUAUAGAAACUCUAAAGAACAUGAAGACUAUGAAAGUCGGCCGAAUCCAGACAAAUCCACUGGAAACCUAAAUAGAUCGGAUCUCGAAAGACCCGCCAGACACAACUCCACACGCCCUCCACCAGCGAAAAACACACCAACUUUAGUGGGAUAGAAGGAGAACAUUAUUCCUACCCUAGGACGGGGAGAACAUUAUUCCUACCCUGGAGCAACGCCAGCGCUUUGACGCCCCAUACCAAACAUGAAGAUUUCCUAAUCUAAGCUUGUAAAAAAUCACACAUGCCGCUAUAAGACGGGCCCGGAUUUGAUGUGAGCUUGUUGCCGUCCAGAACCGUGCACCAAUGUCCUCUUGUUUGAUGAUCCACAAAAGUCGGGCCAUCAAUGAAGAUCUCCACGGUGGAUCCCUCCGGCGACCACUGACUUCACCAAUGCGAUUGGUGUGCACUGCCUGACGACAGCGGCUGCUCGAGCAUACAUCACCUUCGCUAUCCCACAACAACUCUCCAAGGCCUCCACAGCAGGCCUCCUAGAUACGGACCUCCUAGGGUUUCUUAUUCGCCUGGCUGGCUCAUCGCCUCUGAGAAAACCAUUCAAUACCUUGAUUAGUUGGUCGUAAGAAUGUGAAACUUAUUACAACAUUAGUGUGCAAUUUUUCACUUUGUACGUUAUGCAUGGAGUGAUUGCGAUUUGAGCAACAUUAAACCGAAAAACUAGACACCCCACGUGCCAUGAAGUGUUGUUCAACACCAUAUGCAUCUAUCUUGAACGCUCUCAUGGUCUCAAACAAAGGAUCUCUGGUUCACAUGUACACAUGUGGUCCAUUGUGUUUGGGAAUCCCGUGACCAAGUUGACCUACAAAAAUGAUGAACAGGGGACAAGUAGUACACAUGACAGAUGGGUUUACUUUCAUUUCUAAAAGGGACUUGGAUCUGUUUACUUGGUCUUCCAUAUUAUAUGGCGCUCAAUCAUCGGAGGAAAAAAGGAUCCAUUAAUACGUCCAUCGGAAGUCGGGUUUUAAAAUGAAAACUACCGAUGCAUCGAGUGUGCAUAUGUACUAGGUAGGCUGUUGGGAGGCGAAUACAAUGCAUAUGAGAUGCACUAGCUCCAUCUCAAACCCAUGAGGCACCCAUGAGAGCAUUCAAGAUACGACCAUUUCUUNNNNNNNNNNNNNNNNNNNNNNNNNNNNNNNNNNNNNNNNNNNNNNNNNNNNNNNNNNNNNNNNNNNNNNNNNNNNNNNNNNNNNNNNNNNNNNNNNNNNNNNNNNNNNNNNNNNNNNNNNNNNNNNNNNNNNNNNNNNNNNNNNNNNNNNNNNNNNNNNNNNNNNNNNNNNNNNNNNNNNNNNNNNNNNNNNNNNNNNNNNNNNNNNNNNNNNNNNNNNNNNNNNNNNNNNNNNNNNNNNNNNNNNNNNNNNNNNNNNNNNNNNNNNNNNNNNNNNNNNNNNNNNNNNNNNNNNNNNNNNNNNNNNNNNNNNNNNNNNNNNNNNNNNNNNNNNNNNNNNNNNNNNNNNNNNNNNNNNNNNNNNNNNNNNNNNNNNNNNNNNNNNNNNNNNNNNNNNNNNNNNNNNNNNNNNNNNNNNNNNNNNNNNNNNNNNNNNNNNNNNNNNNNNNNNNNNNNNNNNNNNNNNNNNNNNNNNNNNNNNNNNNNNNNNNNNNNNNNNNNNNNNNNNNNNNNNNNNNNNNNNNNNNNNNNNNNNNNNNNNNNNNNNNNNNNNNNNNNNNNNNNUCCCUCGAGUAAUUUUUAGACAAGUUUCAACAAUUUCCAAGUAAUUUUUAGACAUAUAUUUGGUGUACUAUAGCGAGCUUCAUGCAUGAAUGCAGGCCUAUGACUGAGCUAGAUUCGACUUAUGAUACCAAGCGUAAGCUAUAACACAGAACCACAACAAAAUUGAAAGGGCCGGGAGGGAGGGCUCAGGAGAAGUACAAGAAGAACUGGAGGAUCGGGUGUAUUCAUAUCCAUACAUCACUUAAAACAAACCAGCCAGAUCCGGUUCUUCCGUUCCAGGUAACAAGUUGAGUGGCCUGUGCUUUAUAUACUUUUUGACAUUUACACAAUAAUGUUUCUUUUAACAUGUAAUUCUAGAGAGAUUCUUUCUCCAGCAGGUGUGAACUGCAUCUUUUUUUCCUGCAACGCUCUCAUGGGUUUCGAUCUGGUUGGCACAUGUACAUGUCAUCCAUCGUAUUCCAGUCCAAAACCUGUUAACCAAGUUGGCAUACAAGUAGUAGGAAUGAUAAAUGGGGGACAUGUACACAUGAGGCUGGUCAUAGUGGGAGUAACAUAGGUAGUAACAUAGAUGCCACAUAAGCAAAAAUGAUGAUGUGGCAAGUAGUUAAUGAGGAGAGAGGCAAAUAGAGUAACAUAAUAUGUUACCAUCACAUAGCGGUUUCCAAUGCAUAAUGAGUCUACAAAGUAAUAAAUGAAGGCAACUAUGUUACUACACCUAUGACACUACCCACUAUGAAGGUAGUAACAUAGACUAGUAACAUAUGUAUGUUACUAGUCUAAGUUACUCCCCACUAUGACCAGCCUGACAGAUGAGUUUACUUCAUUUCAAAUAGGGACCUCGUUUCAAUGAAUUUCUUUACUAGGUCCUUCCAUAUUCUAUGUGUGCAAGUUGAUUGCAUCCAUCGGGAGUCGGGGUUUUUAAUGAGGCUUUAAGGUAAGACAUCGGAAGUUGGGUUGCAUCAAGUGUGCACAUGUGUACUAUGUACUCCUAUUAUUUCUAACGGCAACUUGAUUAUGGACUGGAAUAUGGUGGAUGUGACCUACGCUACGUACCAGUUAGGGAAAAAAAAGGCUCCAUCUGAAACCUAAGAGAGCGUUGAAGAUGAGACAUGUUUGUGAUAGAUACUGACAAACCUUGAAUUAACUUCAAUGGAAGGGGCCAUCUGAAAGUUAAGCUGCAGAUUUUGAGCUCCACUGGGAAUGUGUUCACUAGAAUUUAGAACCAAUAAUACGCCGCUUGGCUGUGUAAUUAAGUUUGCUCCUACCUAUUCAAUACAACAAGGUACAAAGCUUUUGCGUUUUCGAGAGAGAAAAAAGGUACGCGCGCACCCGUACCGAGGAUUGUUUUUGGCAAAGGGUUAAGUUUGAACAAUGGCAAGUUAUAGUGGCUAGUAUUAAACACAUGCUACUGGAUCAUGCGAGCACACUGUCAGAAUGCCUUCUUUUCUUGUUUCUGCUACUGCUGCAUUGCUUCUUUGACUGCUCCAUCGAUGGCCCGGUUCAGUGCGAGAAAAGGCACAACCAAAAUGCCUACCAAGAAACAGAACUGAGACAUUAAUAUCUCAAAAUGUUAAGGAGACAGGAAAAGGAAAGUUCAAAGAUUGAAACAGUCAAAGAUAACCAUACCUCAGAAGGAUCUUCAUUAGGUUUGUCAUUUCGGAAUUAAGAUACAAACAGAAAGAACAACUUCACUCCCACUUAGUCAAUCACAUCUUCAGAAGACGAACUUCAAUAAUCUGCAUCCAAGAGGGCAACUAAAUUAAAAUAUUUUGAGUAACAAACAUUCAGGCUGGUGAUACAGUUAUAAACGUGUUGUCUAAAAUUUAGUGGAACUGAAGGAGCAGUACAUUUUUUUCUUUUUUUUUUCUUUUGAGGACAGAAAAGUAGAAAUACCUUCGCUGGACCCCUCAAGUAAUAGAAGGGAGCACUGCCCUUGCAUACACAUGGGCCAUGGCUCCAAAUUUCUAAGUCACGUUCAUUUGCUUUCAGAUACCGUUUUCAGAGAAGCUAACUUUAUUCCUCACAAUAUGGAAGUGAUUUAUCUUCCAGGUUUGCAGGUGGAUUCGUACAUGGCUUCUCUUGAAUGAACCUUCAUCAGAUUUGCCACUUCAAACAUAGAUAAGAAGAACAUCUUCAGUCUGGCUCAGUCCAAGCGAUUCAAGUAAAAACUCGACAAGACAAUCCAUGAUCCGCCUAUAGCGACCAAUGACCUAUCUACAGUUCUGCACUGCACUACACAAAAGACAUCCAUCUGUGAUCAUCCUUUUGUGGUCGUAUUCUUGGGAGGCAUACCUCACUAGCAGCAUAGUACUACGGCAGCGAGUUUAUUAUGCAUAUGACUGCAGUACCUGAUAGCUCGCCUAACAUGACAGACUUUAUGAGGAUAAACAGCAAUAAUUAACUAUUUUUAGUGUAGGCCUCAAGUAUGACAUAAAAAGGGGAUCAUAUACUGAAUCCAUCAAAGCAGCAAGAACAAUCUCUCCAGGAAAUAUGCUGAAAACCUCUCACCAACCUUUGAGUUAGCUGAUGAGCUUGUAAAAUAGUCAGUGCUCUUCACAACUCCAAGUAACAGCAUUCCAGCUGCCACUUUCUCAGACAUUUUGGUGGUCACCUUCUGAACCCUGCCAGCAAACCACAAGCGUCAUUCUUUCAGACCGACAACAAAACUAAUAUUCGGCCAAGAUUAUGUGCAUACAAAUUGUGUAACUAAAUCCAAGGUAAAAAAAAACCCCAGAAGAAAACGAAUCACAAAAUGAGAUAUCAGGGUUAGUUGGACCAAUCAGCACAAGCUGAAUAAAACAUGCGAUGCUACGUACCUGGAGAUCGUUGAUGAACAAUGUGACAGUACUUGCAAAGCACAGGGUUUUGAUUCCUUGUACAUUCACAUGCAUCUUUAUGCAAUAAACUUAGCAGUAAAGCAAGCUUAAAAACAACACUGUCGUUGUCACAAAAAUAACAGUAAACACAUUCCUCCGUCUAAACCUUACCAAAAUGCAGAUAUUCACAAUCACGGGGCAUUUCAACACGCCCACUUGGGAUUACUACUAUAUGGCAUAAAGAUCAAGCCAUAGCUACGAUUCAACAGAUCAAGACCAAAAGUUACAUAGCACCACGGAUGGCAAACAACAAAACUGGUAAAAGGCAUGUAAGCUCUGAAUGAUUGCAUGAACAAUUUAAAGAGAUUGUCCCUACCUAUCAUAAGAUUUGUAGGUGAACUGAAAUACUCUUAAAGAACAAUGAAAUACUCAUGUUGGACAAUGUACCAGGGUAUGAAUUAUGAAGUGCCAAAAGCCAAAGACUUGAACCUUCUGGGUUUUUGUAAGAUGGGUUGGUAUCUUCUAGAAAGAAUUCAAAUGACAAUCACUUUGAUUUAAGCCUUGAAUCACCAGUAGUCAUUGCAAGAACAUGCCCCAUCUUGCUACUUAUGAGCUUGAAGGCGUUGUGCUAGUCACCGCACACCCUCAGGUUCUUCAUCACCCUGAUGGUCAUCGCCUUGGGGAUAACCAGCAAACCAAACCCCAAUGCCAACAACUCGCUGUGCAUUCCAACCAUGUCACCUUCCUGUCCGCUCCAUCCUCUUUGUGAGCAUCAAAGACUCUGGUACUACCUAGCUAGUUCACCUUUGUAACCCUUCUCCUGCAUCUUACCCUCUAACUCAUCAAGCAACAUUCAUCGGGCUGCCCUUUAACUGAUCAAUCAAACACUAUUUGUUGCUUGUUAGUGAGAUAAGAAAGUAGCCACUCCUUUUUGUAACUCCAAUUCACAACCAUGAAAUGAAAUAAUGCCCACAAUUUCAGAUCUUCUGAGCACAAAUCAUUACAGAAUGACAUUUCAGUCACUCCAAUCACUAAAUCAUGUGCUCAGUUGCCUCCUACCUGAUACUCAAUCUGUAACAAAAUAUAAGAGCGUUUAGAUCACUAAAUUAGCGAUCUAACACUAGUGCAGAACCGAGCAAUAGCACCGAUUCGUAAGGCCCUUUAGUGCCGGUUCCAUAACCGGCACUAAAGUGUGGGUACUAAAGCCCCCCCCCCCCUUUAGUACCGGUUCAGCACGAACCGGUGCUAAAGGGAAACCACAUGGCACGAGCCAGCUCCAGGGGCCUGGAGCCCUUUAGUACCGGUUGGUAAGACCAACCGGUACUAUAAGGUUUCGGGGGUUUUUAGUUUUAUGAUUUCUUUUUCAUUUAAUUUUGUGUUUCCAUAUUAAUUAUUUUUCGUUUGCUGGUAUUUUACGAUACUACACAUUGUACACGUUAUGCAUAUAUAUNNNNNNNNNNNNNNNNNNNNNNNNNNNNNNNNNNNNNNNNNNNNNNNNNNNNNNNNNNNNNNNNNNNNNNNNNNNNNNNNNNNNNNNNNNNNNNNNNNNNNNNNNNNNNNNNNNNNNNNNNNNNNNNNNNNNNNNNNNNNNNNNNNNNNNNNNNNNNNNNNNNNNNNNNNNNNNNNNNNNNNNNNNNNNNNNNNNNNNNNNNNNNNNNNNNNNNNNNNNNNNNNNNNNNNNNNNNNNNNNNNNNNNNNNNNNNNNNNNNNNNNNNNNNNNNNNNNNNNNNNNNNNNNNNNNNNNNNNNNNNNNNNNNNNNNNNNNNNNNNNNNNNNNNNNNNNNNNNNNNNNNNNNNNNNNNNNNNNNNNNNNNNNNNNNNNNNNNNNNNNNNNNNNNNNNNNNNNNNNNNNNNNNNNNNNNNNNNNNNNNNNNNNNNNNNNNNNNNNNNNNNNNNNNNNNNNNNNNNNNNNNNNNNNNNNNNNNNNNNNNNNNNNNNNNNNNNNNNNNNNNNNNNNNNNNNNNNNNNNNNNNNNNNNNNNNNNNNNNNNNNNNNNNNNNNNNNNNNNNNNNNNNNNNNNNNNUAUAUAGAAUAUCUAGUAGAACCAAUCAUGCAUAUAUAUAUAUAUAUCAUAAAUGUCUCACAAACCAUCAUAUUAAUUAAUUCACACAUACACACAUGUAUAGCUAUAUACAAUUUCUCCUACAUAUGCAUGUUGCCUUCGGAGCCAGUGGCAUUAGCCUAAUUGAUGCCUUCGGAGCACGAUAACAAUUGGAAGUGGUUUUCAUGGGGGCGGUAGCGGGUAAUAGUAUUCUCCCUUCGGAUUUAUGACCUGGUCGAGCAAAAAUCUCGCUAUUUCCUCUUGAAGUGCUUCUACGCGCUCCGUUUCUAGGAGCUUCGCCCGCACCUCUCUGAACUGUUAAGAAGGAGAUCAAUAUGCAUGUGUAUUAGUUGUGUGACUAGAUAUCGAUAAUGGUGUAAAAAUUGUGAAUAGUGUUUUGACAAGCGUACCCAUUCCUGUCUUUGAGAUCUGCUCCUUUCGGACGCCAUCAUGCGAAUGUUCUCGCAAACGCAGAAUGCACACAGAUUAGUCCCCUGCGCCUGCUUCAGGGCCUUUACGAGAAUGGAAUUUGAUCAGAUAAUAAUUAAUCAAGCAUGAUAAUUAAAGUGAUGGCAGCUAGCUAGCUAGCUAGUACUACUUAAUUACUUACCUUGGGUCUUCCCCAUUUAAGCUUUUCUUUCCAUUCGCCUUCCGUGACGCUGAUGAACCUUGCCCAAGCCCUGCCCGCCGACAAAGAAAAUGAAUAAAGGGGUUAUUAAAUAGUUCAUAUCAUGAAAUGACGAACUAAAUAGGCCGAGAUAUAUAGUUAAUAAUGAUUGAAAUUACCUAUUGACUAUCCCAAACAAGAUGUUAUAGUCAGUUUUUUCUUUGAGUAGUGAGUCCAGUAUUUCAACUGUUUUGGCGUUAACUUUAAUGAUACACAAGACCCAGUGAAAUCUGCAUGCACACACGUUUGCAUGUCUUAAUUAAGCAGGCAUAUGUAAGCAAAAACAUGUAGCUAGCUAGUAGGUAAAAACAGAGAAUUUGUAGUACAAGACAGUGUGACUCACUGAAAGUUGUAAGGAAUUAGUAUAUCUUCAUUGUAUUUGAGGCGCUUCAAGAAACUCUAGCAUGCUGUCCUCUACGGCCUUUUGAUGACGUGCAUCUAUUUUCCAUGUGUAUUCAUUAACGGUGUUUGGGUCAAUGAACCCAAUGCCAUAGCGUCCACCUUUUCUCAUUUCAUACAUCUUCAUCCUGCAUAUAAUACCACAGAAAAGAAUAUAGUGAGAAUAAUUACAGGUAAUGAUUGAUCAAAAGGAUCACUACAGCUAGCUUGAGACUUAAAUUACAGAAAGAAAUCACUUACAGACAAUAGCAACUGACGAUAGAUUUGUUGAGUGCGUCUUGAUUGUAUAACUGAAACAGUUCAGAAUACUCAACGGACACAGCUUUCUCAUGGUAGUAAUGCCCCUCCUUGACAUUCACCAUGAGGGACAAUCGAUCGGAAAUCUUGGUAAUGUUCAUGUACCAUUGAUGCAAUUCAUACAUUUUCGUUGGGAGGUUCUUGACCUUGUCUGGCUCGACCAAAGGUUGGCCCCAAACAUAUUUCCGUUUUAUUUCAUCCUCUCUAAGCACAGGCAUGGGCUCGAUCUCGAGGAGUUGUCUAACAGUGAUUUUGAGAACUUCAGCCUGCAUUAUAUGGUCCUCCGUUAUUACCACAUUGCCCACCUCAGUAACGUAAACUGUUUGCCCACAAUAAUAUUGGGCGCGCGUACUGUCACGUGUUGUUGGCACAACAAGCGAGGGGAUCGAUUGCGCCGCGUGUUCUCCCAGCUGGGGAAUGGUUUUCCCGUAUUUUUUGACAGCUGCUUCUUGUUUGCUCGAUCCCGAGCUCGCCUCCUUACGUAGACGUGCUCGAUUUAACUUCCUGAUGUGGCGCUCAUAGUCUGUGUCAACAGGCUUGGGAGCUGGUGGUUGAGCCAUACGAAUGAAGUGGUCAAUCGUUUCCUCAGGCACUUUUUCCCUUGGCGGCGUUGGCGGUUUCGGUGCAAAAUGGGCUUCCACCUCGGACUUCGAUAUGGCUGCGAUUUCCUCCUCGGACCUGUCAUAAGCCCUCUGCGGAAGAGGCAUGAGGCUUGGAUCAUAUUUAUAUCGCUUGCCUCUGCCUGUACUUCCUGUACUACCUCGACUCGUACCGCUACGCACCAUAGCUGCGGGGUGUCUCUUCUGCGAUUGCUGAGGCGGCGGAGACGGCUGACGGGGCUGAGUUGGACGAGGAGGAGUGGCUGCCUGAAGCUGUGCCGGACUUGGAGGAAGAGUGGCCUGAGGUUGUGCCAGACUUGGAGGAGGAGUGGACGUCUGACGUUGUGGCGGACUUGGAGGAGGAGGAGUGGCCUGACACUUUGCCGGACUUGGAGGAGGAGUGGCCUGACACUUUGCCGGACUUGCUGGACUUGCAGGAGCGGGAGACUGCUGACUCGGUGGCGGACUUCGACGAGGAGUCGGCUGACGCGGUGUCGGUGGCCUUCGAAAGAUGAUGCAAUCCUUUUUCCAUAGGAUGAUAUGAUGGUUGGCGUCUCCGAGAAAGCGCUCGUCGUCACCUCCAGGAAUGUCAAGCUCUAGCUCCGAAUAUGGGUCCACCACCUCAUCAACCAAGACACGAGCAUAGCCCGCUGGAAUCGGGUUGCAAUGGAAGGUUGUCUCGGGGGGAUUUGUAAAAGCAACGGCGUCCGCCACCUUCAUGGAUAUGUUCUUCAUUUUGACGUGUAGCUCGCAGCUAGUGUUCUCCGUGAUGUCAUCCACAGGGUAUCUACCCAGCAUUGCGUCGUCCGGGGAGGAACCCACGCUGCUUCUCGGCAUGGAUGGGGCGGUGCUAUCCAAUGCUGGAUCAUUCGCUAGCUGCUGCAGCUGCUGAGAACCCCUUUGUUGGGUAAGUGAGUCGAUCUGCUCCUGCUGCCGCUGGAAUUUGACUACCAAUUCCGCUUGACUUGCUUCUAGGCCUUGAAGGCGUUCAUAGUCCCGCUUCCUCUGCUCCUCCUCCAUCUUCCUCUUCUUCUCCUCCGCAAUCUUCUUUCUCGCAUGGGUUCUGUAGUCGGUGUUCCAGUCUGAAAACCCCUCAUACCACGGAAUAGCGCCCUUGCCUCGUGUUCUUCCUGGGUGUUCAGGAUUUCCCAGGGCACGCGUAAGCUCGUCGUUCUCUCUGUUGGGCUGGAACACCCCCGAUCGUGCCUCUUCUAUUGCAACAAGUAUCGCAUCGUCGGCUCCCUUCAUACUUGCCCUCGUCGAAACAUUGCCUGUCUUCGGGUCCAACUCCCCCCCAUGCGCAUAGAACCAAGUCCUGACCCUGGGGGGCAGCUCUUAGUAACUGGAGUGGCACCUGCAUCCUCCAUCUGUUUCUCAGACUUAUCCCACUUAGGCAUUGCCACCGCAUAGCCACCUGGCCCCAGCUUAUGGAACUUAUCAUUUUUUUCGGCAUUCUUCUUGUUUAUUCUCGACCGUUCCUUAGCUAAUUCCAAAUCCUUGAAUUUCACAAAAUCGUCCCAAUGAGCACGUUGGUUCUCUAGUGUUCCCUCGAAUACUGGAGUCUUCCUUCCUACCUUGACGUGCUUGUCCCAUUCACGAUUCUUGUGGUUCUUGAAUGCAACCGACAUCUUUCUAAGAGCAGCGUCCUUGACUUUCUGCACAUCUGCUUCUGUGAAAUGAUCUAGUAGGGUGAAAUGUUCCAUGAGAGUAUCCCAAAGCAGAUCUUUUUGAUUCUUGUUGACAAAAGUAACAUCUGGACGUGGAGCAGCGUCCUCUUUGCCUUUUUAUCUUUUGUCUUUUGCUGGCUCUCUCCAUUCUUGAAGGGAGAUCGGGAGUUGGUCCUUCACAAGAACUCCGCACUGACGAAUGAACUUGUCCGCAAUCUUCUUAGGCGCUAAUGGUUCGCCAUUAGGUCUGACUGCCUCGAUAUUGUACUUUACGCCCUCCUUUAACUUUUUGUUCGGGCCUCGUUUCGUCCUUUUGCCUGAAGAUUUGCUCGAUCCGGAUGGCUGAAAGAACAAAGAUCGAUUCGUUAAUAUAUCUUCAAGUCAUUUAAAACAUGUGAUGAUCACGAGAUACCUGCUUAUAUAAAUAUAUAUACCUCGCCGGUCUUUGUUGUUUCAGGAUCAACAUGUUCUUCGUCAUCGUCAUAAUCGUAGUUCAUGACUUCAUCAAUUCGGUCGUCGCGAUCGAAUAUCAUAUCACCCUCUCCGGUGUUGUUUAGAAAUUCGGAGCCGUCAUAAUCUUCUUCAUUCUGAUCAUCAUCUGGCCCGCGUAUCAUAUCGAACAUGGUCUGUUCUCCCUCUCUGUCGGUAUUGUCUGCCAUAGCUUUUAUUUAACUAAUUCAAAAGAAAUAUAAAACAAUUUAGUAUUCAAAUUACAUCGUCUCGAAUAAUAGAUAUAAUCUCGAAUACUUCGUCUAGAAUAAUAGAUAUAAUCUCGAAUACAUCGUCUCGAAUAAUAUAUAAUAUUGAAUAGUACAUCACUGGCUAGCUAAUUAAAGAUCGAAUACUACAGAAGAAUCUAGGACACUCGCGGUUCCUGCAGCGCGGGCGGUGGACACCCAAAGAGAAGGAACCCUCACAGGAUCAUAACUGAAGUGAGAUCCCCAAAGAUACUGCCAGGUAUUGGAGAACCUGCCGCCCUCUAACGCAACCAUGUAGCGAUGGACGUGCUCGUCCUCCUCCCUGACACGGCGACGUACCACCUCCGGCGGGGCCGGGUCCCUCCGCACCGAAACUGGCCCACGCGAACGCCACCAAACGAGAUCAGGGUCGACGACGGGACCCGGGGCCGGGUUCCUCAUCAAGCGGCGCCCCUCCAGGCAGCACCUCCUAGUGCCAGCCCGGCGGAGCCCAGUCCCGGACAUGGGUCGGCUGGACGUCGUCGCGGACGGGUCGACGGCGAGGAUGCGGGCCGGGCAUCGUCGAGAACAAAUACUAGCUAUAUGCCCGCAAAAAGUAAUAUUUUUUUAAUGAUUGGAUUUUGAUAACUAAAAUUUCUAACAUUUCUACUAUUUCAAAAAUCUAUAUACUAUUUCAUACUAAUUAAGCAUCUAACACUAAAAACAAAAAACACAACUUCUAUACAUCCAUUAAAAAACUGAAAACAACAUUAUAUAAAAAAUUUCCAUACUAAUUAAACACUAAUUAUAUCCAUCUAACAUCCAUUCAUACAUAUAUAAUAGUGAAAAAAUAAUAAUCUAAAUAAUCUAAACUAAUUAAACAUACAAAAUACGUAUAUACUAAUUAAACACUAAAUAAUCUAAACUAAUUAAACAUACAAAACACGUAUGUACGUGUGUGUGUGUGUNNNNNNNNNNNNNNNNNNNNNNNNNNNNNNNNNNNNNNNNNNNNNNNNNNNNNNNNNNNNNNNNNNNNNNNNNNNNNNNNNNNNNNNNNNNNNNNNNNNNNNNNNNNNNNNNNNNNNNNNNNNNNNNNNNNNNNNNNNNNNNNNNNNNNNNNNNNNNNNNNNNNNNNNNNNNNNNNNNNNNACGAGGGCAGCGACGGGGACGGGGACGGCGACGGGGACGGGGGCGGGCCCGGGGCGGCGACGGAGACGACGGCGGCGACGGGGACGGGGGGCGGCGACGGAGACGAGGGCGGCGACGGGGACGGGGGCGGCGACGGCGACGGAGACGACGGAAACAGAGGAUGAAUGAAAAUUUCGUAAGUCGAGUAUAUAUAAAAGGCACCUUUAGUACCGGUUGGAGCCACCAACCGGUACUAAAGGCCUGUUUUGGCCAGGCCAAGCGGCGGGAAGCGACCCCCUUUAGUACCGGGUGGUGGCACAAACCGGUACUAAAGGACCCCCCUUUAGUACUGGUUUGUGCCACGACCCGGUACUAAAGGGGUCGCGCUGCCACCCCAAAGUUUAGUCCCACCUCGCCGGACGAAGGGCAGCCACACUGAUUUAUAAACCCAGCCACGGGUACCACUUCGAACUCCUCUAUAUAGCUAGCAGGCUUGUGGGCCUAAACUCUGCGCGCUGCCCUGUGAGUCUGCUGGGCCUUUAAGGCCUGUAAUUACACGCUUGUGGCCUAUCAGGCCCACAGGGCAGCCCCAAUUUUUUUUAUAGUUUUUUUCUUUUCUGCUUUAUUUUCUUUAUCUUGGCUUGGUAGACAUGUCCUUCACAUAGAAAACCUGUGCCACAUCAUUGGCUAGGACGAAUGGUUCAUCUGCAUACACAAGAUUGUUGAGAUCCACUGUUGUCAUUCCGUACUGCGGGUCUUCUGUUACCCCACCUCGUGUCAUGUUGACCCAUUUGCACCGAAACAAAGGGACCUUUAAACCACGCCGAUAGUCAAGUUCCCAUAUGUCCUGUAUAUAACCAUAAUAUGUUUCCUUUCCCGUCUUGGUUUCUGCAUCAAAGUGGACACCACUGUUUUGGUUGGUGCUCUUCUUAUCUUGGGCGAUCGUGUAAAAUGUAUUACCAUUUAUCUCGUACCCUUUGAAAGUCAUUAUAUUCGAAGAUGGUAACUGGGACAGCAAGUACAGGUCAUCUUCAUUAGAGGUGUCAUGCAUGGUACGUGUCUGCAACCAGCUAGUGAAACUCCUGCUUUGUUCACGUGUAAUCCAGUCAUCAGACCGCUCCGAGUGUUUGGAGCGUAGCAAAUUUUUGUGUUCAUCCAUAUACGGAGCCACCAAGGCGGAAUUCUGUAGAACUGUGUAGUGUGCUUCAGUGAGAGAAUGUUCGUCCAUACAUAUUAUUUGUUCCCCUCCUAGCGUGCCUUUUCCAUCCAGUCUGCCCUUAUGUCGCGAUUCAGGAACACCAAUCGGCUUAAGGUCAGGAAUAAAGUCAAUACAAAACUCAAUGACCUCCUCAUUUUGAUGGCCCUUGGAGAUGCUUCCUUUUGGCCUAGCACGGUUAUGAACAUAUUUCUUUAAGACUCCCAUGAACCUCUCAAAGGGGAACAUAUUGUGUAGAAAUACAGGACCCAAAAUGUUAAUCUCUUCGCAUAGGUGAACUAGGACGUGCGUCAUGAUGUUGAAGAAGGAUGGCGGGAACACCAACUCGAAACUGACAAGACAUUGCACCAAAUCAUUCUGUAACCUUGGUAUGAUUUCUGGAUCGAUUACCUUCUGAGAGAUUGCAUUGAGAAAUGCACAUAGCUUCAUAAUGGCUAAUCGAACGUUUUCCGGUAGAAGCCCCCUCAAUGCAACCGGAAGCAGUUGCGUCAUAAUCACGUGGCAGUCAUGAGACUUUAGGUUCUGGAACUUUUUCUCUGCCAUGUUUAUUAUUCCCUUUAUAUUCGACGAGAAGCCAGAUGGUACCUUAAUACUGAGGAGGCAUUCAAAGAAGAUUUCCUUCUCUUCUUUGGUAAGAGCGUAGCUUGCAUGACCCUGAUGUAUGCCGUCUUCUCCGUGCAUACGUUGCUGGUCCUCCUGUGCCUCAGGUGUAUCUUUUGUCUUCCCAUACACGCCCAAGAAGCCAAGCAGGGUCACGCAAAGAUUCUUCAUCACGUGCAUCACGCGAUUGCGGAGCGGACCUCUAGGUCUUUCCAAUAUGGCAGGUCCCAAAAUAUAGAUUUCUUCUUCCACAUGGGUGCGCGUCCGGCAGCGUCCUUUGGAACAGGUUGUCCGCCAGGACCCUUUCCAAAUAUCACCUUCAAAUCCUUGACCAUAUCAUGUACAUCAGCACCAGUACGGUGGCGAGGCUUCGUCCGGUCAUCCGCCUCACCUUUGAAAUGCUUGCCUUUCUUUCUUACGGGAUGCCUGCUCGGAAGAAAUCGACGAUGUCCCAGGUACACAUUCUUCUUACAACUAUUCAAAUAUAUACUGUCGGUAUCAUCCAAACAGUGCGUGCAUCCGUGGUAUCCCUUGUUUGUCUGUCCUGAAAGAUUACUGAGACCAGGCCAAUCAUUGAUGGUCACGAACAACAAUGCCUUUAGGUCAAAUUCUUCCUGUUUGUGCUCAUCCCAUGCACGUACACCUGUUCCAUUCCACAGUUGUAAGAGUUCUUCAACUAAUGGCCUUAGGUACACAUCAAUGUCGUUGCCGGGUUGUUUAGUGCCUUGGAUGAGCACUGGCAUCAUAAUGAACUUCCGCUUCAUGCACAGCCAAGGAGGAAGGUUAUACAAACAUAGAGUCACAGGCCGGGUGCUAUGGUUGCUGCUCUUCUCCCUAAAAGGAUUAAUGCCAUCUGCGCUUAGACCAAACCAUACGCUCCUUGCGUCAUCUGCAAACUCCUUCCCGUACUUUCUUUCGAUUUUUCUCCACUGUGACCCGUCAGCGGGUACUCUCAACUUUCCGUCUUUCUUACGGUCUUCUCUGUGCCAUCGCAUCGCCUUGGCAUGCUCUUUAUUUUGGAAUAAACGUUUCAACCAUGGUAUUAUAGGAGAAUACCACAUCACCUUGGCAGAAAUCUUCUUCCUGGGGCGCUCGCCCUCGACAUCACCAUGCUCAUCGCGGAUGAUCUUAUAGCGCAAUGCACCACAUACCGGGCAAGCGUUUAAAUCCUCGUACUCACCGCGGUAGAGGAUGCAAUCAUUAGGGCAUGCAUGUAUCUUCUGCACCUCUAACCCUAGAGGGCAGACAACCUUCUUUGCUUCAUACGUACUCUCGGGCAAUUCGUUGUCCUUUGGAAGCAUAUCCUUUAUCAUUAUCAGCAACUUUCCAAAUCUCUUGUCAGAUACACCAUUCUCUGCCUUCCAUUGCAGCAAUUUCAGUGUGGUGCCCAGCUUUUUCUUGUCACCUACGCAAUUCGGGUACAACAAUUUUUUGUGAUCCUCUAACAUGCGAUGCAACUUCUUCUUCUCCAAAUCACUUGCGCAGUUUCUCUUUGCAUCGGCAAUGGCCCGACCUAGAUCAUCAACGGGCUCAUCUGAUGCCUCUUCUUCAGCUUCUUCCCGCAUUGCCGGCUCAGCUUCUUCCCGCAUUACCGGCUCAGCUUCUUCCCCCAUUGUUGUAUCAUCGUAUUCAGGGAACCCAUGGCCAGGAUAGCUGUCGUCGUCCUCUUCUUCUUCAUUGUCUUCCAUCAUAACCCCUCUUUCUCCGUGCUUGGUCCAAACAUUAUAGUGGGGCAUGAAACCGGACUCAAACAGGUGGACGUGAAUGGUUCUUGACGUAGAGUAAUUGCGAUCAUUCUUACAGCCAGCACAUGGACAAGGCAUAAAACCAUCCGCCCGCUUGUUUGCCUCAGCCGCAAGCAGAAAAGUAUGCACGCCCUCAACGAACUGGGGAGAGCAUCGGUCAUUGUACAUCCAUUGCCGGCUUAUCUUCAUUACACAACACCGAAUAGACCAAAUUAAUACAAGUUCAUACAUAAAGUUCAUACAACACUUAAAUGCAACAAACAAAUAACUCUCUAGCUAAAGCAUUUAAAUGCAACAACAAAUGCGAUCAAGAUCGCAACUAAGGUAGCAAUUGAUCCAACAUCAUAAUGAUACCAAGCCUCACUAUCGAUGGCAUAUUUUCUAAUUUUUCUAAUCUUCAAGUGCAUUUUCUCCAUCUUGAUCUUGUGAUCAUCGACGACAUCGGCAACAUGCAACUCCAAUUCCAUCUUCUCCCCCUCAAUUCUUUUCAAUUUUUCUUUCAAGUACUCGUUUUCUCUUUCAACUAAGUUUAACCUCUCGACAAUAGGGUCGGUUGGAAUUUCUGGUUGACAUACCUCCUAGAUAAAAAUAUCUAUGUCAACUUGAUGGGCAUAAUUAUUUGUCAUAAACACAAAAUGCAACAAAUAGUUUUAAAAGAGAAUAUACCACAUCCGAAUCAUAACAAGGACGAGGGCCGACGGGGACGGAUAUCAAAACCAUGGCACUAUGUAUAACAAACAACGUACGGAUAAGAUAAUUAUUAUACGAGUAACUAUAUAUCCAAAUCACACAAACAUCAUUUUUUUAAUAUAAAAUUUCAUGAACAAGAGGCUCACCACAAGGUGGUGCCGGCGACGGGACGGUGCGGGCGAUCGACGGUGGUUACGACGGAGAUUUAGAAGGCACUAAGUAAACCACACCUACAUAUGCAAACUAAGUGUUAUUUUGACCUCAAAUUGCAUAUAAAUCAAAUACUACCACAUAUAAUUCCUCCCAAAUUACUAAAACCCACAAUUAAUCACUAUAUAAAACCAAUGCAAGAGCUAAUCUAGCAAUGAGAGAUGAAAGGACAAAGUUGCUAACCUUGGUGAUCAUUUGAAUGGAUAAGGGCCUGCAAAUUUUGUGAUGAACUCGAGAGGAAGAAGGGAAGAACAAAAGAGAGGGAGAGGGGAAAGGGGGAAGAACAGAGUGCGGGUGGACGAAGGAUUUAUAUAGGACGACCUUUAGUACCGGUUCGUGCCACGAACCGAUACUAAAGGUGCUGGAAGGGCUCCACUCUGACAACAUCCUGCCACCACUCUCAUUAGUACCGGUUCGUGGCACGAACCGGUGCUAAAGGUUUGCCACGAACCGGUACUAAAGAGCUCCUCCCGGCUAGCCGUUGAAACCGGCACUAAUGGACACAUUAGUGCCGGUUCUGUUACAAACCGGGACUAAUGUGUCUCACAUUUGACCCUUUUUCUACUAGUGUAAGCAUUCUUAUAUUUCUUUAGGGAGGGAGUACACAAUAACAUAGUAUCAAAUUUUCGUGUUAAUGACUUACUUUCACCACGGCUUUUGAUUGAUGUCUCUAAGUAGAGCUGCUAUAUACCUAACACAAAUUUUAAGCAUAUUACUUAGCUAAAUAUGCAACCUGAGUUCUCAAAUCACCACGGUGCCACUAAAGAAACACACACUGCAGUUGAAGACACGUUUAUCCUCUCAGCAUCAGAAAGCCGACUACCAAAGAUUUAUAAUUUUAUUAUCAGCCUGCAAAUCAGUAAAAUUGUGAUAGACUUAUUUGGUUAGCAAGUCACGGUCUGCAGAGCUAGGCAAGCAUGAAAACAGAACAGAGAUCAAAUCAAGCUUGGAACUAGCUAAAACCCGGUCUGCGAGCUCAGUCCCUUAGAGCAUCUCCAGCCGUUGUGCCCCCCAGCCGGCGUUUUUUCGGCCUCCUGGGGAGGCACCGGCGGAUUUUUUGCAUCUGGGACAAGAAUUUUUCCNNNNNNNNNNNNNNNNNNNNNNNNNNNNNNNNNNNNNNNNNNNNNNNNNNNNNNNNNNNNNNNNNNNNNNNNNNNNNNNNNNNNNNNNNNNNNNNNNNNNNNNNNNNNNNNNNNNNNNNNNNNNNNNNNNNNNNNNNNNNNNNNNNNNNNNNNNNNNNNNNNNNNNNNNGAACGCACUGCGCACGAGCCCACGAGCUCGACCGCCGCCGCUCCGUCCUCGCGCCCCGCGUGCCCGGUGAGGAACCCGGCGAGCGUGGACGCGGGCGUGACUCGUGGGAUGACCAUGGAGAGGACGGCGCAAAUGCCCAGCGCGCCCGCCAGCUCCGACAGCGGUGGCAUCCCGCGCUCCUCCUCGGCGCACACGUUCUGCAACCCGAUGAUGUCCGGCCCCGUCCAUGCUCCCGCAGCACCUCCUCCACGCUCCGCCGCCGGCUCGCGUCCAGCCCGCCCGACACCACCUGCUGCGGCUUCCGGGCCCUCGGGCUACCGACCAGGCGGCCGCUCCUGUCGAGGUUGCUCGGCGUUCGCGGCGCCUGCGCUUUCAAGAUCCCCUUGGGCCGCGGCUGCGCGCUCAUGCCCGUGUCGAGGCCGCUCCGGCGCGCGGCCUCGCGCUCCGCUCUCGCUCCUGCUUCAGGGACUGCGGCCACCGCGGCCGCCAUGGAGAACGACGCCGCGUUGAACGUCGCCCAGCGGCGGCUGUCGUCCCUCGCCCGACGCCGACCCGGGGGGCGCGCACAGCGGGGGUGCCCGCUGGCUGCCCCGCCUCCGGCCGCGAGGACGGCGCCCAGCCGCGCUUCCNNNNNNNNNNNNNNNNNNNNNNNNNNNNNNNNNNNNNNNNNNNNNNNNNNNNNNNNNNNNNNNNNNNNNNNNNNNNNNNNNNNNNNNNNNNNNNNNNNNNNNNNNNNNNNNNNNNNNNNNNNNNNNNNNNNNNNNNNNNNNNNNNNNNNNNNNNNNNNNNNNNNNNNNNNNNNNNNNNNNNNNNNNNNNNNNNNNNNNNNNNNNNNNNNNNNNNNNNNNNNNNNNNNNNNNNNNNNNNNNNNNNNNNNNNNNNNNNNNNNNNNNNNNNNNNNNNNNNNNNNNNNNNNNNNNNNNNNNNNNNNNNNNNNNNNNNNNNNNNNNNNNNNNNNNNNNNNNNNNNNNNNNNNNNNNNNNNNNNNNNNNNNNNNNNNNNNNNNNNNNNNNNNNNNNNNNNNNNNNNNNNNNNNNNNNNNNNNNNNNNNNNNNNNNNNNNNNNNNNNNNNNNNNNNNNNNNNNNNNNNNNNNNNNNNNNNNNNNNNNNNNNNNNNNNNNNNNNNNNNNNNNNNNNNNNNNNNNNNNNNNNNNNNNNNNNNNNNNNNNNNNNNNNNNNUUGGCCAAAUCCGGCGAAAUCUGGACUCUUGGGAUCACGAGUGGGCGAAAAUUUAGGCGCCGGCGGUCAAAAAGUGGUCCUGGGGGGCCGGCCGGAGAUGCUCUUACCUAAGGGCGUGUGGAGACGCCAAGAAUCGCCCAACGCGGUCGCUGGAGAGAUCCAACGGUGUGGUGUGGCACGCACCUUGGAACUGAAGCAGAGGAUUUGGGCUCUCUGACAGAGCUCGGGCCAUGUCGCGCGAAGAGCUCGCUUCUCCCAUGGACGGACGGCCACACUAGACCGGCGCUCGCCGGACUGCUGGUGGCGGCGGGCGAGACUGAGCCCCCCGCUGCCGCGCUUCUCUCGUCUCCGCAAUCCCCUCUCCUCGUCGAGCUGAAGAAAAGCGGCGGCAGUGGAGGAUGUCUGUGAAGGUUUGGGAUUUGCAGCAGCCGGGCUGGUGGGAUUUUACGUCGUCCCCUGCAGGUGGAUAGAAUGAUCUGGGCUGAACGACUCAACUUCCUAAUUACUAUUUACCAACCUACAUACAAAUUGAUUCACCCUUCAAACAAAAAUACAUAAAAAAUUGGUUAAAAAAAAACCUACAUACGAAUUAAGAAACAUCUUUCUUUUUUCGAAUCGAAUUAAUAAACAUCUUGAUAAAAUUAAGAAAGAUUUUGGUAAAAUCACGGGCCACGUGUGGGAUAUGAAAAAGUCUUGAUCUUGAUUAAACUAAAAAUGUUUUUGAAAAGAAGAUACGAUACUACCAUUAAAUUAGUUCCCCAAUUUAAAAAAUAGGUCAUCGAUUCAAAAAACUGUUCAUUAAUACCAAAUAUGUUCAUGAACUCGAAAAUUGUUCAUUCAUUUCACAAAACGUUCGUGUAAACAAAAUAAAUGUUCACCAAUUUCAAAAUUUGUUACCAAAUUCCAAAAAUAUGCUUCUUGAUUCAAAAAACUGUUUGCCGAUUCAAAAUUAUCCAAAAAAAUGUUCAUGAAUUUGGAAAAUGUUCAUGAUUCCAUAAAAUGAUCAGGUUUUUGUACAAAACUUUCAUGAAUUUGAAAAACGUUUAUGAUUCCAAAAAUUGUUCAUGAUUUCAGAAAAAUAUUGAAUUCUAAAAAUGUUUAAGAUUUCAGAAAAUAUUCAAGAAUUUAAAAGAUGUUCGCAGAAUGAAAAGGUAAAAUUUUAAAAAUAAAAGAAAACCGAACUUGAUAACAAAACUUAAAUGAAAAAAAAGGAAAAGGAAAAGGGAAACAAAAAAGAAAAAGUAAAGACGUAAUAUAAUAAAAAUAAAAACCAGGCAAAAAAAGGUUCAUUUCCCAAAACCGGUGUCCUCUAAACUGCUGAUACGAGGUUUAUGUAAACCAGUGGAGUAAUGUUGAUUUUCAUAUUGUUUAAAAUUGUGCUCAUAAAUAUAUGUUUGAAAAGAAUAUCAUGUGGUCUAUUUUAGUAGUUCUCUAUAAGAUUGCCCUAGAUAGCUCUAGAAUUUGGGUGGCUAAGUCUUUUAUGUCUAGGAUUUAAUUAGUUUUUGGUAAGUAUUUAUAUGUCUACGCGUUGGGAGUAGUUCGUCGUCAACGAGAUUAGUUUACGUGGACACCACGGCCAUCAAUGGUAAGGGUGAGAAAUAAUAUAAGUGGCAACAUGGUGGGCCACUGUGAUAAAGUAGAGGACGCUCAUAUAUUGGGGUACUGAGCCAUAUUUAUUUGUCUUGGACAUAAUAUUUUUGUCUCCCGUUGCAACGCACGGACAUGUUUGCUAGCUAUUUAUUAAACUACAUAAUAAUUGAUUAAAAAACCUACAUACAAAUUAGGAAACAUCUUUUUUUUGCGGAUCGAAUUAAGAAAUAUGUUGAUAAAAUCAAGAAAGAUUUUGGUAAAACCACGGGCCACGUGUGGGAUAUUUAAAGAUCGAUCUUGAUAAAAUUAGGAAUGUUUUUUAAAAGAAGAUAGGAUACUACUAUUAUUUAGGUUUUCUAAAUGUCAUUAAAGCUUCAUUAUCAUCACGUUCUUAUGAGGAUAUUUUUAUUUGAAAACAUUUCGCACUUUCAGUGUACAUUUGUACUCCUUCCGUUCUAAAAUACUGCAGUUUUGGGUUUGCCUUAAGCUAAACUUCUUUAAGUUCGACCAAGUUUGUAGAAAAAUAUGGGAGGCAUUUGACCCUCCUGGCAUGAAGAAAAAGAACGCGAGAAAAAUAAAGAUUUUCUUAUCUUUGAAUGGGUAGAGAAAGAGCCUCUCGUGAGGUGGUUUUCGCUGCAUCACACGCAUGGAGCGGGGUACGACAUUAUGACAAUAAAUUUUUAAAAAAUUGGCACCUCUAGGGGGAUCACAUGCUGGAGAAGAUAGAUGCCCUCUGCAACCACAUCCAGCGCCUACUGAGGGACCCGGGCAGGAUUGGAGGCCCCUCAGGCCCGCUUCUCCACUCCACUGAAGAUCAGGCGAGCACAUGGCUGGUCUCUGAGCCCAACGGUUGGAGGGUGGUCUUCCUUACCAUGUCUCUGUGACUGAAAGAAACUGAACAAAUAGGGCUCUUUUGCUUCAAAGGAAUUAUAUAUGAUUUCUAGAGGAUUGAAAUUCUUAGGAUUUUUCCUAUGUUAGUCCUUUGAUUUAUAGGAUUAGAUUCCAUAGGAAAUUUUUCUAUGAAAUAUUUUGUACUACAUUUCAUAGAAAAUCUAACAUCCACUCCAACCUCUUUUUACAAUUCCUUUAUUUUUCCUGUGGCAUCAAACACUCAUUGCUAAUCCUAUAGGAUUCAAGUGGGCAUGCCGCUCCAACCCUAUACUUUUUCUAUUCCUACGUUUUUAAAAUCCAAUGAAUCAAAGAGGCCCUUAGUGUGUGAAUCAAAAGGAUCAUAACACAAAAUUGCAGCCGGGGAAAGCAACGCUACAUGGUCACACUAGUAGACAUGUGUGAGAUAUAAUACUGUAUUUGCAAGACCAGACUGAAAAAUUCACUGACAGUUGGCGGACUGGUGCUAGGGUAAAAAUGAGAUGAAGUUUGCUGCGUGAGCUGGGUCCUGCCUGCUACUUUUUUUCUUUUGAUUGAUCAUUUGUCAGAAUGCAUGAAGCCUAGAUUUCUGUACUUGGGUCAGAACUUAAAUUCUACUCUCUCCGUCCCAAAAUAAGUGACUCAACUUUGUACUAGCUUUAGUACAAAGUUAGUACAAAGUUGAGUCAUUUAUUUUGGGAUGAAGGGAGUACGUUAUACAAUAUGACUGCCUUACAAGCCUUUUUUAAGAAUGCAUGUGCCAAUUUGAUAAUCCAGUUCAGAAUUAUGCUGAUCCAAGCGACGGCAGAGGGAGGGGUGGUGAGGGGCUACAGGGGCGGGCUAGGGGCUGACGGAUGGAUGCUUACGCCGAAGCAGAGGAUGACGCUGAAGCGAGCAUUGUGUGAGCAAGCAGGCUGCAUGCUUUCACCAGCACAGCUUCGCCCAGGUACUUAUCCCAAUUGGGAUGCGUAAGUCACCAUCUGCUGAGUUACAAAAUCUAUAUAGUGACUUGAAAAAAAUCUUCUGCCUCCUUUUGAAAAAAAAAACUUUACACAUGACACAGCUAGUGAAAAUCUGAAUCAGUAUCAUACUAAUAACUUCAGUAGGACUUACAAAUCGGCAAAAGACAAGAUUACAUGCUUGACUAGUCACAAUGCACUUGGAUUGAAGUGGAGUACAAAUUCAACACAACAACGAAAAUGAAAUUACAGAUACUGAAUUCGAGGUGGAGAACUGCUUUGCAGAUUGUUAACACGCUUCACGGUUCAUCAUCUGCUUUGGGCGCCUUUGGUUUCUCGUCUAUAGGAGCACAAUAUUUAUUGAGGAGCAGGAUGUGGGUCAAAAACUCGCCACCAUUGCUCAGCUGUCUGGCGUGGAAUUGCUCAGUUGCAUUGGUUGCUGCGUAGCACAACAUUUCCGUCCACGCUGUUCCAAUUAUUACAAUCUUAUGUGUCAGUCCCAGCUCCAUUUUUGAGCAUUAUGUGAGCAAGAGCCCAUGAUUUCACCCGCACAGCUUCGCCCGGGUAAGCAUCCCAACUGGCUUGCGUCAAGUCACGACAUAGUUCACUUAUCCCCUGAUGAGUCCCUUCCUCGUAAAGCCUAACUAUCCGCGACUCAAGAUUACAUGCACUAGUGAAUCCUUGCAUGUAAGAGGUGCAGGUUUGGCGAAACAGGUCUCGAGCAGCUGCAUUGACGGGCAGCAUGCCAGGGUGCUCAAUGAGGAGGUACAUCAUGUAAUUUGAGAGAGUAUGCACUGCUUCAGCUAUGUCCUUGUCCUUGUUGACCAGCUUUGAUUUCACGGCAGGGUCAUUCAGGAAGGCGUCUGUGGCUAAAUGCCAGAUAAGCACGCUCUUCUGAAAUUCAAAACUCAUGCUCCAAUCGAGGUCUUCAGUGUGGUCGAAGCCCCUGAACCUGCGAGCCCAGUACCCACUCCGGAUGGCUACGUCUUCAAUUUGUACCAUCUGACUCUUCUCACAUCUGAGCAAGUCCCAUAUGAACUCCUUCACGGCAGGUGAAAGCUUGGCACGUUUGGUGUUGCGAGCUUUGUCCCACAUGUCCCGAAGCCUAAUCAAACGGGCUAUUCUUCCCUUGAGGCCCCUCUUUCUGCUGUGAACACAGAAGGAUAUGAAGUUAAAUUGCCCGACAGAAUCAGACCACCUUCCAUCCUUGACGACAACGAGGUGGUAACGUGCAAACAGAACCACAUCGGCCAGCAGGCUCCCUCCCCAUGCGCCUUUCAAGAUUGCAUGCAUAUGUCCAGGUUGAGCCGAUCACCUUCAAAACUGAUGCAGUCUCCAGUGUGCAAGCUCCGCCCAGGAGAGCAAAAGUGAUAACAACGUCAGGUGUGCUGUAGUCAUCUCUCUUGAUUCUUGUGAAGACCACCAGAGAGGCGAAGCAAGACACGAGUGAAAUAGCACGGGUGCAGUAGCCAUAUGAUGUGUGGAUGACUUCUGCCUUGGUGUACAUCAUGUCAUACAUCAGGCCGAGCUCCACCUCGAUUGCCUUGUACACCUCCCCAAUACGCGUCUUCCGCCGUGCAAAUGCCUGAGAUGUUAUAGUAGCCUUAUUCCGGGACGAUCCCGUUCUAUGGAUGCCUCAUUCCUGUCUAUGAUUAAAGGCUUGACAAGCGCAUACCGCAACUCAUGUGUUGUCCUCACAAUAAAUGCGUAAUUCCUGAACCGCUUGCUUUUGGUGAACCAGUAUGUUGCACUGGUCCACCUCACAAAUAUGUCUAGGUCCGCAUCUUCCUUAGAGCAUCUCCAACCGUUCGGCCCCUAGGGCGCCGAAAAACUGCGGCCUGGGGGCGAGCCGGCGCUAGUUCGGCCCCGAGGGGCGUCCUAGCUCCCAGCCACGCCCCCAGGCGCCGCCCCCCAGCCACGGCAAAUUCAAACAUAGUCAUUCCCGCGGCCAAAAUAGACGCCACAAUCCGGCGAUCAAGCGGCCAGUAGAUCGGCGAUCGGAUGAAAAGUUUGGCGUAUAAAAAGUAGAAAGGACGGAUGGAAAAGCAUCAGGCGGCGAGGUCGGCCUCCGGCGUCGGCGGAGUCGGUGUGCGCGGGCUUGACGGGAUCUCUGUGCUUGGCGGCGUGGCUUCUGUGCUGCGGGCGUGGGCGGCAUCAUCGGCCGGGCUUGCCGGCGGCGUCGGCGUGUUCGUGGGCGUGGGCGGCGUCGUCGUGGGCGUGGGCGGCGUCGUCGUGGGCGUGGGCGGCAUCGUCGAGGGAAGAUGGUCCAGGAUGAGGCCAACAUGCGCCCUGUACCACGCCUUGACCGCCUCGUCGGUGCUCUGGAGCAUGUCUGCCCCGCCCAGCAGGAACGCCAGGUCGGUGUUCCUCUUCUAUGCGGUGACGUUGGUCCGGAGUAGGUCGAGCUUGACGGCGCUGGUCGACAUCAACGCUGACCACCGCGCCUCGGUCUUCUCUUCACGAAGGGAGGCCCGGACCUGUGUGUCGGCGAGGCAGUGCUGGAUGGACUCCUGCAUGCGAGCGGUGUCUGCGUCGGCGUGUUUCCCCUUCUUGGCACCUUUCUUGCCGUCCGGCCGCCCAUUUGACGCGCCCGGAGUCGGCGCGUCCGGCUUGUAGGUCUCCUUGGCCUUCUCGAGGGUGCGCUGGACUUCCGCCCACUUAUCGCACUUGUCAAUGCAUUUGUAAACGUGGAGGUACUUGAACUCAGCGUCCCUGUUGCUCUGCCGGUAAAGGCCGAACAUGCGCAACAAUUGCCCGGGGACAAACAAACAGUUGGCGGCACACACGGCGAAGAGAGGCGGGAGACCAGCGUGGCAUACCUGAUCCUCAAUGCUGGCGCCGCUCUCCGGGCGAGCGGCGACCUCCUUGACGACCCCAUGCCAUUUGUUGCACGCCCCCUGGAUACGCCCCCAAUGGUUCGCCAUCGCCUUCGACCCGGGCUGCAUGUAGACGCCUUUGAAGUAGGGGUCGACGAGCUUGCGCUCGUCGAACUCGGACUUGAUGCGCGCCCAGUACGUCUCGAUGCUCUGGUUCGCGCCGGUGGUCGGGUCGAGACAGACGACUUUCCAUGCUUCGGCGAGGCAUUCCUCCUCCUUGGACACCCACUUGAUGUGCGGCUCGCCUGACCUGGCCGUCCGCUUAUUCUUCUUGCGCCUCCUCGCCGGCUCCUCCUCCUCCUCGUCCUGCUCCUCCUGCUCCUCCUGUUCCUUGUCGCCGUAGACGUAGCCGAGCUCGCCGUCCAUGCCGCCACUGAGAUCCACCGUCUCAUCCGCGGUGAAGCCGGGAGACGCGGCGGCCGUGGCCGAACCUUCCGCGAUGAUGUUGUCCAUGUCGGCCUCGGUCUCGUCGGCGUCCCCUAGGUGCGAGAAGGGCAGUGCGCAACGGCGGAGAGGGGGCGUCGGGGAGGACACGUACGCGGGCGGCGAAUAUUUGUAUGGAGGGUACUGCACGCCGGUGAAGGCGGGCGAGGGCAUGCGCUGGGCCGGGUGUCCAUGGGGCAAAGUGACGUUUGGGUUGAACCCACCGUGCGCGUCCCCGUCGGCGUACCCCGGCGAUCCCCAUGGCUGCGGCGACGGAGACCCGACGCCUUGCUGGCCCUAGGGCGCGUACUGUGCGUGGUUGCUGGGGGGAUUCAUCAUCCCCGUGCGAGUCGCCUCGGCCUCGGCCUGGUCCGCCGAAGCGGCAGCGGCAGCCGCAGCCGCGCAUGCCGCGUUGUCGCGGGCCUUCUUGGCGAGGGCCCUGUUCCGUCGGUCGGUGGUGAUGGCCUCCCGUCGCUGCACUUCUACCCUCCAAUCGGCGUUUGUCAUGCCCGGCGGCUUGGACGGCGGCGCCCUCGGCUUCCUCUGCUUCGUCUGGGCGACGGAGGCGGUCGCGGUUGCCGUUGCGCGGGGACGGCGUACUUCUUCGGUGCCAUGACGGCCUGCUGGGAGGCGAGCGGAAGGGAGAUUGGCGGGAGCAAAGAAGGAAAUGGGAGGGAAGUGGAGAAAAGCGGGAAGAAACGGCGGGAAGAGGCGCUCGACUCGCUGACAGGACGGACCCACGCGCCCUUUUCGCUUGUACCGGCGCCCCUCGGGGCGCCGGGUUCUGCCUAGGUCCGCCGGCACCAGUUUCGGCCCGAGCCGGCGAAAAACGGGUUUCUAGGGGGGCGACUGGGCCGUUUUUUCGGUGCCGGCACGGCAAAAACGCCUGGGGAGGGCCUGUUGGGGGCGCGGCUGGAGAUGAUCUUAGGCUUCUCUCAGAAAUACUUACAAAUUUUUUUAUAGAUCAUCAUUGUGGAAGAAGUAGUACAUGGUGACCUUCCGUAAUGGGAACCACCCUUGCUCGCAAGCUUCAGUGCCCGUAUCCUCUCGCCGUACUUGAUAACUCCGGCGGCCAGAAUUAACAUAGCAGCAGGGACAAAGGCCCCCGUGCCUGCAGUGAUGUACUUGUAGAGCACAUACCCGGCGCCAGCGACCUGCAGAAACAUGUUUAGCAGGUGGCGCAACCAGAGUUCAUUGUCCUCCAGGGCAUAUGCAGUGAUGGUGUCCUGGCCGUCAAGGUGCAGGAGGAGGAACGGUGCCCAGAACGCCACCAGCUGGUGCUCGCCGUACGAUUUUUUCGACAACGUUGAGGACAUGUGCCCCAGAGCGUACGUCGCAGCGAGAUCAGCAAGCAAAUACACCAGCCAGAGGAGGGACUUGAGAACAAACGAGACACUGUAGCGGCGGAUCCCAGCAAACGAGACCUGGAUUGUACUCUUUUUUUCUUGAGUGAGUUUUCCUGAUGUUUCUCACGUGAGGUUUUUGACGAGGCAAUUCGUGCAAUACAACAACGUAUACUGUGUGCUCUUUCUCCAUAUUUUUUCCCACUGGGUUUCUCGGAGUUUUGAGACAUGGAUAUACGAAUAAUUUCCAAAGGGGAGUGCUGGGAAACCGGGCCCACGACGAAGGGUGGCGGCGGCUCGUGUGAGGCGCACAGGAUAGCCCCUCCUGGUUCCACACUUUAUGUUAAGUGGGUACUUAUCCCUUGACCCUUUACCCCUAUAUAAAGAGACGAGGAGCAAUCAUUGUAACAGUUGAUCAUUGAUUAAUAAAGCUAGUCUCCUCCAUAUUUCUCUGUGUUCACCUACUUUUGCGUGUUCGACUACUUUGUCUACGACGCUCGCCCCGGACUCGCCGGCGGAGUUGCGGAACACAAACCACCUAGCUAAAACAAAAGACCAAGACGGCUCCUGCCUUGACUCCCUUGUCGCUCUCCUCUUGCGUCUUACAAAAUGUUCAGAAUUUUUAAAUUUGGUCAUGUUUUCCAAAAAAAUGUUUGGUGUUUCAAAAUUUUGUUAAUUCAAUUUUUAAAAGUUCACAAUUUCAGAUCUGAAUUUCGAAAUUUGUUUGUGUUUUCAAAAGACUUCAGAGUUUCAAAAUGUGCUCCAAUUUUUCAGAGAUUAUUCAUGUUUAAGAAAAUCUAAAAUUAAAAUAUUUUGGUCCAAGAUUCAAAAAAUAUCGCAUAAUAAAGAAAAGUUUGUGGAUUUAGAAAAAAUGUCCAACAUAUUCAAAAAUAAUAAUAUUCUCGAAAAUUGUUCGAAUAUUCUUAAUUUUUACCAUGUUUCAUGAAUUUUUCGAGUUCUACAAAAUAUUCAGAAUUUUGAAAUUUGCUCACUUUUUCCUAAUUUUCCCUAUCUUUAUGAGUCAUAAUUUUUAUUUUUUCCCUAUUUUUUAUAAAUGGGUUCAGAAUUUCAAAAUGUGCUCUAGUUUUUCAAAUAUUAUUCGUGUUCUCAGAAAAUGUUGCCUUAUUAAAUAUUGUUCACAGAUUCUGAAAAUGUUCGUGUAUUAAAAAAGUUCAUGGAUUUCAACAGAUGUUCGCGUACUUAAUUUUUGUUUUACAAUUUGGAAAAAUGUUUCCGUUUUCAAAAUUUGUUCCAAUAAUCUAAAGAAUAUUCGGUAUUUAAAAUAUAUUCACAAUUUUCAGUGAAAUGCUGAAUUUUCUAGACGUUGUUUCUAAACAGAAACACCGCUUCUGUGUGUUCAUAAAACGCCUACGCCGCGUUCACAUGCAGGUGACAGAUCGAUUGGUUAGCAGCUCGAUGGUCACGAGUUCGAAUCCACUCGCAGCACAUCCAUUUUUUUUGUGACUUUUGUCCCUGCCCUAUAUCGGUUGUUGUUAGUGGGCAGGCCCAGUAGCGGGUCCUCUACCGAAACGUAUGGCGUAUACAUCCUGCUGGAUGAUCCACCAUACAUAUGGAAAUGCGUAUGAAUUUUGAAAUAUCCCUAGUGCCCUUUACACGUUUUGUGAGGGGGUUGUACCGAAGAAAUAUAUAUUGUACUUUAUAGUUUACAAAUAUGACACGGCUAUUGAAAUCCAAAUCAUGAUGGUAAUAAUUUCGUUUGACUUACAAAUUGGCAAAAGAGAUGGAUGACAUUACAUGCCUCACCAACCACGUGCAGUAAGACCAAAACCAAUGCAAACGACGAAAAUGAAAUUACAGAUACUGGAUUCGAGGAGAAGAACAGCUUUGUAGGUUGUUGACAAGCUCUAUCCGUCAGUGGAUUUCGAUGAUUUCAUCGUUGCAACAAUCGUCCUCGGUCAGCUCGACUGGGCCAGCAUUAGGUUCCACAGUUUCAUCAGCUACUUUGGGAUGCACUUCUAUCGGGGGUUUAACAGGACCAUGUUUAGUGAGGAGCAGGAUGUGGGUCAGAAACUCGCCACCAUUGCUGAGCUGCCUGGAGUGGAAUCCCUCAGAUGCAUUGGUUGCUGCAUAGCACAACAUCUCCAUCCACACCGUUCCGAUUAUUACCAUCUUAUGUGUGAGCCCCAACUUCAUGUCAAUCAUUAUGUGAGCAAGCCUAUCUGCAUCCUUCAGCACAGCAUUUUCCGAAUUUGGUAACUUUGAUCCAGAAGUCCAAAAGUUGUUCAAUCUUGGAUACCAAUCGAAAGAGGUGCGGGUUUCAUCAAACAUGUCUCGAGCAGCUGAUUUGUUGGGCAGCAUGUCAGGGUGCUCGAUGAGAAGGUACAUCAUGUAAUGUGAGAGAGUAUUGACAGCUUCACCCAUGUCCUUGUCGACCAGCUCCGAUUGGACGGCAGUCUUGUAGAUGAAGGUGCUUGUGGCUAUAUGCCAAAUAAGUACGCUCUUCUGAAAUUCAAAUUCCAUGCUCCAAUCGAGCUGCUCGCUCUGGUCGAAGCCUCUGAACCUGCGAGCCCAGUACCCACUCCGGAUGGCCAAACCUUCAAUUUGUACCAUAUGGCUAUUCUUCCCUUUCAGCAAGUCCCACACAGACUCCUUCAGGGCAGGUGAAAGCUUGGCAUGUUUGGUGCAAUGAGCUUUGCUCCACAAGUCCUGGAGCCCAAGGUAACCGGCUAUUGCUCUUUUCAGGUCGUCCUUGGUGCUGUGCGCGCAGAAAGAUGUGAAGUUAAAUUGUCCGACAGAAUCAGACCACCUUCCAUCCUUGACAACGACGAGGUAGUAGCGUGCGAACAGAAUCGCAUUGGCCAGCCAGUUCCAUCCAUUGCCUCUCAAGGUGGCAUGUGUCCAGGUCGACCCAAUCGCCUUGAAAACUGAUGCGACCUCCAGCACGCAAGCUCCGCUCAGAAGACCAAAUGUGAUAACAAUGUUGGGUGUGCUGUACCCAUCUCUUUUACUCUUUGUAAAGACCAAAAGAGCCGCGAAGCAACACACAAGUGAAAUGGCGCGGAUGCAGUAGCCAUACCUCGUGUGGAUCACUUGUGCCUUGGUAUACAGCAUGUCGUACAUCAGGGCCAGCUCCACCUCUAUUGUAUUGUACACCUCCCCAAUACGCCUCCUCCUAUCUGCUGAUUCAUCUUUUCUCUUGUCAGCAUCCCAUCGAUAUGGAGAACUCAGUAGUCCAAUUCUUUGAUCUGUCGACUGUAUGGACGCCUCAUUCCUCUCUAAGAUUAAAGGCUUGACAAGUACAUCACACAACCCGUGUGCUGUCAUAACAAUUAACGCAUAAGUUCCAAAUUGUCUGUUUUUGGUGAAGCAGUCUCCUUUUUCUUCCGACGUCCAAUUGAACACCCACACAGUAUCAUUGCCUUUUCUCACAUUCUGGAGGAAUUCAUUUUCGACCUUAGGCUUCUUUCUGAGAAACAUAUGGCAAAUAUCAUAAAUCCUCCAGAGAAAUGCCUCACGUGGUAGCCCUUUUCUGUAGUGGGAACCACCCUUGCUUGCAAGCUUCAGUGCCCAUAUCCUCUCACCAUACUUGACAACUCCAGCGGCCAGAACCAACAUAGCAGCAGGCACAAAAGUCGCGCCACCCGUAUUGAUGUACUUGUAGAGCACAUACGCGGUGCCGGCGACCUGCACAAACAUAUUCAACAGAUGGCGCCGCCAGAGUUCAUUGUCCUCAAGGGCGUACGCGGUGAUGGUGUCCUGGCCGCCAAGGUGCAGCAGGAGGAAUGGUGCCCAUAACGCCACCAGCUGGUGCUCACUGGACGAUUUCUUCAACAAUGAUGAGGACAUGUGCCCCAAGGCGUACGUCGCAACAACAUCGGCAAGCAGAUACACCAGCCAGAGGAGGACCUUGAGAAGAGACGAGACGGUGUAGCGGCGGAUCCCUGCGAAGAAGAAGAGGAUAACCUGCAGACUGAAGCUGAGAACAACAACAAUUUGGAUCUCCCACUCAUUCCACAGUUCAAUCCAAGAUGGCAUCAGUGCUCCACUUUCACCCAUGGAUAUGCCAACCUGAAGCAUUAAAUUUUAACGGUAUCUUUGUAUACACAUCUAAUAUUAAUAUGUCGCAACAUAUGUAGCUUCAAACAGCGUGCUAAUGCAUGAUUAUGUACCUGUGACUGAACUAGGUUAGCCUGAUCUCCCGGAAGAUGAAUUAAUUGGGCUUAUGGUAACAAAGCUACAACACGGAUCCACAGCAAAAUGGUUUGGUCCGGGAGGGAGAGCUCAAGAGAGGUAGAAGAAGAACGAAGGGAUCGAGUGUACGCAUAUAUAUACUUAAAACAAACCAAUCAGAUUUGGUUGUCCGGUUACGAGUACCCAUACAAAAAUGAUGAAAGGAUGACAUGUACAAAUGACGGAUGAGCUUACUUCAUUUCAAAAAGGGAUUUCGACCCUAUGGAUUUUUUUUACUUGGUCCAUCCAUAUUCUAUGGCGUGCAAGUUGAUGGGAACGCUCAAUCAUGGAGAAAGAAGAUUAAGAAAAACAAUGCACUCCUAUUAUUUCUAAUCGCAACUUGAAUAAUGAGUACGGCAGGCAAACCACCUAGCUAAAACAAAAGACGAAGACUGCACCUAUCACGACCAAAGAGUAUUAUUUCUAACUGCAACUUGAUUAUGGACUACGACAGGCAAACCACCUAGCUAAAACAAAAGACCAAGACGGCUCCUACCUUGACUCCCUUGUCGCCCUCCUCUAGCGACUUGGGGAAACCCUACCAUACUUGUUGUGUCAUGUGUAAAGUACUUUCCGUUGAAAAAUACUUGAAGUUAUUGCCCUUUCCUUACUUCCAACGAUAAAAUUAAGAGGUGGUCUAUUUAGACAAUGUUAUACGUUCUAUACAGUCAGCAUGAAUUUCAGAGAAAAAUAGUACAAACAAGGUUUGGCACAUAUUGCUGUUGAGUAAGUGUAGCUGAUUCCACAUCAUUACAAAACGAGCAUGUGCCAGCAAUCCAUGCUUAGAGUUUCAUAUGACAUUGAUUCAGUUAUCAAGAGGAGGCAGUCACUAGUAGAAAACAGGGCUUUUGUCCCGGUUCGUAAGGGUCUUUAGUCCCGAUUCUUGAACCGGGACUAAUAGGUCGUUACUAAUGCCUCCGGAUAGAUGGGCAUCCACGUGGCCGCUGCAGGCAGCCCAGGCAGGGGGGCCUUUGGUCCCGGUUGGUGACAUAAACCGGGACCAAAAGGCAUCCACGCAUCAGAAGCUGGCAGCAGCUAAGGUUUUUUUUUUUGAAAGUGGCUGGUUUAGGGGUUUUGGGGGUUAAUUUAGGUUGUUAUUACCUAGCUAAUAGAGAGAAGUGUCAUCUCUUAUCUUCGUGCUUGGUUUACCAACACUACUGCUAUGUUCAUUUCACCCGCUAAUAUAUAAUAACUCUUCAUGAUCGCAUCAUACAUCAUCAUAUAUAAUAACAAGUCCUACUAAUCAUGCAUCAUCAUACAAUUUCUACUCGUUGUUAAUAACAAGUCAUACGAUCAUCAUACUCAUAGUCAUCGAACCCAACCCUACAUAAUUGUUCUUAGCACAUCAUCAGUAUCAGGUAGACCUAAACACACUUAAGAUAAAAUAGCAUAAAACAAUAUAGAUCCUGACUCUCCAUUAUGAAGAAUGGAGAUCAUCCUGUCUCCAAUUCUUGCGCUUUGCUUCCUUUUGCUUUCAAGAAGCUCCUUACGAUUGUCCAUACAUUUUUUUCAUUCUUUAAUUGUCAUGUCUCCACUUCUUUUAGAAAUCCGGUAUGGACAGUUGAGAUUCGUAGGACAACCUGGUUGUAUGUUCAAAACAUCAAGGGACCGUGCGUAUACAUCAGAUGAGGCACACAAUCAUUCGGAAUUAUCUGUUGAAAAACAUAGUAAUAACUUCGUAGUUAGCAAUGAUGUACUAGUUUUAGAAGUAUGCAAAAAGAUGCACGGAUGUCGUAAUAGUAAAAACUCUUACCAGGGUAUCUCCAUGGUAGUUACCAUAGUUCAACGCGUGCACUAGUGGCACGUAUUGACCAUAAUGUUGAGGAGCUCGAUUGUAGACAUUGUAAUUUCAAGAUCAGUACAAAAUGCGAUCAGAUGAUUUUUCUCCUUAUAAGUUAAUUCGGAGCCAUCGGUGUAGUGGGUUUUGUCUACCAUCUUCCGCACAUUCUUUGAAGAAUGAAAAUAAGCUGUCAAUGGAAAUAAACUGUCAACUAUUUUAAAAUAAACAAUAUAAAUUACUUAAUAACUAUGUUAAGCUCACAUGGGGGAAGAAUUGGAGGUGUAUCCACAAGGACCCAAAUGUACAUAUUGUCUUGCUUGAUUGUAGGAUCACCAAGAUCCAUGGUGACAAGCAUACCCUCAUCAAAACCAUACAUCUUGCAAAGUGCUUCCCAAUUUUUGCAACUAAAAUGGGUUACACUCUCAGCAUUGUACAACUUUACUUUAAAAUCCACACCAUGAUGGGUCCUUAGGAGAAUUUUUUUGGUUUCCAUACUUUCAUGGUCUUCAAAACCCAUCCUCCCCAAGACAUAGCAUCUUGCAUCGCAUGGGAUAAGCUAGUCGAAUUGGAAAAGAUGAAAAAUACACGUUAAAAUAGUUGAAGUCGUGCUUAAUUACGAAAAAAAUAUUGUCGUCGUUGCGUACUGUAUGAACAUCGAAGGUCUCCUCGAGCUUAAUGCUGAACCGCCGAUCUUCGUCCAGCUCAAUGAACCUGUCGCACAUACCUCGGUCGUUGUGGCACCAGUCGCAUUCCCCUGGGCGGUUUUCGUCGUCUGAGUACGACAUUUCCGGCCUAUGUUCAUAAUUCAAAUAUUAAACUUAUACAAUUAAAUAUAUGUACUAAAAAACCUAAAUUAGAUUAUUAUUAUUAACCAUGGGUUGACUAUCGGUGAUGGUACGUAGCUCCUCCUUUCAUUCCCGAGUGCAUUAUUACACCAAAUUGUCUAGCACAUGGGAAUGAAGGACAAGCUACCACCAUGAGGGCGUGGAUGAUGGAGGGGGCUCCUAGAUUUCUGCAUAGAGUGCUCUUCAAUUUUAGCAUUCAAAGUAGGAGUACUUUUCCAAUAUGAGCAUUCAAUAAGCAAAACCAAAUCGUAAAAUAAAGUAGUAUUCAAAUUAGCAUGCAUUCAAUUAUAACCAAAACUACAUCAUCUCUUGUGUCCGUACAUCAUCGAAUAUUAUCACUAAUACUCCUCGAAUACUAUCAUACAUAUAGCAUCGCUAAUACAACUAGAACCAUAGCGCCCGACGGGUAUCAUCGCGGGCGGUGGACACCCAAAGAUAAGGAACCAUGACAGGAUCAUAGCUCCAGUGAGAUCCUUGAAGAACCUGCCAGGUAUUGUCGAACCUGCCCUCCAGUGCAACCAUGUAGCGACGGACAUUCUCGUCCUCGCUGACACGGUGACGUACCACCUCCGCGGUGUCCGGAAGCCUCGGCACCGUCACUGGCCUACGCGACCGCCACCAAACAAGGAUCGGGUCAACAACGGGCUGCCUCCUCACUAACCUACGUCCCCCGGAAGGUAGCAGCUCCCAAUACCAGCCCGGUGGAGCCCAAUCCCGAACAUGGCCCUGAUCAAGCAGGCCUCCACCGUCGAGUCGACGAUGACGAGAAUGCGGGAUAGGCAUCAUCGACGUCGAUGCGGGAACUACUUCUAUAUAUAAUUAAAUAAAGUAGUUUUAUUAAUUAAAUCAACUAGUUCAACUACUAAGCACUUACUAUAAAUAAAUAAAGUAGUACUUACUAAAAAGAAACUACUUCUAUAUAUAGUAAAAUAAAGUAGUUUAUUAAAUCAACUAGCUAGUUCAACUAUAUAUGAAGCACUUACUAUAAAUAAAAUAAAGUAGUACUUACUAAAUAUAAACUAGUUUAACUAUAGUUCUAUUAUUUUUCUAACUAAAUAUAUUAAACACUUUCUCUUCUUAUUUUUUUUCCUUUUUCCUCUACUCUAAAUAUGAACAUAUUCAUAAAUGACUUUGAUGAUGCACAAUUUUCCUAUACAUACACAAUAUGAACAUAUACAUAAAUUGACAAAGAAAAUACUAUGAACNNNNNNNNNNNNNNNNNNNNNNNNNNNNNNNNNNNNNNNNNNNNNNNNNNNNNNNNNNNNNNNNNNNNNNNNNNNNNNNNNNNNNNNNNNNNNNNNNNNNNNNNNNNNNNNNNNNNNNNNNNNNNNNNNNNNNNNNNNNNNNNNNNNNNNNNNNNNNNNNNNNNNNNNNNNNNNNNNNNNNNNNNNNNNNNNNNNNNNNNNNNNNNNNNNNNNNNNNNNNNNNNNNNNNNNNNNNNNNNNNNNNNNNNNNNNNNNNNNNNNNNNNNNNNNNNNNNNNNNNNNNNNNNNNNNNNNNNNNNNNNNNNNNNNNNNNNNNNNNNNNNNNNNNNNNNNNNNNNNNNNNNNNNNNNNNNNNNNNNNNNNNNNNNNNNNNNNNNNNNNNNNNNNNNNNNNNNNNNNNNNNNNNNNNNNNNNNNNNNNNNNNNNNNNNNNNNNNNNNNNNAGACGGACGGGCAGCCUGGCGGCGUCGGGCGGCGGGGAAGAACGAACUGAACCAAAUUUUCGCGAGUGUUGCUUAUAUAGGCAGAGCAUUGGUCCCGGUUCAUGGCACCAACCGGGACCAAUGCACCCCUUUAGUCCCGGUUAGUGGCACCAACCGGGACCAAAGGCCUCUUUUCAGCAGCCCAAAGGGUGGGAAACAGAGACCUUUGGUUCCGGUUGGUGCCACAAACCAGGAUAAAAGAGAGGCAUUGGUCCCGGUUGGUGCCACCAACCGGUACCAAUGCACCCCUUUAGUCCCAGUUGGUGGCACCAACCGGGACCAAAGGUCGUGUGCUGGCACGUCGCGGUGCUAUGUUUAGUCCCACCUCGCUAGCCGAGAGGGGCUCAGAGUGGUUUAUAAGUCUUGCCGAACCUACCACUUUGAGCUCCUCUCUACUGCAGGCUUACGGGCCUAAAGUCACUCUCUGUGCUUGUGGGCCUAUGGGGCCUACUGCGGGCCUGCAUCCUGACCCUAGUAAUGGGUUUCUAGUCGUAUGCAGGCCGUGGUGGCCCUGUAGGUGGCACUUUUUUUAUAUUUUUCCCAGUUUUUUGCUUUCUUUUUUGUUUCUAAUUACUUAUUUUAUUUUAUUUUAUGAUAAUUCUUUUUGGUAUUAAAGUUUGUAACAAAAUUCUAAUUACUUAUUUGUUUUCUUUUUAUGAUAAUUCUUUUUUCUUUUAAUGUUUUGAACAAAAUUCUAAUUACUUAUUUAUUUUUUCUUUUAUGAUAAUUCCUUUUGCUAUUAAAGUUUGUAACUAAAUUCUAUAUAAUUUUAGUUUCAAGAAUACUAGAGGUUUAUAGCUUUUUAGUUGAUUCCUUUAGUACCAGUUCUAAGGCUGUUACAAAGGCAUUUUAUUUGGUACAGGUUUUAAGGCUGGGGCCCCACGAGCACCUUUUAGUACCGGUUCGUGGCAUGAAACGGUAAAAGAGUUUUUUAGUUGAUUCUUUCUACAGCUGUUUUUUAGUCCCACCUCGCCAAGCAAGAGGCACUCGCAGCGGUUUAUAAGCCCUGAGUGUGGAGACGAUGAAGGGAGAAGCGCAGUGCUCACCUGCACGUUGGCCUGAAGCUAAGCAACGUGCAUGUGAGCAUUGCGCCUGUCUUUUAUUUUGGCAUGGUAUCAUCAUUUCAUCCACAUAGCAUAUGCAAGAAAGUUGAGAGGGUUACGGCAAAAACUGGAUGCACUUCAUGUAUAAAACGGACAAUCUCUUUCGAAGUAUCAGGAUUUUAUACGGAAACUUGUUUGUUACAACAUGCAUUUCAAAUGAACUACAAAAAGGUUGAAAGUUGGUAUGGUAUCAUCAUAAUAGUUGUGGAUAAAGUCUUUACUUUUUCUUCGCUUGUGUCCUUUCCUUAUUGCGCCGUAACCAUGGAUAAUCUUCAUCAUUUAUCAGGAUGCUUGGGUCAGCCUUGACUUUGAAGGGAGGAAUUUCACGAAACUUUUCAUAAUCUUCGGACAUGUCUGUCUUGCCCUCCACUCCCACGAUGUCCCUUUUUCCUGAAAGAACUAUGUGGCGCUUUGGCUCAUCGUAUGAUGUAUUCGCUUCCUUAUUUUUUCUUUUUCUCAGUUCGGUAGACAUGUCCUUCACAUAGAUAACAUGUGCCAUAUCAUUGGCUAGGACGAACGGUUCGUCAGUGUACCCAAGAUUGUUCAGAUCCAUUGUUGUCAUUCCGUACUGUGGGUCUACCUGUACCCCUCCUCCUGACAGAUUGACCCAUUUGCACUUAAAAAAGGGACCUUAAAAUCUACUCCGUAGUCAAGUUCCCAUAUGUCCACUAUGUAACCAUAAUAUGUGUCCUUUCCCCUCUCGGUGGCUGCAUCAAAGCGGACACCGCUGUUUUGGUUGGUGCUCAUUUGAUCUUGGGCGACCGUGUAAAAUGUAUUCCCAUUUAUCUCGUAUCCUUUCCAAAUCAUAACAGUCGAAGAUGGUCCCCUGGACAACGAGUACAGCUCAUCACAAACAGUGUUUUCAUCUCUGAGAUGUGUUUCCAACCAACUGCUGAAAGUCCUGAUCUGUUCACAUGGAAUCCAGUCGUCGCACUGCUCCGGGUGUUUGGAGCGCAGACUAUUCUUGUGUUCAUCGACAUAAGGGGUCACGAAGGUAGAGUUCUGUAGAACUAUGCAGUGUGUUUGAGACCAAGAAUAUCCGUCCCUGCAUAUUAUUGUCUCCCCUCCAAGCGUGCCUUUUCCAGUCAGUCUCCCCUCAUACCGUGAUUUAGGGAGACCUAUCUUCUUAAGAUCAGGAAUGAAGUCAACACAAAACCCAAUGACAUCCUCUGUUUGAUGGCCCAUUGAGAUACUUACUUCUGGCCUAGCGCGGUUACGGACAUAUUUCUUUAGGAAUCCCAUGAACCUCUCAAAGGGGUACAUAUUGUGUAGAAAUACGGGGGCCAGAAUGACAAUCUCGUCAACUAGAUGAACUAGGACGUGCGUCAUGAUAUUGAAGAAGGAUGGUGGGAACACCAGCUCGAAACUGACAAGACAUUGCACCACAUCACUCCUUAGCCUUGGUAUGAUUUCUGGAUCGAUCACCUUCUGAGAGAUUGCAUUGAGGAAUGCACAUAGCUUCACAAUGGCUAAUCAGACGUUUUCCGGUAGAAGCCCCCUCAAUGCAACCGGAAGCAGUUGCGUCAUAAUCACGUGGCAGUCAUGAGACUUUAGGUUCUGAAACUUUUUCUCUGCCAUAUUUAUUAUUCCCUUUAUAUUCGACGAGAAGUCAGUCGGGACCUUCAUACUAAGCAGGCAUUCAAAGAAGAUUUCCUUCUUUUCUUUGGUAAGAGCGUAGCUGGCAGGACCUUCAUACUGCUUUGGAGGCAUGCCGUCUUUUUCGUGCAAACGUUGCAGGUCCUCCCGUGCCUCAGUUGUAUCUUUUGUCUUCCCAUACAUGCCCAAGAAGCCUAGCAGGUUGACGCAAAGGUUCUUUGCACGUGCAUCACGUCGAUCGAAGAGCGGACCUCUAGGUCUUUCCAGUAGGGUAGGUCCCAAAAUAUAGAUUUCUUCUUCCACAUGGGUGCGUGUCCCCCAGCGUCACUCAGAACAGCUAGUCCGCCGGGACCCUUUCCAAAGAUUACGUGUAAAUAAUUGACCAUAGCAAGUACGUGAUCACCGGUACGCAUGGCGGGCUUCUUCCGGUGAUAUGCCUCGCCUUUGAAAUUCUUGCCUUUCUUUCGACAUUGAUGGUUGGUCGGAAGAAAUCGACGAUGACCCAGGUACACAUUCUUCCUGCAGCUUCCCAGGUAUAUACUUUUGGUGUCAGCUAAACAGUGCGUGCGUGCAUGGUAUCCCUUGUUUGUCUGUCCUGAAAGGUUACUGAGAGCGGGCCAAUCGUUGAUGGUUACAAACAGCAACGCGUGCAGGUUAAAUUCCUCCUGUUUGUGCUCAUCUCACGCACGUACACUGUUUCCUUUCCACAGCUGUAAAAGUUCUUCAACUAAUGGCCUUAGCUACACAUCAAUGUCGUUGUCGGGUUGCUUAGGGCCUUGAAUGAGAACUGGCAUCAUAAUGAACUUUCGCUUCAUGCACAUCCAAGGAGGAAGGUUAUACAUACAAAGAGUCACGGGACAGGUACUGUGAUUGCUGCUCUGCUCCCCGAAAGGAUUAAUGCCAUCCGCGCUUAAACCAAACCAUACGUUCCUUGGGUCACGUGCAAACUCAGCCCAGUACUCUCUCUCGAUUUUUCUCCACUUCGACCCGUCAGCGGGUGCUCUCAACUUCCCGUCUUUCUUACAGUCCUCACUGUGCCAUCGCAUCAAUUUGGCAUGCUCUUUGUUUCUGAACAGUCGUUUCAACCAUGGUAUUAUAGGAGCAUACCACAUCACCUUCGCAGGAACUCUCUUCCCGCGGGGCUCGCCGUCAACAUCAUCAGGGUCAUCUCGUCUGAUCUUAUACCGCAAUGCACCGCAUAUCGGGCAUGCGUUCAAAUCCUCGUACGCACCGCGGUAGACAAUGCAGUCAUUAGGGCAUGCAUGUAUCUUCUGCACCUCCAAACCUAGAGGGCAUACGACCUUCUUUGUUGCGUACGUACUGUCGGGCAAUUCAUUAUCCUUUGGAAGCUUCUUCUUCAAUAUUUUCAGUAGCUUUUCAAAUCAUUUGUCAGGCACAACAUUCUCUGCCUUCCACUGCAUCAAUUCCAGUACGGUACCCAGCUUUGUGUUGCCAUCUUCACAAUUGGGGUACAACUUUUUUUGUGAUCCGCUAACAUGCGAUCGAACUUCAGCUUCUCCUUUUGACUUUCGCAUUGCGUCCUUGCAUCGACAAUGACCCGACGGAGAUCAUCAUCGGGCACAUCGUCUGGUUUCUCUUGAUCUUCAGCAGCUUCCCCCGUUGCAGCAUCAUCGGGCACAUCAUCUGGUUCCUCUUGAUCUUCAGCAGCUCCCUCCGUUGCAGCAUCACCAUAUUCAGGGGGCACAUAGUUGUCAUCGUCCUCUUCUUCUUCGCCGUCUUUCAUCAUAAUCCCUAUUUCUCCAUGCCUCAUCCAAACAUUAUAGUGUGGCAUGAAACCCUUGUAAAGCAGGUGGGUGUGAAGGAUUUUCCCGUCAAAGUAAGACUUCGUAUUCCCACAUUUACUGCAUGGACAACACAUAAAACCAUUGUGCUUGUUUGCCUCAGCCACUUCGAGAAAAAUAUGCACGCCCUUAAUGUACUCAGAGGUGUGUCUGUCACCAUACAUCCAUUGCCGGUUCAUCUGCGUGCAUUACAUAUAAUUAUGUGUGUCAAAAUUAAGAAAAUCAGACAAAUAUCUAUCUAAAGUAAGAAAAUCAGACAGAUAUCAUAAAGAAGAUAAGAACAAGAGGCUCACCACGGUGGUGCCGGCAGCGAGAUCGGCGCGGGCGAUCAACGGCGGUGAAAACGGGGACGGGGCGUGACGGACACCUAAAUCUAGACAAAUCUCAAAAAAAGGAGCUCCUAGGUCGAGCUUCGAGAGGAGAAAGCUUAACUAGUGUGGCUCAGGCAUUUCAUCGAACACCUCAUGUGCAUAGGAGAUGAACUAGAGCACCCAAAUGCACUCUCCUCGCCGGAUUGAAAAAACAGAGCACUGUGGAUUGCUCUGCCGCGGCGGUGGGUAUAUAUAGGCAAGUUAUUUGUCCUGGUUCGUGGCAUGAACCGGGACUAAUGCCACCCCUUCUGUCCCGGUUCAUGCCACGAACCGGGACCAAUGGUUGUGGGCCAGCAGCGAGGACCAUUGGUCCCGGUUCGUGGCUCGAACCGGGACAAAUGGUUCUACACGAACCGGAACCAAUGCCCACGAGGCCCAGGCCGCCCCCCUGGUCUCACGAACCGGGUCUAAUACCCCCCAUUGGUCCCGGUUCUUGAAGAACCGGGAUUAAUGGGCUGGCCAGGGCCGAACGGUAGCCCUGUUUUCUACUAGUGAGUAGGCACUGUGUUAUCCAAGUAGCUAGCCUGCAAUCACAAGGCACAACUUAGGUCCUACUGACACAAUAACAAUGCGUAAGUAAGCAGUUAAUAUAACUACAGAUAGAUGCAAAAUAAACAAUCACCCUCCGUCAACAUCUAGCGAUAUGUGAAAGAGGAGCAUUUCAUAUAGUGACGGCCGUCAAAAGCUAGUGAAAGUGAUUCAGACAUUGUCACGCUGACCCAUAAGGAGCGUGGCGCAGGCGCGAGGCCAUCGGAGGUGGGCGGCGGGCUAGUUGCGACCAGUUGCAGGCCGGCGGGCGACCGCGCGAUGCUUCCCAGCAGGUGAUCCAAGGGGCGCGUCAAGGAGGCCUGUGAGGGGACAGGGGGCGUGGCGACGUCAAAGUUCACUCAUCGGUAGCAGCAGUACGGGCGAGGCCAUGCGAGGUUGGAGGAGAAUGUAGCGAUGCGAUUCCAUCGGCGGCGGUGCGAGUAGAGGGGGCGCGAUCCCCAGCGGCAUAGGGGCGGCAAAAAGAGGAGCGAGGCGCGGGACACGUGGCCAGGCGUGAUUGGUGCGGGAUGUGUCGUCGACAUCGUCGAGACGCGAUGCUCGGGGUUGGGGCAAAGGGAGUGCAUACUUUUUUUGAGGGAAAAGCCAUCAUGGCGGUUUAUAUUUCAUGUGAAAAAAGGGCUACAUCAUUUGAAAGUACAUGUAGCAAAAAAUCAGGAGCCUCAUCCCAAACAAUUGUUCGUGAGGGCUCUAACUUUGUAGCCAACAAAUCUGCCGCCAUAUUGGCCUCCCUAAGACAAUAAUGAAAACUAAUAGAAAUAAAAUUACGACAAAGAAAGUAACAUUCCUCAUAAAUUGUUGCUGCUGGGCCGAGAGAGUUUCCGCCGCUGUUCAUGAUUUCAAUCACCUCCAUACAGUCAGCUUCGAUCUCCAGCUUGUUGCAACCAACAUUACUUGCUAGUAUGAGUCCAUCCUUCAAACCACGGGCUUCAGCUGUCGCUGCAUCCUCUACGAAGGGGAUAUUGCUGCAUGAAGCCGCAAUGAAAGCACCAUAUUCAUCUCGGAUAAUAGCACCCGAACCCCCCGUACCGCUGUCUACAUCAAAGGAUGCAUCAACGUUGAGUUUGACAAAACUGCUCAGCGGUCUCCUCCAUCCAUGUCUUCUGAUCCGGCGUGUACCCAUCUUUUUUGCUCGCGCAAAAUUUUUGGUUAGUGUUGCAAUAGCUUGUGCAGAUCUUGCGGGCUCUUGUAACGUUUCCCCAUGAGUGAAUCUCCUCCUUUCCUACCAAAUGUACCACACAGCCACUGCUAUCAAAUCCUUCCUGUUAACAUCAGAUAGCGAGGGAAUAUUAGUGCACGGCAUUAGCAGCAGGUCACCAAGGACCGAAGCACCUUCCCUCUCUGUACUGCACAACUCAAAAAUUGUCUCAGCCAUACCCAGUUUUUCCCAAAUGAGUUGGACACGUGGGCAUUUAAAAAAGGCGUGAUGUAUACUUUCACAAUCUGUAGAGCAAAUUGGACAUUGCGAACUGGUAAGCAUAUGCCUGUUCACAAGGAUGCCACGACAAGGAAUCGCACCAUACAACGCCCUCCAUAGGUGAAUCUUAACUUUGGUCGGCACUCGAAGUUUCCAAAGAAUCCUCCAAACUACUUGAGGACAACAUCAAAUUUGUUUGCCUCAACUUUCGUCCAUGUCGGUAAUCCCACUCCAUAUGAUAAAGCAGUUCUAACUGAAAAAAAUUCCACUUCUUUCAUAGUGCCAUGAAACAAAAUCCUCCAUCAUCCCCAUAGCUAAGGGAAUGUUUAGAAUUCUUUGCGCGUCAAUAGGCCAAAAAAUAUCUCCGAUGAGCUGCUCAUCCCACCGUCUUUCAUCUAUAUUGAUUAACUCAGAGACCCUAGUAAUGACUAUAUUACCUCUGGGGGUCAUCACCUUCCUGCUUGGGCUACUAGGAACCCAGGGAUCAUCCCAUAUGCUAAUUUGUGUGCCAUCCCCUACUCUCCAAAUAAGGCCUCUCUUGAAACUUUGAAUACCACUCCACAAACUUUGCCACGUAUAGGAACUACCAUUUUUGAGAGGACAAUUUAGGAGGUCACCAUCAACAAAGUAUUUUGCCUUAAGAACUCUUGCACAUAAAGAAUCUGGCUCUGCCAAAAGUCUCCAACAUUGUUUAGCAAGUAAAGCCAUAUUAAAACAAUGCAAGUCUCUGAAGCUCAUACCUCCUUUGCUCUUUGGGACGCACAUUUUCCACCAUGCAAACCAAUGCAUAUGCUUCUUCACAUCAUCAUCACCCCACCAGUAUUGGGACAUAGCAGUAGUUAUCCAUUACAUACUUGUUUAGGUAAUUUGAAUACUAACAUGGCGUACGUCUGGGCCUGCAAGUCAGUCGACGGAGGGUGUUUACUUGUCGCCGUGUGGCGGAGACAUCCGCUUGUUUCUUGCUGGGCUCACAGAACCAAUCCAGUCGAGAAGAAGCCCAAUUGUGCUGGCCUCAGUGCGAUAAAUUCGAAUCCAGAAAUAAGAUCUGAAGGGGAAACCGGACGCUCACAGCGAUUAGGGAUUCCUAGCCGUCGGAUCGAACUGCUUGAUGCGAUUCUGGGCGUUGGAUCUCGCUCCUGGACAAUCUGGGCCGCCGAAUCAAACCAAAACACUAUUGCAAUGAAUAGUUACCUCCCCUUCAUGCCACCGCUUGUAGUUUAUGUGCCCUGCCGAGGGCAUAAAUGGUAUCUCACAUCCUGGCUUGUUACGUGUCAGCGGGUGAUUCCAGCACCCUGUCGAGGGCCUUAUGGUCUUUUCACGUGUUGGCCCGUUGCGUGGUCGUCGCUGGUUGGCCCGUCGGUGGAUGAGGUGAGGACGGCGGCCUCUUCGUCCUCCCAUUCGCCCCCCUCCCCCUCUCUCCCUCGCUGCCAUGGACGAGGCGGCUGGCCUGCCCCGUUCUUUGCCAAUCGUAUCGUGGAUAUUUUCCUCCUCCAUCGCUGCAUUUUGCUUGUUCCCCUUCCUCUCUCUUGGGGCCGCAGGCUCUCUAUUCUUGCUGCUUUGCUAGAUCUGCUCGCUGGAGGGCUCGAGGGGCGCGCCGGAUCUGAGCGUGAUGGUGCGUUGGUGAGCACAAAGGCAGCCAUGGCCGAGCUCGAGCCCGGGCGUGUGGGUGCGUUGGUGAGCAUGGUGGUGGCCAUGGCCGAGCUCGAGCCCGGGCGUGUAGGUGUGCUGGUGAGCACGGCGGCAGUCGUGGCCGAGCUCGAGCCCGGGUGCGGUGGCGGCCAUGGCCGAGCUCGAGCGUCUCGUUCUACGAUGGCUCCUGCGCGUGCCUGGGUGACGUGGUUGUUCGGUUGUCGUGGUUGAUUUGUUUGGUUGCUUUCGGGUUGGUCAGGUUCUCACAUGAGAAAUUUGCAGGUUCUAAAGAGCCAUCGUGUGUUGGAGCCGUCGGCACGUGUCUUGCUGGGCUAACAGAAUCAGAGAGGUAUACUAAAAGCAGAGUACAUACUGGGGCACCGGUCAAACGACCACUGAAAUUUACUAGAACGCAACACCCAGAGCAGACAAAUAGACAUCAUCCAGCUCACUUUUUUUUUUCAAAAAAGGAGUUUACCCUAGUCUCUGCAUCAGAACGAUGCAUAUGGCCAAAUCAUCCAGCUCACUUGAGCCAUUAGCACAUUCCAGCGAGAAGCUCAAUUGUUGCAUCAACACUAUAGCUUCCAGUGAAGUCUUCUUUUUAAGAAGAUAUAAGUGUGCUCCCUCCCGGCCAUGCUUGUUAUACUCAAAGCAGAGUACUGGGCGUUUCAAAAAAAAAAAAAAGAAGCAGAGUACAUUGAAACUCAACUUCAUCGCAGCACCCAGAUCAACGAAAACAGACAUCAGCAAAGCUCGCGGAUGAGGGGAGAAACAUCGCAGAAAAGAAGAAAGAAAACAAAACCAUCCAACACCAAUCAACAGUAGGGAGCCCAUCAGCAGCCACGAAUGCUUGCAAAUCCAGGAGCAUCAGCAUCACAGCAUCCAUAGGGCCGGGCCCAUAGUGGUGCGAAAUGUGCAGCCCGCACAGGGCCCACAAUUUUGGGGGGCCCCGAAUUUUGUAUAUAGGUCUAGUAGUAUUUCUCAAAAAAAUCAUACGCUAUGAAGUUAGGUCUGGGACGAUCAGGAGCUGGAGCUGGCCUGAGUCGAGGCCAUCGAGUGCAGGAGUUCUGGUACUUGAUCGAUAUGUCUCAAAAGAAGGAAACCGCUCCAUCGAUUGGAAACAUACCGAUCUCUACAGAAGUCCAGCGGGAUCAGGCCUCAUCUCUCGAUCUAGAGACCGCAAAAAAUGGGAUCGCUAAAGAAGCCAUCGGGAUCGUCUCGUCUCUCUAUUUGGAGACCACAACGCAACAGUAGUCACGUUGGCUUAGCUACAGGAAACAUGAUGAUCUUGUUGCCUUCGCAUCAUCAGAUGGAUCGGAUUCAGACCGCUGCCGUUGUUGCCUUCCUAGCUUCCUCUCCAAAUUUCAGACUCAUCGCCUCGUCGGAUCAAUUCCUGACCGACUCUAACUUCUAGGUGCUUAGCAAUUCCUUCUUUGCAAUUAACUUGAGUUCCUACUUUUAAUUCCUACAUUAUAGUUUUUUUAUUAGAUAUAUUUAAAUUAUAAUUGCUCGUUGGUUCAUUCCAUUAGUUAGAUAGGGCCCCAUUUUUUAGUUUUGCACAGGGCCCCGGAUUUCGCCGGCCCGGCCCUCCAUUCUUCCCAAGUUCCAGCAGCAAAAGUUUCAGAAGCUGCGAUGUGCACCAUUCACUCGAGAAUAAUGACAUGAAGAAACGUCAGCAAGACAUAAACAGAUGGCCAAAACAGCAAACUACAGCUACGGCAGCAUCUACUCCAAUCACCAUCAGCUAACUUGCCUCGUUUUUUCUGCAAUACAAUUACAGCCCAAGAUUGCAAUAUAUGUUCGACUGACAAAGAAAAUCACUUCAUUGGGAUGCAUUGCUGCUUUGCGCCCGAAACAUGCCGCAUUCCAAAGUUCCCAACAUACCAUAACAACAUGCCACAUUCCGCAAUUUCCAAACAUACCAUAACAAGAUGCAAUGCAACCGCCACACAGGUCGAAGCCCCCAGUGAAAUUUCGACCCCGUAUUACCAAACAAUUCGUCUCCAUUGUAGGCAAAGUUCUGAAGGAAAAGGCACAGUUUAUGGCUCUCCAUACAGCCACAGAAAGAUGUUAAAUUUUGAAAGGAAUUUUACAUGGAUGCAGUAUGAAAGCAAUAUAAACAUUAGAGCUUCUACCACAUCUCUACGCAUGACACAUCUAGCGAAAAUCCAAAUCAGUAUCAUAACAGUUUCGGUGGGUCUUAGAAAAAGGCUACAUAGGGGUACUUCACCAGCCGCAAUAAGACUGAAAUUGAAAUGAAGUUACAAAUGCAACGCAAUAGCAAAAACAGAAUUAGAUAUACUGGAAUUGAGGAGAACAACUUUGCAGGUUGUUGAGAAGCUCUAUCAGUCAGCGGACUUCGGUGAUCUCAUCGUCCACAUUCAGCUCGAUGUGGCCAGCAGCACUAGCCUCCACAGUUUCAUCAGCUGCUUCGGACGGCAUUUCUAUAGGGGGUAUAGCAGCACAGUAUUUAGUGAGGAGCAGGAUGUAGGUCAGAAACUCACCACCAUUGCUCAGCUGCCUGGCGUGGAAUUCCCCAUUAGCAUUGGUUGCUGCGUAGCGCAACAUCUCCGUCCACACUGUUCCUACUAUAAUCAUCUUAUGUGUGAGCCUCAACUUCAUGUCGAGCAUUGUGUGAACAAGAGUACAUGCGUUCACCAGCACAGCUUCGCCCGGGUAUUCAUCCCAACUGGGAUGCGUCAAGUUACCAUAUAAUUUUGUUAUCUCCUCACGACGCCUGUUCCCUUUCUUGUAAUCCAGAAUUACCUGGUGAGGCCCAUUUGCAUUUUGAACAUAUUCAGACAAAUCCUCUGCCUCUGCGUAACAAGCGCAGGUUUGGCGAAACAGGUCUCUAGCAGCUGCAUUGAUGGGCAGAAUGUCAGGGUGCUCGACCAGGACGUACAUCAUGUAAUCAGAGAGAGCAUUGACCGCUUCAGCCAUGUCCUUGUUGACCAGCUCCAAUUUGACGGCAGGAUCAUUGAGGAAAGUGCAUAUGGCUAUGUGCCAGAUGAGAACACUCUUAUGAAAUUCAAAACUCGGGCUCCAAUCAAGCUUUUUGCUCUCGUGAAAUCCCGUUAACCUGCGGGCCCAGUACCCACGCCGGAUGCCCACAUCUUCAAUUUGCACCAUGUCACGCUUCUUACCUUUCAGUAAGUCUGACACAAACUCCUUCAAGGCAAGUGAAAGCUUUGCAUGUUUGGUGUAAUGAGCUCUGUUCCACAAGUCCUGGAGCCCAAUCCAUUUGGCUACUCUUCCCUUGAGCUCAGUCUUUGUGCUGAGAACACAAAAGGAGAUGAAGUUAUAUUGCCCGAUGGAACUGGACCACCUUCCAUCCUUGACGAUGAUGAGGUGGUAACGUGCGAACAGAAUUGCAUUGGCCAGCCACUUCCAUCCUAAGCCUCUCAGGUUGGCAUAUGUCCAGGUCGACCCAAUGGCCUUGAAAACUGAUGCGACCUCCAGUGCGCAAGCUCCCCCCAGAAGAGCAAAAGUGAUAACAAUAUCGGAAGUGUUGUAACCAUCUCUUUUGCUUUUUGUGAAUAACACAAGAGCGACAGAGCAAGACACAAGGGAAAUGACACGGAUGCAGUAGCCAUACCUUGUAUGGAUCACUUCUGCCUUGGUGUACAACAUGUCAUACAUCAAGGCGAGCUCCACCUCAAUUGCCUUGUACACCUCCUCACUAUACCUCUUCUCUUGUGCCGAUAUAUCUUCGCCCUCGCCAUCUUCCCAUUGAUAUUCUUGUACAUGAUUAUUUAGUAGGUCGAUUGUGGUAUCACUCCAGUCUACGGAUGCCUCAUUCCUGUCUAUGACUAAAGGCUUGACAAGUACAUAGCGCAAUGCGUGUGCUGCCAUCACAAGAAAUGCAUGAGUUCCAAACAGUUUAUUUCUGGUGAAGCAGUCUCGUGCUUGGCCCUUUGGUUGCAGAACAGGCCUACUUGUCACUUUGGAACCUUUGCUUGCGCACUUCAGUGCCCAUAUCCUCUCUCCGUACUUGACGAAUCCGGCGAGCAGAACCAACAUAGCAGAACGGACAAAGGUCGCCCCACCUGCAAUGAUGUACUUGUAGAGGACGUACGCGGUGCCAGCGACCUGUAGAAACAUAUUCAGCAGGUGGCGCAGCCAGAGUUCAUUGUCCUCCAGGGCGUACGCAGUGAUGGUGUCCUGGCCGCCGAGGUACAGCAGGAGGAAUGGUGCCCAGAACGCCACCAGCUGGUGCUCGCCGGACGAUUUUUUCGACAAAGUCGAGGACAUGUGCCCCAGGGCGUACGUCGCAGCAAGAUUGGCGAGCAGAUACACCAGCCAGAGGAGGACCUUGAGAACAAACGAGAUGUUGUAGCGGCGGAUCCCAGCAAAGAAGAAGAGGAUAACCUGCAGACUGAAGCUGGCAAUAACAACAGCUUGGAUCUCCCACUCAUUCCAUAGUUCCAGCCAAGAAGGCAUCGGUGCUCCAACUCCACUCAUUGAUGCGCCACCCUGCAAGCAAGAAAUUAAACACACGCACACAUACAUGCAUACAUACAUACAUACAUACAUACAUACAUAUUUGAAAUAUGAUAUAUAUUGCUUGAAGAAAUAGUAGUACAGGCGCUAAUGAAGAAAUGCAUACCUGUGACUGUGAGUGAGCUAGAUUCGGCAUAUGGCAGCCAAGCUACAACACAGAAGCACACGGAAUUGCUAGGUAGAAGGAGAGAGCUCAGGAGCUGUGUGGUACAAGAAGAAUGGGAGGAUCCGAUGGGUGUAUGCAUAUGCUUACAUAACCAAAAACAAACCACCCAGAUCCGGUUAUUGCGUUCCGAGUAACAGUUGAGUAGCCUGCGUGGGUAUUUUUGUUAUUAAUUUUGAUAUUUAUAUAAUAAUGUUUCUUUUUAAGACGAUUCUUAUAAGAGUCUCCAACAGCUGUUUCCUAGCACUUUCUUAAUCAGAAAUAGUUUGAGAUUUUUCCUAUGUCUAAGUCAGUUCAAGAACAAGUGCUACUUACUAGUACUCAUCCCCUGCUGUUGUUGUUGAAUCGAUCGGGCGGUUUGAGCAACAUUAAACCAAACAACCUAGACAGCCCACGUGCCAUGCAGUGUUGUUCAACACAGUAUGCAUCUAUAUUCAACGCUCUCAUGUUCUCAAACAAACGAUCUCUGGUUCACAUGUACACAUGCGGUCCAUUUAUGCAUCUUCAACGCUCUCAUGGUCUCAAACAAACGAUCUCUGGCUCUCAUGUACACACGGAGUCCAUUGUAUUUCAGUGGGAAGUGUUGACGUAUAAAUGCAUAGCCCAUUUUUUUUCAUCAGCUUGAGUUUUUUGGUGAACCGACUGGUACGUGCAGUUCUAUAGCAAGCCCAUUACCAAGUUGACCUACAAAAACUACAAACGAGGUCCUGUGGAUCUGUUUACUAGGUCUUUCCAUAUUAUAUGGCAUGCAAUUUGACUGCAAUGCGCUCAAUCAUUGGAGGAAAAAAGGACCCAUUAAUGCGUCCAUUGGAAGUCGGGUUUUUAAAUGAAAACUACUGAUGCAUCGGAGUGUGCAUAUAUGUACUACGUAGGCUGUUGACUAGCUCCAUCUGAAACUAGGGCUGAAAUUGGCUCGACUCGCUAGAGCUCGUUUCGUUAACGAGCUAGCUCGACUCGACUCGUUACUAUAAUAAGCUCAAACCCAAGAUUAGCUCGACUCGUAUAACUCACGAACUGGCUCGUUUAGCUUGUUAAGCUCGUUAAAGAUAUAAACAUAAAGUUCUCAAAUAUGAUAAAAAUGAUUAUGUAUAUAUAUUAAAUGUAUAUAUAUAUCAUUAAAUAAUUGUAAUUUUCUUGUAACACAUGAGUCUCCUGACACUACGGGAAACAGCUAAUUUGCCGUCAGGGAAUGUCUUUGCCGUCAGCUUUUCGUCAGGCAAGACGGCAAAGAACGAUUUGCUGUCAUCACCAGACGGCGAAGAAAAACUGACGGCAAAAUAUACUCUGCCGUCUGCGAAAAAAAACACAGACGGCAAAGAGAGCACUUUCCCAUCUGCAAAACAAAUCACACACGGCAAAGAAUCUUUGCCGUCAGUUUUUUUUUCACAGACGACAAAGAAUCUUUGCCGUCUGCAUUUUUAUUAGCAGACGGCAAACUGGACUCUUUUCCGUCUGUGUUUUUUUCAGACGGCAAAGAAGAAACACAAGACGCGGAUUGAUCGCAUGGAUCGAUGACAUGGCGUGAUCCACUCCACUCAUCCCCGGCUCCCUACAGCGCCUCACCCCACGCCCCACGCGCCCCCACUACUCUCUCUCUCUCCCUUAUCCUCCCGCACCCACACACCACGAUCUCUCUCUCCCUUAUCCUCCCGCACCCACCCUCACCACGAUCUCUCUCCCUUCUCUCUGCUCUCGAUCCACAGCAAGCCGGCGCCCCGACACCACCUCGUCCGCCGGCCCCAACCUAGCCCACUGACCCCGGCCCUUUCCUCUCAACCCCCGGCGCCGCCGGCCCCUGCUCCGGCCGCUUCCUCUCAACCCCGGCGCCGCCGACCCCUGCCCCAUCCCCCGUCGCCCCUGCCGGCUUCCACGCCCNNNNNNNNNNNNNNNNNNNNNNNNNNNNNNNNNNNNNNNNNNNNNNNNNNNNNNNNNNNNNNNNNNNNNNNNNNNNNNNNNNNNNNNNNNNNNNNNNNNNNNNNNNNNNNNNNNNNNNNNNNNNNNNNNNNNNNNNNNNNNNNNNNNNNNNNNNNNNNNNNNNNNNNNNNNNNNNNNNNNNNNNNNNNNNNNNNNNNNNNNNNNNNNNNNNNNNNNNNNNNNNNNNNNNNNNNNNNNNNNNNNNNNNNNNNNNNNNNNNNNNNNNNNNNNNNNNNNNNNNNNNNNNNNNNNNNNNNNNNNNNNNNNNNNNNNNNNNNNNNNNNNNNNNNNNNNNNNNNNNNNNNNNNNNNNNNNNNNNNNNNNNNNNNNGCCGCACCACCGGAGCCUGCCUCUUCCUCGACCUCCGCCGCACCGCCGGAGCCCGCCUCCGCCUCGGCCUCCACCGCGCCAUGGGAGCCCGCCUCCACCCAUGCCACCGGCCGCGUGCCGCCCGCCCACGCAACCGGCCGCACGCCGCCCUCCUCAUCCACGCGCCCGCGUCGCCCACCUUCGCCUGCCUCCGCGAACGCCAUCCGCCCGCUGGAGCCCACCUCCGUCCUCGCCACCGGCCGACAUCGGCGCUGGCGCCACCAGAUUGAGCGCAUCCCGCAGUGGCGUACACAGAUAGAGGGGCGGCAGAUCGAGAAGCGCUUGUUCGUCUCCACUAGAUCGAAGUCGCGGUGGAUCCAGAAGAUAAUCAUCUGUAAUAUUGCUGUGUAUUGUGAUGUAGACAUGCAGUACUCCGUAUUGUAUAAUAUGUAUUGUGUACAAUCUAGUGUGGUAUAUCUUGUGGGUUUUUGUCCAUAUGGAAUGCAAAAAAAAUCGAUAAUGUGUAUUGUAUACGAAGAUUGGUAGUGGGGUUUCCUUGACCGUGUCGACCAUCCCAUGAAAUAUUUGAUAGCUGAUCUCAGCACUAUAGGUUUAUUUUUUAUUUGAUUAAAAAAUAUUUCUAUGCCGUCUGUGAUGUAUGAGGUUGACGGCAAAGAUGGUGUUUGGCUGAUGGCAAAGAUGCUUCUGUUUGCCGUCUGUAAUUUAUUCGGUUGACGGCAAAUCUGAUGGAUGGCUGACGGCAAAGUCUUUGCCGUCUGUCUGAUGAAAAGCUGACGGCAAAGUAUUCUUUGCCGCUUCGACUUUGCCGUCUGACUUUGCCGCCUACUUCCUGACGGCAAAAUCUUUGCCGUCUGGAUUUAGGUCUUUGCCGUCUGUGAUCCACAGACGGCAAAUUAACUGUUUCCUGUAGUGUAGGAGGCUAGGCCUUCAACGGCUGGGCCUUGGGUUGUGCACCUGGGACGUAGGUUGUUUAAUGACUGAUCUUUCUUUGUAUUGGGAGUGACUGAUCUAUUGUAUUGAGCCUAACGAGUUACACAAGUACUCGUGAGAUUGGCUCGUUUAACUUGAUCUAUAAACGAUCUUAAACUAAAGCUCGGCUCGACUCGUUAUUCUUCGAGGUCGAGUCGAUUCGAGCCGAGUCGUGAGCUACUUGUUUAGCUCGCGAGUUUCGAGCUUUUUUUCCAGCCCUAUCUGAAACCCAUGAUGCGCUCAUUAGGCCUCUUCCAAUGAAGAGGUGCUUAGAUAGUGCUAAGUGCAUUAAAUGGCUAAGCAACUUAACUCCUCAAUGGAUAGGUAACUUGUUGUUACUAAGCUCACUUUUUUUAAUGAAUUAGCACCUAAAUUCUUUCAUGCAUUGUUGAAGUUGUUUCAUUUAAGUGAUUUUCCUAGGUUCACGUGCUUGGCACUGGUUCUUCUUUGGGUCACCAAAGUGCUCUCUCUCCUCCUUAAUUAUUGUGUCAUGUCAUAUUUUUGCUUAUGUGGCAUGCUUAGCACGUGUCCAGGGUGGAGCACUGGGAAGGGCCUGAGAGCGUUGAAGAUACAUGCUACUAGUAGUGGUAGAUAACCGUGACGACCCAUGAAUUAAUUUCUAUUAAACGGGGUUGCGGAAGUUAAGCUGCUGAUUCUGUCCUCUCUCGAGUAAUUUUUAGACAAGACAAGUUUCAAGUAAUUUUUAGACAUGUAUUUGGUGUACUAUAGCUAGCUGCAUGCAUGAAUGCAGGCCUAUGACUGAGCUAGAUUCGACUUAUGAUAGCAAGCUUAAGUUAUACUCCCUCCGUUUCAAAAUAUAGUACAUCCGCGCUUCCCGAGGUUUAGUUUUGACCAUAAAUUUAACCAACGAGACAGACUGGGAGCAAAAAUUAUAUAAUUGAAAAGUGUUUUUUAAUACGAAUUCACUGGUAUAAAUUUUGCUCCCGCCGCAGUCGGUGGUUGUUGAUUAAAUUUGUGGUCAAAGUUGAAGCACGGGAACCGAGAACGCACUAUAUUUUAAAACGGAGGGAGUAGCACAGAACCACAACAAAAUUGAAAGAGCCGGGAGGGAGGGCUCGGGAGAAGUACAAGAAGAACUAGAGGAUCGGGUGUAUGCAUAUCCAUAUAUCACUUAAAACAAACAAGCUAGAUCCGGUUUUUCCGUUCCAAGUAACAAGUUGAGUGUACUGCAACAGGUGUGUACUGCAUCUUUUUACAUGUAAUUCUAGAGAGAUUCUUUCUCCAACAGGUGAGUACUGCAUCUUUUUUCCUCCAACGCUCUCAUGGGUUCUGAUCUGGGUGCCCUUUAUUUUUAUUUUGUCAUUUACACAAUAAUUGUUCGUUUUUACAUGUAAUUCUAGAGAGAUUCUUUCUCGAGCAGCUGUGUACUGCAUCUUUUUUCCUCCAACGCUCACAUGGGUUCCGAUCUGGUUGGCACGUGUACAUGUGAUCCAUCGUAUUUCAGUCCUCUUAGAGUUGUGUCGAAUAUUAUGUUGGCAUAGGUUACAUCGUGUGUCUAUCCUCGCUAUAUAUGAGAGGCCUAGGAUACAAGUGUCUACUAGGACACGGCUUCAUAUCCUAUGUAAACACAAUACUACUCAGAGUCCAACAAUAACCUACCUUGUAUACAAUAUUCGACAUAACUCUAACAAACUUUACCUUGGCGAAUAUUCUCCACCACCAUAAAUUUGUCAAUGCGUCAAACUUCCAUGUAUAUUUGACUUCAGUCCCAUGAGUACCGCUGCUACUCCAAAGACUCCAUGUGACUCGACCUGCAACUUGUAGUCCCUCCUUUUCUUGACCUCAGUCAAUGCUCGAGCAAAAUUAAGUUCCACAUUACUCUAGUUUGCGCUCCCAACUUCCAUAGUAUCAGUCAAAUGCCAUCGCACACUAAUCACUGACCUGCAUGAAAGUGAACAACUAACAUAUUGGGUGUCACACAUAAGAGUUACCUGAACUCAACAUCACCGCUCCUUUCUUGACCGCCUAUCUGAAACAUGGAGGAAUUUCACCGUUGCUUAUAGUCACCCCGAGUCAAAUUCGCAGUUGUCUCGCCACAUGUAUGACCACCAGAGCCCUGGCCCGUCUCCAUGUCCCGUGCUAACCGCACUCCUCGCCGCUAUUACCGCGUCGAGUCUCCGCUGUCCCGGUCGAGUCUCAAGGGUCGCGAACGCACACCACUCAACCCCCACUGCAGAGUACCACCGAUCGUCACCGACUGAUGACGAGUUUCACGUUUCCACAAGACCACUGGGUUCCAGUCCGAACUACACGUCACUCGCUUUUCCCCCUUGCUGAAUAGGUUUCGAUUCCCUAGAUCCAUACACCGUAGCCCCCAUCAAUCCAUCUCCACCUUCAACAUGACUCUAGAUGAUCAGUCCACCCCCGCGCCUCAUCGACUUCAAGCUCCACCUUGAAUCAAUCCCACGCCAUAGUCUUGUUGAAGCCACACAAGCCCUUGGGCCCACGCCAUGUUUUUUCACGCCUCAUAAGUCGGUCACCAUUAGCAUCAUGUUCCUAUGUCAUCGUCACCAAUCCCGCAACCGCCUUCUGUUCCAACCGACUCGCGUCGAUCCGUUAGACUGUCUAGUCCAACCCAGCCAAACUUGUCCGGCUACAUGACACGCUCAAGGCUCCCAAACCAUCUUUCUCGAAUUCUAAUCCAUCACAUGAUAGUUUCAUCUUAACUGACAUGACUUCCUGCAACGCCUUCAAGCAUCCCUGUUGUGCCAACAAUCUUUCAUCCCUAUCUGCCAUAACCAAAAGCUUCCAGCUCUAUUGAACUUCUCCACCUCAAACCUGGUACCCGUUGGCGCCAUGGUCCUUUGUACGUCUGACCCUGCAAAAAAUUAUCCUAGCUUUACACGUGAUGCCUAAGUACACAAACAGAACCGAACGUGGUAUGCUUCCAUGUACUAGUUGCAAUUCAACGUGGCCUUCACGUGAUGUGCUCUUGGCUCAACCCCGAUGCUGUUGUUGCUUUUGUCGUGCCUAUGCUUUCCGAUGUACUAUCGUAUCAUGCUGGAUCUUUUCUUCGGCCGAUCUGAUCUGCCUCUUGCCGCGUCCACAAGGACUCGGUCCUCCUUUUUUUUCUUCAAAGAAAAAAGUCCAUUUUACUACCCUGAAAAAAGUUCGUGGUUCACAUAACCCCCUGAUCUUUUUUUCGGUUCCCUCACCCCCCCUAAACAAUCCCAAACCAGGCAAAACCCAUCCUUGGCUAGUUUUGCCUAUACCGGAUGCUGAUGUGGACACAGUCAAAGGCGGUAUUUGACCUGUGGGUGGGGCCCUCUCAGCUAGACACUCUCACUGACUAUUGGGCCCGGUCAAAUAUGACACAUGGGGCCCACAUCUCGGUUGCACGAAGAUUAACAAGGGACUAAUUUAGCCCUAAUUGCAUCAUUAACAAAAGGGGACCCACAUGUCAAUGUCUUAGACUAACCCUAGUGAUGAAGGGGACCCACAUGUCAAUGUCUCAAACUAACCCUAGUGAUGAAGGGGACACACAUGUCAAUGUCUCAGAUUACAGAAGGGGACCUAAACUAAUGAUGCCACAUCAGCGUGGUCCUGCUCCGAGGUCGCCGGCGUGGAGGGCUUCAGCGGCGGCGCAUCGGCGCGGUCGUGCUCAGGCGCAGCCGUGCGCAAAGGAGGCCGGGGCGACGGUCAAGGCGGCUGCGGAGGUCGUGGCCUCCCGUUGACCAGAGGCGGCCGCCCAAGGGUGUGUGGAUGCGGUAGCAAGGGCCGGCCAUGGACGUGGAGGUGGCGGCGCUACAACGAUGCAGGCGGCCCGGGGAGGCGAGGGACGACCAGAUCUGAGGGUGGCGCCCCCAUCUGAUCUGGUUCCGACCAGAUCCGGACUCCGGCGGCGGUGUGAAGAUGGUACGGCGGCGAGCUUGUGGCAGCGGAGUGACCUGUACCUGAGAGAGAGAUACGAGGGAAGAGAGAGGGAGAGGAAAGAGAAGGGAGGAAGGAGAAGUGGGGCGCUCGGCGUGGCGCCUUGGAACUCCGGCAGUCGCUGGCGUCGGUCGGAGGCUGGAAAAAAACUCGAAACUCGCGAGCUAAACAAGUAGCUCGUGACUCGGCUCGAAUCGACUCGAACUCGAAGAAUAACGAGUCGAGCCGAGCUUUAGUUUAAGAUCGUUUAUAGACCAAGUUAAACGAGCCAAUCUCACAAGUACUCAUGUAACUCGUUAGGCUCGAUACAAUAGAUCAGUCACUCCCAAUACAAAAAAAGAUCAGCUAUUAAACAGCCUACGUCCCAGGUGCACAACCCAAUGACCAGCCGUUGAAGGCCUAGCCUCCUAGGAGACUCAUGUGUUACAAGAAAAUUACAAUUAUUUAGUGAUAUAUAUGUUUAAUAUAUACAUAAUCAUUUUUAUCAUAUUUGAGGGCUUUAUGUUUAUAUCUUUAACGAGCUUAACAAGCUAAACGAGCCAGCUCGUGAGUUAUACGAGUCGAGCCAAUCUUGGGUUUGAGCUCGUUAUAGUAACGAGUCGAGUCGAGCUAGCUCGUUAACGAAACAAGCUCUAGCGAGUCGAGCCAAGCUGGCUUGACUCGGCUUGAAUUCCAGCCCUAAGGGACCUCGAUCCUACGGAUUCCGUCCUCACAUAUUUUAUGUGUGCAAGUUGAUUGCAUCCAUCGGGACUCGGUGUUCUAAACAAGUCUUUAAGGUAAGACAUCGGAAGUUGGGUUUCAUCAAGUGUGCAUGUGUACUACAUGUACUCCUAUUAUUUCUUACGGCAACUUGAUUAUGGACUGAAAUAUGAUGGAUAUGAUAUGCACUAGCUCCAUUUGAAACCCAUGAGAGCGCCGAGGAUUAAGUUAGUUUUUCGCACCUGUGGCCUGUGGUUUUUGGGCUAACAAGAGCAGCUAGCAGCGGUUGAUAUUGUUUGUUGUGUAUACUUGGCUGGUUUACCUGAAUUCAGACGCGAAGCAGGAAACAUUAGACUUUGGAGUACAGAACCUUGAUUCAUAUAUAGUAUUACAAAGCUAGGAGUACUAUCUUGCGCAAAAAUCUUACCUGCACUGGAGUCUUACAACAGAUGUUUACAUUUACUUUGUGUUAAUCAUUUGAACAUCAGCAAGCUUGCCUUUUUGACUGCUCCAUCGAUGGUGGCCAGACGCUUGUGGUGCUCCGCGAAACGAUUUUUACGCUAUAGUGGCUACUAUUAAUCACAUACUACUAGAUCAUGCAUGCAGACUGGCAGAGUGCUUUCUUUGACUGCUCCGUCAAUUGGCCCGGUUCGGUGCGGGCUGAGACAGAACCGAAGCGCCUACCAAAACAGGACUAAGGCAUACAAACAAGGAGGCAGAAAAAGGAAGUCCAUGGAAUGAACAGUCAAAGAGAACCAUACCUCGGAAGGAUCUUCGUCAGGUUUGUCAUUUCAGAUAUGGACAGAAAGACCAUCUUCACUGCCACUUAAAGCAAGUAAUUCAAGCAAAGAAAAUCCUAGCUUUUCCCUGGUUCCAGUCAAUUUACAAAUUCAGAAGACAAACUUCAAUAAUCUGUGUUCUGGAGAUCGAUUGAAUUAAAAGUAUUGUCGGUUACAAACAUUCAGGCUGGUGAUAUUGUUAUAAAUAUAUGCUGUCAAAAUUAUAGAAAGAAACUGAAGGAGUGGCCUUUUUUGAUUGUUUUCAUUUGAGGAUCGAGAAGUAGAAAUACCUCUGCUGGACCCCUCACGUAGUAAACGGGAUCACUUCCCUUGCCUACACAUGGGUCAUGGCUCCAAAUUCUGAAGCCACAAUCAUUCGCAUUCAGAGACUAUUUCCAUAGAAGCUAAAUUUAUUCUUCACGAUAUGGAAGUGGUUUAUCUUCCAGGUUUCAGGUUAAGCAAGUCGACCAUACAUGACUACCCUUGAAUGCCUCUUCAGAAUAUUUGACACUUCAAACAUACUCCCUCCGUCCAAUAAUGUAAGAUGUUUUUUUUUGACAAAAGUGCAUUAUGAGACGGAGAGAGUAGAUAGUAAGAAAACGUGUUCACUCUGGCUUAGUUCCAAGCGUUUUUCAAGCAAAAAUUACACAAGUUUUACCUUGACCAAGGCAACCCUCAGACGAACUUCAAGAAUCUGCAUUCAAGAUCUCAAUGAUUAGAAAUGUUGUUCCUAACAAAUAACUUGACAUAGUGUUAGAAUAUAUAUAACCGUAUUGUUUUGUAUAGUUAUACGGUUGUAUAUGUGUAGUCCUUGUAUAGGUGUCCGUAUAUUGUACGAUACGAACUCUGCCUUGUAACCUAUAUAUAUAGAUCAAUACAAGGCACCAUAACGUGUGGUUUCCCCAAUCUUACAUGGUAUAGAGCCUAAAAACCUAACCCUAGCCUGUGCCGCCCUCCUCCUCCUUCUGCUGCCGCCGAAACCACCACCUCUCUCGCCGCCGCGCCCACACCGCCGCCUCCAUGUCGCAACCCGACGCUGACGCGACGAACCAGGCGCUGGCCGCCGCCAAGGAGCGCCAGGACGCCGAGGCUGCCGAAGCCGCCAAGGCAAAGCUGCCUCUCGCGACCGCCGCCGAUGGAUCCGGGACGAGCGCGGGGUCUUUCUCCUUGACCUCGCUGCACGCCAAAGCCGCCGGUCUCCACUCCAUCAAAGGCCACGUUCCCGUCGAGCUCGCGCUUGACACUGGCGUUCACCGGUAGUGGCGCACCUUCUUCCGUGCCGCUUGUCGCAAGUACGCCCUCCUGGAUCACCUCGACUUCGAUGCUCCCGAUGCGCCAAACCCGGAGUGGUCUCUCCUCGACGCCACCGUCGUCUCCUGGCUCUAUGGGUCUGUCUCGCUCAGUAUCCUCGACGCCGUCAUGACGCCUGGCGACGAUCCCCUCGCCGUCGAUCUCUGGAACAACAUCAACGGUCUGUUCAACGACCACAAGAUCAAUCGCCAACUCCACCUUACGGCCGAGCUUGGCGAUGUCAAGAUGGGAGAGAUGAGUAUGGCCGACUAUCUCCAGAAGGUCAAAUCCCUCUCCGACGGGCUUGCGGAUCUUGGCGCCCCCGUUGACGAUGCCGAGAUGGUGGUCCACUGCCUCAACGGCCUCUCCGAGCAAUACGAGUCCGCCGCCGAUCUCAUCUCCCUCAUGCCCGGGAUGACCUUUGCGCAGUGCCGCUCGUUGCUUGCGCUACAAGACAUGAAGCGCAAAAACCGCGCGCCCGCAACUCAGACACGGCCCUCUUCACCAACACCGGCAACCCUGGCAACACCGGCAACCCUGGCAAGGCUCCUGGAAAAGGAAAGAAGAAGAAGAAGGCCGCCGUUGGAGUCACCAAGGAGACCCCGGUGCCCGCGACCCCGCAGCCUGCCACUCCUUCCUGGCCCUCACCACAACAUCCCUGGAACGGCGCCAUCCAGAUGUGGCCCUAUGGCCAAGGGGGGCUGCUCGGUCGCGCGCCGCCCGGCUAUGGCGCUGCUCCCGGCUACGCGCCCCGGCACACCCGGUCACCGCAUGCGUUCUACGCCCAGAACCCGUACGGCGUUGCUCCCUACGGCUAUGGCUACGCUCCUGGACAGCUCUCCUACGGCCUCCCCGGCACUGCUCCAUCAUCACCGGCCUCAUCUUCGGCUUCAUGGGACUAGGCCGCGCUCAUGCAUCAGUUCCAAACCAUGGGGCUGCAAGCACCCUCCAGGGAGUGGGUGAUGGACACCGGCGCCUCCUCCCACUUUGCGUCCGAUCCCGGUAUGCUCACCUCUGUGUCCCCUCCCUCCUCCUCUCGUCGUGCUGUCAUUGUCGUUAACGCUUCCACUCUUCCAAUCACUGGUACCGGGCAUGCACAUCUUCCUAUUUCUACUACCUCUCGCCCUCUUUACCUUCGUAAUGUCUUAGUAGUUCCUAACAUAGUUAAAAAUCUUUUGUCUGUUCGUCAGUUCACCAUUGAUAAUCGUGUAUCCGUCGAAUUUGACCCUCUUGGUUUUUCUGUGAAGGAUCUUCUAUCCAGGACCGAGAUUCUCAGAUGCAAUAGCUUCGGAGCUCUCUACUCCAUCCGCCCUUCCUCUAUUAGCCAACCACACGCCUUCCUCGUCGUCGAUGCAGCACUCUGGCACCGUCGGCUUGGGCAUCCUGGGCGGCCCGUCAUGGAGUCAUUAGCUCAUUCUUCGGUUAUUCCUAGGGAAGAGAAUAAAAGUAGCUUGUGUCAUGCUUGUUAGUUAGGUCGUCAUGUUCAUCUUCCUUUUUCUUCCACCAAUCAUGUAACCACUACUCCUUUUCAAAUAAUUCACUGUGAUUUGUGGACUCUCCUGUUGAGAGUAUUUCUGGCUUUAAGUAUUAUCUCGUAUGUCUCGAUGAUUUUACUCAGUAUGCAUGGGUAUACCCUCUACGGACUAAGUCCGAAGCUUUCUCGCACGUGUCGUCCCUUCAUGCUUUAGCGCUCACCCAGUUUAGUGCACGCUUGCAGGCUAUUCAGUGUGAUAAUGGUCGUGAGUUCGAUAAUUCACUCCUCCAUUCCUUUGCCCAGCACCAUGGAAUUGCACUCCGCUUUUCAUGUCCAUACACUUCGCAACAGAAUGGUAAAGCCGAACGCAUUAUUCGUACUCUUAGUGACAUUACUCGUACACUACUUAUCCAAGCCAGUAUGCCACCUCGUUUUUGGGUUGAAGCGCUUCACACCGCCAUUAUGUUGCAUAAUCGGCUGCCUUCAAAGGCAAUCUCGGAUCGUAUUCCCUUUCGUGCCUUACUUGGCGUAGAUCCUGCAUAUGCUGGUCUUAGGGUUUUCGGAUGUCUAUGUUACCCCAACACCACAGCCGUCGCUCCGCACAAACUUGCGCCUCGCUCCGUGCCGUGCGUGUUUCUAGGGUACCCAUCACGGCAUCAUGGCUAUCGUUGCCUUGAUCGUUCCACCCAAAAGAUCAUCAUCUCUCGUCAUGUAGUGUUCGAUGAGUUAACCUUUCCAUUCGCCUCCCCUCCAUCUUCGUCAACUCCUACUCCUUCCCUGCACACUUAUGAUUUUUUGCAGGGUGCUGAGCAGCCGGUUUUGUUGAUGCCAUUAACCGUGCCAGGCACGGUGACCUCGGACGCGACUCCACCGUCGCCACCACGGUCGCCGUCGCCGCCGCCACGGUCCCCUCCACGGUCGCCGCCACCGACUUCACCUCGGUCGCCGCCACCGACCUCAACCCGGUCGCCUAGGGCCCGGGCUACUGCCGAACGCCCAGCUGGGAGCUCCAAAGGUAACCCUGCUGGGAAUGCUUCUCCCCCUACAGCCGCGUCACCACCGGCAACACCGUCGCUAGCUCCUGUUGCGGUGGAUCCACCCCGGACCCGCCGGCCACGGGCCCCUCCACCGCCACCAUCUCACGACAUGGCAACUCGUGCUAAACGGAGCAUUGUGCAGCCGAAAAAGAUAUUUGAUCUUCAUGUUGAGGGUUUAUCUCCCAUACCGAAGACUUAUCGUGGUGCUCUCAAGGAUCCAAAUUGGCAUUCCGCUAUGGUUGAGGAGUAUGGUGCUCUUCUCUCCAACAACACUUGGGACCUCGUCGAUCCCCCUCGCAAUGCUAACAUUGUUACCGGUAAGUGGAUCUACUGUCACAAGAUGAAGUCUGAUGGUUCUUUGGAUCGCUACAAGGCUCGUUGGGUGCUUCGUGGAUUUACACAUCGAGAAGGUAUCGAUUUCGAUGAAACUUUCAGCCCGGUCGUCAAGCCAGCUACUAUUCGAACGGUGCUCUCUCUUGCUCUCUCUAGUGACUGGUUCAUCCAUCAGCUUGAUGUCAAGAAUGCUUUCCUCAAUGGCACUCUCAGCGAGACUGUUUAUGCUCGUCAGCCUUCUGGGUUCACUGAUCCUCGUUUCCCGAUAAGGUCUAUCGUCUCAACAAAUCACUCUAUGGUUUGAAACAGGCGCCUCGUGCAUGGUUUCAGCGGUUUGCUUCGUUCAUUGCAUCGCUUGGUUUCAUUGGCUCCAAGUCCGACAGCUCGUUGUUCGUUUAUCGGCGUGGUGCUGACAUGGCCUAUCUCCUGCUCUAUGUGGAUGACAUUAUCCUGACUGCAUCGUCCUCGACAUUGUUGCACAAUUUGAUUGCCUCUCUUCGUACCGAAUUUAGUAUGAUGGAUAUGGGUGAUCUUCAUUAUUUCCUGGGUAUCUCCGUCACACGCAGCAAGGACAGUCUGUUCCUCUCACAGGAGAAGUAUGCAUUGGAUCUUCUUGAUCGCGCUGGCAUGUUGCAGUGCAAACCCAUCUCUACUCCAGUUGAUACUACCUCCAAACUUUCAGCCAAGUCCAGUGAUCCAGUUGCAGAUCCCACCGAGUAUCGUAGUAUUGCAGGCGGUCUUCAGUACCUCACGUUCACUCGGUCGGACAUCUCUUAUGCAGUGUAGCAGAUUUGUCUUCAUAUGCACGAUCCUCGGGCUAAUCAUUUGCUACUUGUGAAGCGUGUGCUUCGCUAUAUCCGCGGCACCACCGGCCAUGGCCUCACUUUAUUUUGACGCAGCUCCAACAAAUUGCUGGCCUAUUCUGACGCUGAUUGGGCAGGUUGCCCUGACACUCGUCGGUCUACCUCAGGUUAUUGUGUCUUCCUUGGCACUAACCUGGUGUCGUGGUCUGCUAAGCGGCAGCACACGGUCUCUCGCUCUAGCGCUGAGGCCGAAUACAGGGCAGUUGCAAAUGUCAUGGCUGAAACAUGUUGGUUACGGCAGCUUCUUCAGGAGCUUCAUCGACCGGUGACUGGUGCCACUGUGGUGUUUUGUGACAAUGUGAGCUCUGUUUACAUGACACAAAAUCCCGUUCAUCAUCAGCGCACCAAGCAUGUGGAGAUCGAUUUACACUUUGUGCACGACCGUGUCACCACAGGCGAGGUCCGGGUUCUUCACGUUCCGAGUUCUUCUCAAUUUGCGGACAUUUUCACCAAAGGAUUGCCAUCUCCUCUCUUUUUGGAUUUUCGGGACAGUCUUAACAUUCGUCGACGCCUGUUUACGACUGAGGGAGGGUGUUAGAAUAUAUAUAACCGUAUUGUUUUGUAUAGUUAUACGAUUGUAUAUGUGUAGUCCUUGUAUAGGUGUCCGUACAUUGUACGAUACGAACUCUGCCUUGUAACCUAUAUAUAUAUAUAUAGAUCAAUACAAGGCACCACAACAUGUGGUUUCCCCAAUCUUACACAUAGCACAUAAUUCUCACCUUCCUCCCAUGGGCAAGCCUACAACAAGGAUAAUCUUUCAAAACGUCGUUACACGUUGAUAAACUUUUUCAUAGUUCUAGGAAAAAAACUGAAAGACAAAAUAAGCGUUUUCCAAUAAAUAUUCUCCGUGUGAAGGCGAAAGGAACUCCUAUAUGUAGACUUACAUGUGCUGCAGCGUUUCAGUAAUGCAGACACACACAUGCCUUUCUACCUUCCAUCCUACAGCGUCAAUUUGCUUGACUCUCUCACUAAGAUUUUUGAACACUGGCGAGCCACCAAGGUGAGCAAGCUCAAGAUCUGAAGCGCUGGUCCAUAUGGCAUAAAACGGCAUCGUAAGCUUUACAUCAUUACAUGUCAAUGCCACCUUGCUCUUGCUGAUGGUCUUCCUCAUACUGUGACGGAAAGCAACUGAACAAAUAAUUGUGUGUAGCAAAAGGGUUAUAGUAUGUGAUGUUGCAGGUAGCCCAUGUGUGCACAACCUGAUUAUGUAACUGAGGAAGUUUCAUUAACUGAUUGUGGUGAUAUUGCCGGCAACGGGUGUUCAGAAUUUCACAUGAAAUUUGGGUACCAAGUAGCCCGAAAUCGCAUGGCACGACUUAGGUCCUAUUGACACUAUUGUGGAGUGGAAGCAUGUAGAGGAGCGUCUAGAGAAACAGUUGAUCAGUUGAAAAGGAAAGAUGCUCUAAGUCAGGGGCGGAGCCAGGAUUUAGGCAUAGGGAGGGUCAAACGGUGAUAAAGCCAAAAAAAUAUUUUGUGCCUCACAUACUACCCAAUAUUUUAUAUUUAAGUAUGGCACACAUUUAACUUUGCCUAGGCACACAAUUUUUGUUUGCAGCUGGAGCGUGUGCAGGUAUAGGUAAUGUUGGUCAAUAAUUCCAAAUACGCGCCAUGAAGAUGAAGUUUGAUACUCCGAAAUAUGACAUGAAAUGCCAUGCUACAAACCAUUUUCAUAUGAAUAUUUAAGAUAUAUUGAACAAAAAUAAUCAUGUAUUAUUAAAUGGCUGGCUUUUAGUUUGCAUUUAUACAGGUUUGAAUGGCAAAUCAUUACUGGUUGUAUUAGGAAAUUUUAUUGCUAAAAUGAUCAACAUUUCCAUAUACCCUAGUGCAGCAACCCAUCACAAAUCACACAGCCAAAAUAACUAAAAUCUGAUGUAGAAGUUCAACAUGAUACAAGACGAGAAUUGAGAGAGAUUAGUAGAUGAUGUGAUGUGUUAACCUUCGCUAGUUCGAUGGCUGCAGCCUGAAGAAUUGGUGAGUGAAGUAGCCUGCGUCGCCGUAUGAAUUAGUAGAUCUUAAGAAGGAAGACCCGAGGCAAGGAGAUUAAGGAUGCGGCAAAUGCAUAGGAUGGCAGCGGCGCAUCCCAUGCACGAGCUAAUCACGGAGAUAAUGCCUAGCGACAGGAGAUUUAGCGGAGGUCGGCUCGGCAUGGACUUAAAAAAUGACUAAUUAGUGGGCUUGUACGUGGGCCUUCUUUACUUUCUCAAGAGUCCACGAUAAUUAGCUGGUGCAUGUUGCAAAAUCUGGACUAAUUAGUGGCCUUGUACAUCAGGGAAGCAGGCCAUUCUGCCGCUAAUAGGGGGCCAAGUAAGUUGUAUGUUAUCGCUAAUGAUCGCUGCCUAGGUGCACGCUCGAUCGUUAGGGGGGGCCAGGCCCCUGCUCGCCCCCCCUUGGCUCCGCCACUGCUCUCAGUUGGGGGACGGUUGGUUUUGAUUAACUCCGUCCACACAAAUAUGGUUCUCUAUAUGUUUUCUUUCUUCGAACUACCAAAAGGGGUCUUGCAAAGAUUGGACUAUUUUAGAUCCAGAUUCUUUUGGCAAGGAGAUGAGGAAAAAAAAAUACAGACGGGCCAAAUGGAGUGUGGUUUGUAGACCAAAAGACCAAGGUGGCCUUGAAAUUCAUGACCUACAGAUCAAGAAUGAGGCCCUACUUAGUAAAUGGUUGUUCAAACUACUUACUGAGGAUGAGGAUGGUGUUUGGCAAACCAUGCUACGCAACAAGUAUUUAGGCCAAAAGGCGGUGUCUCAGGCAUAUUGGAAACCUGGAGACUCUCACUUUUGGGAUGGCCUAAUGGUGACAAAGAAACAUCUCUUUCGCUUUGGGUCUUUCGCGAUAAAGGACGGGUCAGAGAUUCGUUUCUGGGAAGACAUCUGGCUAGGCAAUGCCAGUCUUCGAGAACAAUAUCCAGCCUUGUACAUCAUUGCUCGCGAGAAGAAUAAUACUAUUGCGCAGGUGCUCAAUUCAUCCCCGCCAAAUAUUUCAUUCAGGCGGGAUUUGAUUGGGGCUCACCUUAUGUCAUGGCAUAAUCUAUUGUCCAAGCUGGAUUCGAUUAAUUAACCUAACACAAGGUCGGGAUGUGUUUCGCUGGAACCUUACCACAUCGGGGUCUUUCACAGUAGACUUCAUGUACCGUGCACUCACGUAUUCUGAGAUACCGGUGAAUAAUAAUAAGAAACUAUGAAAGUCGAAGAUUUCACUAAAGGUCAAAGUCUUCAUGUGGUAUCUUCGUAGGGGGGUUGUUCUAACCAAAGACAACCUCGCACGGCGCAACUGGCAAGGGAGUAAGAAGUGUUGUUUUUGUACUCAUGACGAGACAAUCAAACACCUCUUUUUUCAAUGCAAUUUUGCACGUUCUACGUGGUCAGUCAUCCAAAUAGUGUCAAAUUUGUAUCCGACCACAAGUGUUGCCAAUAUUUUUGGUCAUUGGUUGGACGGUAUUCCAAAUAGGUUCAAAACGCUAAUAAGGGUGGGAGCGUAUGCCUUGAUGUGGUCGCUAUGGCUAUGUAGAAAUGAUUUCAUUUUUAAUGACAAAAAUGCUUCUCCUCUACAGGUUAUUUUUCGGUGUACGCACUCGCUUCGUACUUGGUCUACACUAUAGCGAGCGGAGUACCAACCGCUGUUCAAGGCGGUGUGUACGCGAUUGGAGCAGGUGGCUACGGAGGUUUUUUCCCAACAUGUGUGGCAGCAUAACCUCCGGAUUGACCCACCAUCACUUUCGACAUAGGCAUAUAUAGUGUCGGUCUAUAGGACUCUACUGUUGCCGUUUUGUCGAUUUUGUUUCUUUUCUUUCUGUCAAACUUUUUAGAAUUGGUUGUGUGCAUCUUAGUUAUGCAGAGGCCGGGUGUCACUCAUAAUGCUUUGUAUCCACUUGAUACUAUAUUUUUAAGUUAAUAAAACACCCUUUAUCGGAAAAAAAACAACUAAACAAAUAGAUGGAAACUAAACAAUCGCCCAUCCAAAUCUAGUGAUAUGUAAAAAAUAAUUAAGCGCGGCAUGAGAGAUGAAUAUGAGAGAAGUCUGACACACCAACAAGAUCGAGGCCAUGCGAGGGUGGCGGGGAGUCGUAUAGAGGGCCGUUAUGUUAAAAAAAGAAAGAGUCGUAUAGGGGGCCGCAAUCGGAGGGGGUGAGGCGGCGCGAUCCCAUCGUCGACGUUGCGGGUAGGAGCGGCCAGCUCCCCCGGCGCGACAAGGCCGUCCGCGUCCCGCGCCUCCCACCGUGGCGCUGGCCCCCGCUUGGGAGAAGGCGAGCCCGGCCGCCGCCACCGGAGACGACGAGGCCACCGGCGAGCCGCUCGGUGGAUGUUUCGUUCGGCGUGGUGGGCCCAGGCCCGUCAGUCAAUGAGUGGUGUUGACUCCACCAAGGCUGCAACAAAAUGACCAUAACUAGAAGCAGCAGCUAGUGGAGAACAAAACGACCCAAGCUCGCUUCUGCCCAUAGCUUGGCAUUAGCAAUAACUACUUGAGCAAAGAUCUUCAUCAUUGGCAUGUGAGAAUUCUCCAAAACCCUACCAUUCCUCUCCCACCAUAUGCUCCAGGUGACCAGCAACACCAAGGUAUUCAGACAACAGCAAGCUCACGAUCAGGCGAGAAACAUUGCAGAAAAGAAGAAAGAACACAAAAUCAUCGAACACAAAUAGCAGUGAGCCGAUCAGCAGCCACAAAAGCCUGGAGAUCCACGAGCAUCUGCAUCACAGCAUCCAUUCUUCACAAGUUCCAGUGAAAGUUUCAGAAGAUGACUGACUCUCAUGAAAGAACCAACAAGGUUUCGUAAAAACCCGAAUAUGUAUUAGCCACUGUGUAUGGCUGAUUUACAUUCCUACAUGGAUGCAUUUUGAAAGCAAUAGAGCUUCUACUUUACACAUGACGCAGCAAGUGAAAUCCGAAUUAUCAUACUAGUAAUUCCGAUGGGACUUGGAAAAAGGCAAAAGAUGGUAAUAUUGCGUAGGAGUACUUCACCAGCCACGAUAAGAAUGAAACAGGAAUGCAGUUACAAAUUCAACGCAAUAGCGAAAACAGAAUUAAAGAAAAUGGGUUUGAAGAGGAGAAUGGCUUUGCAGGUUGUUGACAAGCUCCAUCGGUCAGCGGAUUUCGAUGAUCACAUCACUGGAAUCAUCGUCCACAUCCAGCUCGACAUGGCCCGCAGAACUAGUCUCCCGAGUUUCUUCAGCUGCUUUGGACGGCAUUUCUCUCGGUGAUGCAGCAACAGCAGCAUACUUGGUGAGGAGCAGGAUGUGGGUCAGAAACUCGCCACCGUUGCUCAGCUGCCUGGCAUGGAAUCCAUCAGAUGCAUUGGUUGCUGCGUAGCACAACAUCUCCAUCCAGACUGUCCCAAUUAUUACCAUCUUAUAUGUGAACCCCAACUUCAUCUGGAGCAAUAUCCGAGCAAGUGUGCCUGCUUUCUCCAGCACACUCCGCCCGGGUAAUCAUCAAGAACGGCUGUUUUCUGGUCAUAAUAUGCGUUUGGUUUCUCACGAAGAUGCCUUUCUUCCUUGUAAUUCAGAAUUAUCUGGUAAGUCUCAUCCACUGUCUGAUUAGUAUAAGUAGUAAGUCUAUUAAAGUCCUUCCGGGUUUGGUGAAACAGGCUACGAGCAUCUGCUUUGAUGGGGAGAAUGUCAGGGUACUCGACAAUAAGAUACAUCAUGUAAUCAGAGAGAGUAUUAACUGCUUCGACCAUGUCCCUGUCCACCAGUUCAGGUUUGACGUCAGGGUGAUUGAGGAAGGUGCCUGUGGCUAUAUGCCAGAUAAGCACGCUCUUCUGAAAUUCACAACUCAUGCUCCAAUCCAGCUCUUCGCUAUGGUUAAAGCCACCGAACCUGCGAGCCCAGUACCCACUCUUGUCUUCAAUUUAUACCAUACCACUCUUGUCACCUUUGAGCAAGCCCCAUACAAACUUCUUAACCGCAGGAGAAAGCUUGAGAUGUUUGGUGCAGCCAGCUUUGGCCCACCAGUACCGGAGCCCAAUCAAACGGGCUAUCCUUCCCUUGAGGCCCCUCUUUAUGCUGUGAACAUUUAAGAAUCACUUCUUCUUCGGUACAACCCCUGGAAACAUCAACGGUCCAGAUCAUUCUAUACCCCUUCACAUGAAAACUUAAAAAAGGUAGGAUGGUCAUUGCCCCUUCCCCUCCCCCAGCCCCGCCCCCACGACGUACCAGCGCGGCCCGUCGACGUACGUACGUGUACGCGCGUCCGACGCCUUUUUUUACUGUGUCGACGUAAGUUUUUUUUACAGCGUCGGUGGUCAAAAGCGUCGGUGGUCAAUCCGCGCAUCGCCCAGUGAAAGCGCGUCGUGGCGCGUGAACUGCGGCUCGCCGACCCGUUCCGUCCGUCCCCUCGCCGCCCCGUCCCGUCGUCUGCCGCCCCGCCGCCCCGUCCCGUCGUCUGCCGCGCCGCCGCCCUCGACUGUCGGCCCGUCCGGCCGUCGAAUUAAUUCCCAACCACCCGUCCGCCCACUGCCCCGCCGUCUCCCUAUAAAUCGCAGCCCCGUCCACCCGUCGCUGCAAACUGCACUCCUCCCGCGACUCCACCUCCCAAAAGGCCGCCGGCGACAUGUCGUUCCACGGCGGCAGUAGCUCCGGCACCGGCGGCCAUCACGGACCCAGCGCGUGGCCGUCGAGCCUGAGCACGCCGGAGACGGAGGAGCUUUACCGGUUUGGGCUCCUCGUGCCGCCGGGUUGCCGUCUUCCGCACGAUUGGAAACUCGACAAGGACGGCUACCCGAGGCGCGGGCCCGGCGCCACCGCGAAGGAGAAGCGGACUGGCGGCCGCAACAACAUCGCCGGCCGUCACGCGUUCUGGGACGGCAAAGACUACGCCGCCGUCAUCGGCGCGUACCGGCUGGCGGAGUCCGGCGUCACGCCAGACCUCAUCGGAGACCGCCGGCGCCUUCUUGUCCCGUGCCCCCGUCCAGUAGCGCGCGGCCGUCGGGCCCCCCCACCACGUGCGCCGGCGCCCGUCGAUCCCCCCGCCCCGCCGGAGGUGGAACUGCCGCCGGAGCAGUUGGUUCUUCGGGAGGACGGCGAUCCCGAUGAUACGCCGGGUUACCUCGUCGCCCUGCGGGCGUCGGCGGCUGCAGAGGCAGCGGCGGCUGUGAGGGAGGCCGCCGAGUAGGCAGCAGCGAUCCAGGCGGCGGCGGCGGUUCCGCCAAUGGUCCCACAGGCGGAGGCGGAGGCGUUGGAGUCGUGGGACGACGACGUCAUCGACUGGGAGCGGUUAGCCCAUGUCAGCGACGACGACGACGACGGCGGCGGGGGACGGCGAGACGGAGGUCAUCGAUCUGUUGGCUAGCGUCGAGGAGGAGUAGUAGUUUUUUUUAAAAUGUUCUAACUAUGAACUAUGUAUCGUUUAGGUUCGGAUAAACUCGUUUCGUUUCGGUAUUGUUGAAUGGACUAUGUAAAAUAUCUCUAUGUUCAAUCUAGUUUGUUCGAAUCUUGUUUUAAUUUGUCUUCAAAGUUUGUUAAAAAAAUUAGCUAAAUAUUGAACGCUUAUUUUGAGAAAAUUUGUAAAUUUUCCGACCCAUGCAUAAAAAUGUUCACAAUAUAUUUAAAAAAUUUCCGUCGAAUAUACAUAGCACAAAAUAAGGUAUGCAAUAAUCAAAAAAUUGUAGAAAUAAAAAAAAUCAUGAAAAUACAAAAAAUAUUGAAGAAAACUGAAUAAAAAAUCAAAAGUGUAUCUAAAUGUCAAUAAAGUGUUUUAGAAAUGUUCAGAUUUUGUUAAAAUAUGUGCAUAUAGUAAAGCUGGUGGAUGAAAAAAUUGAAAAAUUGAAAUAAAAAAUAUAACAAAUAAAUAAGAUUUUUUUUAAAAAGGUGAGAUAUUUUAAGUCAUUAACAUUUUCUGAAAUAUUAUUAAAUUCAUUAACAUGUAUGAAUCAGAUAAUAUUUUUAAAUUCAUUAACUUAUAUGAAUACGAGAAUUUUUAAAUUCAUUAACAUUUUCUGUAAUAUUUUUAAAUUCUUUAAAUAUAUGAACCAGAGAAUAUUUAUAAUUCAUUAAUAUUUAUGAAUCCGAGAAUUUUUGAAUUCAUUAACAUUAUCUGAAAUAGUUAUAAAUCCAUUAACAUUUAUGAAUUUUCUGAAAUAUUUUUAAAUAUUUGUAAACCUCCGGCCAUACCGAAACCACCCCCUUCCACAGCAAGUACCUGAGCGGUCUGAGGGAUUGCACCCAACUGUUGCGAGCGCGUGUGGCGCCCCACCCGGGCACCCCACGGCCAAAAUGAACGAAAUCCGACAACGAACGCACGUUGCGUCACGUCCGGGCAGCAUUUUCUGGGUUUUCGGCCCGGAAAAUCGUAGAAAAUCCAUACGGAAUCGAAACGGGACGAAUUUUUGCGUGCGAGCCCUCCUAGGGCACUGUAGCACGUGCAACAAAAAUGGGCACGUUUGGCGGAUGGAAAGCGGAGACAUGCGACCGAUGGUCCCCUCCNNNNNNNNNNNNNNNNNNNNNNNNNNNNNNNNNNNNNNNNNNNNNNNNNNNNNNNNNNNNNNNNNNNNNNNNNNNNNNNNNNNNNNNNNNNNNNNNNNNNNNNNNNNNNNNNNNNNNNNNNNNNNNNNNNNNNNNNNNNNNNNNNNNNNNNNNNNNNNNNNNNNNNNNNNNNNNNNNNNNNNNNNNNNNNNNNNNNNNNNNNNNNNNNNNNNNNNNNNNNNNNNNNNNNNNNNNNNNNNNNNNNNNNNNNNNNNNNNNNNNNNNNNNNNNNNNNNNNNNNNNNNNNNNNNNNNNNNNNNNNNNNNNNNNNNNNNNNNNNNNNNNNNNNNNNNNNNNNNNNNNNNNNNNNNNNNNNNNNNNNNNNNNNNNNNNNNNNNNNNNNNNNNNNNNNNNNNNNNNNNNNNNNNNNNNNNNNNNNNNNNNNNNNNNNNNNNNNNNNNNNNNNNNNNNNNNNNNNNNNNNNNNNNNNNNNNNNNNNNNNNNNNNNNNNNNNNNNNNNNNNNNNNNNNNNNNNNNNNNNNNNNNNNNNNNNNNNNNNNNNNNNNNNNNNNNNAGUGUUUUUGAAAUGUUCAGAUUUUGUUAAAAUAUGUACAUAUAGUAAAGCCGGUGGAGGAAAAAAUUGGAAUUUUGAAAUAAAAAAUAUAACAAAUAAAAAACAAAAAAAAACUAAAAAGGUGAGAUAUUUUAAUUCAUUAACAUUUUUUGGAAUAUUAUUAAAUUCAUUAACAUUUAUGAAUCAGAGAAUAUUUUUAAAUUCAUUAACAUAUAUGAAUACAAGAAUUUUUAAAUUCAUUAACAUUUUCUGAAAUAUUUAUAAAUUCUUUUAAUUUAUGAACCAGAGAAUAUUUACAAUUCAUUAAUAUUUAUGAAUCUGAGAAUUUUUAAAUUCAUUAACAUUAUCUGAAAUAGUUUUAAAUUCAUUAACAUUUAUGAAUUUUCUGGAAUAUUUUUAAAUAUUUGUAAACCCAACUUUUUAAAUAUUUUCGAGAAAAUUGUAGAAAAUCCAUACGGACUCGAAAUGGGACAAAUUUUUGCGUGCGUGCCCUUCUAGGGCACGGUAGCACGUGGAAAAAAAUUGGGCACGUUUGGCGGAUGCGAAGCGGAGACAUGCGACCGAGGGUCCCCUCCGGCCAUACCGAAACCACCCCCUUCCACAGCAAGUACCUGAGCGGUUUGACGGAUUGCACCCAACUUUUGCCAGCGCGUGUGGGGCCCCACCCGGGCACCCCACGGCCAAAAUGAACGAAAUCCGACAACGAACGCACAUUGCAUUACGUCUGGGCUGUAUUUUCUGGGUUUUUGGCCCGGAAAAUCGNNNNNNNNNNNNNNNNNNNNNNNNNNNNNNNNNNNNNNNNNNNNNNNNNNNNNNNNNNNNNNNNNNNNNNNNNNNNNNNNNNNNNNNNNNNNNNNNNNNNNNNNNNNNNNNNNNNNNNNNNNNNNNNNNNNNNNNNNNNNNNNNNNNNNNNNNNNNNNNNNNNNNNNNNNNNNNNNNNNNNNNNNNNNNNNNNNNNNNNNNNNNNNNNNNNNNNNNNNNNNNNNNNNNNNNNNNNNNNNNNNNNNNNNNNNNNNNNNNNNNNNNNNNNNNNNNNNNNNNNNNNNNNNNNNNNNNNNNNNNNNNNNNNNNNNNNNNNNNNNNNNNNNNNNNNNNNNNNNNNNNNNNNNNNNNNNNNNNNNNNNNNNNNNNNNNNNNNNNNNNNNNNNNNNNNNNNNNNNNNNNNNNNNNNNNNNNNNNNNNNNNNNNNNNNNNNNNNNNNNNNNNNNNNNNNNNNNNNNNNNNNNNNNNNNNNNNNNNNNNNNNNNNNNNNNNNNNNNNNNNNNNNNNNNNNNNNNNNNNNNNNNNNNNNNNNNNNNNNNNNNNNNNNNNNNNNNNNNNNNNNNNNNNNNNNNNNNNNNNNNNNNNNNNNNNNNNNNNNNNNNNNNNNNNNNNNNNNNNNNNNNNNNNNNNNNNNNNNNNNNNNNNNNNNNNNNNNNNNNNNNNNNNNNNNNNNNNNNNNNNNNNNNNNNNNNNNNNNNNNNNNNNNNNNNNNNNNNNNNNNNNNNNNNNNNNNNNNNNNNNNNNNNNNNNNNNNNNNNNNNNNNNNNNNNNNNNNNNNNNNNNNNNNNNNNNNNNNNNNNNNNNNNNNNNNNNNNNNNNNNNNNNNNNNNNNNNNNNNNNNNNNNNNNNNNNNNNNNNNNNNNNNNNNNNNNNNNNNNNNNNNNNNNNNNNNNNNNNNNNNNNNNNNNNNNNNNNNNNNNNNNNNNNNNNNNNNNNNNNNNNNNNNNNNNNNNNNNNNNNNNNNNNNNNNNNNNNNNNNNNNNNNNNNNNNNNNNNNNNNNNNNNNNNNNNNNNNNNNNNNNNNNNNNNNNNNNNNNNNNNNNNNNNNNNNNNNNNNNNNNNNNNNNNNNNNNNNNNNNNNNNNNNNNNNNNNNNNNNNNNNNNNNNNNNNNNNNNNNNNNNNNNNNNNNNNNNNNNNNNNNNNNNNNNNNNNNNNNNNNNNNNNNNNNNNNNNNNNNNNNNNNNNNNNNNNNNNNNNNNNNNGUGGUGCCCCACCCGGGCACCCCACGGCCAAAAUGAACGAAAUACGACAACAAACGCACGUUGCGUCACGUCCGGGCAGCAUUUUCGGGGUUUUCGGCCCGGAAAAUCGUAGAAAAUCCAUACGGACUCGAAAUGAGACGAAUUUUUUCGUGCGCGCCCUCUUAGGGCAUUAUAGCACGUGCAAAAAAAUGUGCACGUUUGGCGGAUGGAAAGCGGAGACGUGCGACCGAGGGUCCCCUCUGGCCAUACCGAAACCACCCCCUUCCACAGCAAGUACCUGAGCGGUCUGACGGAUUGCACCCAACUUUUGCGAGCGCGUGUGGCGCUCCACCCGGGCACCCACUACUAGGGAAAAGCCUAUACACAGAAUCUUAUCAGCAGCGCGCUUUAAAAUAAGGCGCUGCUGCUAAUUAGCAGUAGCGUGCUCGGGAGUAACUCGCUGCUGAAACCAAUAUAGCAGUAGCGCGCCCGCUCAAAGAAGCGCUACUGCUAUAAUUCCCACGAGGCCGCCACGAGGCUAGUUAUAGCAGCAACGCGUUAUAACGACGGGCGCUACUGCUAUGUAGCAUAGUAGCAGUGUAUUUCUGCAAUAAGCGCUACUGCUAAAUUUACUACAAAAGUUUAGCCCCAUCUCCUCUAUCCGAUCCACUCACACAGUCACACACUAGCUCACUGGAUCCCCUCUCAAUCCCCCGCGCCGGUCCACCCCCGUCGCCCCUCCUCCGUCUGCGCCGCCAUCACCUCCUCCUCCUUGCUGGACUCGGUACUGGCCUCCUCCUCCGUCCUCCCUCUCCACUCGCCGCUGGCCGGCCCCUCCUCGCUCCGCCUUCCUCCUCCGUCCUCCCUCCACUGGCCGCGCCGGCCGGCCCCUCCUCGCUCCGCCUUCCUCCUCCAUCCUACUCUCUUAUCCCUCCUCGAGUCGCCCCUCCUUCUCCCUCCUGCCCGCUACAUUUUGAUUUAGUAGCUAGGCUAGUUCAUAUGCAACAUUUUGAUUUAGUUGAUAUGAUUUAGUUGAUUUAGUAGGCUAGUUGAUUUAGUUGACUUAGAACAUUUUGAUUUAGUUGAUUUAAUAGGCUAGUUCAUUUAGUUGAUUUAGUUGACUUAGAACAUUUUGAUUUAGUUGAUUUAAUAGGCAAGUUUAUUUAGUUUAUUUAGUUGACUUAGAACAUUUUGAUUUAGUUGAUUUAGUAGGGUAGUUCAUUUAAUUAGUUGAUUUAGAACAUUUUGAUUUAGUUGAUUUAGUAGGCUAGUUGAUUUAAUUGAUUUAGAACAUUUUGAUUUAGUUGAUUUAGUAGGCUAGUUGAUUUAGUUGACUUAGAACAUUUUGAUUUAGUUGAUCGUUAAUCCUUUGCUCAUAUUGCUUUAGGAAAAAUGGCGCCACCACCACCACCACUAUGUCGAUUGUGCAAGUCAAGAUGCACCAGCAGCCUUGCAACUGGCAAGCUGUUCGGCAUCUACUUCCAGCCGAGUUUUCGUCAUGCGGCGGUAAGAAAUUAGAUGAAAUGUAAUAACUAUUUUGUUUUUAGUGUUGGCAUUACUGCAUUGUGUCAUUUUGCUUAUUUUACACAGAUCGUCCCAUUCAAUGUGAGGUUGAAAUUCAACAAGCUGACAGGAGACACUGUGACAUUUGAGGCUCCUGGGGGGCCGUACACUAUGGAGGUCGAGAAAGGACGCAAUAUGUCGCAGAUUGGAGGAGAUGGAUGGGCCCGUUUCGUCGCUCGCAUGCGUCUUACUAGUGGUGAGUUGAUCAACUUCUCCUUCCGAGCAGAAAGACCCAAGCUAGCUGUCAUUUAUCUCAACCUGGUGGAAGAUGAUGAAGAUGACGAAGAUGAUGAAGAUGAUGAAGAUAAUGAGGACCCACUCGAUGAAGAUGAUGAGGACCCACUUCAUGAAGCCAUCAUAGCUCAAAGAACAAGGCCGAGUGAGGAGCAGGUGUCCAACCUGUGGGACAUAAUUCCGCCACGUGCUGACUUUGUCGGGGUGCCAUUCGUGACUCGCUUGACAAAUACCAUGGUUGAUCGACAUGAUAUGGUAUGUUAUACUUACAAAUGCAAAUUAUCCGAUGAAUUACUUAGUGUACAGUCCAAUGAUAUGGUAUGUUGUGUGGAAUCUAGUCGAUGAUAUGUUUUAGUGUAGUGUUUGAUCACAUGCUUAUUAGUGUAGAAUCUAACGAAACUAUUAAUAGUGUAGAUAAUCCAUAUGUACUUAUUUGCGAGGCUAUUUAUUAAUUGAUAUGUUUUUCUUAUUCAGAAAUUGGCAAAGAGAAUAUCUGUGAGUUAUGGUAUCGAGCCUGAUGAAGAAGGCUCGGCUGGACUACGCCUUACUGCAAGGGGCUCCGUCACAACCUGUACUUACCGCGUGGACACGGACGGUCGCACACUCUUAAAUUCGGUUGGGUGGAAGAAAUUCCUCGAUGGCAAGAAUCUUCGUGUUGGACAGGCCAUCCUAAUUACUAUCAGGAACACCAACCGCCCAGGCUUAAGGAUGAUGAUUGUCUUCGAUAUCAUCUAGAACUACAGAUGUGUGUGUGGCUAUAUCAUCUAGAACUACAUAUGUGCGUGUGGCUAUAUCAUCUAGAACUACGUAUGAUGAUCGUCGUCAAUAUCAUCUAGAACUACAUAUGAUGAUGGCCGUUGAUAUGACCUUGUACUGCUUGAGGAUGCAUGUUGACUAUGCAUGAAAUUGUUAUCUAGUACUCCCUUCGUUCCAAAUUACUCGUCGUGGUUUGCACUAAAACCACGACGAGUAAUUUGAAACGAAGGGAGUACUACCUAGUAAUGGUUUAUGAAUUUGAUAUCUACUAGCAGUACCUAGUAUCUAGUAUCUGAAAGGGAAACUGAAAGGGAAAGGCGUAAUGGGAAAAUGAUGAAAGAUAUAGAAGUAGCGAGGGAAGGCGAAAUCGGUACAACUAGGUAAUAGUAGCGCGUUCUUAAAAAGCGCUGCUGAUAUCGUAAAUAGUAGUAGCGCGGGUAAGGGCUGCGCUACUACUAUGAGUUAGCUGUAGCGCCUUAUUAGUAGCGCGUCCACCCGCGCUGCUGCUAGCCUCAAAACCCGUGCUACUACUAGGGUUUUCCCUAGUAGUGACCCCACGGCCAAAAUGAACGAAAUCCGACAACGAACGCACGUUGCGUCACGUCCAGGCAACAUUUUCGGGGUUUUCGGCCAGGAAAAUCAUAGAAAAUCCAUAUGGACUCGAAACAGGAUGAAUUUUUGCGUGCGUGCCCUCCUAGGGCACUGUAGCACGUGCAAAAAUAUGGGCACGUUUGGCGGAUGCAAAGCAGAGACAUGCGACCGAGGGUCCCCUCCGGCCAUCCCGAAACCACCCCCUUCCACAGCAAGUACCUGAGCGGUCUGACGGAUUGCACCCAACUUUUGCGAGCGUGUGUGGCGCCCCACCCGGGCACCCCACGGCCGGAAUGAAUGAAAUACGACAACGAACGCACGUNNNNNNNNNNNNNNNNNNNNNNNNNNNNNNNNNNNNNNNNNNNNNNNNNNNNNNNNNNNNNNNNNNNNNNNNNNNNNNNNNNNNNNNNNNNNNNNNNNNNNNNNNNNNNNNNNNNNNNNNNNNNNNNNNNNNNNNNNNNNNNNNNNNNNNNNNNNNNNNNNNNNNNNNNNNNNNNNNNNNNNNNNNNNNNNNNNNNNNNNNNNNNNNNNNNNNNNNNNNNNNNNNNNNNNNNNNNNNNNNNNNNNNNNNNNNNNNNNNNNNNNNNNNNNNNNNNNNNNNNNNNNNNNNNNNNNNNNNNNNNNNNNNNNNNNNNNNNNNNNNNNNNNNNNNNNNNNNNNNNNNNNNNNNNNNNNNNNNNNNNNNNNNNNNNNNNNNNNNNNNNNNNNNNNNNNNNNNNNNNNNNNNNNNNNNNNNNNNNNNNNNNNNNNNNNNNNNNNNNNNNNNNNNNNNNNNNNNNNNNNNNNNNNNNNNNNNNNNNNNNNNNNNNNNNNNNNNNNNNNNNNNNNNNNNNNNNNNNNNNNNNNNNNNNNNNNNNNNNNNNNNNNNNNNNNNNNNNNNNNNNNNNNNNNNNNNNNNNNNNNNNNNNNNNNNNNNNNNNNNNNNNNNNNNNNNNNNNNNNNNNNNNNNNNNNNNNNNNNNNNNNNNNNNNNNNNNNNNNNNNNNNNNNNNNNNNNNNNNNNNNNNNNNNNNNNNNNNNNNNNNNNNNNNNNNNNNNNNNNNNNNNNNNNNNNNNNNNNNNNNNNNNNNNNNNNNNNNNNNNNNNNNNNNNNNNNNNNNNNNNNNNNNNNNNNNNNNNNNNNNNNNNNNNNNNNNNNNNNNNNNNNNNNNNNNNNNNNNNNNNNNNNNNNNNNNNNNNNNNNNNNNNNNNNNNNNNNNNNNNNNNNNNNNNNNNNNNNNNNNNNNNNNNNNNNNNNNNNNNNNNNNNNNNNNNNNNNNNNNNNNNNNNNNNNNNNNNNNNNNNNNNNNNNNNNNNNNNNNNNNNNNNNNNNNNNNNNNNNNNNNNNNNNNNNNNNNNNNNNNNNNNNNNNNNNNNNNNNNNNNNNNNNNNNNNNNNNNNNNNNNNNNNNNNNNNNNNNNNNNNNNNNNNNNNNNNNNNNNNNNNNNNNNNNNNNNNNNNNNNNNNNNNNNNNNNNNNNNNNNNNNNNNNNNNNNNNNNNNNNNNNNNNNNNNNNNNNNNNNNNNNNNNNNNNNNNNNNNNNNNNNNNNNNNNNNNNNNNNNNNNNNNNNNNNNNNNNNNNNNNNNNNNNNNNNNNNNNNNNNNNNNNNNNNNNNNNNNNNNNNNNNGGGACGAGUUUUUGCGUGCGUGCCCUCAUAGGGCACUGUAGCAUGUGCAAAAAAAAUGGGCACGUUCGGCGGAUGCAAAGCGGAGACAUGCGACCGAGGGUCCCCUCCGGCCAUACCGAAACAACCCCCUUCCACAGCAAGUACCUGAACGGUCUGACGGAUUGCACCCAACUUUUGCGAGCGCGUGUGGCGCCCCACCCGGGCACCCCACGGCCAAAAUGAACGAAAUCCGACAACGAACGCACGUUGCGUCACGUCCGGGCAACAUUUUCGGGGUUUUCGGCCCAGAAAAUCGUAGAAAAUCCAUACGGACUCGAAACGGGACAAAUUUUUGCGUGCGUGCCCUCAUAGGGCACUGUAGCACGUGCAAAAAAAAUGGACACGUUUGCUAAGUUAAAAAAAUAGCCUAUUUGAUUAAGCUAAAAAUAUGGGCAUGUUUGGCUACGUUAAAAAAAUUGGUUAAGGCAAUUUUUUUUGAUAAUGUGCCUACUUUAUUUACUUAAAAUAAAAGAGGACCUGUAAAAAAAACGCCGGCCGUCUCGCUAACCGACGUGCUUGUGUGUAUGGGGCCGUCCCACUAACAACGACGCCGCAAUCAGCGCUUGGGCGACGUCGUUAGCUGACGCGCAUGCAAAUUUUCCUUGUACGUACAGCCCGUCUCGCCGCCGCCGCGAUCUGAACGUGCUGCCGACGUACGCCGUCCGUCGCCCCACACUCCAAAACGGCGCUGGUGCCUCUCCCACCGUCGCCCCACCGUCCAAACGCCAUCCGUGCGCCCGCGCCGGCUUGCGUCCCCUGACCCGUCGCCCUCUAUACGCCGCCGGUGCCUCCCCCACUGUCGCCGUCGUGUAAGUUUUUUUUCCAGUUGCUUCAUACAACGAGGCUCAUAGCAGUACGAUGGUAUGUGACAAAAAUCUAUUUGAUGCAGUAUGAAUAUCGACGGUGUGAUUCCAUAUUCUGUUCAAAAGUGGGUUAGCCUAGUUGACAAACUGUCACCCAGUCAGAAAUUCCAGUUUUAUGAAACGGAUAUGCAGGGCAUGUUUAGAAUACCAUCAAUAAAGAUGCGUGAUUUUUUGCUUCACUUUUUACUCCAAGGUUACAAUCCGAGUAGCAAAAAAUUUAUGGUUGAAGAGAGUUCUGGAAGUACUGCUGGAAAUAAAGGUCUUAUUUCACUAAGGCCUGAUGAUGUGUACUCCAUUUUUGGUUGGAAAAACAAUGGAGUGGAUGUUUUUGGGUUUCUUAGUACUGAAGGAGCAAAAGCAACCAAAAAAAAUACCAGUUAGUUUUGUUAGCAAGAAAAAUGGUAAGAUCAUGAUUGAUGAUCUCAUAGAAAAGAUUGUGAAGAACAACAGCACUGAUGAUGACUUUAUUCGGAUGACAUUUCUAGUUCUUUUAGGAACUAUAAUUGCACCAGUGUCUCAUGAAUACGUUCCAAAAAAAUACUAUGCCUUAGUGCAAAAUAUUAAGUUGAUAAGGAAGUUCAACUGGAAUGCAUUCACUUCACGAUUCUGUUUGUCUGUCGGAGAUUGGUAAGCUUCUGCAGGACGACCAUGUUAGGCAGUGGCCCCAGGGGAACCUCGCCCUUUUGCAAGUACGUUGUAUUUAUUAAUUUGAACACUUUUCUUACAAAAUGUCACGGAAAAACAUGUAAUUUAAUUACUUUAUGUGUUUUGCAGUACCUAUACUGGGAGAAGGUGCAACCAAUCACCGGUCCAAAAUAUGAUCCGUUGGCAUUGUUGAGCCCGCUGAUGAGGAACUGGACGGAAGAUAUGGCUGUGAGAAGAGACAAAUAUGACUAUGAAUAUGGUCGUGGUGUUGGGAUGGUAAUCCUAGUAAUCAUGUUUUUUUUUUACAUUUAUGAAACAAAGUUAAGUGUGCGUAUGGUUUGUAUGUAUAAUUCUCUUGUUGCAUUUGUAGAUCAAUGACAACAUUACAGAGGAGUAUAGGCUGAAAAAAAUUGCAGAAGAAGAAGCUCAAAAAACCAAGAAAGCUAGUAGCAAAAAGUCUAACGUUACUGGAACGAGGAAAGAGGGCAGUACCUCAGAGGCUUCGAGCCAGAAGCCUACUAUGGACCGGAUUUUGAGUGAGAUGAAUGAGCUUCGGAAGGAAAUGCUUCGUUUGCUAGAGUUAUGCGCACAGGUAACACUUGAGCAUGUCACUUUAAUAUCCAUCACCGAAUUGAAGAACUAAGAUGAAAUGUUUUCUUGCAGAGGAUGAUUGAGAAACUGAACAAAACCGACGUCUUCUACAAACCCAGUAACCUGGAAGAGGACGAAGAGAAUCUGCACGGAGGCAAUAAUGAGUCUUCAAAUGAUGGUAGACGUCCGGAAAAAGAGUUUGUAUAUAAAAAAGAUGAUUCAGACCGGUUCCGCACACCUUCCAAAAUGAAUUUGCAAAAGGAUGAUGACGGCGGUGAUGUAACUUCUCAUGGAAACACACAUUUUUACUGCACACCUGAGUACUGGGAUAGUUUCAAGGGUGAUAUGGAUGAUCCUAUCCAAGUACCAGAAGUAUCAGAUGAAAAAGCUGCCACAUCUUUAGGGACGGACGAAAUCGCAUCGCAUGCGUCGCUUGGUUCUCAAGGAGUACAAGAGGAAGUGGAGGAGGUUACUGGCAGGCGCAAGCGCAAAGGAUCACAACAUGUCAAGUCUCCUUAUGUGGUCCCUAAACCGAACAAGCAUGCAAAACGUUCUGCGAAAGGAAGUAAGUUUUUUGUGUUUCUAAUUGUUCUUGCAUAAUAAUUAUUUAUAUAUUUGCGUAUAUAAUUAUUUGAGUUGUGCGUUACAGAAUUGUUCCAAAAUGGUGGUGUUAACAAAUCUAGUGAUGAGUAUGAUGUGGUGAAAGCGUCCAUCAAGUACGUGCGCGCGCAUGAGCAUUCACAAAAACAUGCCCAAACAAAAAAUUUCAAUGAUGGCUUGGAAGAAGGUCUCACUGUGCGGAGAGCUUGUCAGAUUAUAAACCAUGAGUGGCUAAGUGGAGACGUAAGUUAAUUUCAUAUAUUGUUUUACAAUUGAUUCGAAAACACCAUUGUUAAAUCUGACACAUUAUUUAUAGGUAAUUAAUGCAUACUCAUCAUAUUUGCUCGACAAAGUUAGUGAUGAUCGUUUCAUGUUGACAACUUGGAGGAUACAUUGGUUGCUUCAUGUUAGACCCGGGAAGAAGACCGCCGGUAACGAUUAUGAAGCAGAGUCGCAUAGUAAUGGACCCGUUAAUAGAUGUGAGGACGAGUAUUUCAAAAAAUCAAAGGUAAGUUCGAUUGGUUACACGGUACAUACAUACGAUAGUAUGUGCUGAUUGUGUUUUAUGGUCCUUGUGAUGCAGACUUACAUUCCUCUAAACAAGCAGAACAAUCACUGGAUUACUGUCGUCAUGCAUGGCGGGAAGAGAGAGUUUCAGGUUCUUGACUCGUUGAUGAACGGAAAACUUGACAGUGUUACUAGAGAACUCGUUGAGGACCUGGUAGGUUUAACUUUCAAAUGUGCAUUUGGUAACAUUGAUUUUUUUAGUACACUGAAUGACAUUCUUUCCACCAUUUUUAUUAUAUCUUUAGAGAAAACAACUAGCAUAAGAUAUCCAAGAAGCAAAUGCAAAUUGUGAAUUAUCCGGAUGUUUCCAAUUGGCCUAUUGAAACGUAUGACAUGCCAAUGUUGGGGAACGUAGUAAUUUCAAAAAAUUUCCUACGCACACGCAAGAUCAUGGUGAUGGCAUAGCAACGAGAGGGGAGAGUGUUCGUCCACGUACCAUUGUAGACCGUAAGCGGAAGCGUUAUGACAACGCGGUUGAUGUAGUCGUACAUCUUCACGAUCCGACCGAUCCAAGCACAGAACGUACGGCACCUCCGAGUUCAGCACACGUUCAGCUCGAUGACGAUCCCCGGGCUCCGAUCCAGCAAAGCUUCGGGGAAGAGUUCGGUCAGCAUGAUGACGUGGUGACGAUGAUGAUGUUCUACCGGCGCAGGGCUUCGCCUAAACUCCACGACGAUAUGACCGAGGUGUAAUAUGGUGGAGGGGGGCACCGCACACGGCUAAGGAACGAUCCGUAGAUCAACUUGUGUGUCUUUGGGGUGCCCCCUGCCCCCGUAUAUAAAGGAGGGAGGGGGGAGGCCGGCCGGCCUUGUUGGGCGCGCCAGGAGGAGGAGUCCUCCUCCUAGUAGGAGUAGGACUCCUCCUUUCCUACUCCUACUAGGAGGGAAAGGAAGGGGGAGAGGAGGGGAAGGAAAGAGGGGGGCGCCGCCCCCCCUCCUAGUCCAAUUCGGACCAGAGGGAGAGGGGGCGCGCGGCCCGUCCUGGCCGCCCCUCUCUCUUCCCACCAAGGCCCAUGUGGCUCAUUAACUCUCCGAGGGGGGUCCGGUAACCCUCCGGCACUCCGGUUUUCUCCGAAAUCACCCGGAACACUUCCGGUGUCCGAAUAUAGUCGUCCAAUAUAUCAAUCUUUAUUUCUCAACCAUUUCGAGACUCCUCGUCAUGUCCGUGAUCACAUCCGGGACUCCGAACAAACUUCGGUACAUCAAAACUUGUAAACUCAUAAUAAAACUGUUAUCGUAACGUUAAGCGUGCGGGCCCUUUGGGUUCGAGAACUAUGUAGACAUGACCUAGAACUAUUCUCGAUCAAUAACCAAUAGUGGAACCUGGAUGCCCAUAUUGGUUCCUACAUAUUCUACGAAGAUCUUUAUCGGUCAAACCGCAUAACAACAUACGUUGUUCCCUUUGUCAUCGGUAUGUUACUUGCCCGAGAUUUGAUCGUCGGUAUCCAAUACCUAGUUCAAUCUCGUUACCGGCAAGUCUCUUUACUCGUUCUGUAACACAUCAUCUUAUAACUAACUCAUUAGUUACAAUGCUUGCAAGGCUUAGGUGAUGAGUAUUACCGAGAUGGCCCAGAGAUACUUCUCCGACAAUCGGAGUGACAAAACCUAAUGUCGAAUUAUGCCAGCCCAACAUGCACCUUCGGAAACACCUGUAGAUCACCUUUAUAAUCACCCAGUUACGUUGUGACGUUCUAUAGCACACAAAGUGUUCUUCCGGUAAAUGUGAGUUGCACAAUUUCAUAGUUGCAGGAACUUUGUAUAAGUCAUGAAGAAAUCAAUAGCAACAUACUAAAUGAUCAAGUGCUAGGCUAACGGAAUGGGUCAUGUCAAUCACAUCAUUCUCCUAAUGAUGUGAUCCCAUUAAUCAAAUGACAACACAUGUCUAUGGUUAGGAAACAUAACCAUCUUUGAUUAAUGAGCUAGUCAAGUAGAGGCAUACUAGUGACUUUAUGUUUGUCUAUGUAUUCACACAUGUAUCAUGUUUCCGGUUAAUACAAUUCUAGCAUGAAUAAUAAACAUUUAUCAUGAUAUGAGGAAAUAAAUAAUAACUUUAUUAUUGCCUCUAGGGCAUAUUUCCUUCAGUCUCCCACUUGCACUAGAGUCAAUAAUCUAGUUCACAUCACCAUGUGAUUUAACACCAAUAUUCACAUCUGUAUGUGAUUAAUACCCAUAGUUCACAUCGUCAUGUGAUCAACGCCCAAAGGGUUUACUAAGGUAUGAUCAUGUUUUGCUCAUGAGAGAAGUUUAGUCAACGGGUCUGUCACAUUCAGAGCCGUAUGUAUUUUGCAAAUAUUCUAUGUCCACAAUGUUGGGGAACAUAGUAAUUUCGAAAAUUUCCUACGCACACGCAAGAUCAUGGUGAUGCAUAGCAACGAGAGGGGAGAGUGUAAUCUACAUACCCUUGUAGACCAAAAGCGGAAGCGUUAGAACAACGCGGUUGAUGUAGUCGUACGUCUUCACGGCCCGACCGAUCAAGCACCGAAACUACGGCACCUCCGAGUUCUAGCACACGUUCAGCUCGAUGACGUCCCUCGAACUCCGAUCCAGCCGAGUGUCGAGGGAGAGUUCCGUCAGCACGACGGCGUGGUGACGAUCUUGAUGUUCUACCGUCGCAGGGCUUCGCCUAAGCACUGCUACAAUAUUAUCGAGGAGGACUAUGGUGGAGGGGGGCACCGCACACGGCUAAUAGAUCUCAAGGAUCAAUUGUUGUUGUGUCUUUGGGGUGCCCCCUGCCCCCAUAUAUAUAGGAGCAAGGGGGGAGGCGGCCGGCCUAUGGAGGAGGCGCACCAAGGGGGGAGUCCUACUCCCACCGGGAGUAGGACUCCUCCUUUCCUUGUUGGAGAAGGAAAGAGGAGGAGUAGGACUCCUCCUUUCCUUGUUGGAGAAGGAAAGAGGAUGAGAGGGAGAAGGAAAAGUGGGCUGCCCCCCUUGUCCAAUUCGUACCNNNNNNNNNNNNNNNNNNNNNNNNNNNNNNNNNNNNNNNNNNNNNNNNNNNNNNNNNNNNNNNNNNNNNNNNNNNNNNNNNNNNNNNNNNNNNNNNNNNNNNNNNNNNNNNNNNNNNNNNNNNNNNNNNNNNNNNNNNNNNNNNNNNNNNNNNNNNNNNNNNNNNNNNNNNNNNNNNNNNNNNNNNNNNNNNNNNNNNNNNNNNNNNNNNNNNNNNNNNNNNNNNNNNNNNNNNNNNNNNNNNNNNNNNNNNNNNNNNNNNNNNNNNNNNNNNNNNNNNNNNNNNNNNNNNNNNNNNNNNNNNNNNNNNNNNNNNNNNNNNNNNNNNNNNNNNNNNNNNNNNNNNNNNNNNNNNNNNNNNNNNNNNNNNNNNNNNNNNNNNNNNNNNNNNNNNNNNNNNNNNNNNNNNNNNNNNNNNNNNNNNNNNNNNNNNNNNNNNNNNNNNNNNNNNNNNNNNNNNNNNNNNNNNNNNNNNNNNNNNNNNNNNNNNNNNNNNNNNNNNNNNNNNNNNNNNNNNNNNNNNNNNNNNNNNNNNNNNNNNNNNNNNNNNNNNNNNNNNNNNNNNNNNNNNNNNNNNNNNNNNNNNNNNNNNNNNNNNUCGACCAUUUUGAGACUCCUCGUCAUGUCCCCGAUCUCAUCCGGGACUCCGAACUCCUUCGGUACAUCAAAACUCAUAAACUCAUAAUAUAACUGUCAUCGAAACCUUAAGCGUGCGGACCCUACGGGUUCGAGAACAAUGUAGACAUGACCUAGAACUAUUCUCGGUCAAUAACCAAUAGCGGAACCUGGAUGCUCAUAUUGGCUCCUACAUAUUCUGCGAAGAUCUUUAUCGGUCAAACCGCAUAACAACAUACGUUGUUCCCUUUGUCAUCGGUAUGUUACUUGCCCGAGAUUCGAUCGUCGGUAUCCAAUACCUAGUUCAAUCUCGUUACUGGCAAGUCUCUUUACUCGUUAUGUAAUGCAUCAUUCCGUAACUAACUCAUUAGCUACAUUGCUUGCAAGGCUUAUAGUGAUGUGGAUUACCGAGAGGGCCCAGAGAUACCUCUCCGACAAUCGGAGUGACAAAACCUAAUCUCAAAAUACGCCAACCCAACAUGUACCUUUGGAGACACCUGUAGUACUCCUUUAUAAUCACCCAGUUAUGUUGUGACGUUUGGUAGCACCCAAAGUGUUCCUCCGGUAAACGGGAGUUGCAUAAUCUCAUAGUUACAGGAACAUGUAUAAGUCAUGAAGAAAGCAACAGCAACAUACUAAAUGAUCAAGUGCUAAGCUAACGGAAUGGGUCAAGUCAAUCACAUCAUUCUCCUAAUGAUGUGAUCCCGUUAAUCAAAUGACAACUCUUUUGUCCAUGGUUAGGAAACAUAACCAUCUUUGAUAAACGAGCUAGUCAAGUAGAGGCAUACUAGUGACACUAUGUUUGUCUAUGUAUUCACACAUGUAUUAUGUUUCCGGUUAAUACAAUUCUAGCAUGAAUAAUAAACAUUUAUCAUGAUACAAGGAAAUAAAUAAUAACUUUAUUAUUGCCUCUAGGGCAUAUUUCCUUCAGUCUCCCACUUGCACUAGAGUCAAUAAUCUAGUUCACAUCAUCAUGUGAUUUAACACCAAUAUUCACAUGUGUAUGUGAUUAAUACCCAUAGUUCACAUCGUCAUGUGAUCAACACCCAAAGGGUUUACUAGAGUCAAUAAUCUAGUUCACAUUGCUAUGUGACUAACACCCAAAGAGAACUAAGGUAUGAUCAUGUUUUGCUCGUGAGAGAAGCUUAGUCAAUGGGUCUGUCACAUUCAGAGCCGUAUGUAUUUUGCAAAUAUUCUAUGUCUACAAUGCUCUGCACGGAGCUACUCUAGCUAAUUGCUCCCACUUUCAAUAUGUAUCCAGAUUGAGACUUAGAGUCAUCUGGAUUGGUGUAAAAGCUUGCACCGAUGUAACUUUUACGACGAGCUCUUUUAUCACCUCCAUAAUCGAGAAACAUCUCCUUAGUCCUCACUAAGGAUAUUCUUGACCGUUGUCCAGUGAUCUACUAUUAGAUCACUAUUGUACUCCCUUGCCAAAUCAGGGCAGAGUAUACAAUAGGUCUGGUCCAUAGCAUGGCAUACUUUUAUAGAACCUAUGACUGAAUGCAUAGGGAAUGACUUUCAUUCUCUUUCUAUUUUCUGCCGUGGUCGGGAUUUGAGUCUUACUCAAUUUCAUACCUUUGCAACACAGGCAAGAACUCUUUCUUUGACUGUUCCAUUUUGAACUAUUUCAAAAAAAUUAUCAAGGUAUGUACUCAUUGAAAAAUCUUAUCAAGUGUCUUGAUCUAUCUUUAUAGAUCUUGAUGCUCAAUGUGUAAGCAACUUCACCAAGGUCUUGCUUUAAAAAAAACUCUUAUUCAAGUAUCCUUUCAUGCUAUCCAGAAUUUCCAUAUCAUUUCCAAUUAACAAUAUGUCAUCCACAUAUAAUAUUAGAAAUGCUACAGUGCCCCCACUCACUUUCUUGUAAAUAUAGGCUUCUUCAAAAGUCUGUAUAAAACCAUAUGCUUUGAUCAACUCAUCAAAGCAUAUAUUCCAUCUCCGAGAUGCUUGCACCAGUCCAUUGAUGGAUCGCUGGAGCUUGCACACUUUGUUAGCACCUUUAGGAUUGACAAAACCUUCUGGUUGCAUCAUAUACAACUCUUCUUUAAUAAAUCUAUUAAGGAAUGUAGUUUUGACAUCCAUUUGCCAGAUUUCAUAAAAUGUGGCAAUUGCUAACAUGAUUCGGACAGACUUAAGCAUCGUUACGAGUGAGAAAAUCUCAUCGUAUUCAACACCUUGAACUUGUCGAAAACCUUUUACAACAAGUCGAGCUUUGUAGAUAGUAACACUACUAUCAGUGUCCGUCUUCCUCUUGAAGAUCCAUUUAUUUAACAUGGCUUGCUGAUCAUCGAGCAAGUCAAUCAAAGUCCAUACUUUGUUCUCAUACAUGGAUCAUAUCUCAGAUUUUAUGGCCUCAAGCCAUUUCGUGGAAUCUGGGCUCAUCAUCGCUUCCUCAUAGUUCGUAGGUUCAUCAUGGUCUAGUAACAUGACUUCCAGAACAGGAUUACCGUACCACUCUGGUGCGGAUCUUACUCUGGAAGACCUACGAGGUUCUGUAGUAACUUAAUCUGAAGUUUUAUGAUCAUCAUCAUUAACUUCCUCACUAAUUGGUGUAGUAGUCAUAGGAACAGAUUUCUGUGAUGAACUACUUUUCAAUAAGGGAGCAGGUACAGUUACCUCAUCAAGUUCUACUUUCCUCCCACUCACUUCUUUCGAGAGAAACUCCUUGUCUAGAAAGGAUCCAUUCUUAGCAAUGAAUAACUUGCCUUCCGAUCUGUGAUAGAAGGUGUACCCAAUAGUUAACUUUGGGUAUUCUAUGAAGACGCACUUCUCCGAUUUGGGUUUGAGCUUAUCAGGUUGAAACCUUUUUCAUAUAAGCAUCGCAACUCCAAACUUUAAGAAACGACAGCUUAGGUUUACUUCUAAACCAUAGUUCAUACAAUGUCGUCUCAACGGAUUUAAAUGGUGCCCUUUUAACGUGAAUGCAGCUGUCUCUAAUGCAUAACCCCAAAACGAUAAUGGUAAAUCAGUAAGAGACAUCAUAGAUCGAACCAUAUCCAAUAAAGUGUGGUUACGACGUUCGGACACACCAUAACGUUGUGGUGUUCCAGGUGGCGUGAGUUGUGAAACUAUUCCACAUUGUUUUAAUUGAAGACCAAACUCGUAACUCAAAUAUUCGUCUCCGCGAUCAGAUCGUAGAAACUUUAUUUUCUUGUUACGAUGAUUUUUCCACUUCAGUCUGAAAUUCUUUGAACCUUUCAAUUAUUUCAGACUUAUGUUUCAUUAAGUAGAUAUACCCAUAUCUGCUUAAAUCAUCUGUGAAGGUCAGAAAAUAACGAUACUCGCCACGAGCCUUAAUACUCAUUAGUCUGCAUACAUCAGUAUGUAUUAUUUCCAACAAGUUUGUUGCUCAUUCCAUUGUUCUGAAGAACGGAGUUUUAGUCAUCUUGCCCAAAAGGCACGGUUCGCAAGCAUCAAAUGAUUCAUAACCAAGUGAUUCCGAAAAUCCAUCUUUUAUGGAGUUUCUUCAUGCGCUUUACACCAAUAUGACCUAAACGGCAGUGCCACAAAUAAGUUGCACUAUCAUUAUUAACUUUACAUCUUUUGGUUUCAAUAUUAUGAAUAUGUGUAUCACACGAUCGAGAUCCAGCAAACCAUUUUCAUUGGGUGUAUGACCAUAGAAGGUUUUAUUCAUGUAAACAGAACAAUAAUUAUUCUCUAACUUACAUGAAUAACCGUAUUGCAAUAAACAUGAUCAAAUCAUAUUCAUGCUCAACGCUAACGCCAAAUAACAUUUAUUGAGGUUCAACACUAAUCCCGAAAGUAUAGGGAGUGUGCGAUGAUGAUCAUAUCAAUCUUGGAACUACUUCCAACAUUCAUCGUUACCUCACCCUCAACUAGUUUCUGUUUAUUCUGCAACUCCCGUUUCGAGUUACUACUCUUAGAAACUGAACUAGUAUCAAAUACCAAGGGGUUGCUAUAAACACUAGUAAAGUACACAUCAAUAGCAUGUAUAUCAAAUAUACCUAUGUACACUUUGCCAUCCUUCUUAUCCGCCAAAUACUUGGGGUAGUUCCACUUCCAAUGACCAGUCCCUUUGAAGUAGAAUCACUUAGUCUUAGGCUUAGGUCCAGACUUGGGCUUCUUCACUUGAGCAGCAACUUGCUUGCUGUUCUUCUUGAAGUUCCCCUUCUUCCCUUUGCCCUUUUUCUUGAAACUAGUGAUCUUGUCCACCAUCAACACUUUGAUGUUUUUCUUUGAUUUCUACCUUCGCCGAUUUUUGCAUCGCGAAGAGCUUGGAAUUGUUUUCGUCAUCCCUUGCAUACUAUAGUUCAUCACGAAGUUCUAGUAACUUAGUGAUGGUGACUAGAGAAUUCUGUCAAUCACUAUCUUAUCUGGAAGAUUAACUCCCACUUGAUUCAAGCGAUUGAAGUACCCAGACAAUCUGAGCACAUGCUCACUAGUUGAGCGAUUCUCCUCCAUCUUUUAGCUAUAGAACUUGUUGGAGACUUCAUAUCUCUCAACUCGGCUAUUUGCUUGAAAUAUUAACUUCAACUCCUGGAACAUCUCAUAUGGUCCAUGACGUUCAAAACGUCUUUGAAGUCCCGAUACUAAGCCGUUAAGCAUGGUGCACUAAACUAUCAAGUAGUCAUCAUAUUGAGCUAGCCAAACGUUCAUAACGUCUGCAUCUGCUCCUGCAAUAGGUUUGUCACCUAGCGGUGCAUCAAGGACAUAAUUCUUCUGCGCAGCAAUGAGGAUAAACCUCAGAUCACGGAUCCAAUCCGCAUCAUUGCUACUAACAUUUUUCAACACAAUUUUCUCUAGGAACAUAUCAAAAUAAACAUAUGAGAGCAACAACGCAAGCUAUUGAUCUACAACAUAAUUUGCAAAAUACUACCAGGACUAAGUUCAUGAUAAAUUUAAGUUCAAUUAAUCAUAUUACUUAAGAACUCCCACUUAGAAAGACAUCCCUCUAAUCUUCUAAGUGAUCACGUGAUCCAAAUCAACUAAACCAUACCCGAUCAUCACGUGAGAUGGAGUAGUUUUCAAUGGUGAACAUCACUAUGUUGAUCAUAUCUACUAUAUGAUUCACGCUCGACCUUUCGGUCUCCGUGUUCCGAGGCCAUAUCUGCAUAUGCUAGGCUCGUCAAUUUUAACCUGAGUAUUCCGCGUGUGCAAAACUGUCUUGCACCCAUUGUAGAUGGACGUAGAACUUAUCACACCCGAUCAUCACGUGGUGUCUGGGCACGACGAACUUUGGCAACGGUGCAUAUUCAGGGAGAACACUUCUUGAUAAUUUUUAGUGAGAGCUCAUCUUAAAAUGCUACCGUCAAACAAAGCAAGAUAAGAUGCAUAAAGGAUAAACAUCACAUGCAAUCAAUAUAAGUGAUAUGAUAUGGCCAUCAUCAUCUUGUGCUUGUGAUCUCCAUCUCCGAAGCACCGUCGUGAUCACCAUCGUCACCGGCGGAAACCUUGAUCUCCAUCGUAGCAUCGUUGUUGUCUCGCCAACUAUUGCUUCUACGACUAUCGCUACCGCUUAGUGAUAAAGUAAAGCAAUUACAGGGCAUUUGCAUUUCAUACAAUAAAGCGACAACCAUAUGGCUCCUGCCAGUUGCCGAUAACUUUGGUUACAAAACAUGAUCAUCUCAUACAAUAAAAUAUAGCAUCACGUCUUGACCAUAUCACAUCACAACAUGCCCUGCAAAAACAAGUUAGACGUCCUCUACUUUGUUGUUGCAAAUUUUACGUGGCUGCUACGGGCUUAGCAAGAACCGUUCUUACCUACGCAUCAAAAACCACAACGAUAGUUCGUCAAGUUAGUGCUGUUUUAACCUUCGCAAGGACCGGGCGUAGCCAUACUCGAUUCAGCUAAAGUGAGAGAGACAGACACCCGUCAGUCACCUUUAAGCACGAGUGCUCGUAACGGUGAAACCAGUCUCGCGUAAGCGUACGCGUAAUGUCGGUCCGGGCCGCUUCAUCUCACAAUACCGCCGAACCAAAGUAUGACAUGCUGGUAAGCAGUAUGACUUGUAUCGCCCACAACUCACUUGUGUUCUACUCGUGCAUAUGACAUCUACGCAUAAAACCAGGCUCUGAUACCACUGUUGGGGAAUGUAGUAAUUUCAAAAAAAUUCCUACGCACACACAAGAUCAUGGUGAUGGCAUAGCAACAAGGGGGGAGAGUGUUCGUCCACGUACCCUCGUAGACCGUAAGCGGAAGCGUUAUAACAACGCGGUUGAUGUAGUCGUACGUCUUCACGAUCCGACCGAUCCAAGCACCGAACGUACGGCACCUCCGAGUUCAGCAGACGUUCAGCUCGAUGGCGAUCCCUGGGCUCCGAUCCAGCAAAGCUUCGGGGAAGAGUUCCGCCAGCACGACGGUAUGGUGACGAUGAUGAUGUUCUACCGGCGCAGGGCUUCGCCUAAACUUCGAGACGAUAUGACCGAGGUGGAAUAUGGUGGAGGGGGGCACCGCACACGGCUAAGGAACGAUCCGUAGAUCAACUUGUGUGUCUUUGGGGUGCCCCCUGCCCCCGUAUAUAAAGGAGGGAGGGGGGAGGCCGGCCGGCCCUUGUUGGGCGCGCCAGGAGGAGGAGUCCUCCGCCUAGUAGGAGUAGGACUCCUCCUUUCCUACUCCUACUAGGAGGGAAAGGAAGGGGAGAGGAGGGGAAGGAAAGAGGGGGGCGCUGCCCCCCCUCCUAGUCCAAUUCGGACCAGAGGGAGAGGGGGCGCGCGGCCCUUCCUGGCCGCCCCUCUCUCUUCCCACCAAGGCCCAUGUGGCCCAUUAACUCUCCGGGGGGGGGGGGGUUCCGGUAACCCUCCGGCACUCCGGUUUUCUCCGAAAUCACCCGGAACACUUCCGGUGUCCGAAUAUAGUCGUCCAAUAUAUAAAUCUUUAUGUCUCGACCAUUUCGAGACUCCUCGUCAUGUCCGUGAUCACAUCCGGGACUCCGAACAAACUUCUGUACAUCAAAACUUGUAAACUCAUAAUAAAACUGUCAUCGUAACGUUAAGCGUGCGGACCCUACGGGUUCGAGAACUAUGUAGACAUGACCUAGAACUAUUCUCGGUCAAUAAACAAUAGCGGAACCUGGAUGCCCAUAUUAGUUCCUACAUAUUCUACGAAGAUCUUUAUCGGUCAAACCGCAUAACAACAUACGUUGUUCCCUUUGUCAUCGGUAUGUUACUUGCCCGAGAUUUGAUCGUCGGUAUCCAAUACCUAGUUCAAUCUCGUUACCGGCAAGUCUCUUUACUCGUUCUGUAACACAUCAUCUUAUGACUAACUCAUUAGUUACAAUGCUUGCAAGGAUUAGGUGAUGAGUAUUGCCGAGAUGGCCCAGAGAUACUUCUCCGACAAUCGGAGUGACAAAACCUAAUCUCGAAUUAUGCCAACCCAACAUGCACCUUCGGAAACACCUGUAGAGCACCUUUAUAAUCACCCAGUUACGUUGUGACGUUUGGUAGCACACAAAGUGUUCUUCCGAUAAACGCGAGUUGCACGAUCUCAUAGUUGCAGGAACUUUGUAUAAGUCAUGAAGAAAGCAAUAGCAACAUACUAAACGAUCAAGUGCUAGGCUAACGGAAUGGGUCAUGUCAAUCACAUCAUUCUCCUAAUGAUGUGAUCCCAUUAAUCAAAUGACAACACAUGUCUAUGGUUAGGAAACAUAACCAUCUUUGAUUAAUGAGCUAGUCAAGUAGAGGCAUACUAGUGACUUUAUGUUUGUCUAUGUAUUCACACAUGUAUCAUGUUUCCGGUUAAUACAAUUCUAGCAUGAAUAAUAAACAUUUAUCAUGAUAUGAGGAAAUAAAUAAUAAUUUUAUUAUUGCCUCUAGGGCAUAUUUACUUCAGCCAAAACAACAUGAUGGGUGAGUUAUUACUUUGACAGCAUGUCGGUCCUGUAUGUACAGUAGAUAUUUAAUCUUCAUAAAUUGUAUGCACUAGGAAUUCGUGUGGAAUAUUUCUCCUUCGAUGCUUUCAAUAUUGGGAUGGUGACAAAUGGACAGGCUUAUUUUCACAGGUACGCAAGUCAUGUUUGUACUACCAUGUACUAUGAACGCUGUGCUAACAGCACUUUUUUCCAGAGGUCAAUUGAUGAUUCGAGAGAGGUAAUGAUUGUGCAACUUAUCUUUUCAGAAAGAAAUAAGCUUGAUGAAGUGAAAAACAAAGUUAUUCAAAUAUCAAAGAAGAAGAAAUAGAUGCGGCACGGAGGAGUUUUGCAUGUGAUUGGGUGGUACUGGAGGACUAUAUUUUCCAAACGCUUUGCGCACUUGCUUAUAAAUUUUAUGUAACAGACAUAUUUAUUGAUUUUGCCACUAUUUUGUUCCAAAAAGAUUAUACACUUGAUUACAUUUUUUAUGACCACAUGAUAUUGUCUUUCAUAAAUAUUAUAUAAUCAGUCUUUUUUUUGUUACAUGAUUUUUUUUGUUUCCGAAUAGUUGUAAACUAUGGUAACACAUUAUUAAAAAAAACGCGACGAUUUUAUUUAUAAAUACAAAAAAGAAUUACAAAAAAUAAACCUAAUGUUUAGAUUUACAUAUAUGUAAUCGUGUUGUCGUUAAGUUUUUAUACACUAAACUAUGGCAGCACACUGCGUGUUACUUUGUUAGCACAAAGUUAGUUUACAGCACACUUUUUGUUAGUUUAGUUUAGAAAAGCUUAAAAAAUAUUUUAGGUAAAAAAAUUGCCCGCCCGUCUAUAGUGUGUCUUAGUAAGCCCGUCGUUAUCAAGCCCACCGGACGACUAUGAUAGGCGUUUCAGAACACAGCGUGCAAACUAGGCCCAACAGGGCAGCAUCGACGCGAUCCAUCGACGGGUAGUAACAGAGGAGUUCAAUGGGACGACGGGAGCUGAGUAUAUAAGCUGGUCGUCGUCCCCUUCGGCCGGCGAGGUGGGACUAAACUUGCGUCGGCCGCGGGGCGACGUGGACACAGCCAGACGCGACGUGGGCCGACCCAAAAAGGGAAUGGACGGCGCAGACUUCUGAACGGCUCGACGCGCCGUGGGUCGGCCCAGUUACCCCCGCUGAGACGACGCGCGACGAAAACUACCAUUCAGUUUAGUCCCACCUCGCCGGCCGAAGGCGACGACGACCAGUUUAUAUACAGAGCUCCCGUCGCCACAUUGAACUCCUAUGGUCUAUUACCCCGUCGAGUCUGCCCUGUUGCGCCUGGUUUCCACGGCGUGCUCCGAAAUGCCGGUUGUAGUCGCCCGCUGGGCUUGAUAACGAUGGUCUUAUUAAGACACGCCGUGGAGACGGAUGGGCAUUUUUUUCCUUUUUUUUCAACAACAAUUCGCACAGUACUUCUCUUAUUUAAAUAUAGUUGACAGCCGACGGGACUAGUAAGUACAUGCAGAAUUCAUAAUAUAAACAAUGAAUAUAUAGUAAAUACAUGCAGAAUUCACCAUAUAAACAAAGAAUAGUGAAUAUUUAUAUCAACAACAAUGAUGUCUCAACAUAACAAUUGUCACCACAGUAAUUUUAUUGUAGUGGACAGAAAAUAACAAGUCUCAAAUGAGAACGGUCUGUAGGAAAUAAUCUUGUUUCACACAUAUAAAAUACUCAACACGAACAUAAAUGGAAGAGGUAAAGCACUUGCAUUUUCUUCACUUGAGUCUUCAAGCCCAGUUGCUGCAUAGAAUAAAUAAAAAAAAUGUGAGAAUCAAUGUACGGUAGAUGAAUCAAUGAAACUAAUAUAAACAAAGCAAAAAGACGUACAAUUACAUAUAAAUGGAAGCAGUAAAACAGAUGCACCGUCGUCACUUCUGUCUUCAAGCCCAGUUGCUGCAUACAAAAAACUAUGAGAAUCAAUGUACCGUAAAUGAAAUAGCAAAACUAACAUACACAAAUAAUAGACAUACUCUUCAUUUUUGCUGCAUGUGCUCCUGUUAUGACCUGAGCCGCUGCAUAUGCUACAUUUUCGUCCAGAUUUCUCGUCAAAUGCUUUAGGCCUCUCAUUUUUUGUCACAUCUGGGCCACCCUUACCGUGACCUCUACUAUUCUGCUUAGGUGCGCCCUUGGUGGAAACCUUUACUAGAUUACGAACCAGAAUAUGGUCUCGGUUAGGCUCAAAUGGAUUAUUGUUAAUGAAGCUUCUCUGACUAUCAUCUUCAUUUCCUUGUAUGUCCUUAUUCGCUAUAAUAUCAUCCAGAGCUGCCAUCAACUUGUCGAAUAAGAAAGGAUUACUGCAUGCGACAUGACAUGCUUCUGAAGAUUUGAUGGUCAACUCACUAUAUCUAGCUUUGUCCUCACCACUGGACCAACCCCACGCAAACAAAUCGCUGGUGCGCUUCACGGGCAGUCCAGCUCGUGCUUUUUUUGAUAAUCUUCGUAGGACACAACACUUGGCUAUCACAGGUAAGUUUAGUGCAUUCAAAACAUGAAUAAUAUGCUUGCAAGGAAGCCCUUUGCAAGUCAUACUUCGGCAACUGCACUUUAUAGUUUCUGCGGAGUUACCUGGCGUAUAGUCCACAUUAAAUCUGUGAUCCCUGUUAUUCUUCCACGCAACCACAAAUCUCUGACUAUCGGUCCCUGUCAGUCUAUCAAUUACCUCAAGCUCUUGUACCUUCUUCAUAUCUUGUUGCAACAUAUAAAAGUUUUCCUGCGUGAAUGCUUUCGCAGCAUAUGACUCAAUGGCCUGACACUCAAUCACUGUUACUGGAAGAGUCUGUGAGGCCGUGUAGUCAUCAUAAGCUUCAUUCUCACGGAGGCGAACAAUACAAUUCUCGUAGUGUACAAUCAUGUCAACGAUCGUCAUACCAUAGUCAAGAUGAAGGUGUAGGCUGGAGUUCAGACUCUCACCCCUCUGAUUACUGCGCAUACCAAGGAAAAACCCACCAGACAAAUAUGAUGCAGCCCAAAGCGUCCUCUUCCUGUACAUCCUAUGGAGCCAUGUUUUCGUUUUCUCCGUCUGCCAUUUGUGCACAAACGCGGCCCAUCUCUCCUCAAAAACCUUAUGUGUAGUGGCAUAGUACAAUAAUGCCCUAAACUCCUUCAAUGACUUGUGGUUGAGGUGUUUCUGCAUAUUCUUUUCAAUAUGCCAUGAACAUAGACGAUGCCACACAUCAGAAAGCACCUUCCUGAUAGCCCUUAUCAUCGCUGCAUCUCCAUCGGUAAUUACAGAUUUGGGCCUCUACUGAUAAUUAGCUUUCAAGAACGUGUUAAGCAACCAAACAUAUGUAGCUUCAGUCUCGUCUGAAACAAUGGCGCAGGCGAAUACCGUAGUGCAACGGUGGUUGUUCAGACCCACAAAAGGGAUGAAUGGCAUUCCAUACCUGUUCAUCUUGUAUGUGCUGUCAAACACAACAACAUCACCAUGGUCUAGGUAAUCCCGGCGUGACUGCGAAUCACACCAGAAAAGGUUUUGGAGCUUGCCUUCAGCGUCAACCGUGUGCUCAAAGAAGAAGUCUGGAUCUCUGUCCUUUCUGGUCAACAUGAUUCCUAUGGCAGUAUCGGCAUCACCUUCUUCAAGCAAUUUCAUCUUCUCCCUAUAGCACAUGUUAUACAGCUUUGUCCUCUGAAACGGUGACUUUGCAUACGACCCAUACCUGCUAAUGAUGUUGUAAAAAAUGAUGUGUUUUCUUAUCCCAGCUCCAGCCAUAGCUAAGAUCUCAGCUCUCUCAAAUGCUUUGAUCUGAUUAUGAGAUCGGAGGAAAGGGACUUCAUCCGGUCGUGCAAGAGUGUGGCUGUGAUCAUCGGGGAAACUGCUAACAUACCAAAGAUUGAGCUUUUUAUCAAGCUUAACUGUCAAAUGGGCUUCGCAUAAGAAUCGACUCUCCGGUCUAAGCCUGCGGGUCCGGCUUUCCAUGGUACAGAACUUGGCCUGUCGUUUUCCUGCGGCGGAACAGAGAUACCUCCUCAAGCGCGGAGUCCUUGCGCGAUCCUUCGAGAAUUUUAGCGAGUCCUUCCUGAUGCUAAACCCACAUUCUCUCGCGUGCUUGUUGUAGAACGUGUACACCUCGUCUAAUGACUUGAAUGUCUUUACCAUCACUGCCCAAUGCCUAUCAAGUGACUCUUGCUGAUAUUCAUCAUAUCACAUGUCAAGGUCAAACUAAUCAUCAUCACUGUGCUCAUCGUUCCCGCUAGGACCAUCAAUACCUCCCUGCAAAAUAUGACAUAUAACCUUGCAUGUCAAUCUGUUCUUGUAUUUUUACUAACCAUAAAUAAUAUAAAUAACUUACUUGGCUACCGCUCCCACUACGAGAUGCAUCGACCUCGCUCUCGGCAUUGUCAUCAUCUAUAUUAUUACGCUCAUUUUCACCAUUAGCAUUUAUCUGUGCACAUGUAAAGUAACAUAAGUGUUCAUACAAUUUUAAUGUCAAUCAUUUCUCUACAAUUUUUUCAACAUACCUGGCUCACACUAUCUGCAUAAAAGUGUUCAUCUAUAUCAUAUUCCUCAUCGUCAUCAUUGCCAUGUAGAUGUACAAAUUUAAAAGGACAUGUAAGUGUGAAAUAAAUAAUUCGUAUUCAAUAUGUUUUGGUCAACAUUGAAGACACUUACAUUACCACUGUACGAUUCAUCCUGACUCAUAUAGUUGUCUCCGGGAGGUUGAUUCACAUUCAAUGACGAGGAUCCAUUAUCGCUACUGGAAUCAUCACCGGCGUAUCCGGUUAUUUGCUCCAUCUAUGCACACACGAAUAAGGUGUGAGAUCAAUGCUAACAUUCCACAAAACAUCAUCGCGAAUACAGUAAAUUCGUCAACAGUGACAUGACUAUGUGGCAUGCAUACAAAUUUGAACAUACAAAAUCAUUAUGAGGUCAUUAAGAGGUCACUACUCUCCUCUCUUAUUUAGCUAAGUAGUGAAUCAUUUUACAUACAAAAAUGCACAAAAAUGCAAUGGACAAAUCAAAAANNNNNNNNNNNNNNNNNNNNNNNNNNNNNNNNNNNNNNNNNNNNNNNNNNNNNNNNNNNNNNNNNNNNNNNNNNNNNNNNNNNNNNNNNNNNNNNNNNNNNNNNNNNNNNNNNNNNNNNNNNNNNNNNNNNNNNNNNNNNNNNNNNNNNNNNNNNNNNNNNNNNNNNNNNNNNNNNNNNNNNNNNNNNNNNNNNNNNNNNNNNNNNNNNNNNNNNNNNNNNNNNNNNNNNNNNNNNNNNNNNNNNNNNNNNNNNNNNNNNNNNNNNNNNNNNNNNNNNNNNNNNNNNNNNNNNNNNNNNNNNNNNNNNNNNNNNNNNNNNNNNNNNNNNNNNNNNNNNNNNNNNNNNNNNNNNNNNNNNNNNNNNNNNNNNNNNNNNNNNNNNNNNNNNNNNNNNNNNNNNNNNNNNNNNNNNNNNNNNNNNNNNNNNNNNNNNNNNNNNNNNNNNNNNNNNNNNNNNNNNNNNNNNNNNNNNNNNNNNNNNNNNNNNNNNNNNNNNNNNNNNNNNNNNNNNNNNNNNNNNNNNNNNNNNNNNNNNNGGGGGGGGGGGUGUACCGAAGUCCUUCUCUUUAAGAAUAUCAUGUUCAAUUGCCCCAUGGAAUCGGACCACCUUCCAUCCUUGACGACGAGGAGGUGGUAACGUGCGAACAGAAUCAUCUCACACAGUACCACCCAUCUACUGCCUUUCAAGGUGGCACAAGUCCAGGUCGACACAAUCGCCUUGAUAACAGAUGCAACCUCCAGUUCGCAAGCUCCGCCAAGAAGAGCAAAAGUGAUAACAAUGUUGGGUGUGGUGUAGCCAUCUCUUUUGCUCUUUGUGAAGAUCACAAGAGCGGUGAAGCAAGAAACAAGCGAAAUGGCACGGGCGCAGUAGCCAUACCAUGUGUGAAUCACUUGUGCCUUGGUGUAGAGCAUGUCGUACAUCAGGCCGAGCUCCACCUCUAUUGUCUUGUACAUCUCCCCAGUAUGCCUCGUCUCCUGCGCUGAGGCAUCUUCGCUCUCGUGGUCUUUCCCUAGAUUUGCAUGACUCUUGAUUAGUCGAGUUGUGGUAUCACUCCAGACAAUGGAUGCCUCAUUCCUGUCUAUGAUUAAAGGCUUGACGAGUACAUCCCGCAACGCAUGUGCUGUCAACACAGUAAAUGCAUAAGUUCUAAGCUAUUUGUUUUGGGUGAACCACCCCGACCACCAAGGUAUCCAGCGCUUUGUGGGCAUCUUUCUGGAUAAUAUCUCACGACCAGGAUAAGCAGGGGGUGCACGAAAUUCCUCCAGAAAACAACGAAUACUUUUGUACAGAAAUUCCUUCCAUCCUGGAGUUUCAUAAUGGGAACCCUUCUUGCUUGCAAGCAUCAGUGCUCAUAUCCUCUCACCGUACUUGACUACUCCGACGGACAAAGGUUGCCCCGCCUGCCAUGCUGUACUUGUAGAGCACAUAUGCUGCGCAGGCGACCUGCAGAAACAUAUUCAGCAGGUGGCGCCGCCAGAGUUCAUUGUCCUCCAGGGCGUAAGACUGGACGUACGAGCGAGCUUUUCGACUCGGCCCGAAGCUCGCUCCAGCUCGGCCCGUUACAGCUCGGCUCGACAGGAUUAUCGAGCGGGCCGAGGUCUGAAAACAGGCCCGUUUCGCGACCGAGCCGAGCCGAGUUUCGGCCGGUCCAGCUCGGUGACUCGUUAGCGGCCCAGCCCAAUUCCACCAUUCAUCACAAUGGCUAGCGCAUUAGGGCACAAGCAACCACAGCCAAUCUCUCGUCUCUCCCUUUCUCUGCUCUGCGCCACCUCGCCCCUCUCUCGCCACGCCNNNNNNNNNNNNNNNNNNNNNNNNNNNNNNNNNNNNNNNNNNNNNNNNNNNNNNNNNNNNNNNNNNNNNNNNNNNNNNNNNNNNNNNNNNNNNNNNNNNNNNNNNNNNNNNNNNNNNNNNNNNNNNNNNNNNNNNNNNNNNNNNNNNNNNNNNNNNNNNNNNNNNNNNNNNNNNNNNNNNNNNNNNNNNNNNNNNNNNNNNNNNNNNNNNNNNNNNNNNNNNNNNNNNNNNNNNNNNNNNNNNNNNNNNNNNNNNNNNNNNNNNNNNNNNNNNNNNNNNNNNNNNNNNNNNNNNNNNNNNNNNNNNNNNNNNNNNNNNNNNNNNNNNNNNNNNNNNNNNNNNNNNNNNNNNNNNNNNNNNNNNNNNNNNNNNNNNNNNNNNNNNNNNNNNNNNNNNNNNNNNNNNNNNNNNNNNNNNNNNNNNNNNNNNNNNNNNNNNNNNNNNNNNNNNNNNNNNNNNNNNNNNNNNNNNNNNNNNNNNNNNNNNNNNNNNNNNNNNNNNNNNNNNNNNNNNNNNNNNNNNNNNNNNNNNNNNNNNNNNNNNNNNNNNNNNNNNNNNNNNNNNNNNNNNNNNNNNNNNNNNNNNNNNNNNNNNNNNNNNNNNNNNNNNNNNNNNNNNNNNNNNNNNNNNNNNNNNNNNNNNNNNNNNNNNNNNNNNNNNNNNNNNNNNNNNNNNNNNNNNNNNNNNNNNNNNNNNNNNNNNNNNNNNNNNNNNNNNNNNNNNNNNNNNNNNNNNNNNNNNNNNNNNNNNNNNNNNNNNNNNNNNNNNNNNNNNNNNNNNNNNNNNNNNNNNNNNNNNNNNNNNNNNNNNNNNNNNNNNNNNNNNNNNNNNNNNNNNNNNNNNNNNNNNNNNNNNNNNNNNNNNNNNNNNNNNNNNNNNNNNNNNNNNNNNNNNNNNNNNNNNNNNNNNNNNNNNNNNNNNNNNNNNNNNNNNNNNNNNNNNNNNNNNNNNNNNNNNNNNNNNNNNNNNNNNNNNNNNNNNNNNNNNNNNNNNNNNNNNNNNNNNNNNNNNNNNNNNNNNNNNNNNNNNNNNNNNNNNNNNNNNNNNNNNNNNNNNNNNNNNNNNNNNNNNNNNNNNNNNNNNNNNNNNNNNNNNNNNNNNNNNNNNNNNNNNNNNNNNNNNNNNNNNNNNNNNNNNNNNNNNNNNNNNNNNNNNNNNNNNNNNNNNNNNNNNNNNNNNNNNNNNNNNNNNNNNNNNNNNNNNNNNNNNNNNNNNNNNNNNNNNNNNNNNNNNNNNNNNNNNNNNNNNNNNNNNNNNNNNNNNNNNNNNNNNNNNNNNNNNNNNNNNNNNNNNNNNNNNNNNNNNNNNNNNNNNNNNNNNNNNNNNNNNNNNNNNNNNNNNNNNNNNNNNNNNNNNNNNNNNNNNNNNNNNNNNNNNNNNNNNNNNNNNNNNNNNNNNNNNNNNNNNNNNNNNNNNNNNNNNNNNNNNNNNNNNNNNNNNNNNNNNNNNNNNNNNNNNNNNNNNNNNNNNNNNNNNNNNNNNNNNNNNNNNNNNNNNNNNNNNNNNNNNNNNNNNNNNNNNNNNNNNNNNNNNNNNNNNNNNNNNNNNNNNNNNNNNNNNNNNNNNNNNNNNNNNNNNNNNNNNNNNNNNNNNNNNNNNNNNNNNNNNNNNNNUAUGAGUGUGUGACUGAAUGGAAGAUAGAGAAGAAAAUUAUAUCCAUCACACUAGACAAUGCUUCAAACAAUGAUGUUGCGGUCAGAGGUUUGAAGGCAAAGUUUGCUGUUCGGAGAGGUAUACUUAUUGUUUUGGUAGUACACAUGCUUUGUUUAAGGCAAAAUUAGAUCCACCACGCUAGACAAUGCUUCAAAUAUAUGGUUAUAUGCUUGCUGUUUUUGUUGAACAUAUGUUCAUAUACUUGCAGUUUUGGUUGAAUAUAUGGUCAUAUUCUUGCUGUUUUUGUAGUAUACAUGCUUUGUUUAAGGAAAAUUAUAUCCAUCACACUAGACAAUGCUUCAAACAUAUGGGUAUAUGCUUGCUGUUUUUGUAACUUUGGAUGUUAACUUGUCAUCCUAUCCUUGAACUUAGAUAUGUCUACUUGUAUGGUUUUAGAUGACUACGGGAGUUCUUUGAAACCAGAAAUGGUGGAAGCCUUGGUGUGUGGUGCUAGUUAUAUCAAAGGUUCUCACAAGGACUUCAAUGUGGUGGUAUGAUUCCUAUCUUGUUCUUCUAUGGUUCCUGUCUAUUUCUUGUAUAUAUGUGGCUAACUUCUGAAUANNNNNNNNNNUUGAUGUGGGGGAUAACAACAAUUGGUAACUAUUCUUUCGACACGUUUCAGUUUUCAUAUAUUGACAUGAUCCCAAUAUGUUUACAAAUCUGUGUUACAUGUAGACAUUCGUCAUGUAGGUGUUGUUCUUGCUGUUUUGAAGAUGGAUGUCUACAUGAUCUUGUCACGUGGAUUGUUGAGGUCAAUGUGAUCGUCUCAUGCCAUUUCUUUUGUUGUGAUGAACUUCAAAUUAUGUGUUUGUUGUGAUGAACUUUGAAUUACCCGUGUUUGCUGUGAUGAACUUUGAAUUACCCGUGAUUGUUGUGAUGAACUAUGGACCUUGAGUGAUGUUGUGAUGAACCAUGCACUUUCAACGAUGUUGUGAACUUGUGAUGAAAUAUGAACUUUGUAUUAUGUGGUUUUCACUAAUCAUUGUUUGGCUGUCAACAUUUUCUCAUUUUUUAUGUCAAAGUGGUAAUGUUAUGCUAUACAAAAUUUCUUUGUUUGGCUGUCCAUAUUUGAUAUUUUGCUGUGUAAAGUUCAAAGGGAGUUCUGUCCAAAAUUCAGUACAAAUGCUGCCCAAUUAUUUCUCUCAUAUUUGCUCCUUUGUUACAAUUUUCGUAGAAGAAUUCAUACAAGAAAGCUUGUUUUUCAUUACUAUGACCAUUUAUUAAAACAAUAGAUUGCUGGAUGUUUCAUUUUUAGCAAUAUAAACUGUUUAUUUUCCAAAAUAUGGGUUUAAUUGCAGAAAAAAAUCAAGACUAUUGACUAUAUACGUUGGUUCUGUAGUAAAAGAGGUUUUGGCCUUCUGGGGGCAGCUGGCUUACGAGCCGGCUCGGUCUGAGCCGAGCCGUACCUAAAAUGAACCGAGCCGCUUGAAGUAGGCUCGUUGGCUGAGCGAGCCGAGCCGAGCCGAGCCGCUCCAGAGCGAGCCAAAGCCAGGCUCGGAUCAAGCUCGGCUCAGCUCGGCUCGUGUCCAGCCCUACCAGGGCGUACACAGUGAUGGUGUCCUGGCCGCCGAGGUGUAGCACGAGGAACGGCGCCCAGAACGCCACCAGCUGCUGCUCGCCGGACGAUUUCUUCGACAAUGACGCGGACAUGUGCCCCAGGGCGUAUAUCGCAACGACAUCAGCAAGCAGAUAUAGCAGCCAGAGGAGGACCUUGAGAACAAACGAAACAUUGUAGCGGCGAAUCCCAGCAAGGAAGAAGAGGAUAACCUGCAGACUGAAGCUGGCAACAACAACAACGGUCUGGAUCUCCCACUCAUUCCACAAAUCCAGCCAAGAUUGCAUCGGUGCUCCAGCUCCAGCUCCACCCAUUGAUACGCCAACCUACAAGCAAGAAUUAAAUAUAAACAUAUAUGCAUACAUAUAUAUUCGAAAUAUGUCACGAGCUUGGAGAAAUAGCAUUAUGUACGAAUGCUUACCUGUGGAUGAGCUAUGUUACCCAGCAUGAUAUGAACAGGGCCUGGAUAUGAAGGUUGCAAGCUAAGACACAGAACCGCAACAAAAUUGCUAGCUCCUGGAGUGAGAGCUCAAGAGAGGUAGUGCUACAAGAAGAAUGGACGGAUCGCGUGUAUGAACAUGCAUAUAUCAAACCAAUCAGAUACAGCUACUCCGUUCCGACUCACCAGGUUUUUCUUUAUGCUGCGGGGAUGCCAAGUGACCCAUUAUUUUUCUUUUUGGCAGGGAUUCCUAGUAGCCAGUGGCCGGCUGCGCAGGUAAAAUAAUGUCUGCUUUUGCCAAAGAGCUCGGUCUCCCGCGCGCAGCACGCUGCUGCUCCGACAACAAGUGCGCGGGUUCCAACACUUGUUCAUUUUGCGAGGAGCGUACAUGCUGGCUCGCUUUUGCCAUUCAAAUGAGACACAAGGAAAGUGGGGGACAACAUGUGACCACGUGAACACUUCUCUCUCUCAGGACCUCCGCUCACAUGCUUUUUCUUUUGAUGUUGGAUUUUUUUUCUGAAGUUGAAAUUCCAAAAGUUUUGAAAAUUUUGAAAGUUUGGAAGUUUCACAUUUCUCAAACUUGCCUUCUUCUGCAAGUUCAAAUUUCUAAAAGUUCCAAGUUUUCAAAAGUUUUGAACUAAAACUUUUUUCCAGUGCAACUAGGAGAGAAGUCUAAGUUGCAUUUUUCUGAAUCAACUUGGGCAUAAGAAAAUCUCCUAAAACCAUUGUAGGCUUUGAGUUUUUUAUCCCGCCGAAAUAAGUUUUGUACAUCUUUGAACUAUCAAAAAUUUACCUCAUUUAAAUUGUAUGGGUGUUUUCUUUCUCUAAGUUACUUUAUGUGAGAACUGCUGGAGUUUUGGUUUGACCUUUACAGUCUUGUUUUGAUUUAGAGCACCAAUGCAGAAAAAUAAAUGGUGCAGUUUUUAUGUAAAAACACAAGGAAUUUCAUGUGACAAAUAUAAAAAGAGAAAUUUCUAGGCAGAUUUUAUGUAAAAGGCGCUAGGCAUGUGAAAGUUAUUACAGCUUCAGUGUGCAAUUUUUUCUUUCUACAUUGUGUAUGGAGUGGCUGUGAUUUUAGAAGACUUCAUGUGCAAAGCUGAAGACUUCAUGUGCACUUGUUCCAUCAGGCCAGCACCUAUCCGACCACCACCAUCUAACUUGCCUCGGUUUUCCUGCAAUAAAAUUACAGCCCAAGAUCGCAAUGUUCAACUGGCAAAUUAAAAAAAUCACUUCGUUGGGAUGCAUUAAAACUGCUUUGCGGUCGAAACAUGUGCAUCCAGUUCCCAAACACACCAUACAUAACAGUGAUGCAAUCCACACAGAAACCAACCCCUGCAAAAUUUCAGCCCCAUGCACCAAACAACUCAUCUCCAUUUCUAGACAAAGUUCUCGACGAAAAGGCAGAGUUAAUCACUCUCCGUACAGCCGCAGAAAGAUGCUGAUUUUGGAAGGAAUUUUACACGGAUGCAGAAUGAAAGCAACAUAACCAUUAGAGCUUUUACUGCCUUACACAUGACGCGGCUAGUGAAAAUCAAAAAUAGUAUCAUACUAAUAGUUUGGGUGCGUGGGACUUACAAAUUGGCAAAAGAGAUGAGGUUACAUGCUUCAGCAGCCGCAAUAAGGCUGGAAUCGAAAUGGAUACAAAAAUCAACGAAUAACAUACGACAAUGGAAUCGCAUAUGCUGGAUUCGAGGAGAACAGGUUUGCAGAUUGUUGACCUGCUAUAUUGGGCGGAUUUCGGUGAUCUCAUCGUUGCAGCCAUCAUCCACAUUUAUUACGACGUGCCCAGAACCAUUGUUGCAGAUUUCAGAGAUCUCAUCGUUGCAAUCAUCCUCCACAUUCAGUACGACCUGGCGACCAGCACUAGCUUCCACAGCUUCAUCAGGUUUUAUGUACGACUUUGCUGGUUUCUCAUCUAAAAAAGCGGAAUAUUCAGUGAGGAGCAGGAUGUGGGUCAGAAACUCACCACCAUUGCUCAGCUGCCUGGCGUGGAAUCCCCCAGAUGCAUUCUUUGCUGCGUAGCACAACAUCUCCACCCACACUGUUCCAAUUAUCGCCAUCUUGUGUGCGAGGCCCAACUCCAUGUCGAGCAAUGUGUGAGCAAGAGUGCAUGUUUUCACCAGCACAGCAUCGCCCGGGUGAACAUCCCAACUGGGAUGUGUCAAGUCACCAUAUAGUUCUUCUGUAUAUUCACGACGCUCGCUCUCCACCCAGCCACCACAUGGAUCGUCCUUAAGAUGCUUGCCCCCUUUAUUGUAAUCCAGAAUUACCUGGUGAAAAUCAACCACAUUACUUCUGUUCCAGCCUACCAUACCCAAACCGUAACAGAGGCAGGUUUCCUUAAACAUGUCCCUAGCAGUCGGUUUCAUGGGCAGAAUGUCAGGGUGCUUGACAAGGAGGUACAUCAUGUAAUGAGACAGUGUGUUAACUUCUUCAGCCAUGUCCUUGUCGACCAGCUUCCGUUUGACGGCAGGGUGAUUGAGGAAGGUGCUUGUUGCUAUAUGCCAGAUAAGCACACUCUUGUGAAAUCCAUAACUCAGGCUCCAAUCAAGCUGUUUGAUCUGGGCGACGCCGCUGAACCUGCGAGCCCAGUUCCCACUCCGCAUGUCCACCUCUUCAAUUUCAAUUUCAAACAUAUGAGUCUUGUCACCUUUGAGCAAGCCCCAUACGAACUCCUUGACCUUGAGGGUAGGCGAAAGCUUGGCAUGUUUGGUGCAGCGAGCUUUGUCCCAAAAGUCCUUGACUCAAUCAAACGGGCUAUUGUUCCCUUGAGGCCCCUCUUGCUGCUGUGAGCACAGAAGGAUAUGAAAUCAAAUUGCCCGACGGAAUUGGACCACCUUCCCUCCUUGACGACGACGAGGUGGUAACGUGCAAACAAAACUGCAUUGGCCAGCCACUUCCAUCUGUAGCGUCUCAAGAUGUCAAAUGCCCAUGUUGACCCAAUCGCCUUGAAAAAAGAUGUGACCUCUAGUGCGCAUGCUCCGCCCAGAAGAGCAAAAGUGAUAACAAUGUCGGGUGUGCUGUAUCCAUCUCUCUUGCUUUUUGUGAAGACCACAAGAGCGGCGAAGCAACACACAAGUGAAAUGGCACGGAUCCAGUGGCCACGGCUUUUGUGGAUCACUUGUGCCUUGGUGUACAACAUGUCGUACAUUAGGCCGAGCUGCACCUCUACUCCCUUGUACAGCUUCUUAAUAGUCCUCUUCUCCGUUGCCGAUGCAUCUUCGCUCUCGUCGUCUUGGCAGUCAAAGCCUCGUACAAGACUAUCUGCGAGAUACAUUGUACUGUAAUUCUGGUCCAUGAAUGCCCCAUACCAGUCUAUGGACGCCUCAUUCCUGUCUAUGAUUAAAGGCUUGACAAGUACAUGGCGCAACGCAUGUGCCGCCGUCACAAUAAAUGCAUAUGCUCUAAACUGUUUGUUUUUGGUGAAGCAGUCUCCACCGUUUUGGCGACGCCAGUCUUCAUGUUUUUGCUGUGUCUCCCUUUUGGCAGGAGAAUAAGGAAUAGUGUUGGCCUCUGGAUCACGUCUUGGCCUUGUGGUAUCACCCUUGCUUGCAAGAUUCAGCGCCCAUAUCCUCUCGCCAUACUUGAAAACCCCGGCAGCAAGAAUCAACAUAGCGGCACGGACAAAGGUCGCCUCCCCUGAAUUGAUGUACUUGUAGAGCACAUACGCAGUGCCGGCGACCUGCACCAACAUAUUUAACAGGUGGCGCCGCCAGAGUUCAUUGUCCUCCAGGGCGUAAGCGGUGAUGGUAUCCUGGCCACCAAGGUGCAGCAGGAGGAAUGGCGCCCAGAAUGCCACCAGCUGGUGCUCGCCGGAUGAUUUCUUUGACAUGACCGAGGACAUGUGCCCCAGGCCAUACGUCGCAACGACAUCGGCAAGCAGAUAUAUCAGCCAGAGGAGGACCCUGAGAACAGACGAGAUGCUGUAGCGGCGGAUCCCUGCGAAGAAGAAGAGGAUAACCUGUAGACUGAAGCUGGCGACAACAACUACUUGGAUCUCCCACUCAUUCCACAGUUCCAUCCACGAUGGCAUCAGUGCCCCAGCUUCAUCCAUCCUGCAAGCAAGAAAUUAAUAUAAAUAUGGACUGUGCUAAUGUCCGAUCGAUUGAAAUAUAUCAACUCAUCCGAGCGCCUCCACGUCAAGCCCCCUCUCCCUCUUAAAUGCAUGCAUGAAUGCAUGGAAAGAAAACAAAAAUAAUGAUGUCAUCAAAGAUUCUUUCCAAUGCGAAAAUUUAAAAUGUUUUGUAGCUCAAACCGUUGGUCCAAUUAAAAACCUGUUUUCACGUGAAAGAUUCAUCGUGAUGAGACCUUCGAAACUAGAUCGCAUGUUGAUAUUUUCGACAACUUUUUUUCGGGUCAAAAGUUACCUGGCCUAGGCUAAGUAAGUUAUCACGUCUGUGAUACAUAACUUAUCAUCUUGUUUAUAUAGAAAUUACCGGGGCUUAUGGCCUGACAACUUUAUCGAAGCUUCACCACCUAUACCAAAUGAGCUAGUGACUGUUACUCGAAUCGCGGCCCGAGGCAACUCUCCAAUUGUCACGUCUCAUCAAGGUAGAGAUCGUGCUUCGUAUUUCAGGGGAUAUCAUCAAAGAUUUGUUUCACCCCAUGUGCCUAUAACGGCACCAAGGAUUGAGACGUGGCGAUUAAUCCGGCACAGUAAAUGGGACCUUUGGUCUCUUACUGACCUAUAAUGGCAAAGCGCAGCACCCCUACUUCCCCACGCUUCCAUCUCUUCGUUAUUGCACACAGCCUCCAGAGCUCCAGCGCCCCAGAUCCAUUCUCAAAACUUUCACAAUCCCUGCCCAGUGCUCGCAGCUCCACUUCCGCGAUGGCUGACGUCAACUUGAAGGGUCAGUGGGCGGCCUCUGACGUCACGGAGGGCACCAUCCAAGAGCUGCGGAUGGCGGGGUACAUCCCCGCCGCCGCCGCCGCCUGCCACCCCGGAGCCCAACCAUCACAUCCCUACUCCCAAGCCAGGGGAGAGGGUAAUCUUUGUUCCCCACCUCGUCCGAGGUCUUGGGUUCCCCCUGCACCCCUUUGUGCGGUGGAGGGGGGUUGGUUCUCUUCUACUACGGGCUAGAUUUCCAUCAUCUAGCUCCAAACCCCAUCCUCCACCUCGCGACGUUCAUUACCGUCUGCGAGGCUUUUCUUCAUGUGGAGCCGCACUUCGGCCUAUGGCUGAAGACAUUCGGCAUAGAGCCAAAGAGCAGCGGCGCCCAAUUAGCCGAAUGCGGCGGAGCCAUGAUCAGCAAACCCAGAAUGUGGCCUGGUUGGAAGGCGCCUUCGUGGAGACAAUCAAGGAGUGGCAGCGGGAGUGGUUUUAUAUCGCCGAGUCGCUAGCCGAAGGCCAGACAGGCAUCCCGGCUUUCUCAGGUGGUCCUCCGAGGAGGCUCAUCUCAUGGAUGAGAAAGGGCCUGGACUGGGGUAACCCGAAGGGGUACCAGUGCUGUAGAAGAAGAUCAACUCCAUGAAGGACAAGGGGAUCAAGCUGGUGGACGUGCUUGACGUCAUGCUCCAGCGUCAUAUUCUUCCUCUUCAGCUCCGGGCGAGCUCGAUGUGGCUCUACUCCUCCGAGGACGUGCCAACAGUGCGACACUUUUUCCGCACCAACCUGGCGGGAAUGUGGACGACACUCUUCAAGCCGUCCAGGAACAAGUUCCCUGAAGAAGGGGAGGACUGCGGCCUCGAGGCAAAGCAUGGAGCCCAUGAGGUAAGACUAGUCUUGUGAUUUAUGCUCGUCCUUUCUUCUCAAGCUCCUCUAUCGAAAUAACGAGGCCCGCCUCACCUCCCCCCUCCCCAAGAAAUUGCUCCCCCGGGCACUGAAGAUAAAGUGCCCGGCGCCACUGCCUGAGGAGGCCUGGUCUCCUCAACUCGAGGCACUCCUGGCCGAGAAAACAUAUGUAGUCCUGGCCAAGGAGAAGAAAUAGCCGAAGAAGAAGUUUGGUCAGCGUAUCCGAGAUCCCUUGGAUGCUAGGUCCGAAGACACCCACACCUCCUCCAUCUGCGAGGAAGAGGAGGAGGAGGAGGAAGAGAAGGACGAUGGAGCGGCUUGAGGAGAUGGAGGUGGCUUUGACGAACUCCGCCAUUAUCGAAGAGCACAGUGCCCUACUCGGCGCAGCGCUGAACGGCAUCCGAUCCGCAGAGACCGAGAUCAGAGGGCCUUUUCAAAGGUUUCGAUGUUGUAACACUCCUCUACUGUUAGCUUGCAUAGUUAUAAGGCAGAAAAAUGGCUUUUUGUCCAAAGACUGUUGAAAAAACCAAAUGCAAAUGUACACGUAGAAGUGUAAUGAACAGUACGCAGUAUCCCCUGAGCCCCAAGUCAGUUAGAGAACUGAUUUGGGGUUGUUGUUAUACUAGAUUAAGGUCAUAUAAAAAGCGAAUAUGCAGUAGCCCCGAGACUCUGGUCGGAUGAGUUAAGCCGACCAGAGGAUCGAAAUCGGUAUCGGAGACAAUUAACAACCGACUUUUCAGGCUUCGGCUUCGGCUCCGACCUCCAACUCCGAAGAGUUGGUGGAGCUAAACCACAAACUGGAGCGGUCCGAGAAGGACAUAGUACUGCUCAAAGAGCAGAUGUACCGGGCCCAAUGUAAGCAUAAAGCUAGUUCUGAGCUGAAUAUACGUUGCAGCGAUAACAUGAACUGUCGAAACACUGAUGUGUUUAAUUGCUUUUCCAGCUACCACAACGGAGCUUGAGGCCCUCCGAGCUGAGCCUAAAAAAGCUCAGCAAGAAGCCGAGCAUCAGAAGGCUGGGGCGAAGAAGGUCAGCGAAGAGCUGGCCGAGGAGAAGGAAGCCUGCGGCAAGUACCAGGCCCGGGUUACCGAGGUCGAGGAGGACCUGAAGGGGCUUGUUCGCAGAACACGACACCCUUCGGGAUAAACAAAAGAAGGCAGUCGUACUUGCUUCGGUCGUGGCAAGAGGCCAAGACUCAGGCCCGGGCGAGCCGCAAGGAGCUUCAACAAGUGAGGCAAAUUGUCGCUGGUAAGUCGUACUUGCUUCGAUGCGUUUUUGGUGAACUCAGGUUUGCUCAACUCACGCAAGUAUGGCGUUCCUCAGACACCUUCAUGGACCUGCCGAGGAGCGCCUAGGACGCCGACCGCUACUAUGGCUCAAUCCCGGGCGACUCCGCACAGAAGACCUUUUGGGCUUAGUUCCAGGCGCCGUCACACCCUCAGCUCCUCAACAACGAAAUGAAGCAAUUGAUGGAACUGUACCGCCUGGCGAGGCCGGCGAUGGAAGACAUCUGCGUCAGUCUCUGGCCUCAAGAGCCAUUGUCGAGCAGUUUCUUCGGCUUGGUGCAGCAGCUCCAAGGUGUGAGGCCCCAAGUCCUCCGUUGGAAGCGUUCCGCCUGCCUGGAGGGUGCUCAAUGGGCGUACACGUGUGUGAGGACGCAUUACCCGGACAUCAAGGCUACGGAAGUGGCUUCACGCCCUCCUGUCGGCAAGAACUGGACUCCAGACCAGUACUUGGCCGAGGUGAUGGAGGGUGCUCGGAUCACCGAGACCCAGUGUAGCAAAGACACCUUGCAUUUUUAAUUUAUACUACUUCGGAAUGCCAAAGUUUUAAUUAUGUAAAAAAGACAAGCUUUAUUUUUGUGACUGAUCGGCUGUAUCGCCCGAUAUCUUUAUUUUGCCUCCUGUGCGUUUGUUUUAAUACUGAAAUCGGUAGUCGGUGACUUCUCCUCCCGUUGUAGAUACUACGUGGGGUGUUUCUAAAAACACAUUAACUCUUAGCCGACGUCUCGACGCCGGAGGCGGUUGUGUGUGGUAGAAACUAGGCAAUCAGACUAUUUUCAUUUUAUAACUUUCACUUAAUCACAGGAGCUUGACUGUGGGGCAACUAACUAACCCCUGGUGUUGUGGUAAUCGGACAUGCCGAGAUCAGAUCCUUAACACCUCAGUUCUUAUAACAAGAACUCUUCGUUUAACACGGAGUAACCUCUAUCGAUUUAUAGUUUAACACUGUCAUCGGAUCGCUGACCAUUUUGCGCUUACCAUGACACUAAGUUUUCGGCUUUCUCCACUGAGGCGCUUAACCAUUCAAGCUGAAAGCGCAAUUGCAGUGGUUGUCCCUUUACACUCUUAGCCGAAUAGAGCAGAAAAAAUAAGAGGUAAGCACAGAGCUGGGCAACCCAACUAUUGACCAAAAUCAUUGUUUGAAACUAAUGCAUAUAAUGCAAUAUCCUAAACGCCGAAUAAACUUAUCGGACUUAAAUGGGCACAGAUUGAAUCUGAGCCCCAAGUCCAAGGCCGAGUAUGUUUUGAGAAAUAUUGUAUCGCGAUAGUUAUCUUUGGCUCGGAGGCAUAAAAGAUUUUUUUACCAAAAGUAGAUGCGCAACGACCGUGAAAAGUCUUUUUCUUUGAUUUAUAAGGCCAAGCCGUACAUGUCGAGCUUGUCAAAGAAACUUCUAAAAGAUAAAUAAAGAGUAAAAAAAGAAAGGGAGGGUUUAUACAGGGCGUCCGUAUAUAGUUUGAUUUAUCGCCCUUGUUUUGCCCUGCCGCAUGCCUGCGCCUCCGCAUUGUUUACCAGCUUAUCCUCGUCUAUUCCGAGGUUGUUCGACACUGUAUACUACCCCUCAUAUCCUAUGCUUGAUGCAUUCGAGAAAUGGAUUCCUUAAAGAGGUUGUAGUUGCAUAGUGAUGGUUGAACCCUGUCGCUCCUAGUGGGCCUUUGACAGUACCCUGUGGAUGAGCAAAACUUUGAAUGUGCGUCGCCUAGUUGAGCCAAGUGAUGUACCCAGUUUAAUGUGCUCCUCGGCUUCCCAUGGAAUUUUAAGCGCGAAGUUAUGCACUCAAGGUACAUAAUCCUCGACUAGAUAGGGAGAACCGUGGAGCGCGUAUCCAUAUUUAGGGUCGCCACAUGACUGUCCGGGAGCAGAAGGGACACCUCGAAUGCGCUUUGCAGAGCUAGGUGUACCAUUCCCGGAUAGGGUCUAAGUUGCUUCCUCGGCAGCCUGAACCUCGGCUGCGAAAUCCAUGGCCUGCUCCUCUAUUCGGAGAGAGCACUCGGUGUCACCAUUCAUUGUGAUAACACCCUUUGGCCCCGGCAUCUUUAAUAUUAGAUACGUGUCAUGCGGGAUCGCGCUGAAUCGAGCAAAUGCAGUUCGCCCAAGCAGUGCAUGAUAACCACUGCGGAAGGGGACUAUAUCAAAGAUUAAAUCUUCACUUCGGAAGUUCUCAGGCAAUCCGAAGACUACUUCCAACGUGAUAGUCCCAGUGCAUUGUGCUUCAAAACCAGUUAUGACACCCUUAAAAGUGGUGGUGCUGGGCUUGAUCCUUGGCAGAUCAACGCCCAUCUUCCCGAUCGUGUCAGCAUAGAUCAGGUUGAGGUUGCUACCUCCGUCCGUAAGGACGUGUGUUAGGUGGAACCCAUUGACAACAGGGCCCGAGACCAAAGCCGCCGAUCCUCCAUAAUGGAUACUGGUCGGGUUGUUGCGUUUGUUGAAGGUGAUCGGGUAAACCGACCAUGGAUUGUAUUUCGGGGCUACAGGCUCCAAGGCGUAGACGUUUCGAAGUGCGUGGUUCCACACCUUUUUAGGGAUGUGGGUGGCAUAGAUCAUGUUCACGUCCCUUACCUCGGAAGGGAUUGCUUCUGGCCUCCAUUAUUGGGUCAUUAAGGUUCAUCCUCGUCCUCACCGCGGGACUAGCUUUUGCUUUGGCCCUCUGCUAUGACCUUUCCAGCCUGCAUGAUGACCCAACAGUUUUGGCUGGUGUGAUUGGCAGGUUUGUUCGAGGUGUCAUGGAUCUGGCAAGGCCUGUCGAGGAUUUUUUUCAAGUGCUCUAGGACCAUCCUUGUUCCCUUUAAAGGGUUUAAUUUUCUAUCUGACCAUUGAACCGUUGAACCCUGUGUUGACCGCGGCGUCCUUAGCAUCGAUGAUGCUAUUUUUAUGCCUGCGCUUAAUCCUAUUGCCCCUAGGCUUGCCGUUACCAUCGCGUGCUUCUGAGAUGCCGGCCUCCCUGCCAUGAGAGUUGUGUGGAGAAAAUAUGCCCUAGAGGCAAUAAUAAAGUUGUUAUUUUAUAUUUCCUUAUUCAUGAUAAAGGUUUAUUAUUCAUGUCAUAAUUGUAUUGAUCGAAAACCUAAAUACAUGUGUGAAUACAUAAACAAACACCGUGUCCCUAGUGAGCCUCUACUUGACUAGCUCAUUGACCAAAGACGGUUAAGGUUUCCUAACCAUGGACAUGAGUUGUCAGUUGAUAACGGGAUCACAUCAUUAGGAGAAUGAUGUGAUGGACAAGACCCAUCUGUUAGCUUAGCAUUAUAAUCGUUCAGUUUUAUUGCUAUUGCUUUCUUCAUGUCAAAUACAUAUUCCUUCGACUAUGAGAUUAUGCAACUCCCGGAUACUGGUGGAAUGCCUUGUGUGCUAUCAAAUGUCACAAGGUAACUGGGUGAUUAUCAAGAUGCUCUAUAGGUAUCUAUGAAGGUGUUUCUUGAGUUGGCAUAAAUCAAGAUUAGGAUUUGUCACCCUGAGUAUCAGAGAGGUAUCUCUGGGCCCUCUUGGUAAUACACAUCAUGAGCUUGCAAGCAAACGACUAAGGAGUUAGUCAUGAGGUGAUGUAUUACGGAACGAGUAAAGAGACUUGCCGGUAACGAGAUUGAACUAGGUAUGAAGAUACCGAUGAUCGAAUCUCGGGCAAGUAACAUACCGAUGGACAAAGGGAAUUAAGCAUGUUGUCAUAAUGGUUUGAUCGAUAAAGAUCUUUGUAGAAUAUGUGGGAGCCAAUAUGAGCAUCCAGGUUCCACUAUUGGUUAUUGACCAGAGAGGUGUCUCGGUCAUGUCUACAUAGUUCUCAAACCCGUAGGGUUCGCACGCUUAACGUUCGAUGAUGAUAUAGUAUUAUAUGAGUUAUGUGAUUUGGUGACCGAAUGUUGUUCCGAGUCCCGGAUGAGAUUAUGGACAUGACAAGGAGUCUCGAGAUGGUCGAGAGGUAAAGAUUGAUAUAUAGGACGAUGAUAUUCGGACAACGGAAGUGUUCCGAAGGGUAUCGGGUAUUUAUUGGAGUAUCAGAGGGGUUACCAGAAACCCCGGAGGGAAUAUAUGGGCCAUAUGGGCCGUAUGGGCCAUGAGAGGGGAGCACACCGCCCACAAGGAAGAAAGGGGAAACCCCCUUUCUUCUCCGGUGAAAUAUGGCGGGGGCGCCACUUGGGUAAACCCCAAGUAGGAUUCGAAUCCUACUUGGGGCGCAACCUAGCAGCUAUUCUUUGUGUUGGAUUGAGUAUUAUGAAUCUAAAAUUAUUUGGUGUUAUUUUAGUACGAACUCUUGAAUAGAUCGAUUGGAAGAAUAGCUUCGAGGUGGUUUCGUACCCUACAACUGAAUUCUUCUUAUUUUCUCCGCUAGAUAGGAACUUUGGAGUGAUUCUUCAUUGCAUGUUGGGGGAUGGUUAUGUAAUCCAAUUAUAUUAGCAUUGUUGAGAGAUUGCACUAGCGAAAGUACGGACCCUAGGCCUCGUUUUCAAGCAUUGCAAUACCGUUUGUGCUCACUUUAGUUACUUGCUACCUUGCUGUUUUUAUUUAUUUAGAAUAUAAAAAUAUAUUUCUACCAUCCAUAUUACACUUUUAUCACCAUCUCUUCGCUGAACUAGUGCACCUAUACAAUUUGCCAUUGUAUUGGGUGUGUUGGGGACACAAGAGAUUUCUUGUAUUUGGCUGCAGGGUUGUUUGAGAUAGACCAUCUUCAUCCUACGCCUCCCACGGAUUGAUAAAUCUUAGGUCAUCCACUUGAGGGAAAAUUUCUACUGUCCUACAAAACUCUGUGCUUGGAGGCCCAACACGAUUCUACAAGAAUAAAGUUGCGUAGUAGACAUCAGGGUCCUCUUCCUCGGGCAUCCCCGUGGAACUAUUCGGCUUUCUUGGGGAGGCUUGAAUGUCUUCUCGCUGGCCCUCAGUGUUAUCGGGAGUAGCACCAUUUUUGGUAGAGCCCGUGUUGUUGGUUCCACUUGUGCCCCCGCCGACGCCUUUCUGCCGUCUGCGAGGACGUCAGCGUCUGGGGGGGAUCCUUGGGUGUGUCGACCAUAUAGAUACUCUGGUAGACUUCGCAGCCCAUUUGCCGGUAUGAGAUACAGUUAUGCGCGAGCCCACUCGGAGUGUGCCGCCGACAUCUUCAUCCAUGUCGGAGGCUUCCGCGGACUCAUAGUCCAGCACGUCGGUUGAGUCAUUGACGGUGGCGACUAGGUGGGUGGUGGGUGGGACAUAAAUUUCCCAAUCAUCGGCUUUACAUCCGAUUUGGUCAUAGACCAAGGACGAUAUCGCCAUACUCUAGAUCCAAUCUAGCAUCUUGUUUAAUUGUUAGAGAUCCUCAGUGUCCAUGUAUUGAAUGUAGGGAGGAUUGAUACAAAGUAUGCUUUGUGGGUCGCAUGACGCAAUUUUGAAGUUCAGGCUGGCCGGGGUUGACUCCUGGUCAUCGGGCAGGGAGGUCUUACCCGAGCUUGCCGUAGGUUCCGAGGUCGGGUUCGACUCGAGGUCAAGGUCCGACGGGAGGAUGGUUGGUUCCAUGCUUGACACACGGUUUGGCGCGACGACAGUCAGUUCCAUGCCCGGGACUGGUUUUGGUGCGAGAUCCAAUCCGAGGCUUGGGUCAGAGGUCGGCUCCGGGGUCAAGGCCGUGGUGCCGGAAGAAUUCUUGAGUCGAUCUGGCAUCCAUCUAGAGAGGGCGAGAUCAUCGCGCGAGUCGGCGGUGUACUCCAAGCUCCCGAAUGUGAUGACACGGUCGAGAUGACUGAUACGUCUCCAACGUAUCUACAAUUUAUGAAGCAUUCAUGCUAUUUUAUUAUCUGUUUUGAAUGAUUACGGGCUCUAUUAUUCACUUUUAUAUUACUUUUUGGACUAACCUAUUAACCGGAGGCCCAGCCCAUAUUGUUGUUUUAUUGCCUGUUUCAGUAUUUCGAAGAAAAGGAAUAUCAAACGGAGUCCAAACGGAAUGAAACCUUCGGCAGCGUGAUUUUUUGGAAGAAUAUGAUCCUAGAGACUUGGAGUCCACGUCAGAAGAUCCUCGAGGAUGCCACGAGAUAGGAGGGUGCGCCCCCUGUCUCGUGGGCCCCUCGAGCACCUCCCGACCGACUUCUUUCGCCUAUAUAAUCCUAUGUACCCUAAAAACAUCGAAUUUCAAGAUAGAUCGGGAGUUCCGCCGCCGCAAGCCUCUGUAGCCACCAAAAACCUCUCGGGAGCCUGUUCCAGCACCCUGCCGGAGGGGGAACCCAUCACCAGUGGCCAUCUUCAUCAUCCCGGCGCUCUCCAUGACGAGGAGGGAGUAGUUCACCCUCGGGGCUGAGGGUAUGUACUAGUAGCUAUGUGUUUGAUAUCUCUCUCUCUCGUGUUCUCUCUAUGGCACGAUCUUGAUGUAUCGCGAGCUUUGUUAUUAAAGUUGGAUCUUAUGGUGUUUCUCCCCCUCUACUCUCUUGUGAUGAAUUGAGUUUUCCCUCUUGAAGUUAUCUUAUCGGUUUGAGUCUUUACUUUGAGAACACUUGAUGUAUGUCUUGCCAUGUUUAUCUGUGGUGACAAUGGGAUAUCACGUGCCACUUGAUGUUUGUUUUGGUGACCAACUUGCGGGUUCUGCCCAUAAACCUAUGCAUACGGGUUGGCACACGUUUUCUUGACUCUCCGGUAGACACUUUGGGGAACUCUUUGAAGUACUAUGUGUUGGUUGGAUGAAUAUGAGAUUGUGUGAUGUAUAUCGUAUAAUCAUGCCCACGGAUACUUGAGGUGACAAUGGAGUAUCUAGGUGACAUUAGAGUUUUGGUUGAUUUGUGUCUUAAGGUGUUAUUCUAGUACGAACUCUUGAAUAGAUUGAUCCGAAAUAAUAACUUUGAGGUGGUUUCGUACCCUACCAUAAUCUCUUCGUUUGUUCUCCGCUAUUAGUGUCUUUGGAGUGACUCUUUAUUGCAUGUUGAGGGAUGGUUAUAUGAUCUAUCUAUGUUAUUAUUGUUGAGAGAACUUGCAUUAGUGAAAGUAUGAACCCUAUGCCUUGUUUCCUAUCAUUGCAAUAGCGUUUACGCUCACUUUUAUCAUUAGUUACCUUGCUGUUUUUAUAUUUUCAGGUUACGAAUACCUUUAUCUACCUUUCAUAUUGCACUUGUAUCACCAUCUCUUCGCCGAACUAGUGCACCUAUACAAUUUACCAUUGUACUGGGUGUGUUGGGGACACAAGAGACUUUUUGUUAUUUGGUUGUAGGGUUGUUUGAGAGAGACCAUCUUCAUCCUAUGCCUCCUACAGAUUGAUAAACCUUAGGCCAUCCACUUGAGGGAAAUUUGCUACCGUCCUACAAACCUGUGCACUUGCAGGCCCAACAACGUCUACAAGAAGAAGGUUGUAUAGUAGACAUCAAGCUCUUUUCUGGCGCCGUUGCCGGGGAGGUGAGUGCUUGGUAUAUCUUUAGAUCUUGCAAUCGAAUCUUUUUGUUUAUUGUUUUAUCACUAUUUUAGUUUAUAAAAGAAAACUACAAAAAAAUGGAGUUGAGUUUGUCUCAUACGCUUCGUCUUUUUAAUAUCUUCCGUGAGUUUGAUGGAAAGGAAAAUUGUGCUCAAGUGCUAGAAGAAGAAUGCAUUAUAAUGCUUGGUACGAAAUCUUUGAAUGACGAGCAUGAUUGCAAUGUUGUUAGUAUGAACUCGUUGAAUAUCCAUACUACUAAUGAUGAUUGCACUAGUUAUGAUGAAAAUGUCUCCUAUAAGCAUAUUGAUUUUUGUGGAGUGCAUGUUUGCAUGAACACACCAAAUAGAGAAGAUAUAUAUUGCAAGAGGCAUAAGCAUUUAGAAACUAAAUGGUUGCAAGAGAGGCUAGAUGUGAGUGCUGAAAAUUUAAAAUUCCUUUGCCGUACUUGUGAACUUUGCAAUGGACAUGGUCAUUUACAUCUCCAAUGCAAAUUGUUUCAUGACCGAAUCGUGUACAAAAAUUGUGAUGAGUUGAUUUCCCUUGCACAUUAUAAUGAACUUAGUUUGCUUUUGGGUUACGAAGAGUUGAAACGUUUAACUAAGCCUAUUCCAGAAUUUAAUCUUAAGCAAUUCCUUGAUAUUGAUCUAGAAAAGAUUUAUAUGUUUUGUGCGGAGAAUUGCAUUGAAAAUCCUUAUAUUGCCAAUUACCUAAAGAAAAGAAAGAAAAUAGAAGAUGAUGAGAAUACUAAUGAAAGUGAAGAGACUUCCCAAUAUCCUCCUAUUAUUUCUUAUGAUGAAUCAAGUAAUGAGGAGGAGCUUUCUAUUCAACCAAUCUCGUCAAUAAGGAGCUCAAAGAGGAAGGUCGAACCCACACAUAAUGUGAAAAAGAAAAGGAAAAGAAGGGGCAACAAAGGUAAAAAGAUAUCCCUCCCAAAUGAUGUUGCUCCUACUACUCAUUGUGAUGAUGAUAAUUGAUUUACUAUUGGUGCUAUCCAUAUUUUUCAUGAUGAGAGUAAUUAUGCUUAUGAUAUGAAAGUGCCCAAGCUUGGGGAAGCUAUGUUUGAUGGGGAUGAAUUAUUUGAGAAUAUAUUUGCUAGAAUUAAUGUUUGUCCCAAGCUUGGGGAUGCUAUGUUUAAUGAAGAUGAUAUUUUUAGCAUCCCAAGUUUUGAUAUGCAAAGUUGUUAUGAUGAUAGCAUGCCUCCUACCUAUGAUGAUUAUAUUGAUGAAGUCGGUUUGGAAGAGUGUCAACUUUAGGAAUUAGUGAUCCCACUAUUUUGGAGGAUGUUGAAUCCUACUGUGAUGAACAUGAAAGUGGAUUUGGAAGAGUGACAACUUUAUUUAGUGAUGAUUCCACUAUUUCGGAAGAGGUUCCAAUUUAUUAUGAGAACAAAGUUGCUAUCUAUGAUGAUUAUUGUGAUGACUUGUAUUCUAUUAGGAAUAAUGAUAACCAUGAAACUUGUCAUCAUGAUUUUAGUUUUCAAUUGGAUUAUGCCUCACAUGAUAAUUAUUUUGUUGAGUUUGCUCCCACCACUAUUCAUGAGAAGAAAUUUGCUUAUGUGGAGAGUAGUAAAUUUUAGGUGUUGGUUAUAUUGUUGAAUUCAUUCAUGAUGCUACUGAAAAUUAUUAUGAGAGAGGAACAUGUGUUCUUACAUGUUGCAAUAGUAUCAAGUUUUCUCUCUAUGUGCUUAAAGUUUUAAAGCUAUGCUUGUUUUGCUUACCUAUGCUAGUUGAUUAUUGUUCCCAUAAGUUCUUUGCUCACAAAAUCCCUAUGCAUAGGAAGUGGGUUAGGCUUAAAUGUGCUAGUCAUAUGCUUCAUGAUGCUUCCGUUAUGUUUCAAUUCUUAUCUUUUAUGUGAGCAUCAUUGCCAUCCUCAUGCCUAGCUAAAAAGGCAUUAAAGAAAAGCGCUUGUUGGGAGACAACCCAAUAUUUAUCCUUAAUGUUUUUGUGUGUCCACAUGAUUAUUCUACUGUAGUAAUCAUGUUUUAUAGUUUUUGUUUCAAUAAAGUGCGAAGUAAGACUUUUAGGAUAGCUUACGGUGAUAGUUGUGUUGAUCCUGCUCAAAAUCAGAAACUUUUGCACCCAGUAAAUUUGUUUUGUUAAUUCACUGAAACGUGCUUCUGAUCGGAUUCGUUUUGCUAUGGAUUGGUACACAAAUUGCUUAGGAUUUCCUAAUUUGGUAGGCUUUUUGGAGUUCCAGAAGUAUACGUUUGAUACAGAUUACUACAGACUGUUCUGUUUUUGACAGAUUCUGUUUUCCGUGUGUUGUUUGCUUAUUUUGAUGCAUCUAUGGCUAGUAUUAAGUGGUACGAACCAUAGAGAAGUUGGAAUACAGUAGAUAUUACAUCAAUAAGAAUUUAUAAUGAUUUCAUUACAGUACCUAAGUGGUGGUUUUAUUUUCUUAUACUAACGGAGCUUACGAGUUUUCUGUUGAGUUUUGUGUUGUGAAGUUUUCAUGUUUUGGGUAAGGAUUCGAUGGACUAUGGAAUAAGGAGUGGUAAGAUCCUAAGCUUGGGGAUGCCCAAGGCACCCCAAGGUAAUAUUCAAGGACAACCAAGAGCCUAAGCUUGGGGAUGCCCCGAAUGGCAUCCCCUCUUUCGUCUUCGUUCAUCGGUAACUUUACUUGGAGCUAUAUUUUUAUUCACCACAUGAUAUGUGUUUUGCUAGGAGCAUCAUUUUCGUUUGUUAGUAUUUUCUUGAUGUUAUUUAGAAUAAUGUUUUCAUCUUUAGUUUCAAUAAAAAAGGUCAAGGAUAGCCUUUGCCAUGCUUAUUUUGCUAGUAUACAUGUUGCUGCUUGAAAACAGAAAGUUUACAGCUGUUGCAAAUAUUCCCUAGAGAAGUAAGAGAAUGAUAUAAUGUUGACAUUUUUGCAUAAUGAGCUAUGAUAAAUUUACUACAGUGGGAAUUUUAUUUCAUAAUUUUUGGAGUUAGGGAAGUAUUGAUACUCUUGCAUUCUUUACAGACUGUACUGUUUUGGCAGAUUGCUGUUAUGUUUGCAUUAUUUGCAUAUGUUUGCUUGUUUAAUGAUUCUAUUUGAGGAUAGGAGUGUUAAAUAUGCAGAGGAAUUUAGUAUGCAAUGUUGAAUAAUAAUUUUAGUGAUUUGUUACAGUAGAAAAUGAUAAGGUUUUGCAUUGGUUUAUACUAACCUAUCUCACGAGUUCUUGUUGAGUUUGUUGUGGAUGAAGCUUUUGAUAAAAAGAGAAACCAUGAUAUGAGAGAAAUUAAGGAGACACAAAAGUUCAAGCUUGGGGAUGCCCAAGGCACCCCAAGAUAAUAUUCCAAGAAGUCUCAAGCAUCUAAGCUUGGGGAUGCCCCGGUAGGCAUCCCACCUUUCUUCUUCAACCACUAUCGGUUAGUAUCGGUUGAGCCUAAGUUUUUGCUUCUUCACAUGAGUUGUGCUAUCCUUGCAAUGUCUUUUUAUUUUUUUUGCUUGCUGUGUGAAUACAAUACCAAGAUCUGAAAUUCUUAAAUGAGAGAGAGUCUUCGCAUAGUUACAUAAUUAUUUAGCUACUCAUUGAUCUUCACUUAUAUCUUGUUGGAGUAGUUUUUCAUUUACUCGUGUGCUUCACUUAUAUCCUUUGAGUAAAUUUUUGAAUGAGUUGAUUGUCAUAAAUCUGAAAUCAUAUAUGUCUCAUUUGCUUAUCCCAUGGGGAGUAAUGACUUCACAUCUAAGAAGUAGAGGUUGUAAAUUUAUUGAAGGUUAGCAAGCAUUGUAUUGGUCAUUUAAACAAUUCAUGAAAGAAUAUUGAAGGAAGAGAGAUUCCACAUAUAAAUAUACUAUCCUAGACAUCUUUUAUAGUUGGGAGCACUCAUUAAGUAUGACAUGCUAAAGAGUUGAUGUUGGACAAGGAAGACAACGUGAUGGUUUAUGUUUUCUGACAUCUUAGUUAAAGUAUAUUUUCAUGGAUCAUUCAAACAUGUUGAGCUUGCCUUUCCCCCUCUUGCUAGACAAAUUCCUUGCACCAAGUAGAGAUAGUACUUGUGCUUCCAAAUAUCCUUAAACCCAGUUUUGCCAUGAGAGUCCACCAUACCUACCUAUGGAUUGAGUAAGAUCCUUCAAGUAAGUUGUCAUCGGUGCAAGAAAUAAAAAUUGCUCUCUAAAUAUGUAUGAUCUUUUGGUGUGAAGAAAAUAGCUUUAUACGAUCUUGUUAUGGAUGCAAUAAAAGCGACGGACUGCAUAAUAAAGGUCCAUAUACAAGUGGCAAUAUAAAGUGACGUUCAUUCGCAUUAAUAUUUUGUGCAUCCAACCCUAAAAGCGCAUGCUAACCUCUGCUUCCCUCUGCGAAGGGCCUAUCUUUUACUUUAUGUCUUUUACUUUUAUGCAAGAGUCAAGGUGAUCUUCACCUUUCCCUUUUUCAUUUUAUCCUUUGGCAAGCACCUCGUGUUGGGAAGAUCCUGAUAUAUAUAUAUAUCCAAUUGGAUGUAAGUUAGCAUGAACUAUUAUUAUGGACAUCACCCAAAGGUGAAUACGUUGGGAGGCAACACUAUAAGCCCCUAUCUUUCUCAGUGUCUGAUUGAAACUCCAUAACUAUUAGUAUUGCGUGAGUGUUAGCAAUUGUAGAAGACUAUAUGAUAGUUGAGUAUGUGGAGUUUGCUAUUCCUGAAAAUAAGAUGAAUUGCAAUUGUUUGAUGUCUGAGAAUGAAGUUUGCUAGUUUUCAAGAAAGUUUAUGGUCUAUGCUUUGACAUGUGAAUUGCUUGUUACUUUACCGUGAGAAGUUUAUGAGAUGAACUACUGUUAUGACAUGUUAUCGUGCUAGAAAAGGUGAUUGAAAUUAUCAUUGAUCAAACUUGUGCACCUUCUAGCAUUCACACUUCAUAAUUUCUUUCUUUUAUCAUUUACCUACUCGAGGACAAGCAGGAAUUAAGCUUGGGGAUGCUGGAUACGUCUCCAACGUAUCUAUAAUUUAUGAAGCAUUCAUGCUAUUUUAUUAUCUGUUUUGAAUGAUUACGGGCUCUAUUAUUCACUUUUAUAUUACUUUUGGGACUAACCUAUUAACCGGAGGCCCAGCCCAUAUUGUUGUUUUAUUGCCUGUUUCAGUAUUUCGAAGAAAAGGAAUAUCAAACGGAGUCCAAACGAAAUGAAAUCUUCGGCAGCGUGACUUUUUGGAAUAAUAUGAUCCUGGAGACUUGGAGUCCACGUCAGAAGAUCCUCGAGGAGGCCACGAGAUCGGAGGGCGUGCCCCCCCUAUAGGGCGCGCCCCCUGUCUCGUGGGCCCCUCGAGCACCUCCCGACCAACUUCUUUCGCCUAUAUAAGCCUACGUACCCUAAAAAUAUCGAAUAUCAAGAUAGAUCAGGAGUUCCGCCGCCGCAAGCCUCUGUAGCCACCAAAAACCUCUCGGGAGCCCAUUCUGGCACCCUGCUGGAGGGGGAACCCAUCACCGGUGGCCAUCUUCAUCAUCCCGACGCUCUCCAUGAUAAGGAGGGAGUAGUUCACCCUCGGGGCUGAGGGUAUGUACCAGUAGCUAUGUGUUUCAUCUCUCUCUCUCUCUCGUGUUCUCUCUAUGGAACGAUCUUGAUGUAUCGCGAGCUUUGUUAUUAUAGUUGGAUCUUAUGAUGUUUCUCCCCCUCUACUCUUUUGUGAUGAAUUGAGUUUUCCCUCUUAAAGUUAUCUUAUCGGAUUGAGUCUUUACUUUGAGAACACUUGAUGUAUGUCUUGCCAUGUUUAUCUGUGGUGACAAUGGGAUAUCAUGUGCCACUUGCUGUAUGUUUUGGUGACCAACUUGCGGAUUCCUCCCAUGAACCUAUGCAUAGGGGUUGGCACACGUUUUCUUGACUCUCUGGUAAAAACUUUGGGGCACUCUUUGAAGUACUAUGUGUUGGUUGGAUGAAUCUGAGAUUGUGUGAUGCAUAUCGUAUAAUCAUGCCCACGGAUACUUGAGGUGACAAUGGGGUAUCUAGAUGACAUUAGGGUUUUGGUUGAUUUGUGUCUUAAGGUGUUACUCUAGUACGAACUCUUGAAUAGAUUGAUCCGAAAAAAUAACUUUGAGGUGGUUCCGUACCCUACCAUAAUCUCUUCGUUUGUUCUCUGCUAUUAGUGUCUUUGGAGUGACUCUUUGUUGCAUGUUGAGGGAUUGUUAUAUGAUCUAUCUAUGUUAUUAUUGUUGAGAUAACUUGCACUAGUGAAAGUAUGAACCCUAUGCUUUGUUUCCUAUCAUUGCAAUACUGUUUACGCUCACUUUUAUCAUUAGUUACCUUGCUGUUUUUAUAUUUUCAGAUUACAAAUACCUUUAUCUACCAUCCAUAUUGCACUUGUAUCACCAUCUCUUCGCUGAACUAGUGCACCUAUACAAUUUACCAUUGUAUUGGGUGUGUUGGGGACACAAGAGACUUUUUGUUAUUUGGUUGCAGGGUUGUUUGAGAGAUACCAUCUUCAUCCUACGCCUCCUACAGAUUGAUAAACCUCAGGUCAUCCACUUGAGGGAAAUUUGCUACUGUCCUACAAACCUGUGCACUUGCAGGCCCAACAAUGUCUACAAGAAGAAGGCUAUGUAGUAGACAUCAAUGACCAGUCUGGUUGGCAUGCAGAACAAUGCUGCCGAAAGCGAAAAGCUGGCCGGGGAUGAAGAUGUUGCCGUAGCCGGUGUCACAGUUUAACCGCGGAAGAUCCAUUGAUCUUUUCUUGACCACACAACAAAACUCUCAAUGAAACCACCAAUGUCGGUACUAAAACCGGCUACUCCCGAGUUGUGGACCUUGGAUCGAUGGGUAACAAGAUAUGAAGGAGACAUUAUUUACCCAGGUUAGGGCCCUCUCGAAGAGGUAAAGUCCUACGUCCUACUUUGAUUGUAUUGAUGAUGAUGUAUCGGGUACAAGCUUGAUCUACCUCGAGAUCGUAUGUUGUGUUCUAACCCUAAGGCGAGAUGAUUGUCUUCUUCCUCUAUGAUUAAACCGCACGGUUUAUAUAGGCACUGGGGGUAGUUAGGUUUACAUAUGGUCGGUUGCCAACUAGGGAUAAACAUGCUGACAGGUGAAGUAAUCCUUGAAGUACCGGCCAGGUGUUCAGCAGAGUCCAUCUUGAUCACGACGGAGUUCGAGGCUCCCGGAGCCCUUCCUUAUGAGAUUGGUGGGCCAUAAGCUCGGCCCGUGGACUGUGUGCCAACUAGCUUGGUACCCCCUAGUCCAGGACACCGUCACCGGGUCAAAGUUAUUGCGGUGUUUGUGCGUGAGCUAUCACGUAUAUGAUGUGUAUAGUACCAAGCUAUUUACACAAAAAAUAUCGAGGGUAUGUUUUUAGACACCCCCUCGUGUGAAAGUAGCCAUGGUGUUUGUGCAUGAGCUAUUAGCUCUGUUGUGCGUAUGUUACCAUGCUAUUUCUACAGAAUUUAUCAUGGGAAUGUUUUGAACAUCUUUUGUGCCCCGAUCAAAAGUUACAAUGGUGUUUGUGCGCAAGUCAAGUCUGUGAUUUGUAUAUUACCUUGCUAUUUACAUGGAAGUUACCAGGGCAUGUUUUCAACAACCCCCCCUCCCCCGCUUUAAAAGUUAUUAUGUUGUUUGUACCUGAGUUAUCAGGUGUAUGGUGCAUAUAUUACCAUGUUGUUUGCACAUAAGUUACGAGAGAAUUUACAGGGGUAUGUUUUCAACCAACCCUCCCCCCUUUUCAAAAGUUACCAUGGUAUUUGUACAUAGUUUAUAAGGAAAAGUGGUGGCUAUAUUACCAUACUAUUUACAUAGAAGUUACCAGAGAAUUUAUUGGGGUGUGUUUUCAACAACCCCUCCCCUCGAUCAAAAGUUACCAUGGUGUUUAUACAUAGUUUAUCAAGAAAAGUGGUGGGUAUAUUGGCAUUGCUAUUUUCACAGAAUUUACUGUCGUAUGUUUUCAACAUCUUUAUCCUCGGGUCAAAAAGUUACCGCAUUUAUUGUACAUAAGUUAUCAGGUCAGCGGUGCGUAUAUUACCAUGUUAUUUUCACAGAAAUUACCAGGGUAUGUUUUAUUCCUUUUCACCGAGUCAAGGUAACCACGUUGUUUGUAAGUAAGUUAUCAGGGCAGCGAUGCGUAAAUUACUAUGUUAUUUACAUAGAAGUUACUGGGGGUAUGUUUAAAAAAAUCCGGAUUGAAAGUUAUCGCGGUGUUUGUACUUAAGUUAUCAUGUCUACGAUGUGUACAGACCAUAUUAUUCACACAUGUUAUCGGGGGCGCAUUUGAAAAGGUUAAGGGACCUUGUGUGAUGAUGAUAUAUAUUGGAUUCUCACCUUGGUGAUUUUAUUUUGCCUUGAGAAAAAGAGAAUACACAAAAUCAGUGGAAAAUUGCACAUAAGAAAUAACAGAGCAUUAACCGCAAGAAAAAAAAAAGAAAUAGCAGAGCAUUAGCGCUUCUGGUGCUCGGGAGUCGGGAUCGAUGGCAAGAACCACUGAUCCAAAAAGUUAUCAUUCUAUUUUGUAGCACUAGUUAAGUCAAGUAACGUCAUGCAUAUAAACUAGCCAAACAAGUUCAUGUGGCUGGAUGGUUUUUGCACAUCCUAUGCCUUUGUUUUCCGCUAGGACCAUCCAUCACGAGAAAAUCGGGAUAGGAGACGGGGAGGUGGGCGAUUAACAACAAAAAAAAGGUAAGACGUGCUGGAGAUCAUAAGAUUAGUGGGGAGGUGGGCGAUCAAUGAAAAAUGGGCAGUUAGAUCAGGACUUACACACAAUCCUAAGAUUCGAAUGAUUGACGAUGCGUGCGGACUUGUUGCAGAAUUCCAAACGUUCGAAAUUUAGCUUUUGCCUAUAAAUAUAAACAUAAAUAUAUAUACAUAUCUAUUUGAAAAUGUAAUAUGUCACAGUAUAUACAGCUUGAAGAAAGAGUAGUACACACGCUAAUGAAUAAAGGCAUACCUGUGAGUGAGCUAGAUUCGGCUUGUGGCAGCAAAACUAGAACACAGAAGCACACGGAAUUGGUAGGUAGGAGGGAGAGCUCAGGAGCUGUGUGGUACAAGAAGAAUGGGAGGAUCCGAGGGUAUGCAUAUGCUUAUAUAACCAAAGACAAACACCCAGAUCCGGUUAUUGCGUUCCGAGUAACAAGUUGAGUAGCCUGUGCGGGUAUCUUUGUUUUUAUUUUGACAUUUAUAUAAUAAUGCUUCUUUUUAAAGCGUCUCUUAUAAGAUUCUCCAACGGCUGUUUUCUAGAUUAUCUAUUUUUUUUUCUUAUCACUUCUCUUAAUCAGAAAUAGUUUGAGAUUUUUCCUAUUUCUAAGUCAGUUCAGUAACAAGUGCUACUAGGUGAAAGUGCAAAGUUUUUUUCCGUGAAUCAACUUAGACAUAAUAAGAACAUUAAACAAACUUAAAUACGCUUCAGUAUUUUUUUUAGUCCCAGCAAAACAAGUGUUGUAGUACUUUUUUUUUCAAAAAAAUACACUUGGAUCCCUAAAAAAAACUCAGAUCUACUAACCAAACCAGCAAGCCAAACACUCCUGAAAAAGAUAUACAUUCAAAAUCUUGAGGGUGGUGAAGUCUUCUACCUACUGCAUUCAUAGGCGGUGCGCCGCGAGCAUAGCUCGAUGCCGCCUCUAGGCCUUCGCCUGGGUGGAGCAAACUCUUUGAAACACAGGAGGCUAUAAAAGCAUCGGACAGGUAGUCGUCAAUGCAGACUAGGAUACGCUGGCGACCGCGAUUUGCGAACCAAAUUGCCGCCCCGGAGAAAAGAAUGUCGACAAGGGCCAACAGAAACUCUAAAGAACAUGAAUACCAUGAAAGUCGGCCGAAUCCAGACAAAUCCACCGGAAACCUAAACCGAUCAGAUCUCAGAAGACCCACCAGAGACACAACUCUACACGCCCUCCACUGGCGAAAAACACACCAACUUUGGGGGGAUAGAACGAGGAGAACAUUAUUCCUACCAUAGGGAAACUCCACCGCUUCAAUCGCCCACACCAAGCACAAAUACUCCCGAAUGUAAGCUUGAAAAAGGCCUCCAUGCCGCUAUAAGCCAGACCGUGCUUUGAUAUUGAGCUCGCCGCCGUCCAGAACCGUGCACCAACAUUCUCUUCUCUGAUGAUCCACCCGGGUCGGGCCAUCUAUUAAGUUCUUCGCGUUGGAUCCUUUUGGCCACCACCGAGUUCACCAAUGCGGUUGGCGCGCACCGCUUGACGACGACACCGCUCGAGCAUACAUCUCCUUUGCUAUCCCACAACAACUCUCCAACGCCUCCACAACAGACCUCCCAGUUCCAGACCUCCCCGCCUUGCGCUAGGCGGGCUUUGCUUGACGGCACGCCCUGGUGGCGGUGAGAGGAGCAGCCGCAAGGCGGCAGCUAGGGUUUCUUGUUCCCCUCUGAGAAAACGAUUCAAUGCCUUGAUUAGUUGGUCGCAAGAAUGGGAAACUUAUUACUACAUUAGUGUGCAUUUUUCACUUUGUACGUUAUGUAUAUGGAGUCAUUGCGAUUUGAGCAACAUUAAACCGAACAACCUAGACAGCUCACGUGCCAUGCAGUGUGGUUCAACAAUCAACACAGUAUGGAUCUAUCUUCAGCGCUCCCAUGGUCUCAAACAAAGGAUCUCUGGUUCACGUGUACACAUGCGGUCCAUCGUAUUCCAGUGGGUAUCCCUUGACCAAGUUGGCCUACAAAACGAUGAACGGGGGACAAGUAGUACACAUAACAGACGGGUUUACUUUCAUUUCUAAAAGGGACUUGGUCUUCCAUAUUAUAUGGCGUGCAAUUUGAUUGCAGCACACUCAAUCAUCGGAGGAAAAAAGGAUCCGUUAAUGCGUCCAUUGGAAGUUGGGUUUUUAAAUCAAAACUACUGAGGUAGGCUAGGCUGUUGGGAGGCGGAUACAAUGCAUAUGAGAUGCACUAGAAGACUAGCUCCAUCUGAAACCCAUGAGAGCGUUGCAGAUACGACCUUUUCUUUUUCUUUCUCGUUUUUUGGGGGAAGAUGACAAGAGACAUGUUAGUAGUGAUAGAUACAGUGACGAGCCACGAAUUAAUUUCUAUGAAAGGGGGUUCGGAGGAUAAGCUGCUGAUUGUGUCCUCCCUUGAGUAAUUUUUAGACAAGACAAGUUUCAAAAGUUUUCAAGUAAUUUUUAGAUGUAUAUUUGGUGUACUAUAGCUAGCUGCAUGCAUGAAUGCAGGCUUAUGACCGAGCUAGAUUGGACUUACGUUAGCAAGCUUAAGCUGUAACACAGAACCACAACAAAAUUGAAAGGGCCAGGAGGGAGGCCUCAGGAGAAGUACAAGAACCGGAUGAUCGGGUGAAUGCAUAUCCAUAUAUCACUAACAAACCAGCCAGAUCCGGUUCUUCCGUUCCAAGUAACAAGUUGAGUGGCCUGCGCUUUAUAUAUUUUUUGUCAUUUACACAAUAAUGUUUGUUUUAACAUGUAAUUCUAGAAUCUCCAGCAGGUGUGAACUGCAUCUUUUUUCCUGCAACGCUCUCAUGGGUUUCGAUCUGGUUGGCACAUGUACAUGUGAUCCACCAUAUUCCAGUCCAAUACAUGUUAACCAAGUUGGCAUACAAGUAGUAGGAAUGGUAAAUGGGGGACAUGCACAUGACAGAUGAGUUUACUUCAUUUCAAAUAGGGACCUCGUUCCAAUGGAUUCCUUUACUUGGUCCUUCCAUAUUCUAUGUGUGCAAGUUGAUUGCAUCCAUCGGGAGUCGGGGGUUUUAAUGAGGCUUUAAGGUAAGACAUCGGAAGUUGGGUUGCAUCAAGUGUGCACAUGUGUACUAUGUACUCCUAUUAUUUCUAACGGCAAGUUGAUUAUGGACUGGAAUAUGUUGGAUGUGACCUGCGCUACGUACCCCCACCUGCAACCAGUUAGGUUGCCCGUAAUGGGAGUAUUAUAGGUAGUAUCAUGUAUGCCAACUAAGCACUUUUGAUGAGGUGGCAUAAGAUUAAAUAAAGAAAAAGAUGCUUGAGUAUCAUAUCAUGAUACCGUAUCGUAUUAAAUGAUGUGUUACUUUGUGUCAUGCAUUGUAAUAAAUGUAGCCCUCUAUGAUACCGACAUAUGAUAAACAUAUGAUACUACUAUGCAUUAUGGAUGUAGUAUCAUACACUAGUAUCAUAUGCAUGAUACUAGUAUAUGAUACACCCCAUUACAACCAGCCUUAGGGAAAAAAAGGUCCAUCUGAAACCUACGAGAGCGUUGAAGAUGAGACAUGUUAGUGAUAGAUACUGACAAACCUUGAAUUAAUUUCAACGGAAGGGGCCAUCUGAAAGUUAAGCUGCAGAUUUUGGAGCUCCACUGGGAAUGUGCUCACGAGAAUUUAGAACCAAUAGUACGCCGCUUGGCUGUGUAAUUAAGUUUGCUCCUACCUGUUCAAUACAACAAGGUACAAAGCUUUUGCAUUUUCGAGAGAGAGAAAAAGUACGCCGCGCACCCGUACUGAGGAUUGUUUUCGGAAAAGGGUAAGUUUGUUUUCGCACCUGCGUGUGAAGCAGCCGGCAGCAGUUGGUAUUGUUUGUUGUGCAUCUUGGCUGGUUUAUCUGAAUUCAGAUGUGAGACACGAAACAUUAGACUUAGGGGUAAAGAACUUUGUUUUAUAUAUCUCACACUGCUGCUACAUCAAAAUCUUACCUGCACUGGAAUCUUACAACAGACGUUUACAAUCGUUUGAACAAUGGCAAGUUAUAGUGGCUACUAUUAAACACAUCCUACUGGAUCAUGCACGCACACUGUCAGAAUGCCUUCUUUUCUUGUUUUUGCUACUGUGGCAUUGCUUCUUUGACUGCGCCAUUGAUGGCCCGGUUCAGUGCGAGAAAAGGCACAACCAAAGCGCCUACCAAGAAACAGGACUGAGACAUAAAUAUUAAUGAUAAGGAGACAGGAAAAGGGAAGUUCAAAGACCGAACAGUCAAAGAGAACCAUACCUACGAAGGAUCUUCAUUAGGUUUGUCAUUUCGGAAUUUAGAUACAAACAGAAAGAACAACUUCACUCCCACUUAAUCCAAGCAAUGCAAGCAAAAAGAAAGUCCUCGGCUUUCCCCUGGUUCUAGUCAAUCACAACUUCAGAAGACGAACUUCACUAAUUGCAUUCAAGAGGGCAAUCAAAUUAACAAUAUUUGAAGUAACAAACAUUCAGGCUGGUGAUACUGUUAUACACUUGUUGUCUAAAAUUUACUGGAAGGAACUGAAGUAGCAGUAUUCGUUGUUUUCUUUUGAGGACAGAAAAGCAGAAAUACCUCUGCUGGAUCCCUCAAGUAAUAGAAGGGAUCACUGCCUUUGCCAACUUCCUAAGCCACGGUCAUUUGCUUUCAGAGACCGUUUUCAGAUAAGCUAACUUGAUUCCUCACGAUAUGGAAGUGAUUUAUCUUCCAGGUUUUGUCAGCAGCACGGAAGAUGCAGAAGCGGCAACACCUGAAUCGCUACAGGAGAAUCCGGCAAGCGCAGAACAGGCCCGGCCCAAGAGGAGAGCCCAGGCUCCAGAAAGAUUGCGUGGCCCGGAGUGGGCCCGCUAGGCGAUACUUAUAUACGUCCGGUACCGGCACUGUAACGGGUGGCUGGCGGCUUCGGCCGAGGUACGGAUAAGAUAGUUGGCUUAUGAGCAUUGGCUGUAAUCCUUCCUCCUCCCUCAUUCAAACUCUUAUGAACACAACUGAGAUCUGAGUGAAUCCAUAGCUAAAUUCGAGAGAACUAGUUCGUGCUUACAAUUGGCAUCAGAGCCAUAGAUCCUGGCGCCACCAGUUCCCCUCCACCACCCGCACACGACGAGGUUUGCGGCGCGACGCCGCCGGGAAGUGAUGGAGAGCUUGUCACCGGCGAUGAAGGCGAUGUACGAAUUCCUCAAGGCCGACUUGGCGGAUUCCCUCGACGCCCGUUUUAAGUGACAAGAUGAAGAGGCAGCGAAGUUGACGCGCUCCAUCGUGGGGGAUCUGACGACGCGCAUCGACGACCUCAAGAUGUCGAUCGGUGUGGACAUGGACGAGCUCCGCGCCGGCCUGGAACGGCCGCCGCCCGCCUCGGCGACGACUCCUACCGGACGGCCAUCAUAUCCGGAGCAAGGCGCGUACAACAAUGCUGAUGCGACACCGGAGGGCAGCCGCAGGGCAACUUUGACCAAGGGGAAGGAUCAUGUUCCUUAUGUUCCGCCGCUGGCCAGAGGUACGAGACCAGAUCAGAGCUCUGUUUUCAGCCCACGGAUGGCAGAUUUACAACGAGAAAAUCCUGAUUCCUAUGGUUUUGGCCCUCGCAUCGACAUGCCCCGUUUCGAUGGCUCCAAUCCGAGGCUCUGGCAAACGAGAUGCGAAGAUUACUUCAACAUGAGUGGUACACCGCGGCAACUCUGGGUUCAAUUCACGUCUACUUUGUUCGAAGGGCCAGCAGCACGAUGGUUGGAGUCGGUUCAGCGUCGAGCACCAAAUGCACCGUGGGAGGAUUUCUGCAGGUUACUAUAGUGCAGAUUUGGGCGUAACCAACAUCAGGCGCUGGUACGCAAGUUCCACAACAUUAUUCAGACAGGCUCAGUGGAAGAUUACGCGGAGCAAUUUGCUGAGCUUUAUGAUCAGGUGUCUGCAUAUGAAGCCGUGCCUGAAUCAUUGCACUAUGUCACCAAAUUCAUCGAUGGUCUGAAUCCUUCUGUCAGAGUUUUGGUGGCACUACAGCAGCCGAUAGACUUGGAUGCAGCUUAUGAAUUAGCCUUGUUGCAUGAAUCCCUGACCAGCUCGAACCCUCAAUAUCAUCAAUCGAACAGGCGGGAACAUUUUUCACAACCAGCAUCCAUGGUUAAGCCAGUUGCUAGCAAAACUACUGACGACUGGCGAAAUAGUUCAGAUGUGCACAAACAGAAAAUGGGGGAAGAUAAGUGGGAGGCUCUGAGGUCUUACCGUAAAGCCAAGGGACUGUGUUUUAUGUGCGGAGAAAAAUGGAGCCGCGAUCAUCAAUGCAAACAAAUAGUUUCGCUUCAUGUGGUGCAGGAAAUGGUGGAAUUUUCCAAUGCUCAACUUCAGAGGAAUCUGGAUCAGAUGAGGACGAUGAAGUCAAUUUAAUGGCCAUAUCUGAGGCAGCUGAAGGAAGGUCUUCUCGCAGUAAGGCAUUUCAGUUGACAUACAUUACAUGAACAGCAGAAAAUUUUCCUAGUGGACUCUGGUAGCACCCACUCCUUCCUGGAUACUGCUUCAGCUAACCUACUGACAGGAGUGCAGACAUGUUCAACAAUGAAGGUCAAGGUAGCUAAUGGAGAGAUAAUGAACUGCUCCAGUUUUGUUUCAAAAUGCAAAUGGUCAGUGCAUGGUGUACAGUUCGAGCAUGAUCUCAAGAUUCUGCCUCUUAGCUGUUAUGAUGGAAUAUUGGGAAUGGAUUGGUUGGUAAAACAUAGCCCAAUGACUGUGGACUGGGAUCAGCAAUGGAUGUCAUUUCCCCUGCAUGGAAAAACAGUAACAAUUCAAGGGGCAACACCUGUGGAAUUUACUUAUAGCAUCAUAGAAUUGUCUAUCAUUACUGAUGAAAAUGCUCAAACUGUUUUACCAGAAAUUCAGGAACUGUUGGAUGAGUACAAGGAUGUCUUUGCUAUUCCUAUUGGAUUACCACCAGAGAGGUCUUGUGAUCACUCUAUACCUCUUAUUCCAGGUGCAAGACCAUUUUCUCACAGACCAUACACAUUCGGCCAUACCGAAACCACCCCCUUCCACAGCAAGUACCUGAGCGGUCUGACGGAUUGCACCCAACUUUUGCGAGCGCGUGUGGUGCCCCACCCGGGCACCCCACGGCCAAAAUGAACGAUAUCCGACAACGAACGCACGUUGCGUCACGUCCGGGCAGCAUUUUCGGGGUUUUUGGCCCGGAAAAUCGUAGAAAAUCCAUACGGACUCGAAACGGGACGAAUUUUUGCGUGCGUGCCCUCAUAGGACACUGUAGCACGUGCAAAAAAAUGGGCACGUUUGGUGGAUGCAAAACGGAGACAUGCGACCGAGGGUCCCCUCCGGCCAUACCGAAACCANNNNNNNNNNNNNNNNNNNNNNNNNNNNNNNNNNNNNNNNNNNNNNNNNNNNNNNNNNNNNNNNNNNNNNNNNNNNNNNNNNNNNNNNNNNNNNNNNNNNNNNNNNNNNNNNNNNNNNNNNNNNNNNNNNNNNNNNNNNNNNNNNNNNNNNNNNNNNNNNNNNNNNNNNNNNNNNNNNNNNNNNNNNNNNNNNNNNNNNNNNNNNNNNNNNNNNNNNNNNNNNNNNNNNNNNNNNNNNNNNNNNNNNNNNNNNNNNNNNNNNNNNNNNNNNNNNNNNNNNNNNNNNNNNNNNNNNNNNNNNNNNNNNNNNNNNNNNNNNNNNNNNNNNNNNNNNNNNNNNNNNNNNNNNNNNNNNNNNNNNNNNNNNNNNNNNNNNNNNNNNNNNNNNNNNNNNNNNNNNNNNNNNNNNNNNNNNNNNNNNNNNNNNNNNNNNNNNNNNNNNNNNNNNNNNNNNNNNNNNNNNNNNNNNNNNNNNNNNNNNNNNNNNNNNNNNNNNNNNNNNNNNNNNNNNNNNNNNNNNNNNNNNNNNNNNNNNNNNNNNNNNNNNNNNNNNNNNNNNNNNNNNNNNNNNNNNNNNNNNNNNNNNNNNNNNNNNNNNNNNNNNNNNNNNNNNNNNNNNNNNNNNNNNNNNNNNNNNNNNNNNNNNNNNNNNNNNNNNNNNNNNNNNNNNNNNNNNNNNNNNNNNNNNNNNNNNNNNNNNNNNNNNNNNNNNNNNNNNNNNNNNNNNNNNNNNNNNNNNNNNNNNNNNNNNNNNNNNNNNNNNNNNNNNNNNNNNNNNNNNNNNNNNNNNNNNNNNNNNNNNNNNNNNNNNNNNNNNNNNNNNNNNNNNNNNNNNNNNNNNNNNNNNNNNNNNNNNNNNNNNNNNNNNNNNNNNNNNNNNNNNNNNNNNNNNNNNNNNNNNNNNNNNNNNNNNNNNNNNNNNNNNNNNNNNNNNNNNNNNNNNNNNNNNNNNNNNNNNNNNNNNNNNNNNNNNNNNNNNNNNNNNNNNNNNNNNNNNNNNNNNNNNNNNNNNNNNNNNNNNNNNNNNNNNNNNNNNNNNNNNNNNNNNNNNNNNNNNNNNNNNNNNNNNNNNNNNNNNNNNNNNNNNNNNNNNNNNNNNNNNNNNNNNNNNNNNNNNNNNNNNNNNNNNNNNNNNNNNNNNNNNNNNNNNNNNNNNNNNNNNNNNNNNNNNNNNNNNNNNNNNNNNNNNNNCUCAUAGGGCACUGUAGCAUGUGCAAAAAAAUGGGCACGUUCGGCGGAUGCAAAGCGGAGACAUGCGACCGAGGGUCCCCUCCGGCCAUACCGAAACCACCCCCUUCCACAGCAAGUACCUGAACGGUCUGACGGAUUGCACCCAACUUUUGCGAGCGCGUGUGGCGCCCCACCCGGGCACCCCACGGCCAAAAUGAACGAAAUCCGACAACGAACGCACGUUGCGUCACGUCCGGGCAACAUUUUCGGGGUUUUCGGCCCAGAGAAUCGUAGAAAAUCCAUACGGACUCGAAACGGGACGAAUUUUUGCGUGCGUGCCCUCAUAGGGCACUGUAGCACGUGCAAAAAAAUGGACACGUUUGCUAAGUUAAAAAAAUAGCCUAUUUGAUUAAGCUAAAAAUAUGGGCAUGUUUGGCUACGUUAAAAAAAUUGGUUAAGGCAAUUUUUUUUGAUAAUGUGCCUACUUUAUUUACUUAAAAUAAAAGAGGACCUGUAAAAAAAACGCCGGCCGUCUCGCUAACCGACGCGCUUGUGUGUAUGGGGCCGUCCCACUAACAACGACGCCGCAAUCAGCGCUCGGGCGACGUGUUAGCCGACGCGCAUGCAAAUUUUCCUUGUACGUACAGCCCGUCUCGCCGCCGCCGCGAUCUGAACGUGCUGCCGACGUACGCCGUCCGUCGCCCCACACUCCAAAACGGCGCUGGUGCCUCUCCCACCGUCGCCCCACCGUCCAAACGCCAUCCGUGCACCCGCGCCGGCUUGCGUCCCCUGACCCGUCGCCCUCUAUACGCCGCCGGUGCCUCCCCCACCGUCGCCGUCGUGUAAGUUUUUUUUCCAGUUGCUUUAUACAACGAGGCUCAUAGCAGUACGAUGGUAUGUGACAAAAAUCUAUUUGAUGCAGUAUGAAUAUCGACGGUGUGAUUCCAUAUUCUGUUCAAAAGUGGGUUAGCCUAGUUGACAAACUGUCACCCAGUCAGAAAUUCCAGUUUUAUGAAACGGAUAUGCAGGGCAUGUUUAGAAUACCAUCAAUAAAGAUGCGUGAUUUUUUGCUUCACUUUUUACUCCAAGGUUACAAUCCGAGUAGCAAAAAAUUUAUGGUUGAAGAGAGUUCUGGAAGUACUGCUGGAAAUAAAGGUCUUAUUUCACUAAGGCCUGAUGAUGUGUACUCCAUUUUUGGUUGGAAAAACAAUGGAGUGGAUGUUUUUGGGUUUCUUAGUACUGAAGGAGCAAAAGCAACCAAAAAAAUACCAGUUAGUUUUGUUAGCAAGAAAAAUGGUAAGAUCAUGAUUGAUGAUCUCAUAGAAAAGAUUGUGAAGAACAACAGCACUGAUGAUGACUUUAUUCGGAUGACAUUUCUAGUUCUUUUAGGAACUAUAAUUGCACCAGUGUCUCAUGAAUACGUUCCAAAAAAAUACUAUGCCUUAGUGCAAAAUAUUAAGUUGAUAAGGAAGUUCAACUGGAAUGCAUUCACUUCACGAUUCUGUUUGUCGGAGAUUGGUAAGCUUCUGCAGGACGGCCAUGUUAGGCAGUGGCCCCAGGGGAACCUCGCCCUUUUGCAAGUACGUUGUAUUUAUUGAUUUGAACACUUUUCUUACAAAAUGUCACGGAAAAACAUGUAAUUUAAUUACUUUAUGUGUUUUGCAGUACCUAUACUGGGAGAAGGUGCAACCAAUCACCGGUCCAAAAUAUGAUCCGUUGGCAUUGUUGAGCCCGCUGAUGAGGAACUGGAUGGAAGAUAUGGCUGUGAGAAGAGACAAAUACGACUAUGAAUAUGGUCGUGGUGUUGGGAUGGUAAUCCUAGUAAUCAUGUUUUUUUUACAUUUAUGAAACAAAGUUAAGUGUGCGUAUGGUUUGUAUGUAUAAUUCUCUUGUUGCAUUUGUAGAUCAAUGACAACAUUACAGAGGAGUAUAGGCUGAAAAAAAUUGCAGAAGAAGAAGCUCAAAAAACCAAGAAAGCUAGUAGCAAAAAGUCUAACGUUACUGGAACGAGGAAAGAGGGCAGUACCUCAGAGGCUUCGAGCCAGAAGCCUACUAUGGACCGGAUUUUGAGUGAGAUGAAUGAGCUUCGGAAGGAAAUGCUUCGUUUGCUAGAGUUAUGCGCACAAGUAACACUUGAGCACGUCACUUUAAUAUCCAUCACCGAAUUGAAGAACUAAGAUGAAAUGUUUUCUUGCAGAGGAUUAUUGAGAAACUGAACAAAACCGACGUCUUCUACAAACCAAGUAACCUGGAAGAGGACGAAGAGAAUCUGCACGGAGGCACUAAUGAGUCUUCAAAUGAUGGUAGACGUCCGGAAAAAGAGUUUGUAUAUAAAAAAGAUGAUUCAGACCGGUUCCGCACACCUUCCAAAAUGAAUUUGCAAAAGGAUGAUGACGGCGGUGAUGUAACUUCUCAUGGAAACACACAUUUUUACUGCACACCUGAGUACUGGGAUAGUUUCAAGGGUGAUAUGGAUGAUCCUAUCCAAGUACCAGAAGUAUCAGAUGAAAAAGCUGCCACAUCUUUAGGGAUGGAUGAAAUCGCAUCGCAUGCGUCGCUUGGUUCUCAAGGAGUACAAGAGGAAGUGGAGGAGGUUACUGGCAGGCGCAAGCGCAAAGGAUCACAACAUGUCAAGUCUCCUUAUGUGGUCCCUAAACCGAACAAGCGUGCAAAAUGUUCUGCGAAAGGAAGUAAGUUUUUUGUGUUUCUAAUUGUUCUUGCAUAAUAAUUAUUUAUAUAUUUGCGUAUAUAAUUAUUUGAGUUGUGCGUUACAGAAUUGUUCCAAAAUGGUGGUGUUAACAAAUCUAGUGAUGAGUAUGAUGUGGUGAAAGCGUCCAUCAAGUACGUGCGCGCGCAUGAGCAUUCACAAAAACAUGCCAAAACAGAAAUUUUCAAUGAUGGCUUGGAAGAAGGUCUCACUGUGCGGAGAGCUUGUCAGAUUAUAAACCAUGAGUGGCUAAGUGGAGACGUAAGUUAAUUUCAUAUAUUGUUUUACAAUUGAUUCGAAAACACCAUUGUUAAAUCUGACACAUUAUUUAUAGGUAAUUAAUGCAUACUCAUCAUAUUUGCUCGACAAAGUUAGUGAUGAUCGUUUCAUGUUGACAACUUGGAGGAUACAUUGGUUGCUUCAUGUUAGACCCGGGAAGAAGACCGCCGGUAACUAUUAUGAAGCAGAGUCGCAUAGUAAUGGACCCGUUAAUAGAUGUGAGGACGAGUAUUUCAAAAAAUCAAAGGUAAGUUCGAUUGGUUACACGGUACAUACAUACGAUAGUAUGUGCUGAUUGUGUUUUAUGGUCCUUGUGAUGCAGACUUACAUUCCUCUAAACAAGCAGAACAAUCACUGGAUUACUGUCGUCAUGCAUGGCGGGAAGAGAGAGUUUCAGGUUCUUGACUCGUUGAUGAACGGAAAACUUGACAGUGUUACUAGAGAACUCGUAGAGGACCUGGUAGGUUUAACUUUCAAAUGUGCAUUUGGUAACAUUGAUUUUUUUAGUACACUGAAUGACAUUCUUUCCACCAUUUUUAUUAUAUCUUUAGAGAAAACAACUAGCAUAAGAUAUCCAAGAAGCAAAUGCAAAUUGUGAAUUAUCCGGAUGUUUCCAAUUGGCCUAUUGAAACGUAUGACAUGCCAAUGUUGGGGAACGUAGUAAUUUCAAAAAAAUUCCUACGCACACGCAAGAUCAUGGUGAUGGCAUAGCAACGAGAGGGGAGAGUGUUCGUCCACGUACCAUUGUAGACCGUAAGCAGAAGCGUUAUGAAAACGCGGUUGAUGUAGUCGUACAUCUUCACGAUCCGACCGAUCCAAGCACAGAACGUACGGCACCUCCGAGUUCAGCACACGUUCAGCUCGAUGACGAUCCCCGGGCUCCGAUCCAGCAAAGCUUCGGGGAAGAGUUCGGUCAGCAUGAUGACGUGGUGACGAUGAUGAUGUUCUACCGGCGCAGGGCUUCGCCUAAACUCCACGACGAUAUGACCGAGGUGUAAUAUGGUGGAGGGGGGCACCGCACACGGCUAAGGAACAAUCCGUAGAUCAACUUGUGUGUCUUUGGGGUGCCCCCUGCCCCCGUAUAUAAAGGAGGGAGGGGGGAGGCCGGCCGGCCUUGUUGGGCGCGCCAGGAGGAGGAGUCCUCCUCCUAGUAGGAGUAGGACUCCUCCUUUCCUACUCCUACUAGGAGGGAAAGGAAGGGGGAGAGGAGGGGAAGGAAACAGGGGGGCGCCGCCCCCCUCCUAGUCCAAUUCGGACCAGAGGGAGAGGGGGCGCGCGGCCCGUCCUGGCCGCCCCUCUCUCUUCCCACCAAGGCCCAUGUGGCUCAUUAACUCUCCGAGGGGGGUCCGGUAACCCUCCGGCACUCCGGUUUUCUCCGAAAUCACCCGGAACACUUCCGGUGUCCGAAUAUAGUCGUCCAAUAUAUCAAUCUUUAUUUCUCGACCAUUUCGAGACUCCUCGUCAUGUCCGUGAUCACAUCCGGGACUCCGAACAAACUUCGGUACAUCAAAACUUGUAAACUCAUAAUAAAACUGUCAUCGUAACGUUAAGCGUGCGGACCCUAUGGGUUCGAGAACUAUGUAGACAUGACCUAGAACUAUUCUCGAUCAAUAACCAAUAGCGGAACCUGGAUGCCCAUAUUGGUUCCUACAUAUUCUACGAAGAUCUUUAUCGGUCAAACCGCAUAACAAGAUACGUUGUUCCCUUUGUCAUCGGUAUGUUACUUGCCCGAGAUUUGAUCGUCGGUAUCCAAUACCUAGUUCAAUCUCGUUACCGGCAAGUCUCUUUACUCGUUCUGUAACACAUCAUCUUAUAACUAACUCAUUAGUUACAAUGCUUGCAAGGCUUAGGUGAUGAGUAUUACCGAGAUGGCCCAGAGAUACUUCUCCGACAAUCGGAGUGACAAAACCUAAUGUCGAAUUAUGCCAGCCCAACAUGCACCUUCGGAAACACCUGUAGAGCACCUUUAUAAUCACCCAGUUACGUUGUGACGUUUGGUAGCACACAAAGUGUUCUUCCGGUAAAUGUGAGUUGCACAAUCUCAUAGUUGCAGGAACUUUGUAUAAGUCAUGAAGAAAUCAAUAGCAACAUACUAAAUGAUCAAGUGCUAGGCUAACGGAAUGGGUCAUGUCAAUCACAUCAUUCUCCUAAUGAUGUGAUCCCAUUAAUCAAAUGACAACACAUGUCUAUGGUUAGGAAACAUAACCAUCUUUGAUUAAUGAGCUAGUCAAGUAGAGGCAUACUAGUGACUUUAUGUUUGUCUAUGUAUUCACACAUGUAUCAUGUUUCCGGUUAAUACAAUUCUAGCAUGAAUAAUAAACAUUUAUCAUGAUAUGAGGAAAUAAAUAAUAACUUUAUUAUUGCCUCUAGGGCAUAUUUCCUUCAGUCUCCCACUUGCACUAGAGUCAAUAAUCUAGUUCACAUCACCAUGUGAUUUAACACCAAUAUUCACAUCUGUAUGUGAUUAAUACCCAUAGUUCACAUCGUCAUGUGAUCAACGCCCAAAGGGUUUACUAAGGUAUGAUCAUGUUUUGCUCAUGAGAGAAGUUUAGUCAACGGGUCUGUCACAUUCAGAGCCGUAUGUAUUUUGCAAAUAUUCUAUGUCCACAAUGUUGGGGAACAUAGUAAUUUCAAAAAUUUCCUACGCACACGCAAGAUCAUGGUGAUGCAUAGCAACGAGAGGGGAGAGUGUAAUCUACAUACCCUUGUAGACCGAAAGCGGAAGCGUUAGAACAACGCGGUUGAUGUAGUCGUACGUCUUCACGGCCCGACCGAUCAAGCACCGAAACUACGGCACCUCCGAGUUCUAGCACACGUUCAUCUCGAUGACGUCCCUCGAACUCCGAUCCAGCCGAGUGUCGAGGGAGAGUUCCGUCAGCACGACGGCGUGGUGACGAUCUUGAUGUUCUACCGUCGCAGGGCUUCGCCUAAGCACUGCUACAAUAUUAUCGAGGAGGACUAUGGUGGAGGGGGGCACCGCACACGGCUAAUAGAUCUCAAGGAUCAAUUGUUGUUGUGUCUUUGGGGUGCCCCCUGCCCCCAUAUAUAUAGGAGCAAGGCGGGAGGCGGCCGGCCUAUGGAGGAGGCGCACCAAGGGGGGAGUCCUACUCCCACCGGGAGUAGGACUCCUCCUUUCCUUGUUGGAGAAGGAAAGAGGAGGAGUAGGACUCCUCCUUUCCUUGUUGGAGAAGGAAAGAGGAGGAGAAGGAGAAGGAAAAGUGGGCUGCCCCCCUUGUUCAAUUCGUACCAGAGGGGGGGGGGGGGCAGGCCUCCUUCCUUUUGGCCUCUCUCCUCUGUUCCCGUAUGGUCCAAUAAGGCCCAUAUACUCCCCGGCGAAUUCCCGUAACUCUCCGGUACUCCGAAAAAUACCCGAAUCACUCGGAACCUUUCCGAACUCCGAAUAUAGUCGUCCAAUAUAUCGAUCUUUACGUCUCGACCAUUUCGAGACUCCUCGUCAUGUCCCCGAUCUCAUCCGGGACUCCGAACUCCUUCGGUACAUCAAAACUCAUAAACUCAUAAUAUAACUGUCAUCGAAACCUUAAGCGUGCGGACCCUACGGGUUCGAGAACAAUGUAGACAUGACCUAGAACUAUUCUCGGUCAAUAACCAAUAGCGGAACCUGGAUGCUCAUAUUGGCUCCUACAUAUUCUGCGAAGAUCUUUAUCGGUCAAACCGCAUAACAACAUACGUUGUUCCCUUUGUCAUCGGUAUGUUACUUGCCCGAGAUUCGAUCGUCGGUAUCCAAUACCUAGUUCAAUCUCGUUACUGGCAAGUCUCUUUACUCGUUAUGUAAUGCAUCAUUCCGUAACUAACUCAUUAGCUACAUUGCUUGCAAGGCUUAUAGUGAUGUGCAUUACCGAGAGGGCCCAGAGAUACCUCUCCGACAAUCGGAGUGACAAAACCUAAUCUCAAAAUACGCCAACCCAACAUGUACCUUUGGAGACACCUGUAGUACUCCUUUAUAAUCACCCAGUUAUGUUGUGACGUUUGGUAGCACCCAAAGUGUUCCUCCGAUAAACGGGAGUUGCAUAAUCUCAUAGUUACAGGAACAUGUAUAAGUCAUGAAGAAAGCAACAGCAACAUACUAAAUGAUCAAGUGCUAAGCUAACGGAAUGGGUCAAGUCAAUCACAUCAUUCUCCUAAUGAUGUGAUCCCGUUAAUCAAAUGACAACUCUUUUGUCCAUGGUUAGGAAACAUAACCAUCUUUGAUAAACGAGCUAGUCAAGUAGAGGCAUACUAGUGACACUAUGUUUGUCUAUGUAUUCACACAUGUAUUAUGUUUCCGGUUAAUACAAUUCUAGCAUGAAUAAUAAACAUUUAUCAUGAUACAAGGAAAUAAAUAAUAACUUUAUUAUUGCCUCUAGGGCAUAUUUCCUUCAGUCUCCCACAUGCACUAGAGUCAAUAAUCUAGUUCACAUCAUCAUGUGAUUUAACACCAAUAUUCACAUGUGUAUGUGAUUAAUACCCAUAGUUCACAUCGUCAUGUGAUCAACACCCAAAGGGUUUACUAGAGUCAAUAAUCUAGUUCACAUUGCUAUGUGACUAACACCCAAAGAGAACUAAGGUAUGAUCAUGUUUUGCUCGUGAGAGAAGCUUAGUCAACGGGUCUGUCACAUUCAGAGCCGUAUGUAUUUUGCAAAUAUUCUAUGUCUACAAUGCUCUGCACGGAGCUACUCUAGCUAAUUGCUCCCACUUUCAAUAUGUAUCCAGAUUGAGACUUAGAGUCAUCUGGAUUGGUGUAAAAUCUUGCACCGAUGUAACUUUUACGACGAGCUCUUUUAUCACCUCCAUAAUCGAGAAACAUCUCCUUAGUCCUCACUAAGGAUAUUCUUGACCGUUGUCCAGUGAUCUACUAUUAGAUCACUAUUGUACUCCCUUGCCAAAUCAGGGCAGAGUAUACAAUAGGUCUGGUCCAUAGCAUGGCAUACUUUUAUAGAACCUAUGACUGAAUGCAUAGGGAAUGACUUUCAUUCUCUUUCUAUUUUCUGUCGUGGUCGGGAUUUGAGUCUUACUCAAUUUCAUACCUUUGCAACACAGGCAAGAACUCUUUCUUUGACUGUUCCAUUUUGAACUAUUUCAAAAAAUUUAUCAAGGUAUGUACUCAUUGAAAAAUCUUAUCAAGCGUCUUGAUCUAUCUUUAUAGAUCUUGAUGAUCAAUGUGUAAGCAACUUCACCAAGGUCUUGCUUUAAAAAAAACUCUUAUUCAAGUAUCCUUUCAUGCUAUCCAGAAUUUCCAUAUCAUUUCCAAUUAACAAUAUGUCAUCCACAUAUAAUAUUAGAAAUGCUACAGUGCUCCCACUCACUUUCUCGUAAAUAUAGGCUUCUUCAAAAGUCUGUAUAAAACCAUAUGCUUUGAUCAACUCAUCAAAGCAUAUAUUCCAUCUCCGAGAUGCUUGCACCAGUCCAUUGAUGGAUCGCUGGAGCUUGCACACUUUGUUAGCACCUUUAGGAUUGACAAAACCUUCUGGUUGCAUCAUAUACAACUCUUCUUUAAUAAAUCUAUUAAGGAAUGUAGUUUUGACAUCCAUUUGCUAGAUUUCAUAAAAUGUGGCAAUUGCUAACAUGAUUCGGACAGACUUAAGCAUCGUUACGAGUGAGAAAAUCUCAUCGUAUUCAACACCUUGAACUUGUCGAAAACCUUUUGCAACAAGUCGAGCUUUGUAGAUAGUAACACUACUAUCAGUGUCCGUCUUCCUCUUGAAGAUCCAUUUAUUUAACAUGGCUUGCUAAUCAUCGAGCAAGUCAAUCAAAGUCCAUACUUUGUUCUCAUACAUGGAUCAUAUCUCAGAUUUUAUGGCCUCAAGCCAUUUCGUGGAAUCUGGGCUCAUCAUCGCUUCCUCAUAGUUCGUAGGUUCAUCAUGGUCUAGUAACAUGACUUCCAGAACAGGAUUACCGUACCACUCUGGUGCGGAUCUUACUCUGGAAGACCUACGAGUUUCUGUAGUAACUUAAUCUGAAGUUUUAUGAUCAUCAUCAUUAACUUCCUCACUAAUUGGUGUAGUAGUCAUAGGAACAGAUUUCUGUGAUGAACUACUUUCCAAUAAGGGAGCAGGUACAGUUACCUCAUCAAGUUCUAAUUUCCUCCCACUCACUUCUUUCGAGAGAAACUCCUUGUCUAGAAAGGAUCCAUUCUUAGCAAUGAAUAACUUGCCUUCCGAUCUGUGAUAGAAGGUGUACCCAAUAGUUAACUUUGGGUAUUCUAUGAAGACGCACUUCUCCGAUUUGGGUUUGAGCUUAUCAGGUUGAAACCUUUUUCAUAUAAGCAUCGCAACUCCAAACUUUAAGAAACGACAGCUUAGGUUUACUUCUAAACCAUAGUUCAUACAAUGUCGUCUCAACGGAUUUAAAUGGUGCCCUUUUAACGUGAAUGCAGCUGUCUCUAAUGCAUAACCCCAAAACGAUAAUGGUAAAUCAGUAAGAGACAUCAUAGAUCGAACCAUAUCCAAUAAAGUGCGGUUACGACGUUCGGACACACCAUAACGUUGUGGUGUUCCAGGUGGCGUGAGUUGUGAAACUAUUCCACAUUGUUUUAAUUGAAGACCAAACUCGUAACUCAAAUAUUCGUCUCCGCGAUCAGAUCGUAGAAACUUUAUUUUCUUGUUACGAUGAUUUUUCCACUUCAGUCUGAAAUUCUUUGAACCUUUCAAUUAUUUCAGACUUAUGUUUCAUUAAGUAGAUAUACCCAUAUCUGCUUAAAUCAUCUGUGAAGGUCAGAAAAUAACGAUACUCGCCACGAGCCUUAAUACUCAUUAGUCUGCAUACAUCAGUAUGUAUUAUUUCCAACAAGUUUGUUGCUCAUUCCAUUGUUCUGAAGAACGGAGUUUUAGUCAUCUUGCCCAAAAGGCACGGUUCGCAAGCAUCAAAUGAUUCAUAACCAAGUGAUUCCGAAAAUCCAUCUUUUAUGGAGUUUCUUCAUGCGCUUUACACCAAUAUGACCUAAACGGCAGUGCCACAAAUAAGUUGCACUAUCAUUAUUAACUUUACAUCUUUUGGUUUCAAUAUUAUGAAUAUGUUUAUCACACGAUCGAGAUCCAGCAAACCAUUUUCAUUGGGUGUAUGACCAUAGAAGGUUUUAUUCAUGUAAACAGAACAAUAAUUAUUCUCUAACUUACAUGAAUAACCGUAUUGCAAUAAACAUGAUCAAAUCAUAUUCAUGCUCAACGCAAACGCCAAAUAACAUUUAUUUAGGUUCAACACUAAUCCCGAAAGUAUAGGGAGUGUGCGAUGAUGAUCAUAUCAAUCUUGGAACUACUUCCAACAUUCAUCGUUACCUCACCCUCAACUAGUUUCUGUUUAUUCUGCAACUCCCGUUUCGAGUUACUACUCUUAGAAACUGAACUAGUAUCAAAUACCAAGGGGUUGCUAUAAACACUAGUAAAGUACACAUCAAUAGCAUGUAUAUCAAAUAUACCUAUGUACACUUUGCCAUCCUUCUUAUCCGCCAAAUACUUGGGGUAGUUCCACUUCCAAUGACCAGUCCCUUUGAAGUAGAAUCACUUAGUCUUAGGCUUAGGUCCAGACUUGGGCUUCUUCACUUGAGCAGCAACUUGCUUGCUGUUCUUCUUGAAGUUCCCCUUCUUCCCUUUGCCCUUUUUCUUGAAACUAGUGAUCUUGUCCACCAUCAACACUUUGAUGUUUUUCUUUGAUUUCUACCUUCGCCGAUUUUUGCAUCGCGAAGAGCUUGGGAAUUGUUUUCGUCAUCCCUUGCAUACUAUAGUUCAUCACGAAGUUCUAGUAACUUAGUGAUGGUGACUAGAGAAUUCUGUCAAUCACUAUCUUAUCUGGAAGAUUAACUCCCACUUGAUUCAAGCGAUUGAAGUACCCAGACAAUCUGAGCACAUGCUCACUAGUUGAGCGAUUCUCCUCCAUCUUUUAGCUAUAGAACUUGUUGGAGACUUCAUAUCUCUCAACUCGGGUAUUUGCUUGAAAUAUUAACUUCAACUCCUGGAACAUCUCAUAAGUUCCAUGACGUUCAAAACGUCUUUGAAGUCCCGAUACUAAGACGUUAAGCAUGGUGCACUAAACUAUCAAGUAGUCAUCAUAUUGAGCUAGCCAAACGUUCAUAACGUCUGCAUCUGCUCCUGCAAUAGGUUUGUCACCUAGCGGUGCAUCAAGGACAUAAUUCUUCUGCGCAGCAAUGAGGAUAAACCUCAGAUCACGGAUCCAAUCCGCAUCAUUGCUACUAACAUUUUUCAACACAAUUUUCUCUGGGAACAUAUCAAAAUAAACAUAUGAGAGCAACAACGCAAGCUAUUGAUCUACAACAUAAUUUGCAAAAUACUACCAGGACUAAGUUCAUGAUAAAUUUAAGUUCAAUUAAUCAUAUUACUUAAGAACUCCCACUUAGAAAGACAUCCCUCUAAUCUUCUAAGUGAUCACGUGAUCCAAAUCAACUAAACCAUAACCGAUCAUCACGUGAGAUGGAGUAGUUUUCAAUGGUGAACAUCACUAUGUUGAUCAUAUCUACUAUAUGAUUCACGCUCGACCUUUCGGUCUCCGUGUUCCGAGGCCAUAUCUGCAUAUGCUAGACUCGUAAAUUUUAACCUGAGUAUUCCGCGUGUGCAAAACUGUCUUGCACCCAUUGUAGAUGGACGUAGAACUUAUCACACCCGAUCAUCACGUGGUGUCUGGGCACGACGAACUUUGGCAACGGUGCAUAUUCAGGGAGAACACUUCUUGAUAAUUUUUAGUGAGAGAUCAUCUUAAAAUGCUACCGUCAAACAAAGCAAGAUAAGAUGCAUAAAGGAUAAACAUCACAUGCAAUCAAUAUAAGUGAUAUGAUAUGGCCAUCAUCAUCUUGUGCUUGUGAUCUCCAUCUCCGAAGCACCAUCGUGAUCACCAUCGUCACCGGCGGAAACCUUGAUCUCCAUCGUAGCAUCGUUGUCGUCUCGCCAACUAUUGCUUCUACGACUAUCGCUACCGCUUAGUGAUAAAGUAAAGCAAUUACAGGGCAUUUGCAUUUCAUACAAUAAAGCGACAACCAUAUGGCUCCUGCCAGUUGCCGAUAACUUUGGUUACAAAACAUGAUCAUCUCAUACAAUAAAAUAUAGCAUCACGUCUUGACCAUAUCACAUCACAACAUGCCCUACAAAAACAAGUUAGACGUCCUCUACUUUGUUGUUGCAAUUUUUACGUGGCUGCUACGGGCUUAGCAAGAACCGUUCUUACCUACGCAUCAAAAACCACAACGAUAGUUCGUCAAGUUAGUGCUGUUUUAACCUUCGCAAAGACCGGGCGUAGCCAUACUCGAUUCAGCUAAAGUGAGAGAGACAGACACCCGUCAGUCACCUUUAAGCAUGAGUGCUCGUAACGGUGAAACCAGUCUCGCGUAAGCGUACGCGUAAUGUCGGUCCGGGCCGCUUCAUCUCACAAUACCGCCGAACCAAAGUAUGACAUGCUGGUAAGCAGUAUGACUUGUAUCGCCCACAACUCACUUGUGUUCUACUCGUGCAUAUGACAUCUACGCAUAAAACCAGGCUCUGAUACCACUGUUGGGGAACGUAGUAAUUUCAAAAAAAUUCCUACGCACACACAAGAUCAUGGUGAUGGCAUAGCAACAAGAGGGGAGAGUGUUCGUCCACGUACCCUCGUAGACCGUAAGCGGAAGCGUUAUAACAACGCGGUUGAUGUAGUCGUACGUCUUCACGAUCCGACCGAUCCAAGCACCGAACGUACGGCACCUCCGAGUUCAGCAGACGUUCAGCUCGAUGACGAUCCCCGGGCUCCGAUCCAGCAAAGCUUCGGGGAAGAGUUCCGCCAGCACGACGGUAUGGUGACGAUGAUGAUGUUCUACCGGCGCAGGGCUUCGCCUAAACUCCGAGACGAUAUGACCGAGGUGGAAUAUGGUGGAGGGGGGCACCGCACACGGCUAAGGAACGAUCCGUAGAUCAACUUGUGUGUCUUUGGGGUGCCCCCUGCCCCCGUAUAUAAAGGAGGGAGGGGGGAGGCCGGCCGGCCCUUGUUGGGCGCGCCAGGAGGAGGAGUCCUCCGCCUAGUAGGAGUAGGACUCCUCCUUUCCUACUCCUACUAGGAGGGAAAGGAAGGGGAGAGGAGGGGAAGGAAAGAGGGGGGCGCCGCCCCCCCCCCUCCUAGUCCAAUUCGGACCAGAGGGAGAGGGGACGCGCGGCCCUUCCUGGCCGCCCCUCUCUCUUCCCACCAAGGCCCAUGUGGCCCAUUAACUCUCCGGGGGGGGGGGGUUCCGGUAACCCUCCGGCACUCCGGUUUUCUCCGAAAUCACCCGGAACACUUCCGGUGUCCGAAUAUAGUCGUCCAAUAUAUAAAUCUUUAUGUCUCGACCAUUUCGAGACUCCUCGUCAUGUCCGUGAUCACAUCCGGGACUCCAAACAAACUUCUGUACAUCAAAACUUGUAAACUCAUAAUAAAACUGUCAUCGUAACGUUAAGCGUGCGGACCCUACGGGUUCGAGAACUAUGUAGACAUGACCUAGAACUAUUCUCGGUCAAUAAACAAUAGCGGAACCUGGAUGCCCAUAUUAGUUCCUACAUAUUCUACGAAGAUCUUUAUCGGUCAAACCGCAUAACAACAUACGUUGUUCCCUUUGUCAUCGGUAUGUUACUUGCCCGAGAUUUGAUCGUCGGUAUCCAAUACCUAGUUCAAUCUCGUUACCGGCAAGUCUCUUUACUCGUUCUGUAACACAUCAUCUUAUAACUAACUCAUUAGUUACAAUGCUUGCAAGGCUUAGGUGAUGAGUAUUACCGAGAUGGCCCAGAGAUACUUCUCCGACAAUCGGAGUGACAAAACCUAAUCUCGAAUUAUGCCAACCCAACAUGCACCUUUGGAAACACCUGUAGAGCACCUUUAUAGUCACCCAGUUACGUUGUGACGUUUGGUAGCACACAAAGUGUUCUUCCGAUAAACACGAGUUGCACAAUCUCAUAGUUGCAGGAACUUUGUAUAAGUCAUGAAGAAAGCAAUAGCAACAUACUAAACGAUCAAGUGCUAGGCUAACGGAAUGGGUCAUGUCAAUCACAUCAUUCUCCUAAUGAUGUGAUCCCAUUAAUCAAAUGACAACAUAUGUCUAUGGUUAGGGAACAUAACCAUCUUUGAUUAAUGAGCUAGUCAAGUAGAGGCAUACUAGUGACUUUAUGUUUGUCUAUGUAUUCACACAUGUAUCAUGUUUCCGGUUAAUACAAUUCUAGCAUGAAUAAUAAACAUUUAUCAUGAUAUGAGGAAAUAAAUAAUAACUUUAUUAUUGCCUCUAGGGCAUAUUUCCUUCAGCCAAAACAACAUGAUGGGUGAGUUAUUACUUUGACAGCAUGUCGGUCCUGUAUGUACAGUAGAUAUUUAAUCUUCAUAAAUUGUAUGCACUAGGAAUUCGUGUGGAAUAUUUCUCCUUCGAUGCUUUCAAUAUUGGGAUGGUGACAAAUGGACAGGCUUAUUUUCACAGGUACGCAAGUCAUGUUUGUACUACCAUGUACUAUGAAUGCUGUGCUAACAUCACUUUUUUUCAGAGGUCAAUUGAUGAUUCGAGAGAGGUAAUGAUUGUGCAACUUAUCUUUUCAGAAAGAAAUAAGCUUGAUGAAGUGAAAAACAAAGUUAUUCAGAUAUCAAAGAAGAAGAAAUAGAUGCGGCACGGAGGAGUUUUGCAUGUGAUUGGGUGGUACUGGAGGACUAUAUUUUCCAAACGCUUUGCGCACUUGCUUAUAAAUUUUAUGUAAUAGACAUAUUUAUUAAUUUUGCCACUAUUUUGUUCCAAAAAGAUUAUACACUUGAUUACAUUUUUUAUGACCACAUGAUAUUGUCUUUCAUAAAUAUUAUAUAAUCAGUCUUUUUUUUGUUACAUGAUUUUUUUUGUUUCCGAAUAGUUGUAAACUAUGGUAACACAUUAUUAAAAAAACGCGACGAUUUUAUUUAUAAAUACAAAAAAGAAUUACAAAAAAUAAAUGUAAUGUUUAGAUUUACAUAUAUGUAAUCGUGUUGUCGUUAAGUUUUUAUACACUAAACUAUGGCAGCACACUGCGUGUUACUUUGUUAGCACAAAGUUAGUUUACAGCACACUUUUUGUUAGUUUAGUUUAGAAAAGCUUAAAAAAUAUUUUAGGUAAAAAAAUUGCCCGCCCGUCUACAGUGUGUCUUAGUAAGCCCGUCGUUAUCAAGCCCACCGGACGACUAUGAUAGGCGUUUCAGAACACAGCGUGCAAACUAGGCCCAACAGGGCAGCAUCGACGCGAUCCAUCGACGGGUAGUAACAGAGGAGUUCAAUGGGACGACGGGAGCUGAGUAUAUAAGCUGGUCGUCGUCCCCUUCGGCCGGCGAGGUGGGACUAAACUUGCGUCGGCCGCGGGGCGACGUGGACACAGCCAGACGCGACGUGGGCCGACCCAAAAAGGGAAUGGACGGCGCAGACUUCUGAACGGCUCGACGCGCCGUGGGCCGGCCCAGUUACCCCCGCUGAGACGACGCGCGACGAAAACUAUCAUUCAGUUUAGUCCCACCUCGCCGGCCGAAAGCGACGACGACCAGUUUAUAUACAGAGCUCCCGUCGCCACAUUGAACUCCUAUGGUCUAUUACCCCGUCGAUGUACCCCGUCGAGUCUGCCCUGUUGCGCCUGGUUUCCACGGCGUGCUCCGAAAUGCUGGUUGUAGUCGCCCGCUGGGCUUGAUAACGAUGGUCUUAUUAAGACACGCCGUGGAGACGGAUGGGCAUUUUUUUUCCUUUUUUUCAACAACAAUUCGCACAGUACUUCUCUUAUUUAAAUAUAGUUGACAGCCGACGGGACUAGUAAGUACAUGCAGAAUUCAUAAUAUAAACAAUGAAUAUAUAGUAAAUACAUGCAGAAUUCACCAUAUAAACAAAGAAUAGUGAAUAUUUAUAUCAACAACAAUGAUGUCUCAACAUAACAAUUGUCACCACAGUAAUUUUAUUGUAGUGGACAGAAAAUAACAAGUCUCAAAUGAGAACGGUCUGUAGGAAAUAAUCUUGUUUCACACAUAUAAAAUACUCAACACGAACAUAAAUGGAAGAGGUAAAGCACUUGCAUUUUCUUCACUUGAGUCUUCAAGCCCAGUUGCUGCAUAGAAUAAAUAAAAAAAUGUGAGAAUCAAUGUACGGUAGAUGAAUCAAUGAAACUAAUAUAAACAAAGCAAAAAGACGUACAAUUACAUAUAAAUGGAAGCAGUAAAACAGAUGCACCGUCGUCACUUCUGUCUUCAAGCCCAGUUGCUGCAUACAAAAAACUAUGAGAAUCAAUGUACCGUAAAUGAAAUAGCAAAACUAACAUAGACAAAUAAUAGACAUACUCUUCAUUUUUGCUGCAUGUGCUCCUGUUAUGACCUGAGCCGCUGCAUAUGCUACAUUUUCGUCCAGAUUUCUCGUCAAAUGCUUUAGGCCUCUCAUUUUUUGUCACAUCUGGGCCACCCUUACCGUGACCUCUACUAUUCUGCUUAGGUGCGCCCUUGGUGGAAACCUUUACUAGAUUACGAACCAGAAUAUGGUCUCGGUUAGGCUCAAAUGGAUUAUUGUUAAUGAAGCUUCUCUGACUAUCAUCUUCAUUUCCUUGUAUGUCCUUAUUCGCUAUAAUAUCAUCCAGAGCUGCCAUCAACUUGUCGAAUAAGAAAGGAUUACUGCAUGCGACAUGACAUGCUUCUGAAGAUUUGAUGGUCAACUCACUAUAUCUAGCUUUGUCCUCACCACUGGACCAACCCCACGCAAACAAAUCGCUGGUGCGCUUCACGGGCAGUCCAGCUCGUGCUUUUUUUGAUAAUCUUCGUAGGACACAACACUUGGCUAUCACAGGUAAGUUUAGUGCAUUCAAAACAUGAAUAAUAUGCUUGCAAGGAAGCCCUUUGCAAGUCAUACUUCGGCAACUGCACUUUAUAGUUUCUGCGGAGUUACCUGGCGUAUAGUCCACAUUAAAUCUGUGAUCCCUGUUAUUCUUCCACGCAACCACAAAUCUCUGACUAUCGGUCCCUGUCAGUCUAUCAAUUACCUCAAGCUCUUGUACCUUCUUCAUAUCUUGUUGCAACAUAUAAAAGUUUUCCUGCGUGAAUGCUUUCGCAGCAUAUGACUCAAUGGCCUGACACUCAAUCACUGUUACUGGAAGAGUCUGUGAGGCCGUGUAGUCAUCAUAAGCUUCAUUCUCACGGAGGCGAACAAUACAAUUCUCGUAGUGUACAAUCAUGUCAACGAUCGUCAUACCAUAGUCAAGAUGAAGGUGUAGGCUGGAGUUCAGACUCUCACCCCUCUGAUUACUGCGCAUACCAAGGAAAAACCCACCAGACAAAUAUGAUGCAGCCCAAAGCGUCCUCUUCCUGUACAUCCUAUGGAGCCAUGUUUUCGUUUUCUCCGUCUGCCAUUUGUGCACAAACGCGGCCCAUCUCUCCUCAAAAACCUUAUGUGUAGUGGCAUAGUACAAUAAUGCCCUAAACUCCUUCAAUGACUUGUGGUUGAGGUGUUUCUGCAUAUUCUUUUCAAUAUGCCAUGAACAUAGACGAUGCCACACAUCAGAAAGCACCUUCCUGAUAGCCCUUAUCAUCGCUGCAUCUCCAUCGGUAAUUACAGAUUUGGGCCUCUUCUGAUAGUUAGCUUUCAAGAACGUGUUAAGCAACCAAACAUAUGUAGCUUCAGUCUCGUCUGAAACAAUGGCGCAGGCGAAUACCGUAGUGCAACGGUGGUUGUUCAGACCCACAAAAGGGAUGAAUGGCAUUCCAUACCUGUUCAUCUUGUAUGUGUUGUCAAACACAACAACAUCACCAUAGUCUAGGUAAUCCCGGCGUGACUGCGAAUCACACCAGAAAAGGUUUUGGAGCUUGCCUUCAGCGUCAACCGUGUGCUCAAAGAAGAAGUCUGGAUCUCUGUCCUUUCUGGUCAACAUGAUUCCUAUGGCAGUAUCGGCAUCACCUUCUUCAAGCAAUUUCAUCUUCUCCCUAUAGCACAUGUUAUACAGCUUUGUCCUCUGAAACGGUGACUUUGCAUACGACCCAUACCUGCUAAUGAUGUUGUCAAAAAUGAUGUGUUUUCUUAUCCCAGCUCCAGCCAUAGCUAAGAUCUCAGCUCUCUCAAAUGCUUUGAUCUGAUUAUGAGAUCGGAGGAAAGGGACUUCAUCCGGUCGUGCAAGAGUGUGGCUGUGAUCAUCGGGGAAACUGCUAACAUACCAAAGAUUGAGCUUUUUAUCAAGCUUAACUGUCAAAUGGGCUUCGCAUAAGAAUCGACUCUCCGGUCUAAGCCUGCGGGUCCGGCUUUCCAUGGUACAGAACUUGGCCUGUCGUUUUCCUGCGGCGGAACAGAGAUACCUCCUCAAGCGCGGAGUCCUUGCGCGAUCCUUCGAGAAUUUUAGCGAGUCCUUCCUGAUGCUAAACCCACAUUCUCUCGCGUGCUUGUUGUAGAACGUGUACACCUCGUCUAAUGACUUGAAUGUCUUUACCAUCACUACCCAAUGCCUAUCAAGUGACUCUUGCUGAUAUUCAUCAUAUCACAUGUCAAGGUCAAACUAAUCAUCAUCACUGUGCUCAUCGUUCCCGCUAGGACCAUCAACACCUCCCUGCAAAAUAUGACAUAUAACCUUGCAUGUCAAUCUGUUCUUGUAUUUUUACUAACCAUAAAUAAUAUAAAUAACUUACUUGGCUACCGCUCCCACUACGAGAUGCAUCGACCUCGCUCUCGGCAUUGUCAUCAUCUAUAUUAUUACGCUCAUUUUCACCAUUAGCAUUUAUCUGUGCACAUGUAAAGUAACAUAAGUGUUCAUACAAUUUUAAUGUCAAUCAUUUCUCUACAAUUUUUUCAACAUACCUGGCUCACACUAUCUGCAUAAAAGUGUUCAUCUAUAUCAUAUUCCUCAUCGUCAUCAUUGCCAUGUAGAUGUACAAAUUUAAAAGGACAUGUAAGUGUGAAAUAAAUAAUUCGUAUUCAAUAUGUUUUGGUCAACAUUGAAGACACUUACAUUACCACUGUACGAUUCAUCCUGACUCAUAUAGUUGUCUCCGGGAGGUUGAUUCACAUUCAAUGACGAGGAUCCAUUAUCGCUACUGGAAUCAUCACCGGCGUAUCCGGUUAUUUGCUCCAUCUAUGCACACACGAAUAAGGUGUGAGAUCAAUGCUAACAUUCCACAAAACAUCAUCGCGAAUACAGUAAAUUCGUCAACAGUGACAUGACUAUGUGGCAUGCAUACAAAUUUGAACAUACAAAAUCAUUAUGAGGUCAUUAAGAGGUCACUACUCUCCUCUCUUAUUUAGCUAAGUAGUGAAUCAUUUUACAUACAAAAAUGCACAAAAAUGCAAUGGACAAAUCAAAAAAAAAAGAGCCCGGGAACAUACUGUGCGCCGUCGAGGGGUCCUCGCCUGGAGUCGACGCCGAUGCGUUGCUGCCACCCAUGUCGUGGAGGGCGCGUACCAGGACAGAACAUUCACGGGAGCGCUGGGCGUUUCACCGGCGUCACGGCGUGUGGGUCACUACGGAUGCCGUCGGUGCUCGCGACUAGACGGGCACGUCUGGGUCGACGUCGUGACGGCGGUGGACCACGGCGGCGUUGAUGCCGCUAGGGUUUCCUACGCGGGGAUGGGGUGUCGGUUUCACGCGACACCGGUGAGACGUCGCGUGGGUGACUACGGACGCCGCCCGACAUCGUGACGGCGGCGGACCACGGCGGCGUUGAUGCCGCUAGGGUUGCGUACGCGUAGAUGGGGUGUCGGUGUGGGGCAUUUUUUUUCCACGAUCGCAGUACCGAACCGCACGGGGCGCGACGUACACGGGCGGCCGGCCCUACGACGGACGGCGGGUACACUAAUACAUAAUUUAGUAUGGACAAUACUACCCCUUCUACGUUUAUUGGGGGGGGGGGGUGUACCGAAGUCCUUCUCUUUAAGAAUAUCAUGUUCAAUUGCCCCAUGGAAUCGGACCACCUUCCAUCCUUGACGACGAGGAGGUGGUAACGUGCGAACAGAAUCAUCUCACACAGUACCACCCAUCUACUGCCUUUCAAGGUGGCACAAGUCCAGGUCGACACAAUCGCCUUGAUAACAGAUGCAACCUCCAGUUCGCAAGCUCCGCCAAGAAGAGCAAAAGUGAUAACAAUGUUGGGUGUGGUGUAGCCAUCUCUUUUGCUCUUUGUGAAGAUCACAAGAGCGGUGAAGCAAGAAACAAGCGAAAUGGCACGGGCGCAGUAGCCAUACCAUGUGUGAAUCACUUGUGCCUUGGUGUAGAGCAUGUCGUACAUCAGGCCGAGCUCCACCUCUAUUGUCUUGUACAUCUCCCCAGUAUGCCUCGUCUCCUGCGCUGAGGCAUCUUCGCUCUCGUGGUCUUUCCCUAGAUUUGCAUGACUCUUGAUUAGUCGAGUUGUGGUAUCACUCCAGACAAUGGAUGCCUCAUUCCUGUCUAUGAUUAAAGGCUUGACGAGUACAUCCCGCAACGCAUGUGCUGUCAACACAGUAAAUGCAUAAGUUCUAAGCUAUUUGUUUUGGGUGAACCACCCCGACCACCAAGGUAUCCAGCGCUUUGUGGGCAUCUUUCUGGAUAAUAUCUCACGACCAGGAUAAGCAGGGGGUGCACGAAAUUCCUCCAGAAAACAACGAAUACUUUUGUACAGAAAUUCCUUCCAUCCUGGAGUUUCAUAAUGGGAACCCUUCUUGCUUGCAAGCAUCAGUGCUCAUAUCCUCUCACCGUACUUGACUACUCCGACGGACAAAGGUUGCCCCGCCUGCCAUGCUGUACUUGUAGAGCACAUAUGCUGCGCAGGCGACCUGCAGAAACAUAUUCAGCAGGUGGCGCCGCCAGAGUUCAUUGUCCUCCAGGGCGUAAGACUGGACGUACGAGCGAGCUUUUCGACUCGGCCCGAAGCUCGCUCCAGCUCGGCCCGUUACAGCUCGGCUCGACAGGAUUAUCGAGCGGGCCGAGGUCUGAAAACAGGCCCGUUUCGCGACCGAGCCGAGCCGAGUUUCGGCCGGUCCAGCUCGGUGACUCGUUAGCGGCCCAGCCCAAUUCCACCAUUCAUCACAAUGGCUAGCGCAUUAGGGCACAAGCAACCACAGCCAAUCUCUCGUCUCUCCCUUUCUCUGCUCUGCGCCACCUCGCCCCUCUCUCGCCACGCCACAAAUCUGGAUCGACGGGACACGGCACCGACGAUGACGGGCGGCGCGACCGUUCCUCACCACACCGGACGUAGACGGACGCGCCUCCCCUGGUUUCUCGCGGGACGUGACGACCCGGAGCAGGUACCUCCUUCCUUCCCAAUCCCUAGCUGCAGCUCUCUGAACUUCAGUAUACGCAUGUGAUGGAUCAAUGGAUGGAUGGAUCGAUGGAUUUAGUCAUGUAGUUCAAACUUCUCAAACCCUAGCCGUAGGUGUCUCACUAGUACACAUCUGAUGGAUGGAUGGAUGGAUGGAUGGACCUAGUCAGGUAGAUGUAGGGCUAGAUGGAUGGAUCAUGGAUGGAUGUAUUGUAGCCUGUACGGCUAGAUGUAGCAGCGGCGGAUGGAUGGAGUUGUAGGGCAGAAUGGAUGGAUAGAUCAAAUUUUUCAUUGAUUCCAUGUGUAAUUAGUUUUCUGCUAUUGAUGACCUAGUUGAUGAUCUACUUGCUGUAGCAUAGCAGCUUGAAAAAAAACCUACUUGCUGGAAAAUUACAUAGACUCCAUGUCUAAUUAGUUUACUGUUGUUGAUGAUUGACCAUUUGUUGUUUGCUGAUGUGUGCAGGCGCCUAUUGUCGCAGCGAUGGACAAGGAAAAGGGGAAGGCGAGUGUGAAGGAGAAGGAGAAGAGAGGACGUUGGACUCCAUUAUGAAGAGCAAGUUACCGGUCUUGGGGAUGCAGAAGGGGAAUGGGAAGGGCAAUGCAGCAGCUACUACACGGCUGCCGAGGAAGCUGGCAAAUGAUUCCAAUAGUGUCCCAAUGGCUGACUUGUUGUAUAGGGCAAAAAAAAGAAACCUCCGCAUCGACGUCUCCCUGAUCCCACCGAUGCUGUGUGUGGUUGCACACCUUAUAGAUAAGGAUUGGAAGAUGCAAACACGCGUUCUUUCUUUCAUUGAUUUGGAUCCUCCUCACUCUGGGCAUGUGAUUUCAGAUGCUACCUAUGAGUGUGUGACUGAAUGGAAGAUAGAGAAGAAAAUUAUAUCCAUCACACUAGACAAUGCUUCAAACAAUGAUGUUGCGGUCAGAGGUUUGAAGGCAAAGUUUGCUGUUCGGAGAGGUAUACUUAUUGUUUUGGUAGUACACAUGCUUUGUUUAAGGCAAAAUUAGAUCCACCACGCUAGACAAUGCUUCAAAUAUAUGGUUAUAUGCUUGCUGUUUUUGUUGAACAUAUGUUCAUAUACUUGCAGUUUUGGUUGAAUAUAUGGUCAUAUUCUUGCUGUUUUUGUAGUAUACAUGCUUUGUUUAAGGAAAAUUAUAUCCAUCACACUAGACAAUGCUUCAAACAUAUGGGUAUAUGCUUGCUGUUUUUGUAACUUUGGAUGUUAACUUGUCAUCCUAUCCUUGAACUUAGAUAUGUCUACUUGUAUGGUUUUAGAUGACUACGGGAGUUCUUUGAAACCAGAAAUGGUGGAAGCCUUGGUGUGUGGUGCUAGUUAUAUCAAAGGUUCUCACAAGGACUUCAAUGUGGUGGUAUGAUUCCUAUCUUGUUCUUCUAUGGUUCCUGUCUAUUUCUUGUAUAUAUGUGGCUAACUUCUGAAUAAUUAGGAGAGGGAUGAAGAUGAGGAGGACGAUGUUGAGAAUAUCAAGUUGCCCAUGAUUGUUGAUGUGGGGGAUAACAACAAUUGGUAACUAUUCUUUCGACACGUUUCAGUUUUCAUAUAUUGACAUGAUCCCAAUAUGUUUACAAAUCUGUGUUACAUGUAGACAUUCGUCAUGUAGGUGUUGUUCUUGCUGUUUUGAAGAUGGAUGUCUACAUGAUCUUGUCACGUGGAUUGUUGAGGUCAAUGUGAUCGUCUCAUGCCAUUUCUUUUGUUGUGAUGAACUUCAAAUUAUGUGUUUGUUGUGAUGAACUUUGAAUUACCCGUGUUUGCUGUGAUGAACUUUGAAUUACCCGUGAUUGUUGUGAUGAACUAUGGACCUUGAGUGAUGUUGUGAUGAACCAUGCACUUUCAACGAUGUUGUGAACUUGUGAUGAAAUAUGAACUUUGUAUUAUGUGGUUUUCACUAAUCAUUGUUUGGCUGUCAACAUUUUCUCAUUUUUUAUGUCAAAGUGGUAAUGUUAUGCUAUACAAAAUUUCUUUGUUUGGCUGUCCAUAUUUGAUAUUUUGCUGUGUAAAGUUCAAAGGGAGUUCUGUCCAAAAUUCAGUACAAAUGCUGCCCAAUUAUUUCUCUCAUAUUUGCUCCUUUGUUACAAUUUUCGUAGAAGAAUUCAUACAAGAAAGCUUGUUUUUCAUUACUAUGACCAUUUAUUAAAACAAUAGAUUGCUGGAUGUUUCAUUUUUAGCAAUAUAAACUGUUUAUUUUCCAAAAUAUGGGUUUAAUUGCAGAAAAAAAUCAAGACUAUUGACUAUAUACGUUGGUUCUGUAGUAAAAGAGGUUUUGGCCUUCUGGGGGCAGCUGGCUUACGAGCCGGCUCGGUCUGAGCCGAGCCGUACCUAAAAUGAACCGAGCCGCUUGAAGUAGGCUCGUUGGCUGAGCGAGCCGAGCCGAGCCGAGCCGCUCCAGAGCGAGCCAAAGCCAGGCUCGGAUCAAGCUCGGCUCAGCUCGGCUCGUGUCCAGCCCUACCAGGGCGUACACAGUGAUGGUGUCCUGGCCGCCGAGGUGUAGCACGAGGAACGGCGCCCAGAACGCCACCAGCUGCUGCUCGCCGGACGAUUUCUUCGACAAUGACGCGGACAUGUGCCCCAGGGCGUAUAUCGCAACGACAUCAGCAAGCAGAUAUAGCAGCCAGAGGAGGACCUUGAGAACAAACGAAACAUUGUAGCGGCGAAUCCCAGCAAGGAAGAAGAGGAUAACCUGCAGACUGAAGCUGGCAACAACAACAACGGUCUGGAUCUCCCACUCAUUCCACAAAUCCAGCCAAGAUUGCAUCGGUGCUCCAGCUCCAGCUCCACCCAUUGAUACGCCAACCUACAAGCAAGAAUUAAAUAUAAACAUAUAUGCAUACAUAUAUAUUCGAAAUAUGUCACGAGCUUGGAGAAAUAGCAUUAUGUACGAAUGCUUACCUGUGGAUGAGCUAUGUUACCCAGCAUGAUAUGAACAGGGCCUGGAUAUGAAGGUUGCAAGCUAAGACACAGAACCGCAACAAAAUUGCUAGCUCCUGGAGUGAGAGCUCAAGAGAGGUAGUGCUACAAGAAGAAUGGACGGAUCGCGUGUAUGAACAUGCAUAUAUCAAACCAAUCAGAUACAGCUACUCCGUUCCGACUCACCAGGUUUUUCUUUAUGCUGCGGGGAUGCCAAGUGACCCAUUAUUUUUCUUUUUGGCAGGGAUUCCUAGUAGCCAGUGGCCGGCUGCGCAGGUAAAAUAAUGUCUGCUUUUGCCAAAGAGCUCGGUCUCCCGCGCGCAGCACGCUGCUGCUCCGACAACAAGUGCGCGGGUUCCAACACUUGUUCAUUUUGCGAGGAGCGUACAUGCUGGCUCGCUUUUGCCAUUCAAAUGAGACACAAGGAAAGUGGGGGACAACAUGUGACCACGUGAACACUUCUCUCUCUCAGGACCUCCGCUCACAUGCUUUUUCUUUUGAUGUUGGAUUUUUUUUCUGAAGUUGAAAUUCCAAAAGUUUUGAAAAUUUUGAAAGUUUGGAAGUUUCACAUUUCUCAAACUUGCCUUCUUCUGCAAGUUCAAAUUUCUAAAAGUUCCAAGUUUUCAAAAGUUUUGAACUAAAACUUUUUUCCAGUGCAACUAGGAGAGAAGUCUAAGUUGCAUUUUUCUGAAUCAACUUGGGCAUAAGAAAAUCUCCUAAAACCAUUGUAGGCUUUGAGUUUUUUAUCCCGCCGAAAUAAGUUUUGUACAUCUUUGAACUAUCAAAAAUUUACCUCAUUUAAAUUGUAUGGGUGUUUUCUUUCUCUAAGUUACUUUAUGUGAGAACUGCUGGAGUUUUGGUUUGACCUUUACAGUCUUGUUUUGAUUUAGAGCACCAAUGCAGAAAAAUAAAUGGUGCAGUUUUUAUGUAAAAACACAAGGAAUUUCGUGUGACAAAUAUAAAAAGAGAAAUUUCUAGGCAGAUUUUAUGUAAAAGGCGCUAGGCAUGUGAAAGUUAUUACAGCUUCAGUGUGCAAUUUUUUCUUUCUACAUUGUGUAUGGAGUGGCUGUGAUUUUAGAAGACUUCAUGUGCAAAGCUGAAGACUUCAUGUGCACUUGUUCCAUCAGGCCAGCACCUAUCCGACCACCACCAUCUAACUUGCCUCGGUUUUCCUGCAAUAAAAUUACAGCCCAAGAUCGCAAUGUUCAACUGGCAAAUUAAAAAAAUCACUUCGUUGGGAUGCAUUAAAACUGCUUUGCGGUCGAAACAUGUGCAUGCAGUUCCCAAACACACCAUACAUAACAGUGAUGCAAUCCACACAGAAACCAACCCCUGCAAAAUUUCAGCCCCAUGCACCAAACAACUCAUCUCCAUUUCUAGACAAAGUUCUCGACGAAAAGGCAGAGUUAAUCACUCUCCGUACAGCCGCAGAAAGAUGCUGAUUUUGGAAGGAAUUUUACACGGAUGCAGAAUGAAAGCAACAUAACCAUUAGAGCUUUUACUGCCUUACACAUGACGCGGCUAGUGAAAAUCAAAAAUAGUAUCAUACUAAUAGUUUGGGUGCGCGGGACUUACAAAUUGGCAAAAGAGAUGAGGUUACAUGCUUCAGCAGCCGCAAUAAGGCUGGAAUCGAAAUGGAUACAAAAAUCAACGAAUAACAUACGACAAUGGAAUCGCAUAUGCUGGAUUCGAGGAGAACAGGUUUGCAGAUUGUUGACCUGCUAUAUUGGGCGGAUUUCGGUGAUCUCAUCGUUGCAGCCAUCAUCCACAUUUAUUACGACGUGCCCAGAACCAUUGUUGCAGAUUUCAGAGAUCUCAUCGUUGCAAUCAUCCUCCACAUUCAGUACGACCUGGCGACCAGCACUAGCUUCCACAGCUUCAUCAGGUUUUAUGUACGACUUUGCUGGUUUCUCAUCUAAAAAAGCGGAAUAUUCAGUGAGGAGCAGGAUGUGGGUCAGAAACUCACCACCAUUGCUCAGCUGCCUGGCGUGGAAUCCCCCAGAUGCAUUCUUUGCUGCGUAGCACAACAUCUCCACCCACACUGUUCCAAUUAUCGCCAUCUUGUGUGCGAGGCCCAACUCCAUGUCGAGCAAUGUGUGAGCAAGAGUGCAUGUUUUCACCAGCACAGCAUCGCCCGGGUGAACAUCCCAACUGGGAUGUGUCAAGUCACCAUAUAGUUCUUCUGUAUAUUCACGACGCUCGCUCUCCACCCAGCCACCACAUGGAUCGUCCUUAAGAUGCUUGCCCCCUUUAUUGUAAUCCAGAAUUACCUGGUGAAAAUCAACCACAUUACUUCUGUUCCAGCCUACCAUACCCAAACCGUAACAGAGGCAGGUUUCCUUAAACAUGUCCCUAGCAGUCGGUUUCAUGGGCAGAAUGUCAGGGUGCUUGACAAGGAGGUACAUCAUGUAAUGAGACAGUGUGUUAACUUCUUCAGCCAUGUCCUUGUCGACCAGCUUCCGUUUGACGGCAGGGUGAUUGAGGAAGGUGCUUGUUGCUAUAUGCCAGAUAAGCACACUCUUGUGAAAUCCAUAACUCAGGCUCCAAUCAAGCUGUUUGAUCUGGGCGACGCCGCUGAACCUGCGAGCCCAGUUCCCACUCCGCAUGUCCACCUCUUCAAUUUCAAUUUCAAACAUAUGAGUCUUGUCACCUUUGAGCAAGCCCCAUACGAACUCCUUGACCUUGAGGGUAGGCGAAAGCUUGGCAUGUUUGGUGCAGCGAGCUUUGUCCCAAAAGUCCUUGACUCAAUCAAACGGGCUAUUGUUCCCUUGAGGCCCCUCUUGCUGCUGUGAGCACAGAAGGAUAUGAAAUCAAAUUGCCCGACGGAAUUGGACCACCUUCCCUCCUUGACGACGACGAGGUGGUAACGUGCAAACAAAACUGCAUUGGCCAGCCACUUCCAUCUGUAGCGUCUCAAGAUGUCAAAUGCCCAUGUUGACCCAAUCGCCUUGAAAAAAGAUGUGACCUCUAGUGCGCAUGCUCCGCCCAGAAGAGCAAAAGUGAUAACAAUGUCGGGUGUGCUGUAUCCAUCUCUCUUGCUUUUUGUGAAGACCACAAGAGCGGCGAAGCAACACACAAGUGAAAUGGCACGGAUCCAGUGGCCACGGCUUUUGUGGAUCACUUGUGCCUUGGUGUACAACAUGUCGUACAUUAGGCCGAGCUGCACCUCUACUCCCUUGUACAGCUUCUUAAUAGUCCUCUUCUCCGUUGCCGAUGCAUCUUCGCUCUCGUCGUCUUGGCAGUCAAAGCCUCGUACAAGACUAUCUGCGAGAUACAUUGUACUGUAAUUCUGGUCCAUGAAUGCCCCAUACCAGUCUAUGGACGCCUCAUUCCUGUCUAUGAUUAAAGGCUUGACAAGUACAUGGCGCAACGCAUGUGCCGCCGUCACAAUAAAUGCAUAUGCUCUAAACUGUUUGUUUUUGGUGAAGCAGUCUCCACCGUUUUGGCGACGCCAGUCUUCAUGUUUUUGCUGUGUCUCCCUUUUGGCAGGAGAAUAAGGAAUAGUGUUGGCCUCUGGAUCACGUCUUGGCCUUGUGGUAUCACCCUUGCUUGCAAGAUUCAGCGCCCAUAUCCUCUCGCCAUACUUGAAAACCCCGGCAGCAAGAAUCAACAUAGCGGCACGGACAAAGGUCGCCUCCCCUGAAUUGAUGUACUUGUAGAGCACAUACGCAGUGCCGGCGACCUGCACCAACAUAUUUAACAGGUGGCGCCGCCAGAGUUCAUUGUCCUCCAGGGCGUAAGCGGUGAUGGUAUCCUGGCCACCAAGGUGCAGCAGGAGGAAUGGCGCCCAGAAUGCCACCAGCUGGUGCUCGCCGGAUGAUUUCUUUGACAUGACCGAGGACAUGUGCCCCAGGCCAUACGUCGCAACGACAUCGGCAAGCAGAUAUAUCAGCCAGAGGAGGACCCUGAGAACAGACGAGAUGCUGUAGCGGCGGAUCCCUGCGAAGAAGAAGAGGAUAACCUGUAGACUGAAGCUGGCGACAACAACUACUUGGAUCUCCCACUCAUUCCACAGUUCCAUCCACGAUGGCAUCAGUGCCCCAGCUUCAUCCAUCCUGCAAGCAAGAAAUUAAUAUAAAUAUGGACUGUGCUAAUGUCCGAUCGAUUGAAAUAUAUCAACUCAUCCGAGCGCCUCCACGUCAAGCCCCCUCUCCCUCUUAAAUGCAUGCAUGAAUGCAUGGAAAGAAAACAAAAAUAAUGAUGUCAUCAAAGAUUCUUUCCAAUGCGAAAAUUUAAAAUGUUUUGUAGCUCAAACCGUUGGUCCAAUUAAAAACCUGUUUUCACGUGAAAGAUUCAUCGUGAUGAGACCUUCGAAACUAGAUCGCAUGUUGAUAUUUUCGACAACUUUUUUUCGGGUCAAAAGUUACCUGGCCUAGGCUAAGUAAGUUAUCACGUCUGUGAUACAUAACUUAUCAUCUUGUUUAUAUAGAAAUUACCGGGGCUUAUGGCCUGACAACUUUAUCGAAGCUUCACCACCUAUACCAAAUGAGCUAGUGACUGUUACUCGAAUCGCGGCCCGAGGCAACUCUCCAAUUGUCACGUCUCAUCAAGGUAGAGAUCGUGCUUCGUAUUUCAGGGGAUAUCAUCAAAGAUUUGUUUCACCCCAUGUGCCUAUAACGGCACCAAGGAUUGAGACGUGGCGAUUAAUCCGGCACAGUAAAUGGGACCUUUGGUCUCUUACUGACCUAUAAUGGCAAAGNNNNNNNNNNCAAAUCUGGAUCGACGGGACACGGCACCGACGAUGACGGGCGGCGCGACCGUUCCUCACCACACCGGACGUAGACGGACGCGCCUCCCCUGGUUUCUCGCGGGACGUGACGACCCGGAGCAGGUACCUCCUUCCUUCCCAAUCCCUAGCUGCAGCUCUCUGAACUUCAGUAUACGCAUGUGAUGGAUCAAUGGAUGGAUGGAUCGAUGGAUUUAGUCAUGUAGUUCAAACUUCUCAAACCCUAGCCGUAGGUGUCUCACUAGUACACAUCUGAUGGAUGGAUGGAUGGAUGGAUGGACCUAGUCAGGUAGAUGUAGGGCUAGAUGGAUGGAUCAUGGAUGGAUGUAUUGUAGCCUGUACGGCUAGAUGUAGCAGCGGCGGAUGGAUGGAGUUGUAGGGCAGAAUGGAUGGAUAGAUCAAAUUUUUCAUUGAUUCCAUGUGUAAUUAGUUUUCUGCUAUUGAUGACCUAGUUGAUGAUCUACUUGCUGUAGCAUAGCAGCUUGAAAAAAAACCUACUUGCUGGAAAAUUACAUAUACUCCAUGUCUAAUUAGUUUACUGUUGUUGAUGAUUGACCAUUUGUUGUUUGCUGAUGUGUGCAGGCGCCUAUUGUCGCAGCGAUGGACAAGGAAAAGGGGAAGGCGAGUGUGAAGGAGAAGGAGAAGAGAGGACGUUGGACUCCAUUAUGAAGAGCAAGUUACCGGUCUCGGGGAUGCAGAAGGGGAAUGGGAAGGGCAAUGCAGCAGCUACUACACGGCUGCCGAGGAAGCUGGCAAAUGAUUCCAAUAGUGUCCCAAUGGCUGACUUGUUGUAUAGGGCAAAAAAGAGAAACCUCCGCAUCGACGUCUCCCUGAUCCCACCGAUGCUGUGUGUGGUUGCACACCUUAUAGAUAAGGAUUGGAAGAUGCAAACACGCGUUCUUUCUUUCAUUGAUUUGGAUCCUCCUCACUCUGGGCAUGUGAUUUCAGAUGCUACUUAUGAGUGUGUGACUGAAUGGAAGAUAGAGAAGAAAAUUAUAUCCAUCACACUAGACAAUGCUUCAAACAAUGAUGUUGCGGUCAGAGGUUUGAAGGCAAAGUUUGCUGUUCGGAGAGGUAUACUUAUUGUUUUGGUAGUACACAUGCUUUGUUUAAGGCAAAAUUAGAUCCACCACGCUAGACAAUGCUUCAAAUAUAUGGUUAUAUGCUUGCUGUUUUUGUUGAACAUAUGUUCAUAUACUUGCAGUUUUGGUUGAAUAUAUGGUCAUAUUCUUGCUGUUUUUGUAGUAUACAUGCUUUGUUUAAGGAAAAUUAUAUCCAUCACACUAGACAAUGCUUCAAACAUAUGGGUAUAUGCUUGCUGUUUUUGUAACUUUGGAUGUUAACUUGUCAUCCUAUCCUUGAACUUAGAUAUGUCUACUUGUAUGGUUUUAGAUGACUACGGGAGUUCUUUGAAACCAGAAAUGGUGGAAGCCUUGGUGUGUGGUGCUAGUUAUAUCAAAGGUUCUCACAAGGACUUCAAUGUGGUGGUAUGAUUCCUAUCUUGUUCUUCUAUGGUUCCUGUCUAUUUCUUGUAUAUAUGUGGCUAACUUCUGAAUAUUUAGGAGAGGGAUGAAGAUGAGGAGGACGAUGUUGAGAAUAUCAAGUUGCCCAUGAUUAUUGAUGUGGGGGAUAACAACAAUUGGUAACUAUUCUUUCGACACGUUUCAGUUUUCAUAUAUUGACAUGAUCCCAAUAUGUUUACAAAUCUGUGUUACAUGUAGACAUUCGUCAUGUAGGUGUUGUUCUUGCUGUUUUGAAGAUGGAUGUCUACAUGAUCUUGUCACGUGGAUUGUUGAGGUCAAUGUGAUCGUCUCAUGCCAUUUCUUUUGUUGUGAUGAACUUCAAAUUAUGUGUUUGUUGUGAUGAACUUUGAAUUACCCGUGUUUGCUGUGAUGAACUUUGAAUUACCCGUGAUUGUUGUGAUGAACUAUGGACCUUGAGUGAUGUUGUGAUGAACCAUGCACUUUCAACGAUGUUGUGAACUUGUGAUGAAAUAUGAACUUUGUAUUAUGUGGUUUUCACUAAUCAUUGUUUGGCUGUCAACAUUUUCUCAUUUUUUAUGUCAAAGUGGUAAUGUUAUGCUAUACAAAAUUUCUUUGUUUGGCUGUCCAUAUUUGAUAUUUUGCUGUGUAAAGUUCAAAGGGAGUUCUGUCCAAAAUUCAGUACAAAUGCUGCCCAAUUAUUUCUCUCAUAUUUGCUCCUUUGUUACAAUUUUCGUAGAAGAAUUCAUACAAGAAAGCUUGUUUUUCAUUACUAUGACCAUUUAUUAAAACAAUAGAUUGCUGGAUGUUUCAUUUUUAGCAAUAUAAACUGUUUAUUUUCCAAAAUAUGGGUUUAAUUGCAGAAAAAAAUCAAGACUAUUGACUAUAUACGUUGGUUCUGUAGUAAAAGAGGUUUUGGCCUUCUGGGGGCAGCUGGCUUACGAGCCGGCUCGGUCUGAGCCGAGCCGUACCUAAAAUGAACCGAGCCGCUUGAAGUAGGCUCGUUGGCUGAGCGAGCCGAGCCGAGCCGAGCCGCUCCAGAGCGAGCCAAAGCCAGGCUCGGAUCAAGCUCGGCUCAGCUCGGCUCGUGUCCAGCCCUACCAGGGCGUACACAGUGAUGGUGUCCUGGCCGCCGAGGUGUAGCACGAGGAACGGCGCCCAGAACGCCACCAGCUGCUGCUCGCCGGACGAUUUCUUCGACAAUGACGCGGACAUGUGCCCCAGGGCGUAUAUCGCAACGACAUCAGCAAGCAGAUAUAGCAGCCAGAGGAGGACCUUGAGAACAAACGAAACAUUGUAGCGGCGAAUCCCAGCAAGGAAGAAGAGGAUAACCUGCAGACUGAAGCUGGCAACAACAACAACGGUCUGGAUCUCCCACUCAUUCCACAAAUCCAGCCAAGAUUGCAUCGGUGCUCCAGCUCCAGCUCCACCCAUUGAUACGCCAACCUACAAGCAAGAAUUAAAUAUAAACAUAUAUGCAUACAUAUAUAUUCGAAAUAUGUCACGAGCUUGGAGAAAUAGCAUUAUGUACGAAUGCUUACCUGUGGAUGAGCUAUGUUACCCAGCAUGAUAUGAACAGGGCCUGGAUAUGAAGGUUGCAAGCUAAGACACAGAACCGCAACAAAAUUGCUAGCUCCUGGAGUGAGAGCUCAAGAGAGGUAGUGCUACAAGAAGAAUGGACGGAUCGCGUGUAUGAACAUGCAUAUAUCAAACCAAUCAGAUACAGCUACUCCGUUCCGACUCACCAGGUUUUUCUUUAUGCUGCGGGGAUGCCAAGUGACCCAUUAUUUUUCUUUUUGGCAGGGAUUCCUAGUAGCCAGUGGCCGGCUGCGCAGGUAAAAUAAUGUCUGCUUUUGCCAAAGAGCUCGGUCUCCCGCGCGCAGCACGCUGCUGCUCCGACAACAAGUGCGCGGGUUCCAACACUUGUUCAUUUUGCGAGGAGCGUACAUGCUGGCUCGCUUUUGCCAUUCAAAUGAGACACAAGGAAAGUGGGGGACAACAUGUGACCACGUGAACACUUCUCUCUCUCAGGACCUCCGCUCACAUGCUUUUUCUUUUGAUGUUGGAUUUUUUUUCUGAAGUUGAAAUUCCAAAAGUUUUGAAAAUUUUGAAAGUUUGGAAGUUUCACAUUUCUCAAACUUGCCUUCUUCUGCAAGUUCAAAUUUCUAAAAGUUCCAAGUUUUCAAAAGUUUUGAACUAAAACUUUUUUCCAGUGCAACUAGGAGAGAAGUCUAAGUUGCAUUUUUCUGAAUCAACUUGGGCAUAAGAAAAUCUCCUAAAACCAUUGUAGGCUUUGAGUUUUUUAUCCCGCCGAAAUAAGUUUUGUACAUCUUUGAACUAUCAAAAAUUUACCUCAUUUAAAUUGUAUGGGUGUUUUCUUUCUCUAAGUUACUUUAUGUGAGAACUGCUGGAGUUUUGGUUUGACCUUUACAGUCUUGUUUUGAUUUAGAGCACCAAUGCAGAAAAAUAAAUGGUGCAGUUUUUAUGUAAAAACACAAGGAAUUUCNNNNNNNNNNNNNNNNNNNNNNNNNNNNNNNNNNNNNNNNNNNNNNNNNNNNNNNNNNNNNNNNNNNNNNNNNNNNNNNNNNNNNNNNNNNNNNNNNNNNNNNNNNNNNNNNNNNNNNNNNNNNNNNNNNNNNNNNNNNNNNNNNNNNNNNNNNNNNNNNNNNNNNNNNNNNNNNNNNNNNNNNNNNNNNNNNNNNNNNNNNNNNNNNNNNNNNNNNNNNNNNNNNNNNNNNNNNNNNNNNNNNNNNNNNNNNNNNNNNNNNNNNNNNNNNNNNNNNNNNNNNNNNNNNNNNNNNNNNNNNNNNNNNNNNNNNNNNNNNNNNNNNNNNNNNNNNNNNNNNNNNNNNNNNNNNNNNNNNNNNNNNNNNNNNNNNNNNNNNNNNNNNNNNNNNNNNNNNNNNNNNNNNNNNNNNNNNNNNNNNNNNNNGGGACUUACAAAUUGGCAAAAGAGAUGAGGUUACAUGCUUCAGCAGCCGCAAUAAGGCUGGAAUCGAAAUGGAUACAAAAAUCAACGAAUAACAUACGACAAUGGAAUCGCAUAUGCUGGAUUCGAGGAGAACAGGUUUGCAGAUUGUUGACCUGCUAUAUUGGGCGGAUUUCGGUGAUCUCAUCGUUGCAGCCAUCAUCCACAUUUAUUACGACGUGCCCAGAACCAUUGUUGCAGAUUUCAGAGAUCUCAUCGUUGCAAUCAUCCUCCACAUUCAGUACGACCUGGCGACCAGCACUAGCUUCCACAGCUUCAUCAGGUUUUAUGUACGACUUUGCUGGUUUCUCAUCUAAAAAAGCGGAAUAUUCAGUGAGGAGCAGGAUGUGGGUCAGAAACUCACCACCAUUGCUCAGCUGCCUGGCGUGGAAUCCCCCAGAUGCAUUCUUUGCUGCGUAGCACAACAUCUCCACCCACACUGUUCCAAUUAUCGCCAUCUUGUGUGCGAGGCCCAACUCCAUGUCGAGCAAUGUGUGAGCAAGAGUGCAUGUUUUCACCAGCACAGCAUCGCCCGGGUGAACAUCCCAACUGGGAUGUGUCAAGUCACCAUAUAGUUCUUCUGUAUAUUCACGACGCUCGCUCUCCACCCAGCCACCACAUGGAUCGUCCUUAAGAUGCUUGCCCCCUUUAUUGUAAUCCAGAAUUACCUGGUGAAAAUCAACCACAUUACUUCUGUUCCAGCCUACCAUACCCAAACCGUAACAGAGGCAGGUUUCCUUAAACAUGUCCCUAGCAGUCGGUUUCAUGGGCAGAAUGUCAGGGUGCUUGACAAGGAGGUACAUCAUGUAAUGAGACAGUGUGUUAACUUCUUCAGCCAUGUCCUUGUCGACCAGCUUCCGUUUGACGGCAGGGUGAUUGAGGAAGGUGCUUGUUGCUAUAUGCCAGAUAAGCACACUCUUGUGAAAUCCAUAACUCAGGCUCCAAUCAAGCUGUUUGAUCUGGGCGACGCCGCUGAACCUGCGAGCCCAGUUCCCACUCCGCAUGUCCACCUCUUCAAUUUCAAUUUCAAACAUAUGAGUCUUGUCACCUUUGAGCAAGCCCCAUACGAACUCCUUGACCUUGAGGGUAGGCGAAAGCUUGGCAUGUUUGGUGCAGCGAGCUUUGUCCCAAAAGUCCUUGACUCAAUCAAACGGGCUAUUGUUCCCUUGAGGCCCCUCUUGCUGCUGUGAGCACAGAAGGAUAUGAAAUCAAAUUGCCCGACGGAAUUGGACCACCUUCCCUCCUUGACGACGACGAGGUGGUAACGUGCAAACAAAACUGCAUUGGCCAGCCACUUCCAUCUGUAGCGUCUCAAGAUGUCAAAUGCCCAUGUUGACCCAAUCGCCUUGAAAAAAGAUGUGACCUCUAGUGCGCAUGCUCCGCCCAGAAGAGCAAAAGUGAUAACAAUGUCGGGUGUGCUGUAUCCAUCUCUCUUGCUUUUUGUGAAGACCACAAGAGCGGCGAAGCAACACACAAGUGAAAUGGCACGGAUCCAGUGGCCACGGCUUUUGUGGAUCACUUGUGCCUUGGUGUACAACAUGUCGUACAUUAGGCCGAGCUGCACCUCUACUCCCUUGUACAGCUUCUUAAUAGUCCUCUUCUCCGUUGCCGAUGCAUCUUCGCUCUCGUCGUCUUGGCAGUCAAAGCCUCGUACAAGACUAUCUGCGAGAUACAUUGUACUGUAAUUCUGGUCCAUGAAUGCCCCAUACCAGUCUAUGGACGCCUCAUUCCUGUCUAUGAUUAAAGGCUUGACAAGUACAUGGCGCAACGCAUGUGCCGCCGUCACAAUAAAUGCAUAUGCUCUAAACUGUUUGUUUUUGGUGAAGCAGUCUCCACCGUUUUGGCGACGCCAGUCUUCAUGUUUUUGCUGUGUCUCCCUUUUGGCAGGAGAAUAAGGAAUAGUGUUGGCCUCUGGAUCACGUCUUGGCCUUGUGGUAUCACCCUUGCUUGCAAGAUUCAGCGCCCAUAUCCUCUCGCCAUACUUGAAAACCCCGGCAGCAAGAAUCAACAUAGCGGCACGGACAAAGGUCGCCUCCCCUGAAUUGAUGUACUUGUAGAGCACAUACGCAGUGCCGGCGACCUGCACCAACAUAUUUAACAGGUGGCGCCGCCAGAGUUCAUUGUCCUCCAGGGCGUAAGCGGUGAUGGUAUCCUGGCCACCAAGGUGCAGCAGGAGGAAUGGCGCCCAGAAUGCCACCAGCUGGUGCUCGCCGGAUGAUUUCUUUGACAUGACCGAGGACAUGUGCCCCAGGCCAUACGUCGCAACGACAUCGGCAAGCAGAUAUAUCAGCCAGAGGAGGACCCUGAGAACAGACGAGAUGCUGUAGCGGCGGAUCCCUGCGAAGAAGAAGAGGAUAACCUGUAGACUGAAGCUGGCGACAACAACUACUUGGAUCUCCCACUCAUUCCACAGUUCCAUCCACGAUGGCAUCAGUGCCCCAGCUUCAUCCAUCCUGCAAGCAAGAAAUUAAUAUAAAUAUGGACUGUGCUAAUGUCCGAUCGAUUGAAAUAUAUCAACUCAUCCGAGCGCCUCCACGUCAAGCCCCCUCUCCCUCUUAAAUGCAUGCAUGAAUGCAUGGAAAGAAAACAAAAAUAAUGAUGUCAUCAAAGAUUCUUUCCAAUGCGAAAAUUUAAAAUGUUUUGUAGCUCAAACCGUUGGUCCAAUUAAAAACCUGUUUUCACGUGAAAGAUUCAUCGUGAUGAGACCUUCGAAACUAGAUCGCAUGUUGAUAUUUUCGACAACUUUUUUUCGGGUCAAAAGUUACCUGGCCUAGGCUAAGUAAGUUAUCACGUCUGUGAUACAUAACUUAUCAUCUUGUUUAUAUAGAAAUUACCGGGGCUUAUGGCCUGACAACUUUAUCGAAGCUUCACCACCUAUACCAAAUGAGCUAGUGACUGUUACUCGAAUCGCGGCCCGAGGCAACUCUCCAAUUGUCACGUCUCAUCAAGGUAGAGAUCGUGCUUCGUAUUUCAGGGGAUAUCAUCAAAGAUUUGUUUCACCCCAUGUGCCUAUAACGGCACCAAGGAUUGAGACGUGGCGAUUAAUCCGGCACAGUAAAUGGGACCUUUGGUCUCUUACUGACCUAUAAUGGCAAAGNNNNNNNNNNNNNNNNNNNNNNNNNNNNNNNNNNNNNNNNNNNUGAAGACAUUCGGCAUAGAGCCAAAGAGCAGCGGCGCCCAAUUAGCCGAAUGCGGCGGAGCCAUGAUCAGCAAACCCAGAAUGUGGCCUGGUUGGAAGGCGCCUUCGUGGAGACAAUCAAGGAGUGGCAGCGGGAGUGGUUUUAUAUCGCCGAGUCGCUAGCCGAAGGCCAGACAGGCAUCCCGGCUUUCUCAGGUGGUCCUCCGAGGAGGCUCAUCUCAUGGAUGAGAAAGGGCCUGGACUGGGGUAACCCGAAGGGGUACCAGUGCUGUAGAAGAAGAUCAACUCCAUGAAGGACAAGGGGAUCAAGCUGGUGGACGUGCUUGACGUCAUGCUCCAGCGUCAUAUUCUUCCUCUUCAGCUCCGGGCGAGCUCGAUGUGGCUCUACUCCUCCGAGGACGUGCCAACAGUGCGACACUUUUUCCGCACCAACCUGGCGGGAAUGUGGACGACACUCUUCAAGCCGUCCAGGAACAAGUUCCCUGAAGAAGGGGAGGACUGCGGCCUCGAGGCAAAGCAUGGAGCCCAUGAGGUAAGACUAGUCUUGUGAUUUAUGCUCGUCCUUUCUUCUCAAGCUCCUCUAUCGAAAUAACGAGGCCCGCCUCACCUCCCCCCUCCCCAAGAAAUUGCUCCCCCGGGCACUGAAGAUAAAGUGCCCGGCGCCACUGCCUGAGGAGGCCUGGUCUCCUCAACUCGAGGCACUCCUGGCCGAGAAAACAUAUGUAGUCCUGGCCAAGGAGAAGAAAUAGCCGAAGAAGAAGUUUGGUCAGCGUAUCCGAGAUCCCUUGGAUGCUAGGUCCGAAGACACCCACACCUCCUCCAUCUGCGAGGAAGAGGAGGAGGAGGAGGAAGAGAAGGACGAUGGAGCGGCUUGAGGAGAUGGAGGUGGCUUUGACNNNNNNNNNNNNNNNNNNNNNNNNNNNNNNNNNNNNNNNNNNNNNNNNNNNNNNNNNNNNNNNNNNNNNNNNNNNNNNNNNNNNNNNNNNNNNNNNNNNNNNNNNNNNNNNNNNNNNNNNNNNNNNNNNNNNNNNNNNNNNNNNNNNNNNNNNNNNNNNNNNNNNNNNNNNNNNNNNNNNNNNNNNNNNNNNNNNNNNNNNNNNNNNNNNNNNNNNNNNNNNNNNNNNNNNNNNNNNNNNNNNNNNNNNNNNNNNNNNNNNNNNNNNNNNNNNNNNNNNNNNNNNNNNNNNNNNNNNNNNNNNNNNNNNNNNNNNNNNNNNNNNNNNNNNNNNNNNNNNNNNNNNNNNNNNNNNNNNNNNNNNNNNNNNNNNNNNNNNNNNNNNNNNNNNNNNNNNNNNNNNNNNNNNNNNNNNNNNNNNNNNNNNNNNNNNNNNNNNNNNNNNNNNNNNNNNNNNNNNNNNNNNNNNNNNNNNNNNNNNNNNNNNNNNNNNNNNNNNNNNNNNNNNNNNNNNNNNNNNNNNNNNNNNNNNNNNNNNNNNNNNNNNNNNNNNNNNNNNNNNNNNNNNNNNNNNNNNNNNNNNNNNNNNNNNNNNNNNNNNNNNNNNNNNNNNNNNNNNNNNNNNNNNNNNNNNNNNNNNNNNNNNNNNNNNNNNNNNNNNNNNNNNNNNNNNNNNNNNNNNNNNNNNNNNNNNNNNNNNNNNNNNNNNNNNNNNNNNNNNNNNNNNNNNNNNNNNNNNNNNNNNNNNNNNNNNNNNNNNNNNNNNNNNNNNNNNNNNNNNNNNNNNNNNNNNNNNNNNNNNNNNNNNNNNNNNNNNNNNNNNNNNNNNNNNNNNNNNNNNNNNNNNNNNNNNNNNNNNNNNNNNNNNNNNNNNNNNNNNNNNNNNNNNNNNNNNNNNNNNNNNNNNNNNNNNNNNNNNNNNNNNNNNNNNNNNNNNNNNNNNNNNNNNNNNNNNNNNNNNNNNNNNNNNNNNNNNNNNNNNNNNNNNNNNNNNNNNNNNNNNNNNNNNNNNNNNNNNNNNNNNNNNNNNNNNNNNNNNNNNNNNNNNNNNNGGUCCGAGAAGGACAUAGUACUGCUCAAAGAGCAGAUGUACCGGGCCCAAUGUAAGCAUAAAGCUAGUUCUGAGCUGAAUAUACGUUGCAGCGAUAACAUGAACUGUCGAAACACUGAUGUGUUUAAUUGCUUUUCCAGCUACCACAACGGAGCUUGAGGCCCUCCGAGCUGAGCCUAAAAAAGCUCAGCAAGAAGCCGAGCAUCAGAAGGCUGGGGCGAAGAAGGUCAGCGAAGAGCUGGCCGAGGAGAAGGAAGCCUGCGGCAAGUACCAGGCCCGGGUUACCGAGGUCGAGGAGGACCUGAAGGGGCUUGUUCGCAGAACACGACACCCUUCGGGAUAAACAAAAGAAGGCAGUCGUACUUGCUUCGGUCGUGGCAAGAGGCCAAGACUCAGGCCCGGGCGAGCCGCAAGGAGCUUCAACAAGUGAGGCAAAUUGUCGCUGGUAAGUCGUACUUGCUUCGAUGCGUUUUUGGUGAACUCAGGUUUGCUCAACUCACGCAAGUAUGGCGUUCCUCAGACACCUUCAUGGACCUGCCGAGGAGCGCCUAGGACGCCGACCGCUACUAUGGCUCAAUCCCGGGCGACUCCGCACAGAAGACCUUUUGGGCUUAGUUCCAGGCGACGUCACACCCUCAGCUCCUCAACAACGAAAUGAAGCAAUUGAUGGAACUGUACCGCCUGGCGAGGCCGGCGAUGGAAGACAUCUGCGUCAGUCUCUGGCCUCAAGAGCCAUUGUCGAGCAGUUUCUUCGGCUUGGUGCAGCGGCUCCAAGGUGUGAGGCCCCACGUCCUCCGUUGGAAGCGUUCCGCCUGCCUGGAGGGUGCUCAAUGGGCGUACACGUGUGUGAGGACGCAUUACCCGGACAUCAAGGCUACGGAAGUGGCUUCACGCCCUCCUGUCGGCAAGAACUGGACUCCAGACCAGUACUUGGCCGAGGUGAUGGAGGGUGCUCGGAUCACCGAGACCCAGUGUAGCAAAGACACCUUGCAUUUUUAAUUUAUACUACUUCGGAAUGCCAAAGUUUUAAUUAUGUAAAAAAGACAAGCUUUAUUUUUGUGACUGAUCGGCUGUAUCGCCCGAUAUCUUUAUUUUGCCUCCUGUGCGUUUGUUUUAAUACUGAAAUCGGUAGUCGGUGACUUCUCCUCCCGUUGUAGAUACUACGUGGGGUGUUUCUAAAAACACAUUAACUCUUAGCCGACGUCUCGACGCCGGAGGCGGUUGUGUGUGGUAGAAACUAGGCAAUCAGACUAUUUUCAUUUUAUAACUUUCACUUAAUCACAGGAGCUUGACUGUGGGGCAACUAACUAACCCCUGGUGUUGUGGUAAUCGGACAUGCCGAGAUCAGAUCCUUAACACCUCAGUUCUUAUAACAAGAACUCUUCGUUUAACACGGAGUAACCUCUAUCGAUUUAUAGUUUAACACUGUCAUNNNNNNNNNNNNNNNNNNNNNNNNNNNNNNNNNNNNNNNNNNNNNNNNNNNNNNNNNNNNNNNNNNNNNNNNNNNNNNNNNNNNNNNNNNNNNNNNNNNNNNNNNNNNNNNNNNNNNNNNNNNNNNNNNNNNNNNNNNNNNNNNNNNNNNNNNNNNNNNNNNNNNNNNNNNNNNNNNNNNNNNNNNNNNNNNNNNNNNNNNNNNNNNNNNNNNNNNNNNNNNNNNNNNNNNNNNNNNNNNNNNNNNNNNNNNNNNNNNNNNNNNNUGAAGACAUUCGGCAUAGAGCCAAAGAGCAGCGGCGCCCAAUUAGCCGAAUGCGGCGGAGCCAUGAUCAGCAAACCCAGAAUGUGGCCUGGUUGGAAGGCGCCUUCGUGGAGACAAUCAAGGAGUGGCAGCGGGAGUGGUUUUAUAUCGCCGAGUCGCUAGCCGAAGGCCAGACAGGCAUCCCGGCUUUCUCAGGUGGUCCUCCGAGGAGGCUCAUCUCAUGGAUGAGAAAGGGCCUGGACUGGGGUAACCCGAAGGGGUACCAGUGCUGUAGAAGAAGAUCAACUCCAUGAAGGACAAGGGGAUCAAGCUGGUGGACGUGCUUGACGUCAUGCUCCAGCGUCAUAUUCUUCCUCUUCAGCUCCGGGCGAGCUCGAUGUGGCUCUACUCCUCCGAGGACGUGCCAACAGUGCGACACUUUUUCCGCACCAACCUGGCGGGAAUGUGGACGACACUCUUCAAGCCGUCCAGGAACAAGUUCCCUGAAGAAGGGGAGGACUGCGGCCUCGAGGCAAAGCAUGGAGCCCAUGAGGUAAGACUAGUCUUGUGAUUUAUGCUCGUCCUUUCUUCUCAAGCUCCUCUAUCGAAAUAACGAGGCCCGCCUCACCUCCCCCCUCCCCAAGAAAUUGCUCCCCCGGGCACUGAAGAUAAAGUGCCCGGCGCCACUGCCUGAGGAGGCCUGGUCUCCUCAACUCGAGGCACUCCUGGCCGAGAAAACAUAUGUAGUCCUGGCCAAGGAGAAGAAAUAGCCGAAGAAGAAGUUUGGUCAGCGUAUCCGAGAUCCCUUGGAUGCUAGGUCCGAAGACACCCACACCUCCUCCAUCUGCGAGGAAGAGGAGGAGGAGGAGGAAGAGAAGGACGAUGGAGCGGCUUGAGGAGAUGGAGGUGGCUUUGACAAACUCCGCCAUUAUCGAAGAGCACUGUGCCCUACUCGGCGCAGCGCUGAACGGCAUCCGGUCCGCAGAGACCGAGAUCAGAGGGCCUUUUCAAAGGUUUCGAUGUUGUAAUACUCCUCUACUGUUAGCUUGCAUAGUUAUAAGGCAGAAAAAUGGCUUUUUGUCCAAAGACUGUUGAAAAAACCAAAUGCAAAUGUACACAUAGUAUCCCCUGAGCCCCAAGUCAGUUAGAGAACUGAUUUGGGGUUGUUGUUAUACUAGAUUAAGGUCAUAUAAAAAGCGAAUAUGCAGUAGCCCCCGAGACUCUAGUCGGAUGAGUUAAGCCGACCAGAGGAUUGAAAUCGGUAUCGGAGACAAUUAACAACCGACUUUUCAGGCUUCGGCUUCGGCUCCGACCUCCAACUCCGAAGAGUUGGCGGAGCUAAACCACAAACUGGAGGGGUCCGAGAAGGACAUAGUACUGCUCAAAGAGCAGAUGUACCGGGCCCAAUGUAAGCAUAAAGCUAGUUCUGAGCUGAAUAUACGUUGCAGCGAUAACAUGAACUGUCGAAACACUGAUGUGUUUAAUUGCUUUUCCAGCUACCACAACGGAGCUUGAGGCCCUCCGAGCUGAGCCUAAAAAAGCUCAGCAAGAAGCCGAGCAUCAGAAGGCUGGGGCGAAGAAGGUCAGCGAAGAGCUGGCCGAGGAGAAGGAAGCCUGCGGCAAGUACCAGGCCCGGGUUACCGAGGUCGAGGAGGACCUGAAGGGGCUUGUUCGCAGAACACGACACCCUUCGGGAUAAACAAAAGAAGGCAGUCGUACUUGCUUCGGUCGUGGCAAGAGGCCAAGACUCAGGCCCGGGCGAGCCGCAAGGAGCUUCAACAAGUGAGGCAAAUUGUCGCUGGUAAGUCGUACUUGCUUCGAUGCGUUUUUGGUGAACUCAGGUUUGCUCAACUCACGCAAGUAUGGCGUUCCUCAGACACCUUCAUGGACCUGCCGAGGAGCGCCUAGGACGCCGACCGCUACUAUGGCUCAAUCCCGGGCGACUCCGCACAGAAGACCUUUUGGGCUUAGUUCCAGGCGNNNNNNNNNNNNNNNNNNNNNNNNNNNNNNNNNNNNNNNNNNNNNNNNNNNNNNNNNNNNNNNNNNNNNNNNNNNNNNNNNNNNNNNNNNNNNNNNNNNNNNNNNNNNNNNNNNNNNNNNNNNNNNNNNNNNNNNNNNNNNNNNNNNNNNNNNNNNNNNNNNNNNNNNNNNNNNNNNNNNNNNNNNNNNNNNNNNNNNNNNNNNNNNNNNNNNNNNNNNNNNNNNNNNNNNNNNNNNNNNNNNNNNNNNNNNNNNNNNNNNNNNNNNNNNNNNNNNNNNNNNNNNNNNNNNNNNNNNNNNNNNNNNNNNNNNNNNNNNNNNNNNNNNNNNNNNNNNNNNNNNNNNNNNNNNNNNNNNNNNNNNNNNNNNNNNNNNNNNNNNNNNNNNNNNNNNNNNNNNNNNNNNNNNNNNNNNNNNNNNNNNNNNNNNNNNNNNNNNNNNNNNNNNNNNNNNNNNNNNNNNNNNNNNNNNNNNNNNNNNNNNNNNNNNNNNNNNNNNNNNNNNNNNNNNNNNNNNNNNNNNNNNNNNNNNNNNNNNNNNNNNNNNNNNNNNNNNNNNNNNNNNNNNNNNNNNNNNNNNNNNNNNNNNNNNNNNNNNNNNNNNNNNNNNNNNNNNNNNNNNNNNNNNNNNNNNNNNNNNNNNNNNNNNNNNNNNNNNNNNNNNNNNNNNNNNNNNNNNNNNNNNNNNNNNNNNNNNNNNNNNNNNNNNNNNNNNNNNNNNNNNNNNNNNNNNNNNNNNNNNNNNNNNNNNNNNNNNNNNNNNNNNNNNNNNNNNNNNNNNNNNNNNNNNNNNNNNNNNNNNNNNNNNNNNNNNNNGUCCUCCGUUGGAAGCGUUCCGCCUGCCUGGAGGGUGCUCAAUGGGCGUACACGUGUGUGAGGACGCAUUACCCGGACAUCAAGGCUACGGAAGUGGCUUCACGCCCUCCUGUCGGCAAGAACUGGACUCCAGACCAGUACUUGGCCGAGGUGAUGGAGGGUGCUCGGAUCACCGAGACCCAGUGUAGCAAAGACACCUUGCAUUUUUAAUUUAUACUACUUCGGAAUGCCAAAGUUUUAAUUAUGUAAAAAAGACAAGCUUUAUUUUUGUGACUGAUCGGCUGUAUCGCCCGAUAUCUUUAUUUUGCCUCCUGUGCGUUUGUUUUAAUACUGAAAUCGGUAGUCGGUGACUUCUCCUCCCGUUGUAGAUACUACGUGGGGUGUUUCUAAAAACACAUUAACUCUUAGCCGACGUCUCGACGCCGGAGGCGGUUGUGUGUGGUAGAAACUAGGCAAUCAGACUAUUUUCAUUUUAUAACUUUCACUUAAUCACAGGAGCUUGACUGUGGGGCAACUAACUAACCCCUGGUGUUGUGGUAAUCGGACAUGCCGAGAUCAGAUCCUUAACACCUCAGUUCUUAUAACAAGAACUCUUCGUUUAACACGGAGUAACCUCUAUCGAUUUAUAGUUUAACACUGUCAUUGGAUCGCUGACCAGUUUGCGCUUACCAUGACACUAAGUUUUCGGCUUUCUCCACUGAGGCGCUUAACCAUUCAAGCUGGAAGCGCAAUUGCAGUGGUUGUCCCUUUACACUCUUAGCCGAAUAGAGCAGAAAAAAUAAGAGGUAAGCACAGAGCUGGGCAACCCAACUAUUGACCAAAAUCAUUGUUUGAAACUAAUGCAUAUAAUGCAAUAUCCUAAACGCCGAAUAAACUUAUCGGACUUAAAGGGGCACAGAUUGAAUCUGAGCCCCGAGUCCAAGGCCGAGUAUGUUUUGAGAAAUAUUGUAUCGCGAUAGUUAUCUUUGGCUCGGAGGCAUAAAAGAUUUUUUUACCAAAAGUAGAUGCGCAACGACCGUGAAAAGUCUUUUUAUUUGAUUUAUAAGGCCAAGCCGUACAUGUCGAGCUUGUCAAAGAAACUUCUAAAAGAUAAAUAAAGAGUAAAAAAAGAAAGGGAGGGUUUAUACAGGGCGUCCGUAUAUAGUUUGAUUUAUCGCCCUUGUUUUGCCCUGCCGCAUGCCUGCGCCUCCGCAUUGUUUACCAGCUUAUCCUCGUCUAUUCCGAGGUUGUUCGACACUGUAUACUACCCCUCAUAUCCUAUGCUUGAUGCAUUCGAGAAAUGGAUUCCUUAAAGAGGUUGUAGUUGCAUAGUGAUGGUUGAACCCUGUCGCUCCUAGUGGGCCUUUGACAGUACCCUGUGGAUGAGCAAAACUUUGAAUGUGCGUCGCCUAGUUGAGCCAAGUGAUGUACCCAGUUUAAUGUGCUCCUCGGCUUCCCAUGGAAUUUUAAGCGCGAAGUUAUGCACUCAAGGUACAUAAUCCUCGACUAGAUAGGGAGAACCGUGGAGCGCGUAUCCAUAUUUAGGGUCGCCACAUGACUGUCCGGGAGCAGAAGGGACACCUCGAAUGCGCUUUGCAGAGCUAGGUGUACCAUUCCCGGAUAGGGUCUAAGUUGCUUCCUCGGCAGCCUGAACCUCGGCUGCGAAAUCCAUGGCCUGCUCCUCUAUUCGGAGAGAGCACUCGGUGUCACCAUUCAUUGUGAUAACACCCUUUGGCCCCGGCAUCUUUAAUAUUAGAUACGUGUCAUGCGGGAUCGCGCUGAAUCGAGCAAAUGCAGUUCGCCCAAGCAGUGCAUGAUAACCACUGCGGAAGGGGACUAUAUCAAAGAUUAAAUCUUCACUUCGGAAGUUCUCAGGCAAUCCGAAGACUACUUCCAACGUGAUAGUCCCAGUGCAUUGUGCUUCAAAACCAGUUAUGACACCCUUAAAAGUGGUGGUGCUGGGCUUGAUCCUUGACAGAUCAACGCCCAUCUUCCCGAUCGUGUCAGCAUAGAUCAGGUUGAGGUUGCUACCUCCGUCCGUAAGGACGUGUGUUAGGUGGAACCCAUUGACAACAGGGCCCAAGACCAAAGCCGCCGAUCCUCCAUGAUGGAUACUGGUCGAGUUGUUGCGUUUGUUGAAGGUGAUCGGGUAAACCGACCAUGGAUUGUAUUUCGGGGCUACAGGCUCCAAGGCGUAGAUGUUUCGAAGUGCGUGGUUCCACACCUUUUUAGGGAUGUGGGUGGCAUAGAUCAUGUUCACGUCCCUUACCUCGGAAGGGAUUGCUUCUGGCCUCCAUUAUUGGGUCAUUAAGGUUCAUCCUCGUCCUCACCGCGGGACUAGCUUUUGCUUUGGCCCUCUGCUACGACCUUUCCAGCCUGCAUGAUGACCCAACAGUUUUGGCUGGUGUGAUUGGCAGGUUUGUUCGAGGUGUCAUGGAUCUGGCAAGGCCUGUCGAGGAUUUUUUUCAAGUGCUCUAGGACCAUCCUUGUUCCCUUUAAAGGGUUUAAUUUUCUAUCUGACCAUUGAACCGUUGAACCCUGUGUUGACCGCGGCGUCCUCAGCAUCGAUGAUGCUAUUUUUAUGCCUGCGCUUAAUCCUAUUGCGCCUAGGCUUGCCGUUACCAUCGCGUGCUUCUGAGAUGCCGGCCUCCCUGCCAUGAGAGUUGUGUGGAGAAAAUAUGCCCUAGAGGCAAUAAUAAAGUUGUUAUUUUAUAUUUCCUUAUUCAUGAUAAAGGUUUAUUAUUCAUGUCAUAAUUGUAUUGAUCGAAAACCUAAAUACAUGUGUGAAUACAUAAACAAACACCGUGUCCCUAGUGAGCCUCUACUUGACUAGCUCAUUGACCAAAGACGGUUAAGGUUUCCUAACCAUGGACAUGAGUUGUCAGUUGAUAACGGGAUCACAUCAUUAGGAGAAUGAUGUGAUGGACAAGACCCAUCUGUUAGCUUAGCAUUAUAAUCGUUCAGUUUUAUUGCUAUUGCUUUCUUCAUGUCAAAUACAUAUUCCUUCGACUAUGAGAUUAUGCAACUCCCGGAUACUGGUGGAAUGCCUUGUGUGCUAUCAAAUGUCACAAGGUAACUGGGUGAUUAUCAAGAUUCUCUAUAGGUAUCUAUGAAGGUGUUUCUUGAGUUGGCAUAAAUCAAGAUUAGGAUUUGUCACCCUGAGUAUCAGAGAGGUAUCUCUGGGCCCUCUUGGUAAUACACAUCAUGAGCUUGCAAGCAAACGACUAAGGAGUUAGUCAUGAGGUGAUGUAUUACGGAACGAGUAAAGAGACUUGCCGGUAACGAGAUUGAACUAGGUAUGAAGAUACCGAUGAUCGAAUCUCAGGCAAGUAACAUACCGAUGGACAAAGGGAAUUAAGCAUGUUGUCAUAAUGGUUUGAUCGAUAAAGAUCUUUGUAGAAUAUGUGGGAGCCAAUAUGAGCAUCCAGGUUCCACUAUUGGUUAUUGACCAGAGAGGUGUCUCGGUCAUGUCUACAUAGUUCUCAAACCCGUAGGGUUCGCACGCUUAACGUUCGAUGAUGAUAUAGUAUUAUAUGAGUUAUGUGAUUUGGUGACCGAAUGUUGUUCCGAGUCCCAGAUGAGAUUAUGGACAUGACAAGGAGUCUCGAGAUGGUCGAGAGGUAAAGAUUGAUAUAUAGGACGAUGAUAUUCGGACAACGGAAGUGUUCCGAAGGGUAUCGGGUAUUUAUUGGAGUAUCAGAGGGGUUACCAGAAACCCCGGAGGGAAUAUAUGGGCCAUAUGGGCCGUAUGGGCCAUGAGAGGGGAGCACACCGCCCACAAGGAAGAAAGGGGAAACCCCCUUUCUUCUCCGGUGAAAUAUGGCGGGGGCGCCACUUGGGUAAACCCCAAGUAGGAUUCGAAUCCUACUUGGGGCGCAACCUAGCAGCUAUUCUUUGUGUUGGAUUGAGUAUUAUGAAUCUAAAAUUAUUUGGUGUUAUUUUAGUACGAACUCUUGAAUAGAUCGAUUGGAAGAAUAGCUUCGAGGUGGUUUCGUACCCUACAACUGAAUUCUUCUUAUUUUCUCCGCUAGAUAGGAACUUUGGAGUGAUUCUUCAUCGCAUGUUGGGGGAUGGUUAUGUAAUCCAAUUAUAUUAGCAUUGUUGAGAGAUUGCACUAGCGAAAGUACGGACCCUAGGCCUCGUUUUCAAGCAUUGCAAUACCGUUUGUGCUCACUUUAGUUACUUGCUACCUUGCUAUUUUUAUUUAUUUAGAAUAUAAAAAUAUAUUUCUACCAUCCAUAUUACACUUUUAUCACCAUCUCUUCGCUGAACUAGUGCACCUAUACAAUUUGCCAUUGUAUUGGGUGUGUUGGGGACACAAGAGAUUUCUUGUAUUUGGCUGCAGGGUUGUUUGAGAUAGACCAUCUUCAUCCUACGCCUCCCACGGAUUGAUAAAUCUUAGGUCAUCCACUUGAGGGAAAAUUUCUACUGUCCUACAAAACUCUGUGCUUGGAGGCCCAACACGAUUCUACAAGAAUAAAGUUGCGUAGUAGACAUCAGGGUCCUCUUCCUCGGGCAUCCCCGUGGAACUAUUCGGCUUUCUUGGGGAGGCUUGAAUGUCUUCUCGCUGGCCCUCAGUGUUAUUGGGAGUAGCACCAUUUUUGGUAGAGCCCGUGUUGUUGGUUCCACUUGUGCCCCCGCCAACGCCUUUCUGCCGUCUGCGAGGACGUCAGCGUCUGGGGGGGAUCCUUGGGUGUGUCGACCAUAUAGAUACUCUGGUAGACUUCGCAGCCCAUUUGCCGGUAUGAGAUACAGUUAUGCGCGAGCCCACUCGGAGUGUGCCGCCGACAUCUUCAUCCAUGUCGGAGGCUUCCGCGGACUCAUAGUCCAGCACGUCGGUUGAGUCAUUGACGGUGGCGACUAGGUGGGUGGUGGGUGGGACAUAAAUUUCCCAAUCAUCGGCUUUACAUCCGAUUUGGUCAUAGACCAAGGACGAGAUCGCCAUACUCUAGAUCCAAUCUAGCAUCUUGUUUAAUUGUUAGAGAUCCUCAGUGUCCAUGUAUUGAAUGUAGGGAGGAUUGAUACAAAGUAUGCUUUGUGGGUCGCAUGACGCAAUUUUGAAGUUCAGGCUGGCCGGGGUUGACUCCUGGUCAUCGGGCAGGGAGGUCUUACCCGAGCUUGCCAUAGGUUCCGAGGUCGGGUUCGACUCGAGGUCAAGGUCCGACGGGAGGAUGGUUGGUUCCAUGCUUGACACACGGUUUGGCGCGACGACAGUCAGUUCCAUGCCCGGGACUGGUUUUGGUGCGAGAUCCAAUCCGAGGCUUGGGUCAGAGGUCGGCUCCGGGGUCAAGGCCGUGGUGCCGGAAGAAUUCUUGAGUCGAUCUGGCAUCCAUCUAGAGAGGGCGAGAUCAUCGCGCGAGUCGGCGGUGUACUCCAAGCUCCCGAAUGUGAUGACACGGUCGAGAUGACUGAUACGUCUCCAACGUAUCUAUAAUUUAUGAAGCAUUCAUGCUAUUUUAUUAUCUGUUUUGAAUGAUUACGGGCUCUAUUAUUCACUUUUAUAUUACUUUUUGGACUAACCUAUUAACCGGAGGCCCAGCCCAUAUUGUUGUUUUAUUGCCUGUUUCAGUAUUUCGAAGAAAAGGAAUAUCAAACAGAGUCCAAACGGAAUGAAACCUUCGGCAGCGUGAUUUUUUGGAAGAAUAUGAUCCUAGAGACUUGGAGUCCACGUCAGAAGAUCCUCGAGGAUGCCACGAGAUAGGAGGGUGCGCCCCCUGUCUCGUGGGCCCCUCGAGCACCUCCCGACCGACUUCUUUCGCCUAUAUAAUCCUAUGUACCCUAAAAACAUCGAAUUUCAAGAUAGAUCGGGAGUUCCGCCGCCGCAAGCCUCUGUAGCCACCAAAAACCUCUCGGGAGCCUGUUCCAGCACCCUGCCGGAGGGGGAACCCAUCACCGGUGGCCAUCUUCAUCAUCCCGGCGCUCUCCAUGACGAGGAGGGAGUAGUUCACCCUCGGGGCUGAGGGUAUGUACCAGUAGCUAUGUGUUUGAUAUCUCUCUCUCUCGUGUUCUCUCUAUGGCACGAUCUUGAUGUAUCGCGAGCUUUGUUAUUAAAGUUGGAUCUUAUGGUGUUUCUCCCCCUCUACUCUCUUGUGAUGAAUUGAGUUUUCCCUCUUGAAGUUAUCUUAUCGGUUUGAGUCUUUACUUUGAGAACACUUGAUGUAUGCCUUGCCAUGUUUAUCUGUGGUGACAAUGGGAUAUCUCGUGCCACUUGAUGUUUGUUUUGGUGACCAACUUGCGGGUUCCGCCCAUAAACCUAUGCAUACGGGUUGGCACACGUUUUCUUGACUCUCCGGUAGACACUUUGGGGAACUCUUUGAAGUACUAUGUGUUGGUUGGAUGAAUAUGAGAUUGUGUGAUGCAUAUCGUAUAAUCAUGCCCACGGAUACUUGAGGUGACAAUGGAGUAUCUAGGUGACAUUAGAGUUUUGGUUGAUUUGUGUCUUAAGGUGUUAUUCUAGUACGAACUCUUGAAUAGAUUGAUCCGAAAUAAUAACUUUGAGGUGGUUUCGUACCCUACCAUAAUCUCUUCGUGUGUUCUCCGCUAUUAGUGUCUUUGGAGUGACUCUUUAUUGCAUGUUGAGGGAUGGUUAUAUGAUCUAUCUAUGUUAUUAUUGUUGAGAGAACUUGCAUUAGUGAAACUAUGAACCCUAUGCCUUGUUUCCUAUCAUUGCAAUAGCGUUUACGCUCACUUUUGUCAUUAGUUACCUUGCUGUUUUUAUAUUUUCAGGUUACGAAUACCUUUAUCUACCUUUCAUAUUGCACUUGUAUCACCAUCUCUUCGCCGAACUAGUGCACCUAUACAAUUUACCAUUGUACUGGGUGUGUUGGGGACACAAGAGACUUUUUGUUAUUUGGUUGUAGGGUUGUUUGAGAGAGACCAUCUUCAUCCUAUGCCUCCUACAGAUUGAUAAACCUUAGGCCAUCCACUUGAGGGAAAUUUGCUACCGUCCUACAAACCUGUGCACUUGCAGGCCCAACAACGUCUACAAGAAGAAGGUUGUAUAGUAGACAUCAAGCUCUUUUCUGGCGCCGUUGCCGGGGAGGUGAGUGCUUGGUAUAUCUUUAGAUCUUGCAAUCGAAUCUUUUUGUUUCUUGUUUUAUCACUAGUUUAGUUUAUAAAAGAAAACUACAAAAAAAUGGAGUUGAGUUUGUCUCAUACGCUUCGUCUUUUUAAUAUCUUCCGUGAGUUUGAUGGAAAGGAAAAUUGUGCUCAAGUGCUAGAAGAAGAAUGCAUUAUAAUGCUUGGUACGAAAUCUUUGAAUGACGAGCAUGAUUGCAAUGUUGUUAGUAUGAACUCGUUGAAUAUCCAUACUACUAAUGAUGAUUGCACUAGUUAUGAUGAAAAUGUCUCCUAUAAGCAUAUUGAUUUUUGUGGAGUGCAUGUUUGCAUGAACACACCAAAUAGAGAAGAUAUAUAUUGCAAGAGGCAUAAGCAUUUAGAAACUAAAUGGUUGCAAGAAAGGCUAGAUGUGAGUGCUGAAAAUUUAAAAUUCCUUUGCCGUACUUGUGAACUUUGCAAUGGACAUGGUCAUUUACAUCUCCAAUGCAAAUUGUUUCAUGACCGAAUCGUGUACAAAAAUUGUGAUGAGUUGAUUUCCCUUGCACAUUAUAAUGAACUUAGUUUGCUUUUGGGUUACGAAGAGUUGAAACGUUUAACUAAGCCUAUUCCAGAAUUUAAUCUUAAGCAAUUCCUUGAUAUUGAUCUAGAAAAGAUUUAUAUGUUUUGUGCGGAGAAUUGCAUUGAAAAUCCUUAUAUUGCCAAUUACCUAAAGAAAAGAAAGAAAAUAGAAGAUGAUGAGAAUACUAAUGAAAGUGAAGAGACUUCCCAAUAUCCUCCUAUUAUUUCUUAUGAUGAAUCAAGUAAUGAGGAGGAGCUUUCUAUUCAACCAAUCUCGUCAAUAAGGAGCUCAAAGAGGAAGGUCGAACCCACACAUAAUGUGAAAAAGAAAAGGAAAAGAAGGGGCAACAAAGGUAAAAAGAUAUCCCUCCCAAAUGAUGUUGCUCCUACUACUCAUUGUGAUGAUGAUAAUUGAUUUACUAUUGGUGCUAUCCAUAUUUUUCAUGAUGAGAGUAAUUAUGCUUAUGAUAUGAAAGUGCCCAAGCUUGGGGAAGCUAUGUUUGAUGGGGAUGAAUUAUUUGAGAAUAUAUUUGCUAGAAUUAAUGUUUGUCCCAAGCUUGGGGAUGCUAUGUUUAAUGAAGAUGAUAUUUUUAGCAUCCCAAGUUUUGAUAUGCAAAGUUGUUAUGAUGAUAGCAUGCCUCCUACCUAUGAUGAUUAUAUUGAUGAAGUCGGUUUGGAAGAGUGUCAACUUUAGGAAUUAGUGAUCCCACUAUUUUGGAGGAUGUUGAAUCCUACUGUGAUGAACAUGAAAGUGGAUUUGGAAGAGUGACAACUUUAUUUAGUGAUGAUUCCACUAUUUCGGAAGAGGUUCCAAUUUAUUAUGAGAACAAAGUUGCUAUCUAUGAUGAUUAUUGUGAUGACUUGUAUUCUAUUAGGAAUAAUGAUAACCAUGAAACUUGUCAUCAUGAUUUUAGUUUUCAAUUGGAUUAUGCCUCACAUGAUAAUUAUUUUGUUGAGUUUGCUCCCACCACUAUUCAUGAGAAGAAAUUUGCUUAUGUGGAGAGUAGUAAAUUUUAGGUGUUGGUUAUAUUGUUGAAUUCAUUCAUGAUGCUACUGAAAAUUAUUAUGAGAGAGGAACAUGUGUUCUUACAUGUUGCAAUAGUAUCAAGUUUUCUCUCUAUGUGCUUAAAGUUUUAAAGCUAUGCUUGUUUUGCUUACCUAUGCUAGUUGAUUAUUGUUCCCAUAAGUUCUUUGCUCACAAAAUCCCUAUGCAUAGGAAGUGGGUUAGGCUUAAAUGUGCUAGUCAUAUGCUUCAUGAUGCUUCCGUUAUGUUUCAAUUCUUAUCUUUUAUGUGAGCAUCAUUGCCAUCCUCAUGCCUAGCUAAAAAGGCAUUAAAGAAAAGCGCUUGUUGGGAGACAACCCAAUAUUUAUCCUUAAUGUUUUUGUGUGUCCACAUGAUUAUUCUACUGUAGUAAUCAUGUUUUAUAGUUUUUGUUUCAAUAAAGUGCGAAGUAAGACUUUUAGGAUAGCUUACGGUGAUAGUUGUGUUGAUCCUGCUCAAAAUCAGAAACUUUUGCACCCAGUAAAUUUGUUUUGUUAAUUCACUGAAACGUGCUUCUGAUCGGAUUCGUUUUGCUAUGGAUUGGUACACAAAUUGCUUAGGAUUUCCUAAUUUGGUAGGCUUUUUGGAGUUCCAGAAGUAUACGUUUGAUACAGAUUACUACAGACUGUUCUGUUUUUGACAGAUUCUGUUUUCCGUGUGUUGUUUGCUUAUUUUGAUGCAUCUAUGGCUAGUAUUAAGUGGUACGAACCAUAGAGAAGUUGGAAUACAGUAGAUAUUACAUCAAUAAGAAUUUAUAAUGAUUUCAUUACAGUACCUAAGUGGUGGUUUUAUUUUCUUAUACUAACGGAGCUUACGAGUUUUCUGUUGAGUUUUGUGUUGUGAAGUUUUCAUGUUUUGGGUAAGGAUUCGAUGGACUAUGGAAUAAGGAGUGGUAAGAUCCUAAGCUUGGGGAUGCCCAAGGCACCCCAAGGUAAUAUUCAAGGACAACCAAGAGCCUAAGCUUGGGGAUGCCCCGAAUGGCAUCCCCUCUUUCGUCUUCGUUCAUCGGUAACUUUACUUGGAGCUAUAUUUUUAUUCACCACAUGAUAUGUGUUUUGCUAGGAGCAUCAUUUUCGUUUGUUAGUAUUUUCUUGAUGUUAUUUAGAAUAAUGUUUUCAUCUUUAGUUUCAAUAAAAAAGGUCAAGGAUAGCCUUUGCCAUGCUUAUUUUGCUAGUAUACAUGUUGCUGCUUGAAAACAGAAAGUUUACAGCUGUUGCAAAUAUUCCCUAGAGAAGUAAGAGAAUGAUAUAAUGUUGACAUUUUUGCAUAAUGAGCUAUGAUAAAUUUACUACAGUGGGAAUUUUAUUUCAUAAUUUUUGGAGUUAGGGAAGUAUUGAUACUCUUGCAUUCUUUACAGACUGUACUGUUUUGGCAGAUUGCUGUUAUGUUUGCAUUAUUUGCAUAUGUUUGCUUGUUUAAUGAUUCUAUUUGAGGAUAGGAGUGUUAAAUAUGCAGAGGAAUUUAGUAUGCAAUGUUGAAUAAUAAUUUUAGUGAUUUGUUACAGUAGAAAAUGAUAAGGUUUUGCAUUGGUUUAUACUAACCUAUCUCACGAGUUCUUGUUGAGUUUGUUGUGGAUGAAGCUUUUGAUAAAAAGAGAAACCAUGAUAUGAGAGAAAUUAAGGAGACACAAAAGUUCAAGCUUGGGGAUGCCCAAGGCACCCCAAGAUAAUAUUCCAAGAAGUCUCAAGCAUCUAAGCUUGGGGAUGCCCCGGUAGGCAUCCCACCUUUCUUCUUCAACCACUAUCGGUUAGUAUCGGUUGAGCCUAAGUUUUUGCUUCUUCACAUGAGUUGUGCUAUCCUUGCAAUGUCUUUUUAUUUUUUUUGCUUGCUGUGUGAAUACAAUACCAAGAUCUGAAAUUCUUAAAUGAGAGAGAGUCUUCGCAUAGUUACAUAAUUAUUUAGCUACUCAUUGAUCUUCACUUAUAUCUUGUUGGAGUAGUUUUUCAUUUACUCGUGUGCUUCACUUAUAUCCUUUGAGUAAAUUUUUGAAUGAGUUGAUUGUCAUAAAUCUGAAAUCAUAUAUGUCUCAUUUUCUUAUCCCAUGGGGAGUAAUGACUUCACAUCUAAGAAGUAGAGGUUGUAAAUUUAUUGAAGGUUAGCAAGCAUUGUAUUGGUCAUUUAAACAAUUCAUGAAAGAAUAGUGAAGGAAGAGAGAUUCCACAUAUAAAUAUACUAUCCUAGACAUCUUUUAUAGUUGGGAGCACUCAUUAAGUAUGACAUGCUAAAGAGUUGAUGUUGGACAAGGAAGACAAUGUGAUGGUUUAUGUUUUCUGACAUCUUAGUUAAAGUAUAUUUUCAUGGAUCAUUCAAACAUGUUGAGCUUGCCUUUCCCCCUCUUGCUAGACAAAUUCCUUGCACCAAGUAGAGAUAGUACUUGUGCUUCCAAAUAUCCUUAAACCCAGUUUUGCCAUGAGAGUCCACCAUACCUACCUAUGGAUUGAGUAAGAUCCUUCAAGUAAGUUGUCAUCGGUGCAAGAAAUAAAAAUUGCUCUCUAAAUAUGUAUGAUCUUUUGGUGUGAAGAAAAUAGCUUUAUACGAUCUUGUUAUGGAUGCAAUAAAAGCGACGGACUGCAUAAUAAAGGUCCAUAUACAAGUGGCAAUAUAAAGUGACGUUCAUUCGCAUUAAUAUUUUGUGCAUCCAACCCUAAAAGCGCAUGCUAACCUCUGCUUCCCUCUGCGAAGGGCCUAUCUUUUACUUUAUGUCUUUUACUUUUAUGCAAGAGUCAAGGUGAUCUUCACCUUUCCCUUUUUCAUUUUAUCCUUUGGCAAGCACCUCGUGUUGGGAAGAUCCUGAUAUAUAUAUAUAUCCAAUUGGAUGUAAGUUAGCAUGAACUAUUAUUAUGGACAUCACCCAAAGGUGAAUACGUUGGGAGGCAACACUAUAAGCCCCUAUCUUUCUCAGUGUCUGAUUGAAACUCCAUAACUAUUAGUAUUGCGUGAGUGUUAGCAAUUGUAGAAGACUAUAUGAUAGUUGAGUAUGUGGAGUUUGCUAUUCCUGAAAAUAAGAUGAAUUGCAAUUGUUUGAUGUCUGAGAAUGAAGUUUGCUAGUUUUCAAGAAAGUUUAUGGUCUAUGCUUUGACAUGUGAAUUGCUUGUUACUUUACCGUGAGAAGUUUAUGAGAUGAACUACUGUUAUGACAUGUUAUCGUGCUAGAAAAGGUGAUUGAAAUUAUCAUUGAUCAAACUUGUGCACCUUCUAGCAUUCACACUUCAUAAUUUCUUUCUUUUAUCAUUUACCUACUCGAGGACAAGCAGGAAUUAAGCUUGGGGAUGCUGGAUACGUCUCCAACAUAUCUAUAAUUUAUGAAGCAUUCAUGCUAUUUUAUUAUCUGUUUUGAAUGAUUACGGGCUCUAUUAUUCACUUUUAUAUUACUUUUGGGACUAACCUAUUAACCGGAGGCCCAGCCCAUAUUGUUGUUUUAUUGCCUGUUUCAGUAUUUCGAAGAAAAGGAAUAUCAAACGGAGUCCAAACGAAAUGAAAUCUUCGGCAGCGUGACUUUUUGGAAUAAUAUGAUCCUGGAGACUUGGAGUCCACGUCAGAAGAUCCUCGAGGAGGCCACGAGAUCGGAGGGCGUGCCCCCCCUAUAGGGCACGCUCCCUGUCUCGUGGGCCCCUCGAGCACCUCCCGACCAACUUCUUUCGCCUAUAUAAGCCUACGUACCCUAAAAAUAUCGAAUAUCAAGAUAGAUCAGGAGUUCCGCCGCCGCAAGCCUCUGUAGCCACCAAAAACCUCUCGGGAGCCCAUUCUGGCACCCUGCUGUAGGGGGAACCCAUCACCGGUGGCCAUCUUCAUCAUCCCGACGCUCUCCAUGAUAAGGAGGGAGUAGUUCACCCUCGGGGCUGAGGGUAUGUACCAGUAGCUAUGUGUUUCAUCUCUCUCUCUCUCGUGUUCUCUCUAUGGAACGAUCUUGAUGUAUCGCGAGCUUUGUUAUUAUAGUUGGAUCUUAUGAUGUUUCUCCCCCUCUACUCUUUUGUGAUGAAUUGAGUUUUCCCUCUUGAAGUUAUCUUAUCGGAUUGAGUCUUUACUUUGAGAACACUUGAUGUAUGUCUUGCCAUGUUUAUCUGUGGUGACAAUGGGAUAUCAUGUGCCACUUGUUGUAUGUUUUGGUGACCAACUUGCGGGUUCCUCCCAUGAACCUAUGCAUAGGGGUUGGCACACGUUUUCUUGACUCUCUGGUAAAAACUUUGGGGCACUCUUUGAAGUACUAUGUGUUGGUUGGAUGAAUCUGAGAUUGUGUGAUGCAUAUCGUAUAAUCAUGCCCACGGAUACUUGAGGUGACAAUGGGGUAUCUAGAUGACAUUAGGGUUUUGGUUGAUUUGUGUCUUAAGGUGUUACUCUAGUAUGAACUCUUGAAUAGAUUGAUCCGAAAGAAUAACUUUGAGGUGGUUCUGUACCCUACCAUAAUCUCUUCGUUUGUUCUCUGCUAUUAGUGUCUUUGGAGUGACUCUUUGUUGCAUGUUGAGGGAUUGUUAUAUGAUCUAUCUAUGUUAUUAUUGUUGAGAUAACUUGCACUAGUGAAAGUAUGAACCCUAUGCUUUGUUUCCUAUCAUUGCAAUACCGUUUACGCUCACUUUUAUCAUUAGUUACCUUGCUGUUUUUAUAUUUUCAGAUUACAAAUACCUUUAUCUACCAUCCAUAUUGCACUUGUAUCACCAUCUCUUCGCUGAACUAGUGCACCUAUACAAUUUACCAUUGUAUUGGGUGUGUUGGGGACACAAGAGACUUUUUGUUAUUUGGUUGCAGGGUUGUUUGAGAGAUACCAUCUUCAUCCUACGCCUCCUACAGAUUGAUAAACCUCAGGUCAUCCACUUGAGGGAAAUUUGCUACUGUCCUACAAACCUGUGCACUUGCAGGCCCAACAACGUCUACAAGAAGAAGGCUAUGUAGUAGACAUCAAUGACCAGUCUGGUUGGCGUGCAGAACAAUGCUGCCGAAAGCAAAAAGCUGGCCGGGGAUGAAGAUGUUGCCGUAGCCGGUGUCACAGUUUAACCGCGGAAGAUCCAUUGAUCUUUUCUUGACCACACAACAAAACUCUCAAUGAAACCACCAAUGUCGGUACUAAAACCGGCUACUCCCGAGUUGUGGACCUUGGAUCGAUGGGUAACAAGAUAUGAAGGAGACAGUAUUUACCCAGGUUAGGGCCCUCUCGAAGAGGUAAAGUCCUACGUCCUACUUUGAUUGUAUUGAUGAUGAUGUAUCGGGUACAAGCUUGAUCUACCUCGAGAUCUUAUGUUGUGUUCUAACCCUAAGGCGAGAUGAUUGUCUUCUUCCUCUAUGAUUAAACCGCACGGUUUAUAUAGGCACUGGGGGUAGUUAGGUUUACAUAUGGUCGGUUGCCAACUAGGGAUAAACAUGCUGACAGGUGAAGUAAUCCUUGAAGUACCGGCAAGGUGUUCAGCAGAGUCCAUCUUGAUCACGACGGAGUUCGAGGCUCCCGGAGCCCUUCCUUAUGAGAUUGGUGGGCCAUAAGCUCGGCCCGUGGACUGUGUGCCAACUAGCUUGGUACCCCCUAGUCCAGGACACCGUCACCGGGUCAAAGUUAUUGCGGUGUUUGUGCGUGAGCUAUCACGUAUAUGAUGUGUAUAGUACCAAGCUAUUUACACAAAAAUUAUCGAGGGUAUGUUUUUAGACACCCCCUCGUGUGAAAGUAGCCAUGGUGUUUGUGCAUGAGCUAUUAGCUCUGUUGUGCGUAUGUUACCAUGCUAUUUCUACAGAAUUUAUCAUGGGAAUGUUUUGAACAUCUUUUGUGCCCCGAUCAAAAGUUACAAUGGUGUUUGUGCGCAAGUCAAGUCUGUGAUUUGUAUAUUACCUUGCUAUUUACAUGGAAGUUACCAGGGCAUGUUUUCAACAACCCCCCCUCCCCCGCUUUAAAAGUUAUUAUGUUGUUUGUACCUGAGUUAUCAGGUGUAUGGUGCAUAUAUUACCAUGUUGUUUGCACAUAAGUUACGAGAGAAUUUACAGGGGUAUGUUUUCAACCAACCCUCCCCCCUUUUCAAAAGUUACCAUGGUAUUUGUACAUAGUUUAUAAGGAAAAGUGGUGGCUAUAUUACCAUACUAUUUACAUAGAAGUUACCAGAGAAUUUAUUGGGGUGUGUUUUCAACAACCCCUCCCCUCGAUCAAAAGUUACCAUGGUGUUUAUACAUAGUUUAUCAAGAAAAGUGGUGGGUAUAUUGGCAUUGCUAUUUUCACAGAAUUUACUGUCGUAUGUUUUCAACAUCUUUAUCCUCGGGUCAAAAAGUUACCGCAUUUAUUGUACAUAAGUUAUCAGGUCAGCGGUGCGUAUAUUACCAUGUUAUUUUCACAGAAAUUACAAGGGUAUGUUUUAUUCCUUUUCACCGAGUCGAGGUAACCACGUUGUUUGUAAGUAAGUUAUCAGGGCAGCGAUGCGUAAAUUACUAUGUUAUUUACAUAGAAGUUACUGGGGGUAUGUUUAAAAAAAAUCCGGAUUGAAAGUUAUCGCGGUGUUUGUACUUAAGUUAUCAUGUCUACGAUGUGUACAGACCAUAUUAUUCACACAUGUUAUCGGGGGCGCAUUUGAAAAGGUUAAGGGACCUUGUGUGAUGAUGAUAUAUAUUGGAUUCUCACCUUGGUGAUUUUAUUUUGCCUUGAGAAAAAGAGAAUACACAAAAUCAGUGGAAAAUUGCACAUAAGAAAUAACAGAGCAUUAACCGCAAGAAAAAAAAAGAAAUAGCAGAGCAUUAGCGCUUCUGGUGCUCGGGAGUCGGGAUCGAUGGCAAGAACCACUGAUCCAAAAAGUUAUCAUUCUAUUUUGUAGCACUAGUUAAGUCAAGUAACGUCAUGCAUAUAAACUAGCCAAACAAGUUCAUGUGGCUGGAUGGUUUUUGCACAUCCUAUGCCUUUGUUUUCCGCUAGGACCAUCCAUCACGAGAAAAUCGGGAUAGGAGACGGGGAGGUGGGCGAUUAACAACAAAAAAAAGGUAAGACGUGCUGGAGAUCAUAAGAUUAGUGGGGAGGUGGGCGAUCAAUGAAAAAUGGGCAGUUAGAUCAGGACUUACACACAAUCCUAAGAUUCGAAUGAUUGACGAUGCGUGCGGACUUGUUGCAGAAUUCCAAACGUUCGAAAUUUAGCUUUUGCCUAUAAAUAUAAACAUAAAUAUAUAUACAUAUCUAUUUGAAAAUGUAAUAUGUCACAGUAUAUACAGCUUGAAGAAAGAGUAGUACACACGCUAAUGAAUAAAGGCAUACCUGUGAGUGAGCUAGAUUCGGCUUGUGGCAGCAAAACUAGAACACAGAAGCACACGGAAUUGGUAGGUAGGAGGGAGAGCUCAGGAGCUGUGUGGUACAAGAAGAAUGGGAGGAUCCGAGGGUAUGCAUAUGCUUAUAUAACCAAAGACAAACACCCAGAUCCGGUUAUUGCGUUCCGAGUAACAAGUUGAGUAGCCUGUGCGGGUAUCUUUGUUUUUAUUUUGACAUUUAUAUAAUAAUGCUUCUUUUUAAAGCGUUUCUUAUAAGAUUCUCCAACGGCUGUUUUCUAGAUUAUCUAUUUUUUUUUCUUAUCACUUCUCUUAAUCAGAAAUAGUUUGAGAUUUUUCCUAUUUCUAAGUCAGUUCAGUAACAAGUGCUACUAGGUGAAAGUGCAAAGUUUUUUUCCGUGAAUCAACUUAGACAUAAUAAGAACAUUAAACAAACUUAAAUACGCUUCAGUAUUUUUUUUAGUCCCAGCAAAACAAGUGUUGUAGUACUUUUUUUUUCAAAAAAUACACUUGGAUCCCUAAAAAAAACUCAGAUCUACUAACCAAACCAGCAAGUCAAACACUCCUGAAAAAGAUAUACAUUCAAAAUCUUGAGGGUGGUGAAGUCUUCUACCUACUGCAUUCAUAGGCGGUGCGCCGCGAGCAUAGCUCGAUGCCGCCUCUAGGCCUUCGCCUGGGUGGAGCAAACUCUUUGAAACACAGGAGGCUAUAAAAGCAUCGGACAGGUAGUCGUCAAUGCAGACUAGGAUACGCUGGCGACCGCGAUUUGCGAACCAAAUUGCCGCCCCGGAGAAAAGAAUGUCGACAAGGGCCAACAGAAACUCUAAAGAACAUGAAUACCAUGAAAGUCGGCCGAAUCCAGACAAAUCCACCGGAAACCUAAACCGAUCAGAUCUCGGAAGACCCACCAGAGACACAACUCUACACGCCCUCCACUGGCGAAAAACACACCAACUUUGGGGGGAUAGAACGAGGAGAACAUUAUUCCUACCAUAGGGAAACUCCACCGCUUCAAUCGCCCACACCAAGCACAAAUACUCCCGAAUGUAAGCUUGAAAAAGGCCUCCAUGCCGCUAUAAGCCAGACCGUGCUUUGAUAUUGAGCUCGCCGCCGUCCAGAACCGUGCACCAACAUUCUCUUCUCUGAUGAUCCACCCGGGUCGGGCCAUCUAUUAAGUUCUUCGCGUUGGAUCCUUUUGGCCACCACCGAGUUCACCAAUGCGGUUGGCGCGCACCGCUUGACGACGACGCCGCUCGAGCAUACAUCUCCUUUGCUAUCCCACAACAACUCUCCAACGCCUCCACAACAGGCCUCCCAGUUCCAGACCUCCCCGCCUUGCGCUAGGCGGGCUUUGCUUGACGGCACGCCCUGGUGGCGGUGAGAGGGGCAGCCGCAAGGCGGCAGCUAGGGUUUCUUGUUCCCCUCUGAGAAAACGAUUCAAUGCCUUGAUUAGUUGGUCGCAAGAAUGGGAAACUUAUUACUACAUUAGUGUGCAUUUUUCACUUUGUACGUUAUGUAUAUGGAGUCAUUGCGAUUUGAGCAACAUUAAACCGAACAACCUAGACAGCUCACGUGCCAUGCAGUGUGGUUCAACAAUCAACACAGUAUGGAUCUAUCUUCAGCGCUCCCAUGGUCUCAAACAAAGGAUCUCUGGUUCACGUGUACACAUGCGGUCCAUCGUAUUCCAGUGGGUAUCCCUUGACCAAGUUGGCCUACAAAACGAUGAACGGGGGACAAGUAGUACACAUAACAGACGGGUUUACUUUCAUUUCUAAAAGGGACUUGGUCUUCCAUAUUAUAUGGCGUGCAAUUUGAUUGCAGCACACUCAAUCAUCGGAGGAAAAAAGGAUCCGUUAAUGCGUCCAUUGGAAGUUGGGUUUUUAAAUCAAAACUACUGAGGUAGGCUAGGCUGUUGGGAGGCGGAUACAAUGCAUAUGAGAUGCACUAGAAGACUAGCUCCAUCUGAAACCCAUGAGAGCGUUGCAGAUACGACCUUUUCUUUUUCUUUCUCGUUUUUUGGGGGAAGAUGACAAGAGACAUGUUAGUAGUGAUAGAUACAGUGACGAGCCACGAAUUAAUUUCUAUGAAAGGGGGUUCGGAGGAUAAGCUGCUGAUUGUGUCCUCCCUUGAGUAAUUUUUAGACAAGACAAGUUUCAAAAAUUUUCAAGUAAUUUUUAGAUGUAUAUUUGGUGUACUAUAGCUAGCUGCAUGCAUGAAUGCAGGCUUAUGACCGAGCUAGAUUGGACUUACGUUAGCAAGCUUAAGCUGUAACACAGAACCACAACAAAAUUGAAAGGGCCAGGAGGGAGGCCUCAGGAGAAGUACAAGAACCGGAUGAUCGGGUGAAUGCAUAUCCAUAUAUCACUAACAAACCAGCCAGAUCCGGUUCUUCCGUUCCAAGUAACAAGUUGAGUGGCCUGCGCUUUAUAUAUUUUUUGUCAUUUACACAAUAAUGUUUGUUUUAACAUGUAAUUCUAGAAUCUCCAGCAGGUGUGAACUGCAUCUUUUUUCCUGCAACGCUCUCAUGGGUUUCGAUCUGGUUGGCACAUGUACAUGUGAUCCACCAUAUUCCAGUCCAAUACAUGUUAACCAAGUUGGCAUACAAGUAGUAGGAAUGAUAAAUGGGGGACAUGCACAUGACAGAUGAGUUUACUUCAUUUCAAAUAGGGACCUCGUUCCAAUGGAUUCCUUUACUUGGUCCUUCCAUAUUCUAUGUGUGCAAGUUGAUUGCAUCCAUCGGGAGUCGGGGGUUUUAAUGAGGCUUUAAGGUAAGACAUCGGAAGUUGGGUUGCAUCAAGUGUGCACAUGUGUACUAUGUACUCCUAUUAUUUCUAACGGCAAGUUGAUUAUGGACUGGAAUAUGUUGGAUGUGACCUGCGCUACGUACCCCCACCUGCAACCAGUUAGGUUGCCCGUAAUGGGAGUAUCAUAGGUAGUAUCAUGUAUGCCAACUAAGCACUUUUGAUGAGGUGGCAUAAGAUUAAAUAAAGAAAAAGAUGCUUGAGUAUCAUAUCAUGAUACCGUAUCGUAUUAAAUGAUGUGUUACUUUGUGUCAUGCAUUGUAAUAGAUGUAGCCCUCUAUGAUACCGACAUAUGAUACUACUAUGCAUUAUGGAUGUAGUAUCAUACACUAGUAUCAUAUGCAUGAUACUAGUAUAUGAUACACCCCAUUACAACCAGCCUUAGGGAAAAAAAGGUCCAUCUGAAACCUACGAGAGCGUUGAAGAUGAGACAUGUUAGUGAUAGAUACUGACAAACCUUGAAUUAAUUUCAACGGAAGGGGCCAUCUGAAAGUUAAGCUGCAGAUUUUGGAGCUCCACUGGGAAUGUGCUCACGAGAAUUUAGAACCAAUAGUACGCCGCUUGGCUGUGUAAUUAAGUUUGCUCCUACCUGUUCAAUACAACAAGGUACAAAGCUUUUGCAUUUUCGAGAGAGAGAAAAAGUACGCCGCGCACCCGUACUGAGGAUUGUUUUCGGCAAAGGGUAAGUUUGUUUUCGCACCUGCGUGUGAAGCAGCCGGCAGCAGUUGGUAUUGUUUGUUGUGCAUCUUGGCUGGUUUAUCUGAAUUCAGAUGUGAGACACGAAACAUUAGACUUAGGGGUAAAGAACUUUGUUUUAUAUAUCUCACACUGCUGCUACAUCAAAAUCUUACCUGCACUGGAAUCUUACAACAGACGUUUACAAUCGUUUGAACAAUGGCAAGUUAUAGUGGCUACUAUUAAACACAUCCUACUGGAUCAUGCACGCACACUGUCAGAAUGCCUGAUUUUCUUGUUUUUGCUACUGUGGCAUUGCUUCUUUGACUGCGCCAUUGAUGGCCCGGUUCAGUGCGAGAAAAGGCACAACCAAAGCGCCUACCAAGAAACAGGACUGAGACAUAAAUAUUAAGGAUAAGGAGACAGGAAAAGGGAAGUUCAAAGACCGAACAGUCAAAGAGAACCAUACCUACGAAGGAUCUUCAUUAGGUUUGUCAUUUCGGAAUUUAGAUACAAACAGAAAGAACAACUUCACUCCCACUUAAUCCAAGCAAUGCAAGCAAAAAGAAAGUCCUCGGCUUUCCCCUGGUUCUAGUCAAUCACAACUUCAGAAGACGAACUUCACUAAUUGCAUUCAAGAGGGCAAUCAAAUUAACAAUAUUUGAAGUAACAAACAUUCAGGCUGGUGAUACUAUUAUACACUUGUUGUCUAAAAUUUACUGGAAGGAACUGAAGUAGCAGUAUUCGUUGUUUUCUUUUGAGGACAGAAAAGCAGAAAUACCUCUGCUGGAUCCCUCAAGUAAUAGAAGGGAUCACUGCCUUUGCCAACUUCCUAAGCCACGGUCAUUUGCUUUCAGAGACCGUUUUCAGAUAAGCUAACUUGAUUCCUCACGAUAUGGAAGUGAUUUAUCUUCCAGGUUUUGUCAGCAGCACGGAAGAUGCAGAAGCGGCAACACCUGAAUCGCUACAGGAGAAUCCGGCAAGCGCAGAACAGGCCCGGCCCAAGAGGAGAGCCCAGGCUCCAGCAAGAUUGCGUGGCCCGGAGUGGGCCCGCUAGGCGAUACUUAUAUACGUCCGGUACCGGCACUGUAACGGGUGGCUGGCGGCUUCGGCCGAGGUACGGAUAAGAUAGUUGGCUUAUGAGCAUUGGCUGUAAUCCUUCCUCCUCCCUCAUUCAAACUCUUAUGAACACAACUGAGAUCUGAGUGAAUCCAUAGCUAAAUUCGAGAGAACUAGUUCGUGCUUACAAUUGGCAUCAGAGCCAUAGAUCCUGGCGCCACCAGUUCCCCUCCACCACCCGCACACGACGAGGUUUGCGGCGCGACGCCGCCGGGAAGUGAUGGAGAGCUUGUCACCGGCGACGAAGGCGAUGUACGAAUUCCUCAAGGCCGACUUGGCGGAUUCCCUCGACGCCCGUUUUAAGUGACAAGAUGAAGAGGCAGCGAAGUUGACGCGCUCCAUCGUGGGGGAUCUGACGACGCGCAUCGACGACCUCAAGAUGUCGAUCGGUGUGGACAUGGACGAGCUCCGCGCCGGCCUGGAACGGCCGCCGCCCGCCUCGGCGACGACUCCUACCGGACGGCCAUCAUAUCCGGAGCAAGGCGCGUACAGCAAUGCUGAUGCAACACCGGAGGGCAGCCGCAGGGCAACUUUGACCAAGGGGAAGGAUCAUGUUCCUUAUGUUCCGCCGCUGGCCAGAGGUACGAGACCAGAUCAGAGCUCUGUUUUCAGCCCACGGAUGGCAGAUUUACAACGAGAAAAUCCUGAUUCCUAUGGUUUUGGCCCUCGCAUCGACAUGCCCCGUUUCGAUGGCUCCAAUCCGAGGCUCUGGCAAACGAGAUGCGAAGAUUACUUCAACAUGAGUGGUACACCGCGGCAACUCUGGGUUCAAUUCACGUCUACUUUGUUCGAAGGGCCAGCAGCACGAUGGUUGGAGUCGGUUCAGCGUCGAGCACCAAAUGCACCGUGGGAGGAUUUCUGCAGGUUACUAUAGUGCAGAUUUGGGCGUAACCAACAUCAGGCGCUGGUACGCAAGUUCCACAACAUUAUUCAGACAGGCUCAGUGGAAGAUUACGCGGAGCAAUUUGCUGAGCUUUAUGAUCAGCUGUCUGCAUAUGAAGCCGUGCCUGAAUCAUUGCACUAUGUCACCAAAUUCAUCGAUGGUCUGAAUCCUUCUGUCAGAGUUUUAGUGGCACUACAGCAGCCGAUAGACUUGGAUGCAGCUUAUGAAUUAGCCUUGUUGCAUGAAUCCCUGACCAGCUUGAACCCUCAAUAUCAUCAAUCGAACAGGCGGGAACAUUUUUCACAACCAGCAUCCACGGUUAAGCCAGUUGCUAGCAAAACUACUGACGACUGGCGAAACAGUUCAGAUGUGCACAAACAGAAAAUGGGGGAAGAUAAGUGGGAGGCUCUGAGGUCUUACCGUAAAGCCAAGGGACUGUGUUUUAUGUGCGGAGAAAAAUGGAGCCGCGAUCAUCAAUGCAAACAAAUAGUUUCGCUUCAUGUGGUGCAGGAAAUGGUGGAAUUUUUCCAAUGCUCAACUUCAGAGGAAUCUGGAUCAGAUGAGGACGAUGAAGUCAAUUUAAUGGCCAUAUCUGAGGCAGCUGAAGGAAGGUCUUCUCGCAGUAAGGCAUUUCAGUUGACAUACAUUACAUGAACAGCAGAAAAUUUUCCUAGUGGACUCUGGUAGCACCCACUCCUUCCUGGAUACUGCUUCAGCUAACCUACUGACAGGAGUGCAGACAUGUUCAACAAUGAAGGUCAAGGUAGCUAAUGGAGAGAUAAUGAACUGCUCCAGUUUUGUUCCAAAAUGCAAAUGGUCAGUGCAUGGUGUACAGUUCGAGCAUGAUCUCAAGAUUCUGCCUCUUAGCUGUUAUGAUGGAAUAUUGGGAAUGGAUUGGUUGGUAAAACACAGCCCAAUGACUGUGGACUGGGAUCAGCAAUGGAUGUCAUUUCCCCUGCAUGGAAAAACAGUAACAAUUCAAGGGGCAACACCUGUGGAAUUUGCUUAUAGCAUCAUAGAAUUGUCUAUCAUUACUGAUGAAAAUGCUCAAACUGUUUUACCAGAAAUUCAGGAACUGUUGGAUGAGUACAAGGAUGUCUUUGCUAUUCCUAUUGGAUUACCACCAGAGAGGUCUUGUGAUCACUCUAUACCUCUUAUUCCAGGUGCAAGACCAUUUUCUCACAGACCAUACAGAUUAGCUCCAGAACUAAAGGAUGAAGUAGAAAAGCAGAUACAAGAGAUGUUAGAUUCUGGUGUAAUCAGAAGGAGUAAUAGUCCAUUUUCAUCUCCCAUCCUCUUAGUUAAAAAGAAGGACCACACCUGGAGAUUGGUGGUGGAUUAUAGGCACCUCAAUGCUCUUACAAUCAAGGGAAACUAUCCUAUGCCUGUGAUAGAUGAACUACUGGAUGAAUUGCAUGGGGCACAAUGGUUUACAAAGUUGGAUCUUAGGGCAGGAUACCAUCAAAUAAGGUUAGCCCCUGGAGAAGAAUAUAACACAACUUUUCAAACUCAUCAUGGACAUUUUGAGUUCCUAGUUGUGGGAUUUGGUCUAACAGGAGCUCCAAACACUUUCCAAGGAGCUAUUAAUGUGUCUUUGUCUGAAGAACCUGACAUGCUUAGGAAUUUUUUCAUUGCAUUCUUUGAUGACAUUCUGGUUUUCAAUAAAACAUUAAAACAACAUCUAGAGCAUGUCAGAAGGGUUUUGGAAGUUUUGAGAAGAGAUAAAUGGUAUGUAAAACUCUCCAAAUGUGAAUUUGCUUCUCAAAGGCUGCUCUACUUGGGUCACAUAAUCAGCAAGGAUGGAGUAUCCACUAACCCUGAGAAAAUAAGUACUAUUGAAUAGUGGUCGCAACCUGAAUCGGUGAAAGAGGUCAGAAGCUUUCUGGGGUUAGCUGGGUACUAUAGGAAGUUCAUUCGCCACUUUGGAAUUAUUGCCAAACCAAUGACUAACUUACUACGCAAGGGCUUUGUGUUUGUCUGGACAAGUGUGGAGAAUACAACGUUUCAAACACUGAAACAUGCCUUGGUUACUGCCCCUGUCUUGGCCUUGCCCAAUUUUCAGCAGCCAUUUACUAUAGAAACAGAUGCCAGUGAUUGUGGAAUUGGUGUUGUUUUAUCGCAGGAGGGACACCCUGUGGCAUUUGUCAGCAAGGCCUUAGGACCCAAAAAUCAGACACUAUCAGUCUACGAAAAAGAAUUCUUAGCAAUUCUGUUAGCAGUUGAACAGUGGCGCUCCUAUCUUCAGUUGAAAGAAUUCAACAUUAUCACUGAUCAAAAGGCCUUGGUCAGUCUGACAGAACAGCUUUUACAUAUAGCCUGGCAGCAAAAAGCUCUAACCAAGUUGUUUGGUCUAGAUUACAAAAUCAUUUACAGGAAGGGAACGGAAAACAAAGUCGCCGACGCUCUAUCUAGGCGCCCUCGUCUGUCAGGAGACUACUAUGCUCUGUCAGCAGUGCAACCAGCUUGGGUACAUGACAUAAUGGACAGUUAUGCUUCAGAUCCUCAUGUUACAGCAAUCAUACAGAAACUAGCAAUUGAUCCAUCAGCUGUUCCUAACUUUACCUUGCAAGGGGGUCUACUCUGUUUCAAGAAGCAACUGUGGAUUGGAUCAAAUGAGCAACUGCAACGUAAGAUCAUCGACAGUUUGCACGCUAGCUCGGCUGGGGGUCAUUCAGGUUUUCCAGUCACUUAUCGCAGAAUUUCUCAACUAUUUCACUGGAAGAAGUUGAAGCAAAUGAUCAAGGAAGUGUUGCAAUAGUGCCAAAUCUGUCAUCUUGCCAAACCCGACAGAGUACCUUACCCUGGUUUGCUGCAGCCUUUACCUAUACCUUCACAGCUUGGGAGAUGAUGACAAUGGAUUUCAUCGAAGGAUUGCCAGUUUCACAGCAUCACAAUUGCAUCUUGGUGGUGGUGGAUAAACUGACAAAAUAUGGACAUUUUAUCGCUCUCAAACAUCCUUAUUCUGCUAUCACAGUGGCCGAGUCGUUUCUGGACCGUGUGUACCGUCUCCAUGGACUUCCUGUAUCCCUGGUUUCUGAUCGUGAUCCUGUUUUUACCAGCUUAUUUUGGAAGGAGGUGUGCAACAGAACAGGUAUCAAACUGCGAAUGAGCUCGGGUCAACAUCCUCAGACUGACGGGAAAACGGAGCGUGUAAAUCAACAGGUGGAAGGGUAUCUCAGCUGUUUUAUAAGUGCCCACCCGCAUCGUUGGUUCAGUUGGCUUCCACUUUGCGAAUUGUGGUACAAUUCAAAUUGGCACUCUUCGACUGGCUGUACUCCGUUUGAACUGGUCUACGGGCAUCCACCCCGUUACUUUGGUCUGUCCCCUGUCGAUGCUGUCAGGAAUUCAGACGCAUAACAAUGGCUGCGUGACAGACAUGUCAUUAUGGAGUCAGUCAAGCAUCACUUACUGCGUAUGCAGCAGCGAAUGAAAAUUCAGGCGGAUAAACACCGGACAGAGAGAAGUUUUGAGGUGGGCGACACGGUUUUUCUCAAGAUGCAACCGUACAUUCAGUCUCUAUUGCCCCGCGCGCAAAUCACAAGCUAGCUUUCAAAUAUUUUGGUCCUUUUGAAAUCUUGGCGCGAAUCGGUGCGGUGGCUUACAAAUUGAAGUUACCGGACAACUGCAGGGUACACCCAGUUUUUCAUGUUUCCCUGCUCAAGCGUCAGGUCAAACUAGACCAACAGGUACUGCCAGUUCUUCCAUCAACAACAGCUAACCUGCAGGUUCCGGCUUGUUUUCUGGAUCGUCGACUGGUUUCACGCGGAAACAAGACAGUGGCUCAAGUGCUGGUCAAGUGGAGCCACUCUCGAGGUUCAUCGGCAACUUGGGAGGAUCAGGACAUGCUGAAGCAACAGUUCCCACGCGCACCGGCUUGGGGGAAAGUCGUUUCCUCUCCAGGGGGGAUUGUCAGCAGCACUGAAGAUGCAGCAGAGGCAACACCUGAAUCGCUACAGGAGAAUCCGACAAGCGCAGAACAGGCCCGAAGGAGAGCCCAGGCUCCAGCAAGAUUGCGUGGCCCGGAGUGGGCCUGCUAGGCAAUACUUAUAUACGUCCGGUACUGGUACUGUAACGGGUGGCUGGCAGCUUCGGCCAAGGUAUGUAGUUGGCUUAUGAGCAUUGGCUGUAAUCCUUCCUCCUCCCUCUUCAAACUCUUAUGAACACAACUGAGAUCUGAGUGAAUCCAUAGCUAAAUUCGAGAGAACUAGUUCGUGCUUACAGGGUUGCAGGUGGAUUUGUACAUGGCUUCUCUUGAAUGAAUCUUCAUCAGAUUUGCCACUUCAACAUUGAUAAGAAGAACAUCUUCAGUCUGUCCAAGCGAUUCAAGUCAAAAUUCCACAAGACAAUUCAUGAUCCACCUAUCUCUUUAAACAACUAAGCAACCAAUGACCUAUAUGCAGUUCUGCACUGCACUACACAAAAGACAAGUAACAGUAUUCCAGCUGCCACUUUCUCAGACAUUUUGGUGGUCACCUUCUGAACCCUGCCAGCAAACUGAAAGCGUCAUUCUUUCAGACCAACAAGGCAACAACAAAAGCAAUAUUCGAUCGAGAUUAUGUGAGUACAAAUUGUGUGACUCAGCCCAAGGAAAACAAAAUCCAAUAUUCCCACAAGACAACGAAUCAGAAAAUGAGAUAUCAAGGUUAGUUGGACCAAUCAGCACAAGCUACAUAAAACAUGUGGUGCUACAUACCAUGAGAUCGCUGAUGAACAAUGCGACAGUACUUGCAAAGCACAGGGUUUGGACUCCUUUUUCAUUCACAUGCAUCUUUAUGCUCAAAUGAUAUACAAUAUAUUUAGCAGCUCGAGAUUAUAUCAACAUAAUAUACUUAGCAGUAAAACAAGCUUAACAAUAACAAUGUUGUUGUAAAAAAACAGUAAAAACAUUCCUGAAAACCUUACCAAAAUGCAGAUAUUCACAAUCACAGGGUAUUUCAACACACCCACUGGUCAUCAAACCAUAGCUACGAUUCAACAGAGCAAGAUCAAAAGUUACAUAGCUACGAUUCAACAGGGUAUUACACGCCAACCAUCUCACCUUUCCCGUCCUCUCCAUCCUCUUCGUGAGUAUCAAAGACUCUGGUACUACCUUGUUCACCCUUGUAAUCCUUCUCCCGCAUCUUACUCUCUAACUCAUCAAGCAACAUCAUUAAGCCCCAUGACACCGCAUUCCUCACCAGAGCAGCCAUACCAUCAAACACUACACGUGCACUCUCCACAUUUCCGGCCUUGCCAUACAUAUCAAUGAGCGCAGUGGCAAUGACAGUGUCAGACGCGCAGCCCUCAACUUCAGCACGGGCAUGAACUUUCCGGCCAAGUCCAGCAUCAGCAAGGCGUGCGCACGCGCUGACAGCAGUCGAGAAGGUGAAGGCAUUUGGUGGCACACCUCUGUGAGACAUGUCAUAAAAGAGGGAAACAGCCAGGCGGGGUCGGCCGGCGCUAGAGUACCCGGACAUGAGUGUUGUCCAGGAGACCACGUCCCGCUCAGCCAUUCCAUCGAACAUGUCGAGGCCGUGGGCGGUAGCGCCGCAUCGGUAGUAAGCAGUGAUGAUGUGGUUGCAAGAAGAGACGGCGGAGGCAUUGCCGCCCUUGAGGAUCUUCCCGUGGGUGGCGGCUACGGACGCGUGGUCGGUGGCACCAAGCAGUAGGUGAAUCAACAGCGGUGUAACCGUGGCUGUGGUUGAUGUCCCCGGCAUGGGAGCGGAUUGUGAUCCGAAGGUUAUUGCCUUCCAUUCUCCCAAGCGAUCAUCCCACCACUGAUGCCUCUUAUUAAUACCAUAUACGAGUGUAGAAUUUGGCACAACUACAACUUCAGCUUGCAAUCCCACAAAAAGAAAGUACUUAAGAAGAACUGUUGAACAAUCAAUACAAAUCUGCAGGUAAUAUACACUACACAGGAUGUCCUUUAAUCAAAAUCAUCUAUAAUGCGAGCUAAGACGGUCCAAGGUUUCAGUUGACUAUUAAUGUGCAGCAGUGGGUUUAUUCGGCACAGUUUGGCGGUAAACCUGCGAAGGUUGCAUUCUCUUACAUCAGAGUACAACUCCAUACUGGAAACUGAAACUGGCUAAAUGACCAUCAACCUGAACAUAUUCCUACUACUAGUUAUAAGUGUUUUCUCAUUAAUGACUUGUAGCAAUCUCUAUCAAAAAAACAGGGAGAGAACUUUCAUAGCCGUUUUUGAUUGAUGUCUGUAUUCUUAAUAUGCUAAACCUGGCCAGGUUUAGUUUACCAGGUUUUUUUAAUCUUUUCUUAUCAAUAAAAAACUAACCAACUGGGUCAUGGCACAUGUUUUAGUGGGGGGUUUGAAGGGCACUACUAGGAAAAGACAUGCUAGUGACGUACCAGUUUUGCCUACUAAUGGCGCACUACUGGUGCGCCACUAGCAUCACGCCAUUAGAAUUAAAUUCUAGUGCGCCACUAGUAUCUGGUGUUCUAAUGGCGCACCUAGCAGUGCGCCAUUAGUAUAGCCCACAGUGCGCCAUUAGAAUGCCUCUCAGGGGGCCAUAUGUACCCAUGUGCUUUGGCUUACUAAUGGCGCACCAGUGGGUGAUGCGCCAUUAGUGUGAUUAUUACAGUGCGCCAUUAGUGUCUUGUGUGGUGCACCAUUAGUACUAAUAUUAGUUUUUUUUGUUUUUUUUUCUGAUUUUUUCACAGGUUACAAAAUAUAUUAUUUGACAGAAUAUAGACAGCACCACACAACAACAGCAGAUUCAUCGAAUACAAUAGAAGGUAAGUCUCCGAAUACAAUUCAUCAUAUUAGUCUUCGAAUACAAAAGACCGAACGAAGAUAGAACAUUACAAGUCUCGGAGACCGCGAGUAGCGAGUUUGUCUUCACAUUACAAGUCGAUAUCGAUCAUCUAAACUACCAUCACAUAGAAGAGAGUUGCGGUCAUCACGAUGAGCAUCAUCGCGAUGAAACUGGUCUUCACCCGGUUCCUCCAACGCUCCCUCCUCUCUCCCACUAGAUAGCGGGCGUAUCUAGAUUCCGCCUCCGCCCUAGUGGUGUACCCUUUGUAACUGUUACCGCUGAAACGGUGAACCUGUCUCCCACACUCCUCCAGUCGUCGUAGACUCCGGGAACCUUACCCUUGUACACGACAUACGACGGCAUCUCUAUGCACAAGCCAAACAACAGACAAUACAUAAGCAAUAUAUAAGUAUGCAACAAAAGGAUUGGAAGAGAAAAGCAAGACAUUAAUAGCACGAUUCAUGGUCCUACUAAUAAAUAGCAUCGAUUACAUCUAAGUUGAACGACUGUCCAAACCAAAGAGACAUACAAGUUCAUUCAAGUUUAAUUUCAACAUGAGCUAAUCGAUGUUUCAGAACUACAAAUAGCAUCACUACUUUUGACUCGACUCAUGGGACCGGAGCGUGGAUGAAGUCGCCGUCUUUCGUGAUGGUCAUGAAGUCGCGGGCGUUCUCAGCCUGCAUUUGAAGUGUUGUGUCUAUCUCACUGUUGGACGGUUGCUCUCUGAGGUAGAACUGCCCCGAGGUACGAAGGACAUCUUGAUGGAUGAUUUCUGCAAACUCCGACUAGAUGCGAAAGAAUUCUUGUCGGAGGUCCGCAUCCUGGAUUGCCGCCAAGCUUGCGGCCCAAUCUUUGACAUUAUUUGGUAGCAGAAGGUGAUUAUGGUCCCGUACGAUCGCCCUCAUGUGAUGGAGGGCGUAGUAGGCAUCCUUCUGACCGCCAGGCGGCUGCUUGACGUAGGGGAACGUCGUAUUGUGGGUGGACACGUGCCUGCCGUACCUACGAACUGGCCUCUUAAAGGUGCCUCCAGAUGUGGCGUAGCCAAGGAGAGCAUCAUCAAGAACAUUCUUGAUAUUUGUGUAGUCUAUUUUAGAGUCACGGUCCGGGUCGAAAUACGUGGCCGUGGAAUAUUUCGGGCUUAAGAGGAUGAGUGUGCAAUGUGUGUCACUGCACAGAACACGGAAUGUUAGAAAAAAAAAAGAACGAUCGAAAUCUAAGAAAUCAUAUGUUACGGGGCGGUGAGGGGAUGACUUACUCGGGAAAGUAAGGGACGAGGAAGUUAUCCUUAUCUGGGUUUGCCAGAAUGACGCCUUCGAGGUGUGAACUCGCGACUUGCUGGUCCCCAGCGCUGCCCAAGAUCUUGGCAAGCAUGUAGAAGGGGUCGACUAUCACAAUGUCCGGGGUCUUGUCUCGAAUGAUCCGCAUCUCCAUACUCAGCGAAAAUAGCCGAACAAAGGUGUAGUGCAGCGGAUGAAGAUUAAACAUAGCAAAGAUGUCAUCAAACCACAGGACGAUCGUACCCCCGAUGGCGCCAUCCACAAAGCCCUUGCCCUCUGGCACCUUGGCCACGAAAACCGGGUAUGCCGCAUCAUUCUGGGAGAGACGCAUCUUCUCCAAAGAAAGAACGCUGUCAUGCAGACUCCGCAUAGCACCGGUUGCAGCAUUGAGCAUAUUUGUCAGUAGCAUCGCCCUACCCGCCACAUGCACCCUCCUAGAGAUAUCCUAAGGUGAAGGUGGCCCGUCUUGAGCACGGAUCAUACUCGGUGCCGGCUGGCUCGCACUGGCGCCCUUGGCCAUCUUUCGUUUCCGUCCCUUCUUCUUGAUCUACUGUAAUGGGACCGAGUUCUGCUCACAAACCGCCUUCUUGAGCGUGUUGGGGCUGAUAAUAUUUCGCACCUCAGCUAUCUGAGGCUCGGUGAAGGCAGGAGCUGGAGGCGUCUCCUAAGAACUGAACGCCAGACGACGCCUGUUGCAAUUGGAUUUCUCUGCCGUACCAGCUAGAUUGUGGUCGUCUUGAUUGGGUUCUUGAGAAGGAGGCCCGCCGAACUCGUCACCGUACCCAUGUUCGGCAAAAUACUUAUCGACGUUGGUAAAUGUACCGCCGUCGUUGUCGUCGUCGUCCGGAUCCUGUGCCAUAUGCAUGUCCGGAUCCUGUGCCAUAGGGAUGUCUGGCAUGUCCGGUAGCGUUGUGGCGUUCUUGCCAUGGCGCGGCGCCGGCACGACUUGCGGUCUUGUCUGUGGGGCGGUGUCCCCCGCCCCCAAACGAAUCUGGCUCUUCGGCCAAAGCAGGGGCCAGCUUAGGCAGGCGCUGAGGGUCAUCAGAUCUUCUUCGUUGGCCCCGGCAUGUUGAAUCGAAGGUAACAACUCGUCGUAGCCUGGCAGCACCUGAACUAGUUGAACCCUAUACACGGUGGGUGGCAUCAGUUUAUCGUGGAACACGGGGUUUCCCGGUUGAACGAUUUUGCCCUUGGUGACAUCGACCAACUCGUCGUUCACGAAGUGCAGGAGAGUGCACAGAACGUCGGCGGCGCCCUGCGAAAACAUGUAGGGCGUCAGGGAUGCCCAGUCAAAGGCAAAAGGAGAUGAAGUCCUCGGCCGAGAGGCUUAAUUAGUUACCGUGAUGAUGGCGUCGAGCUCGGCUAAUGUCGAGGCACCGCCAACGGCGGGCGUGCAACUGAGGGAGGGGCCGCUUGCUGGUGAGGUGCCGGCCGGCGUACACACAGGCGCAUUAAGCUCCAAUGCCCGUGCCGGCACCGGAGACACCAAUACCGCCGCCGCCAGAGACACCAAUGGCGCCGCCUGCGCGUUGUGCGAGUUGCUGGCCUGAAGCUGGGAAUCGGGGGCGGCCCCCGUUGGCCACCUUCAAUCCACGUCGUCAGCCCAUGAAUCAAGGUAGGCAUAAUGCUGGUGAGCGUCGUUCCCAGUUGUUGUUACACUUGCUCUUGGAUAAUCUCCGAAAUCUGCGCCACUUGUGCCUUGAGUUCUUCAACCUCGCACGACUGGCUUUCCGAGCUGGUCUUUUUCUCCUUUCGCCCACCAGCGGUAUAGUAUGACGACCAUUUUGUGGACAAGCCUUUGCCGGCCACACGACCAGCUGACGACGACUUACUGAGAUUAUCCUUGUUUUUCAUUAUGUUCAACACCCUAUUUAGAGUGCUGUACCAAGCAGGGGUGCUCUGAGACGACCCCGCGCUACUGCUUUCAGUCUCCUUCGCCAGAACAAGCUCAAGCACCCUGGUCUUCGGAUCCGUGGUAAGCUCCUUUGUUAUUGGGUCCUUCUUGUACCGGGCCUGACAAAGUUCCUGGUCUGCUUGUCACUGCUGUAUUUCUCGAAGCGGGGCGGUAGGCCUUGCUCGGCACGCUCCGCGUCCUCCUUGUCCCAUAUAGGCUCCGCCACUCUGUAACUGCCGGGACCGAGUUUGUGUUCCCCUAAGUUCAACUCCUGCAUUUCUUUCCCCCACUGACUUGAUUCGGAGGUUACACUGCUCUCGCACUUGAUCUUGAACUCCUUGUAGUCAUCUUCGCUGAUCGAAGGAUUUUUUUGCCUUGAUCUUCUCAUAACUAUCAGAUUUCUCAAUCAUUCUCUUCACCGCGCUUCUCCAAGUAGACAGGGCCGUGCUCAUCCUUGUGAGGGCGGCACUGUUCACUUUAUUCCCUAAGAGGCGUGUGUUUUCAAAUUCAGCGGGGAACUUGUAUAGUUCAUGCAGCUUCGUGAAGAGGAGGUUGUGCAAAUUCCCUCGGUCCUUAUGCCUAAGGUUCUCGGUGUUGAUCAAGACAGUGCUCCGGAGAAUGCACCCCAGCUGAACCGAGUACCCCUUGACUAUAUGUUUGGGCUCCGUUGGAUGCCCGUCAGAGUCCACUUGAGUAAAUUCCUCCUUGAGGGUGCGGAGCACAUUCGGGCGCCGGUCCUUCCGUUGCUUCUUCGGUUGGCUGCCAUCUGUGCGUGCGCCGCCAUCAUCAAUGGUGGCAUCCUCGGCGGCACCAUCAGUGGUGUCAUCCCCGACGCCACUAGGGGUUGUGUAGUCAGGAUCGGUGUCUUCCACGGCGUCCUCAUAGCGGUGAGGUUGUUCCUCCAUCUCCUGGGACAGCUCCCAAAAUUGCUUGCCGCCCGAACCGCCGGCCUCAUUGUUGUUGGCCAUGUUUCGCUCUAAAUAGGAAAAAAGUUUGGUCAAAAAGUUGGUUAUUAUCAAGGAACAAUAUCAUGGUCUCAUCAUUUAGGGUUUGUCGACACCGAGGCAUCCUAAAAGCUAAGCUUUAAUCAUUUAGGGUUUGUCGACGCCGAGGCACCCUAAAAGCCUAAGUGUACAUCAUUUAGGUUCUCAUCGACACCGAGGCACCCUAUAGAAGCCAAGGUUUCAUCAUUUAGGGUUUGUCGACGCCGAGGCACCCUAAAUGCUAAGUUAAGUUUUCAUCAUUUAGGGUUUAUCGAUCCAGAGGUACCCUAGGUUGGGCGUAAUCACUUGGCUCUAUUGCCACCUAUGUUGGGUUUAUCAUCUAGGGUUUAUCGAUGCUAAGGAGAAUUCUAAGUUGGGCCUAAUCACUUGGCUCUAUUGCCACCUAUGGUUUAAUGCAGCAAGAAUGGCAGGGCAGUUGAUCCUACUUAACUAAGUACUAAGAUACCCCGGCCCAUGCAUAGUCGCAAGUACCCCAUAUGUCCUAUUUUUAGCAAACACGGAAAAUUUCAGCAUGACCUUUGCUGAAAAUAGGACAUAUGGAGUACCUGAAUUUGCCGGAACGGAAGUUAAUCGACAUUCCAGCAAACUCAAGGGCCUCUCGGGGUACCUGUAAAUUCAUCACGACACAAUGGUCGGAGACAAAACCCAACAACUUUACAAGUCUUUCAUAGAUUUGUUUGCAAGUUCUGAUAUGUAAUAAAGAUGAGCCUCAAAGAUGAGCCUCCAAUGCUGAUUUGUUUGCCUCAAGACAAGAUGAACCUCCAAUGCAACAAGUAAUAAAAUGUUCAACAAUGUAUCAGAUUCGGCAACAGUUUAACAUCUACUCCAGUAAUUAUACAACACCAUGACCAACAUUUCUCCUCUCCAGAAAUUAGAAACAAAAUAGAGGAACAUUACAUAGUACCCAUCAAAUUAAAAUAACAUAUACAGUACAUAGAGGUAGGUAAUACUAAAGCAUGUUCAUAUUAGCUAGUGACCAUUAUAUUGCUUUAGGUUAGGGCCAUUGCAUUAUUCUCUCUCUAUCCCUUUCUUUAGCUGCACUGCAUCACAAGGCAAAUAUGGUUCAAAAUAAAAUACUGCUGAAUAAGCACCUAGCAGAAUACUAAAAUAAGCUUAAAAAAUGCAUACAACUUGACAUACAAACACAGACAGUUAUGCAAGUGCUAGAGGUAUGCAUAUAUAUAUAUGUGAACUUGAUCCUGAACUAGAGGUACACAUGUUUGCUUACUCAUCUGUGCAAUUACUCGUGCUUAUUUGCAUUGUGCUAUAUAUGAAUCCACACUGACUCGAGCCUGAAUUAAUCAAUCAAUGAUGCUCACAAAUACUCCCACACUCCCAUAAUAGUACUAAUAUAAGAGCAUUUAUAUUAUUGGAAUGAAGGGAUAAUUUUUUUUCUUUCAAGAAAACACAAACCCUAACAACACAUUACGAGCACCUUCAAGAGAUUGAACCAACCCGACAUCCACAAACACCUCCUACUCAACACAUAGACACAGACCAAGGAAGAAACAUAACCAUUCUUCUUUUUUAUUUCUUUGUUGUUAAUAAUAAAAGAAACUACAAGAGAAAGGAAGGAACAAGUCUUAUUUUGUACUGUCACACAAGAAACCCUCUUUCUUUCUUUCUUCCCUUCUUGUUAAUUUAAUUUUACUGCACCAUCUACUAACCUCCUCCAACUUUACUACCACUACAUCCCUCUCAAGGACAUCUAUGUACUGCUUAUAAAGCAUCACAUGCUGAUGCUAUGUUUCAUUUGCCCCAUCUCCCAUCUCUGCUCUUAUAUUAAGUAAAUGCCCAGAUGCCUUACAUUUAUCUCUGCGGGAGUUUUUCUUUUCUAAUAAUAUCAUCUAUACAUGUUACUUAGUUACUAAACCUAUGUAACUCUUCUUCCAAAGAAUCUUUGCAUCGAGUCAAUGAACAUCAUAUUUGAAGUGCGGUUUAACUUAGUCACUUAAAACUAUCUGAUCCACAACUAACAACCAAAGUCAUGUUCAGUUAUAGUGCUUAAAUAUGAUUUUGGUGUGUGUGAAAACAAUACAGUAUUAUAUUUCUAUUGAAUGCAUGAGUAUGAUGUAUCACACAUCUACAUGUCUAGGCUUUUUUAGUUUUUUUUCCGGAUGGAAACCAGAAGCAUCACUGUCCUUGACUAGAAUCACCAUGGCCAGAUUAAAGACUGCAAGCUGGCAAGUUCUUCCUUUCGAUUUCUCAAUCUUAGCUAGCAGAGGAGGAAGAGAGGAGAAGAGAGGCAGAGGGAGGAGGGUUACCUGGCGGCAGUGGGGUGUUGAAGACCUGGCAGCGAGGUUCCUCCUCUCGGUGGCGGUGGGGCUCCUCCCCUCGGUGGCGGCGGUGGCCUCUUCCCCUCGGCGGCGGCGGCGGGGCUCCUCCUCUCCUUGUGGAGGCGGGGCGUUGAUCCGGCGGCGGCCCUGGAACCCUAGCGCUGGCCCUGCUAGUCGGAGCGGGCGCGGCGGUCGUCAGAGCGGGGGAGGCGGUGGGGGUGCGGGGGCGCGGGGGCAGCGGCGGCGGGGGUGGAGUCCCGCGGGGUUCGGGGCGGCGGAGUCGGGGCAGCGCAAGACCACAGCAGCGGCGGCGUCGCAUACGGCGUGCAGGCGCGGCGGACGGAGGGGGCGGAGCAAGGGGGCGGCGGCGUACAGUUGUCGAGUGUGGGAUCUGGCGAGGGAGGGAGGGAGGCCACAGUGCGAGGGGAAUAGGUGGAGUGGGGGGAGGAUUCUAAUGGCGCACCUCCCCCUAGUGCGCCAUAAGUACGAUGAUUCUAAUGGCGCACCUCCCCCAGGUGCGCCAUUAGAAUUUUGUUUUAGUUAGCCCGACUGGUGAGGUUAUAUUCCACCUAACACUAUCACCAUCAGAACACGUCCACUAGCCCGACUGGUCAGCACGCAUCACACACACUAGGAGGUCCUGGGUUCAAUUCCCAGGCUCCCCAAUUUUUGUUUUUAUGCAUUUAAAAUGAUGUUUGAUAUUUAUUUGUGUUUAAAUAUGUUCAAACUUGUUUAAAUCAUAACAGUAAUAUUUUUUAAUAAAAACAGUAAUAAUUUUUUAAAAAAUAUCAUCAAAUUUGUUAUUUGAAAAUAUUUAUGAAUAUGAAAAAUAUCAUCAAAUUUAUUAUUUGAAAAUAUCAUCAAAUUUGUUAUUUGAAAAUAUAAUCAGAUUUGUAUUUUUUUUGCAAUUUUAGUUGCAUUCAUUUGUGACGGUGGAGCGGGCUGGGGAGGGUGCGNNNNNNNNNNNNNNNNNNNNNNNNNNNNNNNNNNNNNNNNNNNNNNNNNNNNNNNNNNNNNNNNNNNNNNNNNNNNNNNNNNNNNNNNNNNNNNNNNNNNNNNNNNNNNNNNNNNNNNNNNNNNNNNNNNNNNNNNNNNNNNNNNNNNNNNNNNNNNNNNNNNNNNNNNNNNNNNNNNNNNNNNNNNNNNNNNNNNNNNNNNNNNNNNNNNNNNNNNNNNNNNNNNNNNNNNNNNNNNNNNNNNNNNNNNNNNNNNNNNNNNNNNNNNNNNNNNNNNNNNNNNNNNNNNNNNNNNNNNNNNNNNNNNNNNNNNNNNNNNNNNNNNNNNNNNNNNNNNNNNNNNNNNNNNNNNNNNNNNNNGGGGGAACGUGCGGUGGGUCAUCGGCGACGGUGGAGUGGGGGAGGGUGCAGCCGGUGGACGGGGUGCGGUGGGUCGUCGGCGGCGGUGGAGUGGGGGAGGGUGCGGGGGGUCGGCGGCGGCGGCCGGUUGAGCGGGGGAGAUGGUGCUGAAGGAAAUAUGCCCUAGAGGCAAUAAUAAAGUUAUUAUUUAUUUCCUUAUAUCAUGAUAAAUGUUUAUUAUUCAUGCUAGAAUUGUAUUAACCGAAAACAUAAUACAUGUGUGAAUACAUAGACAAACAUAGUGUCACUAGUAUGCCUCUACUUGACUAGCUCGUUUAUUAAAGAUGGUAAUGUUUCCUAGCCAUGGACAAAUGAGUUGUCAUUUGAUUAACGGGAUCACAUCAUUAGAAGAAUGAUGUGAUUGACUUGACCCAUUCUGUUAGCUUAGCACUUGAUCGUUUAGUAUGUUGCUAUUGCUUUCUUCAUGACUUAUACAUGUUCCUAUGACUAUGAGAUUAUGCAACUCCCGUUUACCGGAGGAACACUUUGGGUGCUACCAAACGUCACAAUGUAACUGGGUGAUUAUAAAGGAGUACUAUAGGUGUCUCCGAAGGUACAUGUUGGGUUGGCGUAUUUUGAGAUUAGGAUUUGUCACUCCGAUUGUCUGAGAGGUAUCUCUGGGCCCUCUCGGUAAUGCACACCACUAUAAGCCUUGCAAGCAAUGUAGCUAAUGAGUUAGUUACGGAAUGAUGCAUUAUGUACUGAGUAAAGAGACUUGCCGGUAACGAGAUUAAACUAGAUAUUGGAUACCGACGAUCGAAUCUCGGGCAAGUAACAUGCCGAUGACAAAGGGAACAAAGUAUGUUGUUAUGCGGUUUGACCGAUAAAGAUCUUCGUAGAAUAUGUAGGAGCCAAUAUGGGCAUCCAGGUUCUGCUAUUGGUUAUUGACCAAGAAUAGUUCUAGGUCAUGUCUACAUAGUUCUCGAACCCGUAGGGUCCGCACGCUUAAGGUUUUGAUGACAGUUAUAUUAUGAGUUUAUGAGUUUUGAUGUACCGAAGGAGUUUGGAGUCCCGGAUGAGAUCGGGGACAUGACGAGGAGUCUCAAAAUGGUUGAGACGUAAAGAUCGAUAUAUUGGACGACUAUAUUCGGAGUUCGGAAAGGUUCCGAGUGAUUCGCGUAUUUUUCGGAGUACCAGAGAGUUACGGGAAUUCGCCGGGGAGUAUAUGGGCCUUAUUGGGCCAUACGGGAAUAGAGGAGAGAGGCCGAAAGGAAGGAGGCGCGCAGCCCCCCUCUGGUCCGAAUUGGACAAGGGGUGCGGCCCCCUUUUCCUUCCUCCUCUCCCCCUCUUUCCCCUUCUCCUACUCCAACAAGAAAGGAGGGAGUCCUACUCCCGGUGGGAGUAGGACUCCCCUUGGCGCGCCCCUACUAGGCCGGCCGCCCCCUCCCCCCUUGCUCCUUUAUAUACGGGGACAGGGGCACCUCUAGAGAGAACAACAAUUGAUCCCUUGGAUCUCUUAGCCGUGUGCAGUGCCCCCUCCACCAUAAUCCACCUCAAUAGUAUCGUAGCGGUGCUUAGGCGAAGCCCUGCGUUAGUAGUACAUCAAGAUCGUCACCACGCCGUCGUGCUGACGGAACUCUCCCUCGACACUCGGCUGAAUCGGAGUUCGAGGGACGUCAUCGAGCUGAACGUGUGCUAGAACUCGGAGGUGCCAUAGUUUCGGUGCUUGAUCGGUCAGGCCGUGAAGACGUACGACUACAUCAACCGCGUUGUUCUAACGCUUCCGCUUACGGUCUACGAGGGUACAUGGACAACACUCUUCCCUCUCGUUGCUAUGCCAUCACCAUGAUCUUGCGUGUACAUAGAAAUUUUUUUGAAAUUACUACGUUCCCCAACAGUAGUAUCAGAGCCUAGGUUUUAUGCGUUGAUGUUAUAUGCACGAGUAGAACACAAGUGAGUUGUGGGCGAUACAACUCAUACUGCUUACCAGCAUAUCAUACUUUGGUUCGGCGGUAUUGUGAGAUGAAGCGGUCCGGACCGACAUUACGCGUACGCUUACGCGAGACUGGUUUCACCAUUACGAGCACUCGUGCUUAAAGGUGGCUGGCGGGUGUCUGUCUCUCUCACUUUAGCUGAAUCGAGUGUGGCUACGCCCGGUCCUUGUGAAGGUUAAAACAGCACCAACUUGACAAACUAUCAUUGUGGUUUUUAUGCGUAGGUAAGAACGGUUCUUGCUAAGCCCGUAGCAGCCACGUAAAAUUUGCAACAACAAAGUAGAGGACGUCUAACUUGUUUUUGCAGGGCAUGUUGUGAUGUGAUAUGGUCAAGACGUGAUGCUAUAUUUUAUUGUAUGAGAUGAUCAUGUUUUGUAACCGAAGUUAUCGGCAACUGGCAGGAGCCAUAUGGUUGUCGCUUUAUUGUAUGAAAUGCAAACGCCCUGUAAUUGCUUUACUUUAUCUCUAAGCGGUAGCGAUAGUCGUAGAAGCAAUAGAUGGCGUAACGACAACGAUGCUACGAUGGAGAUCAAGGUGUCGCGCCGGUGACGAUGGUGAUCACGACGGUGCUUCGAAGAUGGAGAUCACAAGCACAAGAUGAUGAUGGUCAUAUCAUAUCACUUAUAUUGAUUGCAUGUGAUGUUUAUCCUUUAUGCAUCUUAUCUUGCUUUGAUUGAUGGUAGCAUUUUAAGAUGAUCUCUCACUAAUUAUCAAGAAGUGUUCUCCCUGAGUAUGCACCGUUGCGAAAGUUCUUCGUGCUGAGACACCACGUGAUGAUCGGGUGUGAUAGGCUCUACGUGCAAAUACAACGGGUGCAAAACAGUUGCACACGCGGAAUACUCGGGUUAAACUUGACGAGCCUAGCAUAUACAGAUAUGGCCUCGGAACACGGAGACCGAAAGGUCGAGCGUGAAUCAUAUAGUAGAUAUGAUCAACAUAAUGAUGUUCACCAUUGAAACUACUCCAUCUCACGUGAUGAUCGGACAUGGUUUAGUUGAUUUGGAUCACGUGAUCACUUAGAGGAUUAGAGGGAUGUCUAUCUAAGUGGGACUUCUUAAGUAAUAUGAUUAAUUGAACUUAAAUUUAAUCAUGAACUUAGUCCUGGUAGUAUUUUGCAAAUUAUGUUGUAGAUCAAUAGCUUGCAUUGUUGCUUUCAUAUGUUUAUUUUGAUAUGUUCCUAGAGAAAAUUGUGUUGAAAGAUGUUAGUAGCAAUGAUGCGGAUUGGAUCCGUGAUCUGAGGUUUAUCCUCAUUGCUGCAUAGAAGAAUUAUGUCCUUAAUGCACCGCUAGGUGACAGACCUAUUGCAGGAGCAGAUGCAGACGUUAUGAACGUUUGGCUAGCUCAAUAUGAUGACUACUUGAUAGUUUAGUGCACCAUGCUUAACGGCUUAGAAUCGGGACUUCAAAGAUGUUUUGAACGUCAUGGACCAUAUGAGAUGUUCCAGGAAUUGAAGUUAAUAUUUCAAGCAAAUACCCGAGUUGAGAGAUAUGAAGUCUCCAACAAGUUCUAUUGCUAAAAGAUGGAGGAGAAUCGCUCAACUAGUGAGCAUGUGCUCAGAUUGUCUGAGUACUUCAAUCGCUUGAAUCAAGUGGGAGUUAAUCUUCCAGAUAAGAUAGUGAUUGACAUAAUUCUCUAGUCACCAUCACCAAGUUAGUAGAACUUUGUGAUGAACUAUAGUAUGCAAGGGAUGACGAAAACGAUUCCAAGCUCUUCGUGAUGUUGAAAUCAACGAAGGUAGAAAUCAAGAAAGAGCAUCAAGUGUUGAUGAUUGACAAGAUCACUAGUUUCAAGAAAAAGGCAAAGGGAAAGAAAGGGAAACUUCAAGUAGAAUGGCAAACAAGUUGUCACUCCCGUGAAGAAGACCAAAGCUGGACCAAAGCCUGAAACUGAGUGCUUACACUGCAAAGGAAAUGGUCACUGGAAACGGAAAUACCCUGAAUAUUUGGUGGAUAAGAAGGAUGGCAAAGUGAACAAGGGUAUAUUUGAUAUACAGGUUAUUGAUGUGUACCUUACUAGUGUUUAUAGUAGCCCCUGAGUAUUUGAUACUUGUUCAGUUGCUAAGAUUAGUAACUCGAAACAGGAGUUAUAUAAAUAGAGACUGGUUGAAGGGGAAGUGACGAUGAGUGUUGGAAGUGGUUCCAAGAUUGAUAUGAUCAUCAUCGCACACUCCCUAUACUUUCGGGAUUAGUGUUGAACCUGAAUAAAUGUUAUUUGGCGUUUGCGUUGAGCAUGAAUAUGACUUGAUCAUGUUUAUUGCAAUACGGUUAUUCAUUUAAAAUCAGAGAAUAAUUGUUGUUCUGUUUAAAUGAAUAAAACAUUUGAUGGUCAUACACCCAAUGAAAAUAGUUUGUUGGAUCUCGAUCGUAGUGAUACACAUAUUCAUAAUAUUGAUGCCAAAAGAUGCAAAGUUGAUAAUGAUAAGUGCAACUUAUUUGUGGCACUGCCGUUUGGGUCAUAUCGGUGUAAAGCGCAUGAAGAAACUCCAUAAAGAUGGAUUUUCGGAAUCACAUGGUUAUGAAUCAUUUGAUGCUUGCGAACCAUGCCUUUUGGGCAAGAUGACUAAAACUCCGUUCUCCGGAACAAUGGAACAAGCUACUGACUUAUUGGAAAUAAUACAUACCGAUGUAUGCGAUCCAAUGAGUGUUGAUGCUCGUGGCAAGUAUCGUUAUUUUCUGACCUUCACAAAAUGAUUUGAGCAGAUAUGGGUAUAUCUACUUGAUGAAACAUAAGUCUGAAAUAGUUGAAAGGUUCAAACAAUUUCAGAGUGAAGUGGAAAAUCAUCGUAACAAGAAAAUAAAGUUUCUGCGAUCUGAUCGUGGAGAUGAAUAUUUGAGUUACGAGUUUGGUCUUCAAUUAAAACAAUGUGGAAUAGUUUCACAAACUCACGCCACCUGGAACACCACAAUGUAAUGGUGUGUCCGAAAGUUGUAAUCGUACUUUACUAGAUAUGGUGCGAUCUAUGAUAUCUCUUAUCAGUUUACCACUAUCGUUUUGGGGUUAUGCAUUAGAGACAGCUGCAUUCACGUUUAAUAGGGCACCAUCUAAAUCCGUUGAGACGACACCAUAUGAACUAUGGUUUAGCAGUAAACCUAAGCUGUCGUUUCUUAAAGUUUGGAGUUGCGAUGCUUAUAUGAAAAAGGUUUUCAACUUGAUAAGCUCGAACCCAAAGCGGAGAAGUGCGUCUUCAUAGAAUACCCAAAGGAAACUGUUGGGUACACCUUCUAUCACAGAUCCGAAGGCAAAACAUCCGUUGCCAAGAAUGGAUCCUUUCUAGAGAAGAAGUUUCUCUCGAAAGAAGUGAGUGGAAGGAAAGUAGAACUUGAUGAGGUAAUUGUACCUACUCCCUUAUUGGAAAUUAGUUCAUCACAGAAAUCUAUUCCUGUGACUACUACACCAAUUAGUGAGGAAGUUAAUGAUGAUGAUCAUGAAACUUCAGAUUAAGUUACUACAGAACCUCGUAGGUCUUAUAGAGUAAGAUCCGCACCAGAGUGGUACGGUAAUCCUGUUCUGGAAGUUAUGUUACUAGACCAUGACGAACCUACGAACUAUGAAGAAGUGAUGGUGAGCCCAGAUUCCGCAAAAUGGCUUGAGGCCAUAAAAUCUGAGAUAUGAUUCAUGUAUGAGAACAAAGUAUGGACUUUGAUUGACUUGCUCAAUGAUCAGCAAGCCAUGUUAAAUAAAUGGAUCUUCAAGAGGAAGACGGACACUGAUAGUAGUGUUACUAUCUACAAAGCUUGACUUGUUGCAAAAGGUUUUCGAAAAGUUUAAGGUGUUGAAUACGAUGAGAUUUUCUCGCUCGUAACGAUGCUUAAGUCUGUCCGAAUCAUGUUAGCAAUUGCCACAUUUUAUGAAAUCUGGCAAAUGGAUGUCAAAACUGCAUUCCUUAAUGGAUUUAUUAAAGAAGAGUUGCAUAUGAUGCAACCAGAAAGUUUUUGUCAAUCCUAAAGAUGCUAACAAAGUGUGCAAGCUCCAGUAAUCCAUCAAUAGACUGGUGCAAGCAUCUCGGAGUUGGAAUAUACAUUUUGAUGAGUUGAUCAAAGCAUUUGGUUUUAUACAGACUGUUGGAAAGAACUGUAUUUACAAGAAAGUGAGUGGGAGCACUACAGCAUUUCUAAUAAGUAUAUGUGAAUGACAUAUUAUUAAUUGGAAAUGAUGUAGAAUUUUCUGGAAAGCAUAAAGGAGUGUUUGAAAGGAGUUUUUUCAAAGAAAGACCUCGGUAAAGCUGCUUACACAUUGAGCAUCAAGAUCUAUAUAGAUAGAUCAAGACGCUUGAUAAGUUUUUCAAUGAGUACAUGCCUUGAUAAAUUUUUUGAAGUAGUUCAAAAUGGAACAGUCAAAGAAAGAGUUCUUGCCUAUGUUGCAAGGUGUGAAGUUGAGUAAGACUCAAAAAGAAAACCCGACUAUGGCAGAAAAUAGAAAGAGAAUGAAAAGUCAUUCCCUAUGCCUCAGUCAUAGGUUCUAUAAAGUAUGAUAUGCUGUGAACCAGACCUAUUGUAUACCUUGCUCUGUGUUUGGCAAAGGAAUACAAUUUUGAUCUAAUAAUAGAUCACUGGACAGCGGUCAAGAAUAUCCUUAGUGAGGACUAAGGAGAUGUUUCUCGAUUAUGGAGGUGAUAAAAGAAUUCGUCGUAAAAGUUACAUCGGUGCAAACUUUUACACUGAUCCAGAUGACUCUAAGUCUCAAUCUGGAUACAUAUUGAAAGUGGGAGCAAUUAGCUAGAGUAUCUCCGUGCAGAGCAUUGUAGACAUAGAAUAUUUGUAAAAUACAUACGGCUCUGAAUGUGACAGACCUGUUGACUAAACUCCUCUCACGAGCAAAACAUGAUCAUACCUUAGUACUCUUUUGGGUGUUAAUCACAUAGCGAUGUGAACUAGAUUAUUGACUCUAGUAAACCCUUUGGGUGUUGAUCACAUGACGAUGUGAACUAUGGGUGUUAAUCUCAUACAGAUGUGAAUAUUGGUGUUGAAUCACAUGAUGAUGUGAACUAGAUUAUUGACUCUAGUGCAAGUGGGAGACUGAAGGAAAUAUGCCCUAGAGGCAAUAAUAAAGUUAUUAUUUAUUUCCUUAUAUCAUGAUAAAAUGUUUAUUAUUCAUGCUAGAAUUGUAUUAACCGGAAACAUAAUACAUGUGUGAAUACAUAGACAAACAUAGUGUCACUAGUAUGCCUCUACUUGACUAGCUCGUUUAUUAAAGAUGGUUAUGUUUCCUAGCCAUGGACAAAUGAGUUGUCAUUUGAUUAACGGGAUCACAUCAUUAGAAGAAUGAUGUGAUUGACUUGACCCAUUCUGUUAGCUUAGCACUUGAUCGUUUAGUAUGUUGCUAUUGCUUUCUUCAUGACUUAUACAUGUUCCUAUGACUAUGAGAUUAUGCAACUCCCGUUUACCGGAGGAACACUUUGGGUGCUACCAAACGUCACAACGUAACUGGGUGAUUAUAAAGGAGUACUACAGGUGUCUCCGAAGGUACAUGUUGGGUUGGCGUAUUUCGAGAUUAGCAUUUGUCACUCCGAUUGUCGGAGAGGUAUCUCUGGGCCCUCUCGGUAAUGCACAUCACUAUAAGCCUUGCAAGCAAUGUAGCUAAUGAGUUAGUUACGGAAUGAUGCAUUACGUAACGAGUAAAGAGACUUGCCGGUAACGAGAUUGAACUAGGUAUUGGAUACCGACAAUCGAAUCUCGGGCAAGUAACAUGCCGAUGACAAAGGGAACAAAGUAUGUUGUUAUGUGGUUUGACCGAUAAAGAUCUUCGUAGAAUAUGUAGGAGUCAAUAUGGGCAUCCAGGUUCCGGUAUUGGUUAUUGACCAAGAAUAGUUCUAGGUCAUGUCUACAUAGUUCUCGAACCCGUAGGGUCCGCACGCUUAAGGGUUCGAUGACAGUUAUAUUAUGAGUUUAUGAGUUUUGAUGUAUCGAAGGAGUUCGGAGUCCCGGAUGAGAUCGGGGACAUGACGAGGAGUCUCGAAAUGGUCGAGACGUAAAGAUCGAUAUAUUGGACGACUAUAUUCGGAGUUCGGAAAGGUUCCGAGUGAUUCGGGUAUUUUUAGGAGUACCGGAGAGUUACGGGAAUUCGCCGGGGAGUAUAUGGGCCUUAUUGGGCCAUACGGGAAUAGAGGAGAGAGGCCGAAAGGAAGGAGGGGCGCAGCCCCCCUCUGGUCCGAAUUGGAAUAGGGGUGCGGCCCCCUUUUCCUUCCUCCUCUCCCCCUCUUUCCCCUUCUCCUACUCCAACAAGGAAGGAUGGGAGUAGGACUCCCCUUGGCGUGCCCCUACUAGGCCGGCCGCCCCCUCCCCCCUUGCUCCUUUAUAUACGGGGGCAGGGGGAACCUCUAGAGAGAACAACAAUUGAUCCCUUGGAUCUCUUAGCCGUGUGCGGUGGCCCCCUCCACCAUAAUCCACCUCGGUAAUAUCGUAGCAGUGCUUAGGCGAAGCCCUGCGUCGGUAGUACAUCAAGAUCAUCACCACGCCGUCGUGCUGACGGAACUCUCCCUCGACACUCGGCUGGAUCGGAGUUCAAGGGACGUCAUCAAGCUGAACGUGUGCUAGAACUCGGAGGUGCCGUAGUUUCAGUGCUUGAUCGGUCAGGCCGUGAAGACGUACGACUACAUCAACCACGUUGUUCUAACGCUUUCGCUUACGGUCUACGAGGGUACGUGGACAACACUCUCCCCUCUCGUUGCUAUGCCAUCACCAUGAUCUUGCGUGUACGUAGGAAAUUUUUUGAAAUUACUACGUUCCCCAACAGGUGCGGGGGGGGUGCUCGGCUGCAAGGCGGACCGGAUCUGGCGAGGUGGGAUAGAGAUCGAGAUGGAGGGGGAUCGAGAUCGAGUGUCCAUGAAAUUUAAAAACAUUCAUGAGUUCAAAAAGUGCCCAUGAAAUACAAUCGAGAAAUGAAGGCUACAAUUUAAAUACAAUCGAUCUCAGCUAGCUAUCUGUUCACAAUCUUCUUGCCCUUAUUUUUCGUAAAUGGAGUUCUUCUCUUGAACGGACGUCCUUUAGGUAGGGUGGUCCUGCUUCUUCUUGUGGUGUAUGCUGAUACUUCAUCAUCGUCGUCAUGUUCCAUCUUUGGGUCGCCAUACUUGUCGAAGUCUUGCUCAUUGGCGACUCCAUCCAUUCUGAUGAUCUUCCUUUUGCCUCUCCUCACGACAACACGACUGGGCUUUGGCGGGUCGGUAAUGAAGAAGCAUUGGUCCACUUGGGAAGCUAGUACCCAUGGCUCAUUUUUCGCGGUGACGUUUGCGCCCGCGGUCUUGGAUUUGGCUUCGGGUAUAACCAUGGUGGUGAAAUACCGGUCUUCUUUUAUGAUGCUCUUGGCCCAUCUGACACGGAACAUCGGGACCUUCUCUCCAGCUAGCUCAGCUCCCAGAUCUCCUCGAUCCUUCCGUAGUAUCUGUCCUUGUCGUUACCAGUGUAGGAUUCCAUCGUUACCCGGAGUUCUGAUAACCAUCUCUCUUCAUGUCCUUGUCCUCGGUGUAGAUAGCCGUUGAUAUCGUAUGCCUCAUAGGUCAUCAAGUUGUGCCCGGCGCCCUGUGACAAGGCGAAUAUGAGUUGUUCUUCCGCGAAAGAAUCCUCAUGUAAAGGGCACGACAGAAGCUUCUGCUUGAACCAACGCGUGAAACAUGAGUUGUGCUCUUUGAUUAUAUCUCCGUCCGUCCUCUGUUGGCCUCGGUCAUUGUACAUCUUCUCAAUAAAGGUUUUGUGCUCUACCACCCAAGGAUCGACCACGUCUAUGUGUUGUAGCGCGACUAGGUUUGCUCUUUCAAAGUCGGCGUGUCGACCCUCGAAGUCGACAUGCAUUUCACGGCGACCCUCACGGUGACCCCAUCCAGCGAGCCUGCCGAGGUGCCUGUUGACGGGCAGACCAACAGGGUCCUCGAUGCCUAGAUAAUUCGUGCAGUAGGAGAUGCACUCUUCGGUCAGAAAGCCCCUGGCUAUGCUUCCCUCUGGACAUGACAUGUUGCGAACGUAUCCUUUGAUGACACCAUUCAUCCUUUCGAAUGGCAUCAUGAUGUGCAGGAACGUCGACCCGAGUUGGAUGAUAUACUCCACGAUAUGGACCAGCAGAUGCACCAUAACGUCGAAGAAUGCGGGCGGGAAGUACAUCUCAAGCUCGCAUAGUAUCACCACGAUCUCUUCCUGUAGCCUUCUGAGUUGCCUCACGCCAACCGACUUCCGAGAGAUGACGUCGAAAAAGUUGCAUAGGCCAAAUAGCAUUUCACGGACGUGCGCGUCCAUGAUCCCACGGAUUGCAACUGAAAGUAUCUGCGUCAUCAGCACGUGAUAGUCGUGAGACUUCAUCCUGCUGAACUUCUGCUUCACUGGGUCUAGGUAUCUGCUUAUCUUCCCCGCGUAACCGUAAGGAAGUUUUACUCCUACGAGGCAGGUGAAAAACUGAUCGAUCUCCUCCUGACUUAGAGUGAAGCACGCGGGAGGGUAGUCAUUUCCGAUCUUCUUGGCCUUUUUGCCUUUGCUAUGACUUUCCGUAUCCUGCUUCACCUCAUCAUCAUCAUCAUCAUCAUCAUUAGCGUGAAGCUCCUCCCUGAUGCCCAUUGAUUUCAAGUCUGCCCUUGCUUCUGGCCCAUCUUUGGUCCUCUCUGGCAUGUUGAGCAGGGUACCAAGCAGACUCUCGCACACAUUCUUCCUGAUAUGCAUGACAUCAAGGCUGUGAGGCACACGGUGGAUCUUCUAGUACGGCAAGUCCCAGAAAACAGACCUCGUUUUCCAUACCUUCAGCAGCGGCUCUAGCGCCUUUCGCUUCUUUCCCGGCUCUGGCGCCUUUUGCUUCUUUCCCGGCAGUGGGCAAUCUUUCCAAUUUUUCAAUAGCUCGUCUAUUUCCUCGCCGCGCCUCGUACGCGGGCGUCUUCGGAGUUCAGUUUCACCAUCGAACAUAUCCUUGUGUUUCUUCCACGGGUCAUCGUCGUGAAGCCACCUUCGAUGUCCCAUGAACACGGUUUUCAAAGACCCGGGAUCUCUAUCUAGCUGGCGAUACGUUGUGUCAUCAAUGCACCUAACGCAUCCAGAAAAUCCGUGGACCACCUGCCCCGCGACAUAUUCGUAACCGAAAUAAUCAUGCACCGUCGUGAGCAGUGUGGCUCUCAUAGGGUAAUAUUCUUUCUCUGCGGCGUCCCACGUAUUGGCUGGCAUUUUCCACAGCGUGUCUAGCUCCUCUUUCAGCAGUCCCAGAUACAGAUUGAUGUCGUUCCCUGGUUGUUUCGGCCCUUCAAUUAGCAUACUCAUGUGAAUGUACUUCCUCUUCAUGCACAACCAGGGGGAAGGUUGUACAUCCACACAAACACAGGCCAGGUGCUAUGUGUGCUUCUCUAGCUACCAAACGGAUUGACUCCAUCGGUGCUCGCGCCCAGCACGAUGUUCCUUGGAUCCUUCCCAAAUUCUCGGUGUUCGAAGUUCAAUGCUUGCCACUGGCUCCCAUCCCUAGGGUGACUCAGCAUCUUGUCUUUUUUAUUUAUCUCUGGAUCAUUUGCGUCAUCUUCUCGCUUCUUCUCUUCCCUAUCCGCGUGCCAACGCAGGAGCUUUGCUACCUUAGGGUCCUCGAAAUACCGCUGCAGACGAGGAGUGGUCAGAAAGUACCACAACACUUUUCGAGGAGCUUUCUUCCUCUUCUUGUAUCGAGUGACGCCGCACACCGGACAUAUGGUAGACCCCGCGUGCUUGUCCCGAUAAAUGAUGCAAUUGUUCAUGCACACAUGGUAUUUCAUGUGCGGUAAAUCCAGAGGACACACGAUUUUCUUCGCCUCCUCGAAACUGGUCGGGCACUUGUUCCCCUUGGGAAGACGUUCGCGCCAGAAUGACAUGUUCUCGUCGAAGGAUGCGUCGCUCAUUUUGUGUUUUACCUUCAUCUCCAGAGCCAUGAGCGCUACUUUCAGGUGGGUAUCCGAGAGCCUGCAUCCUUCAUACAAUGGAGUAACCGCGUCUAUCUCCAGUUGAUCCAGCUUGGCUUUCUCUCGGGCGGCAGCUCUUGCGUUAUCCGUCUGCUUGAGAAGCAUCUCUUGAACAUGAGGGUCCUGCACCCAGCCCAUCGAUGGUCCAUCGUCGUCUGCUCCGCCGGCAUCUUCAUCUUCAUGAUCAUGCCCUUCGUCUGCUCCGGCAUCUUCCUCAUCAUCAUGUCCUGCAUCUUCUACAUGAUGACUGUGUACAGCAUCACCGUCGUGAUCAUGUCCUGGAGAUUCUUCGUCUUCUCGCCCGCCCGAGCCGUGGUGGUUGUCUUGCUGCCCUUCCUCAUUUCUUGCCCGGCCCCCAUGGACGACUUCAUAGUCAUCUUCAUCACCUUGCCACCGAUAGCCAUUCAUGAAACCACGCAAGAGCAGGUGGUCCUGCACCUACCCAGAAUCCGGGUCCGCAAUAAGGCUCUUCAGCUUGCAUCUUCGACACGGACAUCUUAUCUCCGUCUCGUUCUUUUCAAGCAUCUCGGCCUUCGCGGAGCUCAAAAACCUAUUCACGAUGCCUUCGGUCAUCGUGCGGACCAUGGUCGCCUGCGGGGUAGAGCAAAACGAUAUUUUAGAACCAAGAAAAAAUUUGGCAUGACUUUCUCUAAAAAUAGGACCAAAAAGAAUGCAUAGUGCCAAAAUUCUCGUCGAAACGCAAAUGAAUCAACAUUCCGGCAAAAUAUUGACAACUAUCGCAUUUCAAAUACCGGUACCUGCAAACACAAACAUAUAUGCAACACCACAAACAUAUGCAACACCACGAACAUACAUAGAUCUAGCUAGGCCACAAAAAGUGCAUGUGCACGUUGUUGGAGAGGGAGAACAACAUAAAGAUAGCUUCCUCCCUUACUUACCUAUCAAAAAAAGGUAAUUUAACCACUUAAUUUGGAUGAAUCUAUGGUGCAAAUGAGGUGAGGAGGAAGAGGCAGCCGAGACAAGCUUGGAGGAGGAGGUGGAAAGAAUAAAGUGGGGAAAGUGAGUGGGUAGGUGGGCUGUCUAAAAUAUCUUGUUGGUCCCAGGUUACUAAUGGCGCACCACCUGCAAAUACGCCAUUAGUAACCCUCGUUACUAAUGGCGCACCUGCUACUGGUGCGCCAUUAGAAGUUUUGCAAAAAAAUAAAAAAAAGUAUAUAUUCUAAUGACACACCAUGGCACAGUGCGCCACCAUUACUAGUUUAAAAUAGUAAUGGCGCACUAGGCUAGGGUGUCCCAUUAGUAGUUUUGCAAAAAAAAAAUAACAGUAGUGGCGCACUAUGUGGCCGGUGCGCCAUUACUAGUUGGCGCACCUUGCCAUGAUGCGUCAUUAGUGCAUGGCUAGGGUGUCCCAUUAGUAGUUUUGCAAAAAAAAUAACAGUAGUGGCGCACUAUGUGGCCGGUGCGCCAUUACUAGUUGGCGCAUCUUGCCAUGAUGCGUCAUUAGUAUGUUUGGAAAAAUAAGAAGAAAAAAAUUACUAGUGACGCACCGUGUGCCUGGUGCGCCAUUAGUGUCUUCCACACUAAUGACGCACCUGCACAUGAUGCGCCAAUGCUAUAUAAUAGUGAUGCACCACAUGACAGGUGCGCCAUUAGUGGCCAUUCCAUCUAUAACCCUUUUCCUAAUAGUGGGGGUAUGCACCUAUGUGUGUAUAACAACAACUGCUGAAAAUUAUAGAUUAAGAAUUCAGCUUCUCAUUGGUUGCAUGUCCAUGCAUUGACCGGCUGUUUCUAUUGGCGUGCAUGCAUCGAUAGAUUGAUUUGAUCACGGCUUUGUUUCGUCUUCUAUCUGGUUGUGCAUGUCUCUUCCAACAUGAUUUUGCUUAUGCAUUCGUCCUUACUUGCAUGUCCGUCCUCAGACCUCCUGCUGCCACAGAAAUACGUUGUUGUAGGCGAUUCACAUGCUGCUUCCUGCUUCCAACUCGUGCUUUCUUUGCGCCAAGUGCAUCUUCUUGGAGUCGGCUGCCGCCUGCGCUUUCCCGGUUUCUCACACCGUCGGUUGCCGCUUUUAUACAGCUUUCUGGAUGUUUCUGCAUUAUGUGCGGCAGCUGCCUUCAAUUUGUUCUCUGCUUGUUGCCUGUCUGCUAUAAAUACCGGCUAUCCCGUGCGUCUUCCUUCCAUUCCAUCUUCCAUCCGUCCUCACUCCAUUCUGGUUUCUGCCACUUUCGCAUUGGUGGCUGCAUAUAAUGAUAAGAAUUAUAGAUGGUUCCUCCUGCCAUUGUUCGGUCUGGUCGACGCCGGCGGGGGCGUCCUCCUUGGAUCCGGGCGGCCGUCGCUGUUCAUGCCAUCAUCGACGGCCGCAGCAAUGGAGCAUGUGUUGUUGAAUAGCAAGGUGCGAGGUACCCAGGUCGGCCGGGAUGUCUAGCAGGCGAGGUGGGUUUCAACGACCUCAUGCGACUCACCAACGAGGCCUUUGGUCGGGCGGAAGUCUAGGCCACUUAAAUUUCUCUGGUGAGGCUCUCUUUCCUACUUUUUCUCACUAGUAGAAAACAGGGCUAACGUUCGGGCCUGGCCAGCCAUUAGUCCCGGUUCUUCAAGAACCGGGAUCCAUGGGGGUAUUAGACCCGGUUCGUGAGUCCAGGGGGCCGGCCGGGGCCUCGUGGGCAUUGGUCCCGGUUCGUGUGAAACCAUUUGUCCCAAUUGGUGCCACGAACCGGGACCAAUGGUCCUCGCUCCUAGCCCACAACCAUUGGUCCCGAUUCGUGGCUUGAACCGGGACAGAAAGGGGAGCUUUAGUCCCGGUUCAUGCCACGAACCGGGACAAAUAACUUGCCUAUAUAUACCCACCGCCGCGGUAGAGCAUUCCAAAGUGCUCUGUUUUUUCAAGCCGACAAGGGGAGGGUAUUUGGGUGCUCUAGUUCACCUCCUAUGCACAUGAGGUGUUCGAUGAAAUGCCCGAGACACACUAGUUAAGCUUUCUCCUUUCAAAACUCGACCUCCGAGCUCCAUUUUCAACGAGAUUUGUCUAGAUUUAGCGGUCCGUCACGUCCCGUCCCCGCCCUGUCUUCACCGCCGUUGAUCGCCCGCGCUGAUCUCGUCGCCGGUACUACCGUGGUGAGCCUCUUGUUCUUAUCUUCUUUCUGAAAGAAAAAAAUUCUGACUUCAGAUAGAUACUUGUCUAAUUCUCUUACUUUUAUUAUUCCUUGUUAUUAUAUAGUGCGAUGGUUUUGGUAUCCGCCCCCGUCGGCCCUCGUCCUGUCUAUGAUUUAGAUGUGGUAUAUAUUAUCUUUUCAUAACUAUUUGGUUUGUUUAUUGUUUAUCACAAUUAUGCCGACCAAUGUGACAUAGAUUUUAUUUAUCUAGAAGGUUGUUGAACCGGAAAUUCCAACCGACCCUAUUGUCGAGAGGUCAAAUUUAGUUGAAGAAGAAAACAAUUACUUGAAGGAAAAAAUAAGAAAAAUUAAGGAGGAGAAGAUGAUAUUGGAGUUGCAUAUUGCGGAUGUCGUCGAUGAUCACAAGAUCAAGAUGGAUGCAAUGCGGUUGAAGAUUAAAAAGAUUAGAAAAUAUGCUAUUCAUACCGAGGCUUGGUAUCAUUAUGCAGUUGGAUCAGUUGUUACCUUGGUUGCGGUUAUGAUCGCAUUUGUUUUUGCAUUUAAAUGUUUUACAUAAUUUCAAUGUAUGGUUUAAUUAGAUGCUCCGGAGAGCUAUAUAUUGUUCAAUGAGAACUAUAUAUGUAUUUUGGUUUUAAUUCUCUGGAGAACUAUGUAUGUACUUUGAUUUCAGAGUUCAUUUCAAAUGCUUUUCAAUUUUAUGGUCUUAUAGCUCAAAAUAAUCAGUAAAUGCAUGAAAAAUAAUAAAUGUAGUCAGAAAGGGUUGUAAAUUGAUGAUGUGACUUUAAAUGGUGCAUUUUGAACACAGAAAAACAAGGGAGUUCAAAUAAGUUCAAAAAAAUAAAAUCCCUUUGUAACAGACGAGUUUCCGUAUGAAACCCUUAUACUUCGAAAGACAUUGUCCGUUUUGUACACGAGGUGCAUCCAGUUUUUGCCAUAACCCUCUCUACUUUCUCGCACAUGCUAUGUGGGUGAAAUGAUGAUACCAUGCCAACUUGGAACCUUUUCAGAGUUCAUUUCAAAUAUUUUUCAAUUUCAUUGUCUUAUAGCUCAAAAUAAUCAGUAAAUGCAUGAAAAAUAACAAAUGAAGUCAGAAAGGGUUGUAAAUUGAUGAUGUGGCUUUGAAUGGUGCAUUUUGAACAUAGAAAAACAAGGGAGUUUAAAUAAGUUCAAAAAAUAANNNNNNNNNNNNNNNNNNNNNNNNNNNNNNNNNNNNNNNNNNNNNNNNNNNNNNNNNNNNNNNNNNNNNNNNNNNNNNNNNNNNNNNNNNNNNNNNNNNNNNNNNNNNNNNNNNNNNNNNNNNNNNNNNNNNNNNNNNNNNNNNNNNNNNNNNNNNNNNNNNNNNNNNNNNNNNNNNNNNNNNNNNNNNNNNNNNNNNNNNNNNNNNNNNNNNNNNNNNNNNNNNNNNNNNNNNNNNNNNNNNNNNNNNNNNNNNNNNNNNNNNNNNNNAGUUUCCGUAUGAAACCCUGAUACUUCAAAAGAGAUUGUCCGUUUUGUACACGAAGUGUAUCCAGUUUUUGCCGUAACCCUCUCUACUUUCUCGCACAUGCUAUGUGGGUGAAAUGAUGAUACCAUGCCAACUUGGAACCUUUCCAGAGUUCAUUUCAAAUGAUUUUCAAUUUCAUGGUCUUAUAGCUCAAAAUAAUCAGUAAAUGCAUGAAAAAUAACAAAUGAAGUCAGAAAGGAUUGUAAAUUGAUGAUGUGCCUUUAAAGGGUGCAUUUUGAACAGAGAAAACCAAGGGAGUUCAAAUAAGUUCAAAAAAAUGAAAUCCCUUUGUAACAGACGAGUUUCCGUAUGAAACCCUGAUACUUCGAAAGAGAUUAUCCGUUUUGUACAUGAAGUGUAUCCAGUUUUUGCCGUAACCCUCUCUACUUUCUUGCACAUGCUAUGUGGGUGAAAUGAUGAUACCAUGCCAACUUAGAACCUUUUCAGAGUUCAUUUCAAAUGAUUUUCAAUUUCAUGGUCUUAUAGCUCAAAAUAAUCAGUAAAUGCAUGAAAAAUAAUAAAUAAAGUCAGAAAGGGUUGUAAAUUGAUGAUGUGGCUUUGAAUGGUGCAUUUUGAAUACAGAAAAAUAAGGGAGUUUAAAUAAGUUCAAAAAAAUGAAAUCUUUUUGUAACAGACGAGUUUCCAUAUGAAACCCUGAUACUUCGAAAGAGAUUAUCCGUUUUGUACAUGAAGUGUAAAGGGGGCAGCCCCAGUGCAUGUAGCUCCCGCUUGUGCAGGGUCUGGGGAAGGGUCCGACCACUUUGGGUCUAUUGUACGCAGCCUUUCCCUACAUUUCUGUAAGAGGCUGUUUCCUGGACUUGAACCCGUGACCUCAUGGUCACAAGGCAGCAGCUUUAUCACUGCAGCCGUUUUGUACAUGAAGUGUAUCCAGUUUUUUUGCGUAAGCCUCUCUACUUUCUUGCACAUGCUAUGUGGGUGAAAUGAUGAUACCAUGCCAACUUGGAACCUUUUCAGAGUUCAUUUCAAAUAUUUUUUAAUUUCAUGGUCUUAUAGCUCAAAAUAAUCAGUAAAUGCAUGAAAAAUAACAAAUGAAGUCAGAAACAAAACAAAAUAAAAUAAAUAAGUAAUUUGAAACAAAAUAAUAUAAAUUUUAAUAAAAUAGAUAAGUAGAAACAAAAGGCCUCGCUAUAUAAGUUCACCAACCGGGACUAAUGCACCCUUUAGUCCCGGUUUGUGGCACCAACCGGGACUAAAGGCCUCGCUAUAUAAGUUCACAGUUAGAAAUUUUCCACUCUCAUCUCGCAAUUGCCGCCCCCGACGACGCCGACGACAUCGACGCCGCCAGGCUACCCCGAUGCCGCCCACCGCCCCCGCCGCCGCCGUCGCCGUUGCCCGCGCCCUCGCCGUCGCCCGCUCCCCUGACCCGACGCGCGCNNNNNNNNNNNNNNNNNNNNNNNNNNNNNNNNNNNNNNNNNNNNNNNNNNNNNNNNNNNNNNNNNNNNNNNNNNNNNNNNNNNNNNNNNNNNNNNNNNNNNNNNNNNNNNNNNNNNNNNNNNNNNNNNNNNNNNNNNNNNNNNNNNNNNNNNNNNNNNNNNNNNNNNNNNNNNNNNNNNNNNNNNNNNNNNNNNNNNNNNNNNNNNNNNNNNNNNNNNNNNNNNNNNNNNNNNNNNNNNNNNNNNNNNNNNNNNNNNNNNNNNNNNNNNNNNNNNNNNNNNNNNNNNNNNNNNNNNNNNNNNNNNNNNNNNNNNNNNNNNNNNNNNNNNNNNNNNNNNNNNNNNNNNNNNNNNNNNNNNNNNNNNNNNNNNNNNNNNNNNNNNNNNNNNNNNNNNNNNNNNNNNNNNNNNNNNNNNNNNNNNNNNNNNNNNNNNNNNNNNNNNNNNNNNNNNNNNNNNNNNNNNNNNNNNNNNNNNNNNNNNNNNNNNNNNNNNNNNNNNNNNNNNNNNNNNNNNNNNNNNNNNNNNNNNNNNNNNNNNNNNNNNNNNNNNNNNNNNNNNNNNNNNNNNNNNNNNNNNNNNNNNNNNCCGGCCCGCCCCGGUCGUCUUCGUCGCUGUUGCCCCCUACCCCGCCCCCGUCGUCGCCGUCGCCCCCGCCGUCGCCGUCCUCCUCACUUGGUCCGGCCGGCGCAUCAUUUUUUUCAUUUAUAUAUAUAUGCUUAUUUGUUUUCAUAUGUAUAUGCUUGUUUUUCAUAUAUAUGAUAUAUGAUGAUGUAUAUGCUUGUUAUCAUAAUUGUUAUUGUUCAUAUAUAUAUAUGAUGAUUUUUUUAUAGAAUAUGAUGGUUUUUUCAUAGAUGAUCACAUAUAUAUAUAGAUAUAUAUAUAUAUGAUGUAUGCAUGGAUGUGGAUGAAAUAUAUGAUAUUUUUUGUUCAUAGAACAUGAUGUUUUUUUAUUCAUAGUUUUUUUGUUCAUGAGAGGGGCGGGGACGUCGAGGGAUCAUAGAUGUAAUUUUUUCAAAAUUUUCUAUCGUGCAUAGACCGAUUUUAGACCACGGGAUAGGAAAAAAGAAAAUAAAAGAAGAGGAAGAAAGAAGAAGAGGAGAGGAAGAAGAGGAGAAAUAAAUAAGAAGAGGAAAAAAGAAGAAAAAGAAAGAGGAGAAGAAGAAAGAAAUAGAGGAGAAAGAAGCAAAAAAGGAAUAGAAUUUUUUCUAUUUUUUGCUUCUUUCUCCUCUAUUCCUUUCUUCUUCUCUUUUUUUUUCUUCUUUUUUUUCUUCGAUUGCUUCUCUUAUAUUCCUUUCUUAUUCUCCUCUUUUUAUUUCUUCUUUUGUCUUCUUAUUUUUUUAUCGGGUAUGUUGUUGUCGAUAUACCCCCUCCCGAGAACUUCAACACGAGGGGGGGUGGAUAUACCCCCUCCCCGAUAACAUUAUUUUCCCAUGUCUGUAUGUCGCAUCAUUGUCGAUAUAACCCCCUCCCGGAUUACUUCAACAUGAGGGGCGGUUGAUUUAUAUAUCCCCUCUCGACCGUGAUAACUUAUACCACGGGAGCACCCCCCUCGGCCCUCUCGCUCGACCAAAACUCUCGAGGACACCCAAACCCUACAGAAAAAUGAUGUUGGUCUCCUACCCCCUCCCGCCGCGCCCCUACCCGACAAACUCUCUCGAGGCCACCCAAAUUUACCAAGUUAAAAGAGCGUUGUCGUCGAGGCCACCCCAAACCCUUGAAGUGUUGUGUCGAGGCCACCCCAAACCCUUGAAGUGUUGUCUAGGCCACCCCAAACCCUAGAGAAGCAGCGUCGAGGCCACUAAUAUGAUUCCUUAUUGUGAUUAGCUAGCUAGUUCUAUGUUUGCCACUAAUAUAUAUAUAUAUAUAUAUAUAUAUAUAUAUAUAUAUAUAUAUAUCCAUCUGUCAUGUUUGAAUAAUAAUUGACAUGUUGUAAAUAUUUGCAGAAACUAUGGAGCACCCCCGAGACGAAGCAACAUAAGCGAUGUUGGGGGACCUAAUCGCACAAGGAAGCGAUGUCGUUGCGUCAUUUCUCAACGACACUGAUGGUCAUGAAGGAGACCCAAUGGAGGUACAAGAAGGAGACCGUGAUGACGGCUCCGGUGACCGAACCGAGUCCGGCCAGGUAUAUAUAUAUUAGUUAAGCCCGUGCUGACUAGUUAAUUGAUACAUUUAUUGUUUUCAUAUGUACACAUAUUAAUUACCUCUCGUCUUUCUUCUUUUCUCUAGCCCUCCGGAUCGAGCUCAACUUCGGUAAAGAAAUGAGGCCCGAAGAAAAAGUUGCGCUCAGAUGAAAGGUUUGAGAUCACAGCAAUCACGCGCGAUGGCAAGCCGAUUGAACCCAUCCAGACAAGGGAUGCAUUUCGUGCUCAGUGCGGGGUUCUUGUUAGGGAAAAGAUCUCGAUCAGUAUCCAGCAAUGGUUAAAGCCUAAGAAGGAAGACCCUGAGGUGUCUUAUGUCUCCAAUAUGCAGAAAGAAGAUCUUUGGACAACGCUUAAGGCAAAUUUUACCCUACCGCCAGAGGAGGAUCAGGAGAAGCCAGUUAAAGAGCAAUUGAUGAAGUCUCAUGCUCUUAAGAAGAUGACAGAACUAUUCAGGAGGUGGAAGAAUGAGCUAAAAACAUUUGUCAACAAAGAAAAGACACCAGAAUUCAUCAGAAAGUAUGAGAAGAUCAGAGAUCAAUGGCCCGUAUUUGUGGCCCACAAGACAUCGAAAAAGAGUAAGAAGAUAUCAGCGACAAACAAGAUUAAUGCUGCGAAGAAGAAGCAUCACCAUCGCACGGGGUCAGGUGGUUACCUCAAAGCCCGACCUUUGUGGGACAAGACUGAGAAUGAAUUGAUUGCUAAAGGGGUCGAACCAGAGACAUUGAACUGGCCAAACCGUUGCCAAACUUGGUUCUUCGGGUUGGCGGAACCUUGGACCCUGUAUCAGGGAAGUGCGUUUGGACGGAAGAGCAACUGCGAAUACCCGUCAGGAGGCUUCAGGAGUAUAUCGAGAAAGUGCAGGAAGGGACGUUCGUUCCAGACAGAGAGAACGACGAGCUCACAAUGGCCCUCGGGAAUCCUGAGCACCCUGGACGGACACGAGGCACGCCAGGCUCCCUUCCGUGGAAGGCUGUGUUUCCGUAUGCAGGGGGUUACAAAACCUAGGAGAGGAGAAAGAAAGUGGAGCAUAGCCAACUGCAGACGCUGCACGAAAGGGUACAAGGGCUAGAGGAACAAGAAGCAGAUCGCAGCAAACGACCUGCCGAAGCUUCCCCUGAAGCUACCCCAUCAUUUCAGCAGAGAAGCAGCGUGGGUUCCACCGAGCAGACUCAGCAGCUGGAGCCUGUCUUCACGGCUCCUGCUAGCUACCCCGUGGAUGCUAUCACAGAGUCUCAACAUUGCCACCUUAUGACGUGAUGGAUGACAUUGAAAGUCAAGGCGGCUGUUGGCUCUGUUAUACCUAAUGAACCUAGCUCAACCUACCACGGCCAGCCAAUUCCAGAAGAAUAUGCUAGGGUGAUGGUGGAUCAAAUAACGGACGGAUUUGAGGACCUUCAGCUUGACCACCCUACGGGUGAAGGGGAGAUUCGGCUGGGUUCUUCUCUGAAGUCUCCAUGCCUAUGGAGGAAGGAGCUCAUCAACCUUCUGAACUGGACGCCUCCUCCUCCUCCUCCUCCGGCGAGUCAGGGCACUCCACCUCCUCCUCCGCCUCCUCCGGUGAGUGAUCAGGGCACUCAGCCUCCUUCUCCGGCGCGUGGCGGCACUCCGCCUCCUUCUCCACCUGCGCUGGCGCACCCGAGCAGCCAGCUGCCUCCUCCUUCUCCGCCUCGUCAUAAAGGGCGGAAGAGACCCGCCGCCCCUCCGGCUGCUCCGGCGCGUCGUCCUUCUCCUCCGUCUCUUAAGAAAGGAAAGACAGCCGCAGCCAUUCCGUCUGCUCCGGCGUCUAGAAGUACAGCCAGAGGCAGGCAAUACAGAUACGGUCCUUCUCUGAAGACUCCAAAGAAGUUACCAUACGAGAGGAGCCAGGAGGAAAAUGCGAAGAUCGUGCAAGACGAAGUGACUAACUUCUUUGAAGGGGUCAAAGCAAAGAAAAAUCCACCUCCAGAGGAGAAGAUAGAUCCGGUAAAAGCGAAGCGUACUUUGGCUGCCCUGACGAAACCACCAAAGUCUCCGGUGAAAGACAACUAUGAGCGCAUUCUUACAAAGUCAUUUAUCGAAACGGAGCGGUUGGAAAGUACUGUCAGUGUUCAAAGGUUAGCAGAACGACGAGCUGGGAAAAAAGUUGCUCAGCUCGGCGAACAAGCGAACCAAUCGUUGCCCCCGCUCCAGGUGUCUAGCGUCGUCGCGAAUCAUCCGGGCGGGAUGGUGCCCGGUUAUAACGAUCUUGGAGACUACCUGCCCGACGUUGCACAUUUUGAUUUCUUGGAGGUGGACAAACACAUAUACGCGUACGGGAAGCCUCUCGUCAAAGAUGAAAAAUCUUUAACAACGAUGAUGUGAAGAUUCCAUGAUUGGUAUAUGAAAACCUGCAGAGAGUCUGAGGGGAGGAAUAUUUUGACGCUCAGAGUUAAAGAGGAGCAUGACCUCAUUGGAAUUGAUCUGUUGAAUGUUCCAUUUGACGAGUUCUUCGAGUUUUUCAAUCUAAAGGCCCUCGAUAAGUUAAUGAUCACUUGCUACUGCCUGUAAGUAGUACUACUUCUGUCAUUAAGUCUCUAUAUAUAGGUCAGCUCUUUCAUUGCAUGUAUUUUUAAUUAUUCUCACUAUAUUAUGCAGAUUGAAGAUCGUCGAAUUGAAGAAAAGACAAAUCGGUGAUAUUGGGUUCAUUAACACAAAUCUCAUAGAUGUAUAUAUGGUUAAAUUUCAGGCCAGAGAUACCGAGGCCAAGCUGCUACAAUCGUUUAUAUUAAAUUAAAAUAAAGCUAUAAUACUCUAUCCUUACAACUUCGAGUGAGUGUUGAUGUCUUGUGCAUAACCGGUUUCCCUUAUUAGUCGAGGUUAUAGUAUUGUAAUUGAUGAAUUGUGCAUGCGUGCGCAGCUUCCACUAUAUUCUCCUAGAGAUUAAGCUUGAGCAGGGACUAGUAACCGUCUUAGACUCGAGACGAAAAGAUCCCAAGAAGUACGCGAACAUGACUGAAAUUCUAGAGAAAUAAGUUAAAUCGAUCAUUAUCACACCAUAUCGGCAACCUCAAUUUGUUCAUUUUCUGAUAUCAAGUAAUUGUUUUCUUUGUCUGGUAGGGUUUGAAGUAAAUUCACCUCAAAAACUCCGGGACUGCCAAAGAAGCUGCAAUUUAGACACCCGAAAGUAAGUACUAUAGUAGCAUAUAUGUUCCACGCAUCUCUUAGUGAUUCAAGCGCUAGUUUCAUCAAUACCAUUUAGCAUGCUUGUUAAUUAUCAGUUUGAUUGACUUCUAUUUCUUGUAAAGUGGUUGUGGCAGGAAGAAGGGACUAAUUAAUAUGGAUACUACAUUUGUGAGUCCAUCCGCCACACGACCUGUGAGCGGGGCUACUCCGAGAAACAAUAUGAAGUGCAUAAAUAAUUAUAUUCACAAUUUUAUUUUAUUACCAUCAUUUGUGUUCAGUUUCAUUUAUUCAUAUAUAUGUAUUGACCCCCUUAUUCAAAUUAGAUAUUUCGGAUGCGGGAUGAACUCCUAGCACCAGAUCGUAUGCGAGGAAUUCAAGAGGAAUUGGCGGAUUUCUUUCUUGACCACGUGAUCGCUAAAGACGGAAAAUACUAUGUGGACCCUGAUGCGUUCAAUUUUAAUGAGGAGAUUAUAUUGUAAAAGAUACUUAUAUUGUAUAUAUGUAGCCAGUAGCGUCAGAUAGAUAUACGAGAACUUGUUGUUCGACCAAUCUCUCAGAGAAGGAGAGGUGGUCGAUAUCACUUCUCUUUGUAUGCAUCUGUUCAUGACGAUCUUCUGUUUCCUUCAUUUGCUUAACUAGUUAGCAUGUCUAGUCCUCUCUAUACGUAUAGUACGUAGCGUCGACCAAACACAGAGAUAAGAGAGGACACUUCUCUCUAUUAAUUAGCUAGCUAACACAAUAUAUGAAACACCUAAAUUAACCCCCAAAAUCCCCAAACCCUUCCUCCCCCUUUAAAAAAAAUAAAAACCCCAGCACUUGAGAUGUUGACGCGUGGAUGCCUAUUGAUCCCGGUUGAUGCCACCAACCGGGACCAAAGGGCCUCCUGCUUGGGCUCGUCACACCGGCCACGUGGAGGCCCAUCUAUCCCGGUUUAUGCAAGAACCGGGACUAAAGGUUUAGGGCAUUAGUACGGACACUUUAGUCUCGGUUCAAAAACCGGAACAAAUGGCCCUCACGAACCAGGACAAUAGGUCCUUUUUCUACUAGUAUCUUCUUUUCUGUGUCUACUUCUCCGCCUGGGUGUCCAUUGGCUUCAGGGCGCGACGGCGGCGGCUGUUGGAGGCCUCUGGCCAAUGGUGCGCCAAUGGUCGGCAAGCUCCCGACGGCGCGCGGCCCUCCUCGGCUAUGGUGACGACCAGCGCGGGGCACGCACGACUCUGCGGCAGCGAACACAAGGCCACGGAGGGGUUCACGUGCAGCGUCGCUGCGGUGUUGCUACUCGCGGGUCGACCGUGCGCCCAUCGCCCGCCAGGCUAGUGUGUUUGCGGCGGUGCGCGGCCAGGCGAAGCUCGCGGCACGACGAGUGUUUGUUUGUGCGCGUGGUGGCCGAGAGAGCACACGUCGGCGACCGUGCGACCGUGAGGAACCCAGGUCGCGGGCGGCUACGUCGUCUUGUUGGGAAGACGCGGCUUGCUGUAACACGAGGAACUCGCCGAGCUCCGGCGGGAUCGGGCAGUGAGUAGAGCCGUGUAGAUUGCUAGCCUGCCCACGUUCUCGAGUCGGCCGAGCUCGCCGGGAAGGGGCCAGAGAUGCUGGUCUCCGCGGGGCCGUUUGCUGCCGUCUCUGUCUCCACCGUCAGCCCGGCGUCAUCAUCAUCGCCUCAUCCUCGGCUGGAGCCGUCGGCGCGGGCUCGGUCACUACCUCAGCUUCCACGCAAAUACAGCCCCAUCUAACUCUCUUCACCAACGCACUUUCGGCAGUUUGUCUCUUGCAUUGCGAGGUUGGAGCAGUUGCCGAUCUCCGGUGAGAGCGCACCCUGGAGGUUCUUGUUGCCACCGCUGCGGAUCUUCUCGUGGCUGGCCGUCCGGUUUAUGGACGCCUCGAUGGCGCCCAUGAUCUGGUUGUUGUACAAUAUGAGCUUGCGCAGUGCCGUCAGGUUGCCGAUGGCGGCUAGGCCGGCGAGGCACUCCAGUUUGCUAGGCAGAACCGUACAGGGGUGCACGAAAAGGUUCGAUAGAGCAUAGACUUCCCGGUCGAUUUCUCCGAGGUGGAGCGCCGGCAGGUCGCUAAGCUGCGGCGGGUGAAACCUGUUCGCUUCUGAACAUGUUUCCGAGUCUGGACAAUGUUUGUGCCGGUGAGCACCAGCAGUUCCAGCGUCGCGUCCAGGGACGCCGACAAGUCGUCGGGAACGCCGCGCGGCAGGUCAAAAAAUUGCAGGCUCAGCUCCGUCCACCGGCACAAUGACCUGUCCGUCGGGUUCCAGUGCCGCGCUACCACUGCCUAGCAUGCGCCGCGGCCUGCGCGUCACAUGGCGACCGUGCAGCACAGCAGCAACUGCGGCACCACGUACCCCUGCCCCGUCUACAACCGCCCAUUUCAUGGGAUUCAGGAGGCAUGUGUGUACGAGUAAUGAAGCUGCUACAACGGAUCCGCACUGUCCUUCCAGGUACCGCCGCAAGGACGAUAAAUAGCUGGCGCGGCGGCUUAGCUGCACAUGCUGGUGUGUCAAACACUCAAAUUCACAAGGAACUCAAGCAAAUCUUGGUUCUUGUUGAAACUUUGGAAGCGUGGUCCUCUCUACAAUACCACAUAUACUCUGUCAGAUACACCUAAGAUUUGUCCUAGAGCAUUAAUGAUGGAAUAGUGAUAUAUAUGGGCCCUGUAAUGCAAAAGUCAUCCUCUGUGCGUAAUUAAGUGCGUAAUCAACUAUCCAUACAAAAGCCAGCAUUUUAUUUUCUUCUGAGAUAUUCUUUCGUUGAUAAUCUUUUGAAUAAAAAUCUCAUUUUAAAAUCUUCUUAUAUAUUUUGAAUUCUUGACAACGUGGCCUUUAAAACAAGAUCAAUCUUGAAUAUAUUUUAGGAGAGUUUAAAUUUCAUGGACAUAUUUCACUCAUUUCAAAAUACUGGUUGACUCACUGAAAAAACAUAUUUCACUCAUUGAAAAAUCUCGCUUAUUUCAAAAUGCUGAGUUGACUCAGUACAAACACCGCUUUUACUAAUUCAAAAAGAACAAAUAAUUUCACUUAAUUUAGAAUAAUAAUUUGAAUAAUUUCAAGAAAAUAAUUUGACUCACUUUUUUGUACUACACACACUAAAAAUCAUUUCAGCCAUGUAUCAAGUGAAAAGUGUAUCGAAACAUUAGAAUUUUAACUUGUUCGGACUGUAUCCAAGAUUGAUCUUAUCCUAAAGGGUCUUGAUGUGAGGCGUUCACACUAGUAGAAAAAGGGGCAAAUCUGAGACACAUUAGUGCAGGUUUGAUUUUGAGCCGGCACUAAUGUGUCCAUUAGUGCCGGUUCCAACGGCUAGCCGGUCGCUCUCAUUAGUACCGGUUCGUGGCGAACCUUUAGCACCGGUUCGUGGCACGAACCGGUACUAAAGGUCGACGUACAUAAACCCUCCGUCCACCCGAGCCACUCUGUUCUUUCCCUUUUCCCUCACUUCCUCUGUUCUUCCCCUCUCUUCCUCGAGCUCCUCACAAAUUUUGUCCAAAAUUUGUCAAGAUUUGAAGGCCCCCAUCCAUUCAAAUGAUCACAAAGGUUAGCAAAUUUGUCCUUUCAACUCUCAUUGCUAGAUUAGCUCUUGCAAUGCUUUGUAGAGUGAUUAAUUUGGGAGGAAUUAUAUUUGCUAGUAUUUGAUUUAUAUGCAAUUUGAGGUCAAAAAUAACACUUAGUUUGCAUAUGUAGGUGUGGUUUACUUAGUGCCUUCUAAAUCUCCGUCGUAACCACCAUCGAUCGCCCGCACCGUCCCGUCGCCGGCACCACCUUGUGGUGAGGCUCUUGUUCAUGAAUGUUUUUCAUUACCAAAUUGAUGUUUGUGUGAUUUGGAUAUAUAGUUACUCGUAUAAUUGUCUUACCCGUACGUUGUUUGUUAUACAUAGUGUCAUGGUUUUGAUAUCCGUCCUCGUCGGCCCUCGUCCUUGUUAUGAUUCGGAUGUGGUAUAUUCUCUUUUAAAACUAGUUGUUGCAUUUCGUGUUUAUGACAAAUUAUGCCCAUCAAGUUGACAUAGAUAUUUUUAUCUAGGAGGUAUGUGAACCGGAAAUUCCAACCGACCCUAUUGUUGAGAGGUUAAAUUUAGUUGAAAGAGAAGACAAGUAUUUGAAAAAAAAAUUGAAAAGAAUUGAGGGGGAGAAGAUGCAAUUGGAGUUGCAUGUUGCCGAUGUCGUCGAUGAUCACAAGAUCAAGAUGGAGAAAAUGAUGUUGAAGAUUAGAAAGAUUAGAAAAUAUGCCAUUGAUAGUGUGGCUUGGUAUCAUUAUGCUGUUGGAUCAAUUGUUACCUUAGUUGCGAUCUUGAUCGCAUUUGUUGUUGCAUUUAAAUUCUUUAGCUAGAGAGUUAUUUGUAUGUUGCAUUUAAUUAAGUGUUGUAUAUGAACUUUAUGUAUGAACUUUAUUUAUGAACUUGUAUUAAUUUGGUCUAUUCGGUGUUGUGUAUAAUGAAGAUAUGAGCCGACAAUGGAUGUACGAUGACCGAUGCUCUCCCGGGUUCAUUAAUGGCGUGCAUACUUUUUUGCUUGCCGCUGAGGCAAACAAGCGGGCGGAUGGUUUUAUGCCUUGUCCAUGUGCUAGUUGUAAGAAUGGUCACAAUUACUCUACGUCAAGAACCAUUCACGUCCACCUAUUUGAGUCUGGUUUCAUGCCCCACUAUAAUGUUUGGACCAAGCACGGAGAAAGAGGGGUUAUGAUGGAAGACAAUGAAGAAGAAGAGGACGACGACAUUUAUUCUGGCCAUGGGUUCCCUGAAUACGAUGAUACAACAAUGGAGGAAGAAGCUGAGCCGGCAAUGCGGGAACAAGCUGAAGAAGAGGCAUCAGAUGAGCCCGCUGAUGAUCUAGGUCGGGUCAUUGCCGAUGCAAAGAGGAACUGCACAAGUGAUUUGGAGAGGAAGAAGUUACAGCGCAUGUUAGAGGAUCACAAGAAAUUGUUGUACCCGAAUUGCGAAGCUGACAAAAAAAAGUUGGGCACCACACUGGAAUUGCUGCAAUCGAAGGCAGAGAAUGGUGUGUCUGACAAGGGAUUUGGAAAGUUGCUGGUAAUGAUAAAGAAUAUGCUUCCAAAGGACAACGAAUUGCCCGAGAGUAUGUAUGAAGCAAAGAAGGUUGUCUGCCCUCUAGGGUUAGAGGUGCAGAAGAUACAUGCAUGCCCUAAUGACUGCAUCCUCUACCCAGUGCGUACGAGGAUUUGAACGCUUGCCCGGUAUGUGGUGCAUUGCGUUAUAAGAUAAGUCGCGAUGACCCUGGUGAUGUCGAGGGCGAGCGUCCCAGGAAGAAGAUUCCUGCCAAGGUGAUGUGGUAUGCUCCUAUAAUACCACGGUUGAAACGUUUGUUCCAAAACAAAGAGCAUGCGAAGGCGAUGCAGUGGCACAGAGAAGACCGUAAGAAAGACGGAAAGUUGAGAGUACCCACUGACGGUUCGAAGUGGAGAAAAAUCGAGAGAAAGUACAGGGAGGAGUUUGCAGGUGACCCAAGGAACGUAUGGUUUGGUCUAAGCGCAGAUGGAAUUAAUCCUUUUGGGGAGCAGACCAGCAACCAUAGCACGUGGCCUGUGACUCUAUGUUUGUAUAACCUUCCUCCUUGGUUGUGCAUGAAGCGGAAGUUCAUUAUGAUGCCAGUGCUCAUCCAAGGCCCUAAGCAACCCGGCAACGAUAUUGAUGUGUACCUAAGGCCAUUAGUUGAAGAACUAUUACAGCUGUGGAAUGGAACAGGUGUACGUGCGUGGGAUGAGCACGGACAGGAAGAAUUUGACCUAAAGGCGUUGCUAUUCAUGACCAUCAAUGAUUGGCCUGCUCUCAGUAACCUUUCAGGACAGACAAACAAGGGAUGCCGCGGAUGCACGCACUGUUUGGAUGAUACUGACAGUAUAUAUUUGGAGAGUUGUAGGAAGAAUGUGUACCUGGGACAUCGUCGAUUUCUUCUGAGCAGGCAUCCCGUAAGAAAGAAAGGCAAGCAUUUCAAAGGUGAAGCGGAUCACCGGACGAAGCCUCGCCACCGUACUGGUGCUGAUGUACAUGAUAUGGUCAAGGAUUUGAAGGUAAUCUUUGGAAAGGGUCCCGGCGGACAACCUGUUCCGAAGGACGCUGACGGACGUGCGCCCAUGUGGAAGAAGAAAUCUAUAUUUUGGGACCUGCCCUAUUGGAAAGACCUAGAGGUCCGCUCCGCAAUCGACAUGAUACACGUGACGAAGAAUCUUUGCGUGACCCUGCUUGGCUUCUUGGGCGUGUAUGGGAAGACAAAAGAUACACCAGAGGCACGGGAGGACCAGCAACGUAUGCAUGAAAAAGACGGCAUACAUCAGGGUCAGGCCAGCUACGCCCUUACCAAAGAAGAGAAGGAAAUCUUCUUUGAAUGUCUACUCAGCAUGAAGGUACCGUCUGGCUUCUCGUCGAAUAUAAAAGGGAAUAAUAAAUAUGGCAGAGAAAAAGUUCCAGAACCUAAAAUCUCACGACUGCCACGUGAUUAUGAUGCAACUGCUUCCGGUUGCAUUGAGGGGGCUUCUACCGGAAAACGUUCGAUUAGCCAUUGUGAAGCUAUGUGCAUUCCUCAAUGCCAUCUCUCAGAAGGUAAUCGAUCCAGAAAUCAUACCAAGGUUACAGUAUGAUUUGGUGCAAUGUCUUGUCAGUUCUGAGUUGGUGUUCCCACCAUCCUUCUUCAACAUCAUGACGCACGUUCUAGUUCACCUUUGUGAAGAGAUUAACGUUUUGGGUCCUGUAUUUCUACACAAUAUGUUCCCCUUUGAGAGUUUCAUGGGAGUCUUGAAGAAAUAUGUUCAUAACCGUGCUAGGCCAGAAGGAAGCAUCGCGAAGGGCCAUGAAAAUGAGGAGGUCAUUGAGUUUUGUAUUGACUUUAUUCCUGACCUUAAGCCGAUUGGUGUUCCUGAAUCGCGGCAUAAGGGAAGAUUGGAUGGAAAAGGAACGCUAGGAGGGGAUCAAAUAAUAUGUAUGGACGGGCAUUCUCUCACUGAAGCACACUACACAGUUCUACAGAAUUCCGCCUUGGUGGCUCCGUAUAUGGAGGAACACAAGAAUUUUCUACACUCCAAACACCCGGAGAAGUCUGACGACUGGAUUACACGUGAACAAACGAGGACUUUCGCCGGUUGGUUGCAGAAACGUGCCAUGCAUGAUGGCGAUAUUGAAGAUGACCUAUACUCGUUGUCCCAGUUACCAUCUUCGAAUAUAAUGACUUUCAAAGGGUACCAGAUAAAUGGGAAUACAUUUUACACGAUCGCCCAAGAUAAGAAGAGCACCAACCAAAACAGUGGUGUCCGCUUUGAUGCAACAACCAACACGGGAAAGGAAACAUAUUAUGGUUACAUAGAGGACAUAUGGGAACUUAACUAUGCAGAUGGUUUGAAGGUCCCUUUGUUUCGGUGCAAAUGGGUCAAUAUGACACAAGGCGGGGUAACGGAAGAACCGUAGUAUGGAAUGACAACAGUGGAUCUCAACAAUCUUGCGUAUGCAGAAGAACCAUUCGUCCUAGCCAAUAUGUGGCGCAGGUUUUUUAUGUGAAAGACAUGUCUACCAGGCCGAGAAAAAGAAAAGAUAAGGAAGCGAAUGGAUCAUACGACGAGCCAAAGCGCCACAUAGUUCUUUCAGGAAAAAGAAACAUCGUGGGAGUGGAUGACAAGACAGACAUGUCAGAAGAUUAUGAAAAGUUUGAUGAAAUUGCUCCAUUCACAGUGAAUAUUGACCCGAGCAUCCAGUUAAAUGAUGAAGAUUUUCCAUGACUACGGUGCAAAGGGACACACGCGAAGAAAAAGUUUCACACCCAAAGAUCCGGAAUGUGAUCGGCUUCACUAUCAUCACUUUCUUCUGUGUUUCACACCCAGGAGGGAAUCUGUAAUAGUUAGGGUAGUUAUGUGUUUUGGCAUUUGAAACGCGAAAAAAUUUUAUGUGCAAACAAAUUCUUUCAUGCAUUUACUAUUUUUUUUAGCUAAAUGACCCUGAAAUUGAAAAGCAUUUCAACUGAGCUCAGAAAAGGUUGAAAGUUGGCAUGGUAUCAUAAUUUCACCCACAUAGCAUGUGCAAAAAAGUAGAGAGGGUUACGACAAAAACUGGAUGCACUUCGUGUACAAAAUGGACAAUCUCUUUCGAAGUAUCAGGAUUUUGAAUGAAAACUCAUCUGUUACAAAGGCAUUUCAUUUUUUAAAUAACCUAAGCAUUACCAAAUUGAAUAUAAUGAUAAAACACAAUAAUAUUAAACAUAAGAAAAAAGAAUCACUGAAAAAUCUUUUUUCAAAGUUAAGUUAUUCACAAACUAGUGAUUCACACAAAUUUCAAAUAAUUCAAAAUUUAAACUAUUCAAAUUUGAAAACUACCGGCACUAACAGAAAGUUUGUAAUUUUUUGUACCUAAAGCAAAAAUAUUCAGAAAGAAACUCUAAAUACAGCAGAAAACAACUCAAAAAUAAAUAAAACAAAAAUAAGUAAAGCAAAAAAAUUAAGAAAAUAAAAAAGCCCGCCUACUGGGCCAAAGCGUCUGUAUACGACUAGAAACACAACCUUCUGUUGUGCCAGGAUGCAGGCCCGCAAAGGCCCAGUAGGCCCACAGGACAUCACUGAACAGGUAGGCCCAGUAGGCCUGCUUAGAAGAGGAGCUCGAGAGAGCUACCGCACUGGGGCUUAUAAACCAGUGCGGUAGCCCUUCGACUAGCGAGGUGGGACUAAACUUGCCGCACCGCACUGCGCCAGCGCACCCCCUUUAGUACCGGAUGGUGGCUGCAACCGGUACUAAAGAGGGGGUCUUUAGUACCGGUUGUAGCCACCACCCGGUACUAAAGGGGUGCGCUUCCCGCCGCUUGGCCUGGCUAAAACACACCUUUAGUACCGGUUGGUGGCACCAACCGGUACUAAAGGUCCAUCCUAUAUAUACAACAAUUGAAAAAAAUUCACUUUCCCUCUCUGUUUCUUCCCUCCGUCGUGCCGCCCUGCCCCAAUCGACGCCUUUCCCGUCGACGUCGCCGCCCCCGCCCCUCGUCGCCGACCCCCGCCGUCCCCGCCCCUCGCCGCCCCCGCCGACGUCCCCGUCCCCGUCGUUCCCGUCGCCGCGCCCCGGCCGCCNNNNNNNNNNNNNNNNNNNNNNNNNNNNNNNNNNNNNNNNNNNNNNNNNNNNNNNNNNNNNNNNNNNNNNNNNNNNNNNNNNNNNNNNNNNNNNNNNNNNNNNNNNNNNNNNNNNNNNNNNNNNNNNNNNNNNNNNNNNNNNNNNNNNNNNNNNNNNNNNNNNNNNNNNNNNNNNNNNNNNNNNNNNNNNNNNNNNNNNNNNNNNNNNNNNNNNNNNNNNNNNNNNNNNNNNNNNNNNNNNNNNNNNNNNNNNNNNNNNNNNNNNNNNNNNNNNNNNNNNNNNNNNNNNNNNNNNNNNNNNNNNNNNNNNNNNNNNNNNNNNNNNNNNNNNNNNNNNNNNNNNNNNNNNNNNNNNNNNNNNNNNNNNNNNNNNNNNNNNNNNNNNNNNNNNNNNNNNNNNNNNNNNNNNNNNNNNNNNNNNNNNNNNNNNNNNNNNNNNNNNNNNNNNNNNNNNNNNNNNNNNNNNNNNNNNNNNNNNNNNNNNNNNNNNNNNNNNNNNNNNNNNNNNNNNNNNNNNNNNNNNNNNNNNNNNNNNNNNNNNNNNNNNNNNNNNNNNNNNNNNNNNNNNNNNNNNNNNNNNNNNNNNNNNNNNNNNNNNNNNNNNNNNNNNNNNNNNNNNNNNNNNNNNNNNNNNNNNNNNNNNNNNNNNNNNNNNNNNNNNNNNNNNNACACUACACACACACACACACAUUAUAGAAUUUUAGUUAUAGAUUUUUUUUUCUGUUUUUUAGUUAUAGAAAUGUUAGAAAUUAUUCUGUUUUGUAGUUAUAGAAAUAUUUUUAGAAAUGUUAGUUACAUAGAAAUGUUAUAAAAUUUUCCUGUUUUUUAGUUAUAGAAAUAUUAGAAAUGUUAUAAUUUUUUUCUGUUUUUUAAUUAUAGAAAUAUUUAUAAAAAUGUUAGCAAUUUUUCCGUUUUUUAGUUAUAGAAAUAUUACAAAUGUUAGUUAUAUAAUCAGAAAUGUUAGAAAUUUUAGAAUUAGUUUUAGUUAGAUGAAUUAGAUUAAUGUCAAAUUGUUAAAAUUUGCAUAUAGAAUGUUAGAUUAAUGUUAUUUUUUGCGGGCAUAUAGUAUUUGUUCUCGUCGAUAUGCCUGGCCCGCAUCCUCGUCGUCGACCCGUUCGUGACGAUGUCAUGCUUCAGAGGACCCAUGUCCGGGACUGGGCUCUGUCGGGCUGGCAUUGGGAGGUGCUACCUAGAGGGGUGUGCCGCUUGGUGAGGAACCCGGCUUUGGGUCCCAUCGUCGACCCUGAUCUCCUUUGGUGGCGUUCGCGUGUGCCACAUUCGGUGCAGAGGCAGCCGGCCCCGCCGGGGGUGGUGCAUCGCCGUGUCAGGCAGGAAGACGAGCACGUCCAUCGCUACAUGGCUUCUAUGGACGACGUCAGGUUCUCCACUACUUGGCAUGUUCUUUGGGCAGAUGACCGGAGAUAUGAUCCUGUGAUGGUUCCUUCUCUUUGGGUGUCCACCGCCCGCGCCCCAGGAACCGCGAGUGGCGCCCUAGAUUCUUCUGUAGUACUCGAUCUUUAUUAGGUACCUAGCCAGUGAUGUAUUCGAUAUAUAAUAUUCGAGACGAUGUAUUCGAGAUUAUAUAUAUUAUUCAAGACGAUGAUGUAUAUUCGAGAUUAUAUAUUAAUCGAGACGAUGCAUAUAUAUUAUGUACUAUAUGAUUCAGUUUUUCCUUAUUGAUUGUAUCCAUGCAUUGUAAUUUGAAUACUAAAUUGUUCUAUAUUUCUUCUAUAUUAGUUAAGUAAAAGCUAUGACGGACAAUACCGGUAGAGACAGAGAAGAGGAAUUGUUCAACAUCAUACGCAGCCUUGGCAGGCUAGAUGAUCGGAAUGAAGCAGAUGACGGCUCCCAAUAUCUGAACAAUACUAGAGAGGGUGAUGAAAAGAUAUUCGAUCUCAAUGACCGAGCGGAUGAAGUCAUGAACUAUGAUUCUGAUUAUGAUGACACAAACAAUGUUUAUGAUGACACAGAGAAUGCUGAUCUUCAAAUAACAAAGACUACUGGCGAGGUAUAUUUAUAUAAGCAGGCGUCUGGUGAUCAUGACAUGUUUUUUUUUAUUUUAAGAUAUAUGAACGAAUCGAUCUUCCUUCUUUCAGCCCUCCGGAUCGAGCAAAUCUGCUUCUACAGACAGCAGGACAAAGCGAGGCCCGGGCAGAUUGUUGAAGGACGGUGUAAAGUACAACAUCGAAUCCAUCAAACCUAGUGGCGAACCCCUGAUGCCUAAGAACAUUGCAAACAAGUGGACUCGUCAACGCGGAGUUCUUGUGAAGGACAAACUCCCGAUCUCCAUUCAAGAAUGGAAAGAGCCAAAGACUAAACGUCCAGGUGUUAAUUGGGUCGACGACAGAGCCAAAAAAGACCUUUGGGAUUCUCUGAUGUAACAUAUUUCACCCUACUAAAUUAUUUCACUAAAGCAGAUGUGGACAAAGUGAAGGGCGCUGCUCUUAAGAAGAUGGCAAUUGCAUUCAACACCCACAAGAAAACUAUAUGGGCCAACUACCUCGUUGCAGAAAGGAAGACUCCAGAAUUCACGGGAACACUGGAGAAGCAAAGAGAACACUGGGACGAUUUCGUGAAAUUCAAGGAUUCAGAAAUAUCUAAGGAACGGUCGAUAAAAAACAAGGCCAAUGCCGCAAAAAAGACGCAGUUCCAUAGGCGGGGUCCAGGUGGCUACACGGUGGGAAUGCCUAAGUGGGAUAAGUCUGAGCAAGAGAUGGAGGGUGCAGGGGUCACUCCGAUUACUAGGAGCUGGCCCCCCAGGUGCAGAAGUUGGUUCUAUGCCCAUGGGGGGCGUUGGAGCCGAAGAAAGGUCUGGUUUCAAAGAAGGCAAGUCUAAAAGGAGCCGAACAAAAAAUACUUGACGCAAUAGAAGAAGCUCGAGGACACCCGGGAGAGAGAACGACGAGCUUACGCGCGCCCUGGGAAAUCCUGAACACCCGGGAAGAACACGAGGCAUGGGCGUUAUUCCCUAGUAUGAGGGCUUUUCGGACUGGAACGACGACUACAGGUCCCGUGCAAGAAAGAAGAUGGAGGAGGAGAAGAAGAGGAAGCUGGAGGAGGAUCAGAGGAAGCAGGAUGCAGAACGCCUUCAAGGCCUAGAAGCAAGGCACACGGACUUGGCACUCAAAUUCCAGCAGCAGCAACAACAGAUCGACUCACUUAGCUAGGAAAGGGGGUCUUAGCAGCGGCAUCAGCAAGCGGAUGUUCGUCCAUCAUUGGAUAGCACCGUCCCAUCCAUGCCGAGAAGCAGCGUCGGUUCUACCCCGGGCGACACACUGUUGGAUACAUACCACCCUGUGGAUGACAUCAUAGAGAACACUAACUAUGAGCUACACUCCAAAAUGAAGAACAUAUCCAUGAAGGUGGCGGACGGCGUUGCUUUCACAAAUACCCCUGAAGCAACCUUCCAUUGCAUCCCGAUUCCAGAGGGCUAUGCUCGUGUCAUGGUUGAUGAAGUGGUGGAGCCAUAUUCAAUGCUAGCACUUGAUAUUGCUGGAGGUGACGGCGAGCGCACACUAGGAGAGGCCGUACAUCGUAUCAUCCUAUGGAGAAAGGAUUGCAUCAUCUUUCUAAGUCCACCGACACCGCGUCGUCUACCGACUCCUCCUCGAAGUCCGCCACCGAGUCAGCAGACUCCCGCUCCUCCAAGUCCACGAACAUGUGAGCCGACUCCUCCUCGAAGUCCGCCACCGUGUCAGCAGACUCCUGCUCCUCCAAGUCCACGAACGCGUGAGCCGACUCCUCCUCUAAGUCCGCCACCUCCUCCAUGUCCCCGAACGCGUGAGCAGACUCCUCCUCCUUCAUGUCCGGCACAGCGUCAGGUGCCCACUCCUCCUGCUUCAAGUCCGGCACAGCGUCAGCCACGUCAGCCGUCUCCGCCGUCUCAGCAAUCGCAAAAGAGACACGCCGCAGCUAUGGUGCGUAGCGGUACGAGUCGAGGUACUACAGGAAGUACAGGCGAAGACAAGCGAUAUAAAUAUGGUCCAAGCCUCGCUCCUCUUCCUCAGAGGCCUUACGACAUGACCGAGGAGCAAAACGCAGCCAUAAUGCAGGCCCAAGUGGAUGCCCAUUUUGGACCGAAACCGGCACCGCCACCAAAGGAGAAAGUGCCCGAGAAAACGAUUGACCACUUCAUUCGUAUGGCUAGAGCACCAGCUCCCAAGCCUGUUGACUCAGACUAUGAGCGCCAAAUCAGGAAGCUACAUCGAGCACGGCUACAGAAGGAAGCGAGCUCGAGCUCGAGCCAACAAGUAGCCAACAAAAAAUGCGAGAAAACCGUUCCCCAGCUGGGAGAACAGGCGGCGCAAGCGAUUCCCCAGCUUGUUGUGCCAACCACACAUGAGAGGAGUACGUGCGCCAAAUAUUAUUGUGGGCAAACCGUUAGCGUUCCCCAGCAGGGCGAUGUGGUAAUAAUGGAGGAGCAUAUAAUGCAGACUAAAAUGCUCAAGAUCUCUGUUGGACAACUCCUCGAAAUCGAGCCCAUGUCUCCGCUUAGAAAAUCGGAAAUAAAAUGGAAAUAUGUUCGGGGCCAACCUUUGGUCCAUCCAGACAAGGCCAAGGACCUCCCAACGAGAAUGUAUGAAUUGCAUCAAUGGUACAUGAAUAUUACCAAGAUUUCCAAUCGAGAGUCCCUCAUGGUGAAUGUCAAGCAUGAGCAUUACUACCAUGAGAAAGCUCUAGCCAUUGAGUAUUCAGAACUAUUUUAGUUAUACAAUCAAGACGCACUCGACAAGUCUAUCGUCAGUUGCUAUUGUCUGUAAGUGAUUUCUUUCUAUAAUUUAAGUCUCAAGCUAAUUAUGUAGUGAUAAUUUUGAUCAAUCAUUACAUGUAAUUAUCCUCACUAUAUUCUUUUCUGUGGUAUUAUAUGCAGGAUGAAGAUAUAUGAAAUGAAAAAAUCUGGACGCUAUGGCAUUGGGUUCAUUGACCCAAAUACCAUUAAUGAGUACGUAUGGAACUUUCCAGUUUAUCAAGCAAGUGUAGAGGAAAGCAUGCUAGAGUUCUUGAAGCGCCUCAAUACCAAUGAAGAUAUACUACUUCCUUACAAUUUCCCGUGAGUCACACUGUCUUGUACUACAAAUUUUAUUUUUCUUUGCCGGCUUCAUUAAGACAUGCAAAUGUGUGCGCAUGCAGUUGGCACUGGAUCUUGUUAGACAUUAAAGUUGAGGAAGAAAAAGUUGAAUUACUGGACUCACUAACUAAAGAAGAUAAAGACUACAUCAUCGUGAAGGGGAUAGUCAACAGGUAAUUUCAAUCAUUAUUAACUAUAUCUCAGCCUAUUAUUAUUUCAUCAUUUCCUGAUAUGAACUAUUUAAUAACCCCUUUAUUAAUUCUCUUUGUUGGCGGGCAGGGCAUGGGCAAAGUUCAUCAAGGUGACUCCAGGCAACUGGGCAAAAAAGUUGUUUUGGCAUCGACCAAAGGUAAGUAAUUAAGUAGUACUAGCUAGCUACCAUCUCUUUAAUUCUUGUUUGAAUAUCAUUAAUUAAUUAUCAUGCUUGAUUAGUCAUUAUCUGAUUCAAUUCCAUUCUCGUAAAGGCCCUGAAGCAGGUGUCGGGGAAUAAUCCGUGUGCAUUCUACGUUUGCGAGAAUAUUCACAUGAUGGCGUCCGAAAGGAGCAGAUCUGAUAGACAGGACUGGGUACGUUUAUCAGAACACUAUUCACACCAUUAUCGAUAUCUAGUCACACAACUAAUACACAUGCAUAUUGAUCUUUUUCUUAACAGUUCAGAGAGGUGCGGGAUAAGCUCCUACCAUCGGACCACAUACUAGCACUUCAAGAGGAAAUAGCCGGGUUUUUGCUCGACCAAGUCAUAGAUCUCAAAGGAGAAUACUAUUACCCGCUACCGUCCCCAUGAACCACUUGUCAUCGUGCUCCGGAGGCACCAAGGCAACAUAUGUAGGAGAAAUUGUAUAUGUAUAUACAUGUGUAUGUGUGAAUAAUUAAUGGUGUUGGUUGUGAGACAUUCGAUGAUAUAUAUAUAUAUAUAUGCAUAAUGUGUACAAUUUGUAGUAUCGUGAAAUACCAGCAAACAAAAAAAUGGAAAAUAAAGCCAACCCCCUCCCCCCCCCCAAACAUUUAGUACCGGUUGGUGUUAGCAACUGGUUCUAAUGUCCUACGCGUACACGGGCCUGACUCGUGCCACGUGGUGGCACUUUGGCGCCGGUUCGUGACGAACCGGUACUAAAGGGAGGGGAGCGGGGAGGGGCCUUUAGUCCCUACUCUUUAGUGCCGGUUGGCAAACCGGCAUUAAAGGCCGUUACGAACCGGCACUAAAGGCCGGUUCUGCACUAGUGUCAAAUACAUAAAAAUUUCAACAAAAAUGGGUUUUGGUUUUAAAGAUAUGAACCAUCUAAACUGUGAUAAGGGAAGUAAAAGUGAUGGAUUUUGAGAUGAAGAGGGGAGAGAUAUUGUCAGACAUGCAUGUGUCGUAGUGACCUGUCGUGAACAGGAAAAGAGAGAAAGAAGGACGCUAAAGUGGAUUGAUAACUGACGUGCUGAUACGAGGCUAUUAAUGCGAAUGGUAGAUACUAUGCGUAUACGAGGAAGGCUAGCUCGCAAGCACGGAUCUCCUGCAGAACCAACGACGCAUGCAUGCACCGGACCUCCCGUGCAUGGGAGAAUAGCUUUUCCCCACAGCACUUGUGCCUCGCAGCAAAGGAGGAAGAGAGAGAGAGUCAUGCAGCCAGGGCUGCAAUUUUUAUAUUUCCAUGGGAAAAAUCAGUAGGUGAAGAUGGACGUAGCAAGCAGCGGCAAAUAAGCAAGGAAAUGGCCGAUUGGGUGGCGGCGAGCAGCGGUGAAGCCGCUGACAUUGUAAAGUGGCAGCGGAAGUGUGUGUGUGUCAUGUGUGUCUGCACGCUGCUGAGUCUCCAUAUCCAAGGCCACUGGUUGGGUCAGGGGCACCCCUGUCGCCCCCUCCUUGUGCUUUUUAUUCCAUCCACUGCACUGCCAUAACUAAUUAAUUAAUGAUCCCCAUUUUUUUACCAGUUUAUGUAUGUCUGGUGAUAAUUAAGAGCGUUGCAGGCCUGAUCUCAGCAAUCUGGUUUCAAUUAUCAGGAAAAAAAAAGAUGUGCUGCUUACGUGAGUAGUAUUAUUCAACUCUGUUCUUCGGAGAAGAAAUUGAUGAUGAGCUUGCAAGAACUGGUGGUGCAUGCAAUUCAGCAAUAGCAACAAAAACUGUUGUUGUUGUUAGAAUAGUUGCAUAGAGAUAGGACUUGUUGUUUAAACUUGUACUUCAUCUCUAUCUCUUCUUCUCUCUCUCCCGUAGCUCUCCUCUCUAUAUCUCCUGUAACGGUCGUCAUGAUCGAUCUCCUCAACUUGUACGCCAAAUGUUGUUGCUUUAUAUAUAAAGCGGAGAAAACCUUUUUUCGUCAUCAACAAAAUUGUGAUAGACUAAUUUGGUUGGCAAGUCGCAGGAUCACAUGACACGAAUCGAGCUAGGCAAGCAUGGAAACAGAACGGAGCUAAAAUCAAGCUUGGAACUAGCUAAAAGAGACUCGUUCCCUUACCAAAGGGGUCGAUGGAGAGAUCCAAGGGUGUGGUGUGGCACGCACCUUGGAACCGAAGCAGAGGAUUUGGGCGCACAGAAGACGGAGCUCGGGUCAUGUCGCGCGCAGAGCUCGCUUCUUCCAUGGACGGACCGGCACAGCCCCGGACCGCUGGUGGCGGCGGGUGAGACUGAGCCCCCCACCCGCCGCACUCUUUCUGGAGCUCUGGUCUGCGCAAUCUCCUCUCCUCUGGUGGGCUUUUCAGUCGGCCACUUGCUUAGCUGAAUUGGCUGAAAAAAAUGGAGAGAACGACGUGGGCUGCUGAAAAAGCCCACCGGCUCGUUAACCUCACUCGUUAAGCUUAAGAAAGAAGUAUACAAAUCACCCUCAAAUCCACUCUUUGGGACACAUACCCCCUGAACUCAAAACCGGGACAAAUAACACCCUCAAAUCAUCAAAAUCAGGUUAAUAACCCCCUCAAGCUCCGAACCGCCGCGCACCAAACAACACCUUCAAGAAGGAAUGCGACGCCGAUGAUGCUGCUGCCCGGACUUGUCCUAGGGUCUCCCCCGGCAGGCGGAGGGAGGUGGGGGGUGGAUAUCACCGACAUGCUCCAGGAAGGAAUGGUGGCACCCGCAGGUGUCACCGCAUUGGAGCCGAAGAACCUGCAAGGAUUUCUCCUGCACUCCAACCCCACCGCCCAACCAGACCGCCACCCACCACCAUGCGCCAACGCGGUUGCGCCGCCAACCACGUCGCCUCACUGCGAACACCAACACGAGGCCAAGAGGACCGACGAGAAGCGCCCUGCGGGGGGAGAAGCAGCACGGAAGCCGAACGGGAGGGAGGCCAGAACCUCCGGCACCAUCACGGUAGCCGUUCGGACGCGGCAGCAGGGCAUGCCAGGCCACCCCUGGCCCGGCCAGGCCUGAAAUGGGCCCGCUAAGCCCCGCCGCCACGCUGCAGCAAGCCGGCGAUGGCGCCGCCGGUACCCUGCCGCUCAUCGCCUCUCGGAAGCCACGAAGCAGACCCACCCCGCCGCCGGCCCGCCCAGGCCCAGAUGGGGCCCGAAGGGCCCAGAUCUGGGCCGAGCGCCGCCGCCAACGGCGACGCUGCCGUCCAAAAGUCUGCCCCCGCUUGCGCCAGGGACCCCCGCCGCCGCACUGGACCGCCGUCGCCUAGAGACACCGCCCGGGGUCGCCCCGUCCCCCGCCGGCGGACCCCGAGAGGGGAAAGUCUAGGGGGCCGCCGCCACCAACGUCGCCCGGGCCAGGCCCGCAGCGGGCACCGGCGACGGCGGCAGGGAGGAAGAGGGAGGGGGAGGCACGCGGGGGAGGAGGAUGGGCGGGGCCGGCCGCCAGCGGGGGCGGCACGGUCGCGGUAGAGAGGAGGGGGAGGGUCAAGCCUUUUCCAUCACCCCUUCCCUUUGGUGAUUUUAAGAAGGAUUUGAGUACAUUGCAUGAAAAGUUGAAAGUUGAAAAUCUACAAACUGUGCUGUUAUUUGGAAAAUCACAUGGAAGCUUUGCAAAGACUUUUGGUGAUUUGUUUGCGGAAGCAACAUCCCUUCGUACUAUUUUUUUUUUGUCUGAGGCAUCUUAUAGUUAUAUUUUGGAGGACGUGUUCGGCAGCCUUCCGAGAUUUGUCCAUCUUCACUACCUAAGGAUAGAUGCAAAAUUAAGUUUGAACACGAACAUCUCAAGAUUUUAUAACCUGAGGGCCCUAGAUCUUCAACAGUGCACUGUCCACCUUGGUCUUCAUAGAGCAAUGAGCAACCUUGUAUAAAUGUGUCAUGUUUUGUCCAAGACGUCGGUUUCAAGUUAAGGGAGAUAGGACAGUUGGAACAGCUUGGUGGGUUACUAAGAAUCUAUAACAUUGAGAAUGUUGAACGGAAGGAAGAAGCGGAUGAAGCAAAAUUGAUACACAAAAUCCACUUAGAGGAGCUAUAAAUACGGUGGUGUAUAUAUGGAGAAAUACUUGUUCAACCUUUUCAAAUACUUGUUCAACAUUUAUAAUACUUGUUAACAUUUUUCAAAUAGUUGUUCAACAUUUUUGAAAUACUUGUUCAACAUUUUUAUUUUGAAUGCUUCAUUAACAUUUUUAUAUACAUGAUCGACAUUUUUUAAAUACUUGUAAAAAAAUUAAAAUACUUGUUAAAUAUUUUUCAAAUACUUGUUUCAAAUGUUUUUUGUUAUAUAAUAUUUUAAAGUAUAAACAAGGACAAAAGUAAAGCAAAAAAAUGAAAUCAGAAAAUGUAAAAAAAACGAGGAUCUGGCCUCUCUCGCGCCUAGGCCGGCCCAAUUCGCCCUCUCCUCCAGCAAGCAUUCCCUCUCUCUCGCAGAAAGAGGGAAACAGAGAGUAACUAGUUGACGAGCACUUCUUCGGGAGCCUCACAACGAUCAACACCACUUGGCGCGCUCUCAGCCGCCCGCCACGUGUCGUGCUCCGGGCGCUCCCUUCGGCUUAUUAUUUUUAUUUUUACGCACGUGUUUUCGGCUUUAAAUGGUUUUUCCUAGGUUUUCCCGACGUUCUGGUUUUUCACCGGUCUUCCUUAGCUUUUGGGAAAAAAAUUGGAAUUUUUUUCGCGAGAAAAUGCGUUUUCGUUUUUUUUGGCCUCCGCGAGAGGCACGGUUUUGCUUUCGAGAGGGGCACAACCAUGCCUCUCGGAAACAAAAAAACAUGUUUUCUGCUUUUUUUCCACAAGAGGCAUGGUUUUUUUAUUUUAGAAACGAAAACUUUCCUUAUCAAAGAGGGGCCGGGGGGCUGGAAGAGAAAAGAAAGAGGGGCCCGCCCGGGAGGCACGGUUUUGCUUUGAGAGGCAUGACCGUGCCUCUUGGCAAAUGAAAAAAAUACCCGUUUUAUGUUUUUUUUCUUCUGCGAGAGGCACGGUUUUGCUUCCGCGAGAGGCACGCUAGUGCCUCUCGAAAACGGAAAAGAAAAUGUGUUUUCUGUUUUUUUUUCUUCCACGAGAGGCACGGUUUUGCUUCCGCGAGAGGCACGGUCGUGCUUUCGUGAGAGGCAUGAUCAUGCCUCUCGAAAACAAAAAACACAUUUUCUAAAAAAAAUCUCUUCCGCGAGAGGCACAAUUUUGCUUCUGCGAGAGACACAGUUGUGAUUUCACGAGAGGAACGGUCGUGCCUCUUUUAGAAAGGAAAAAACAUGCUCCUGCUUCGGUUUUUUCGUCUGGGUUUUUUGUUCAAAAAAGUACGUUAAAACCUAUCAACAUUAUAAUGAUCUCGACGCGAGGAAUCCGACGGUGAAAACAGUUUGAGAUUUGGAAACACUGUUUAAAAAACAUUUUGAAUAAAUGGAUCAUCAAGAAAAGAGAAAACUCCCAGCACGCCACUUUUCACAACCUGAGAAGGUGGGAGUGAUUAUUGCGAGGAGUACUUCUUAAUUAGUGAUUUCGGGAAAAUAGGGGCGCCCCUAUUGUACCGAGUCCUCUUCCUUGGCGCCUUAUGCACCAGUUUUGCCUGGUGCCGCUCACCUGCAGCUCACUUGGACCGGCCCAUUCAUUCUAUCGCCCCCGUCGCUCGAUCAUAAUGGUGCUCAAUCGAGCCCUUCCUAGCAUCGGUCGACAAAAAAACUCGCUUGAUAGAUUCAAUUGACAAUGUUGAUCAGUUUAGUUAACCGCGUUGACCAUCUUUUUAAAAGAAGCUCAUCAAUUUUCAGGAAAAGUUCAUCAAUUUUUUUAAAAAAGUUCAUUGAUUUUUUUAAAAAAACAUCGGAUUUGAGAAUAGUUCUUCGAAUAUAAAAAAAGUUCAUCAAAUCUGAAAAAAAAAGUUCAUCAAAUAUGGAAAAAAAAGUCCAUCAAAUCUAAAAAAAGUUCAUUGAUUUGAAAAAAAGUUCAUCAAAUUUUAGAAAAAAGUUCAUUCAAUUUUGUAAAAGUUCAUUCAAUUUGAAAAAAAGUUCAUCAAUUUGGAACAAAAGGUUCAUUCAAUGAGUAUUAAGAAAAAAAACCAAACAAAAUUGUUCCAAAUAAAAAAGAAAAUCAAAAGGAGAAUAGAAAAAGGUGUAAGAAAAAAAAGAGGAAAUAUGUUUCGAUUGAGCACAUAAGUUGUAGUCAGUAGGGUGGUUAGCGCGGCGCGUAUUGACCAGGAGGUCCCCGGUUCGAAUGCUGGCUACGAAAUGGCAUAUAUUCGAUGCUUAAGGCGUCGAGUAGGAUUUGGCCAUUGUACUGUCAUUAUUGAAGUAGAUUGGAAAUAAUUUGUAGUUUGGUCCCUUUUGCCCGGACUAUGGGCCAGCCCUGGUCUGAAGUCUGAUGCGUGUGUUACUUCGAAAUCACUAGUUAAGAAGUAUUUGUUGCCAAGAUCACUCCAACACGCGCCACUUGUCGCAACCUGGGGAAGUUGGAGUAACAUGUGCGCCACUUGUUGCAACAUGUGAGUUUUCCUUUUUUUUGUAGAUCUGUUUAUUCAAAACAUUUUAUCUCUUAAACCGUGCAUCCAAAUCUCGAACCGCUUUCUCCCUUGGAUUCCUCGUGUCAAGAUCUUCAAAUCUAGAUCCAAUGUUGAUAGGUUUUGACGAACUUUUUUUUCACAGAAAAAACCGAACAAAAAACCAAACCGGGAGCAUGGGUUUUUUCCCUUUCCAAAAGAGGCACGUCCGUGCCUAUGACAAAAUCACAACCGUGCCUCUCGUGGAGGCAAAACCGUGACUCUCGCAAAAGGAAAAAAAAGAAAAACGUUUAUUUCGUUCCCGAGGAGGCACGGCCGUGACUCUCGCGAAAGCACAACCGUGCCUCUCGCGGAAGCAAAACUGUGACUCUCGUGAAAGAAAAAAACAGAAAACACAUUUUUUUUCCGUUUCCGAGAAGGCACGGCCGUGACUCUCGCGAAAGCACAACCGUGCCUCACGCGAAAGCAAAACCGUGACUCUCGCGAAAGAAAAAUAAACAUAAAGCACGUUUUUAAAAGAAGAUAGGAUACCGUUUUCUUUCUUCCCGCGGAAGAAAGGACCAUUUGGCUAGGAUUUCUCAUGCCUCCCAUUGGUGCCGCCGCCGGUCUACAUCGUCUCAAAUGCACUUGAAAAUAACAUUUUGGAGCAUCAAUUUAUUGAUUUCCAUGAAUGUCAUAUGGUGAUGAAAUUUUGCAAGCAAACAAACAUUUUGCCAAUGCUUUACACAAAAAAAUCGGAAUUGUUCGAAAUUGUUUUCCGUUUUUAAAAAAAAAUUACUGUUCACCCGUGCCUUCUUCAGAGCAAUAUAGUAGUACAGGUCUCCAGUGUUUGAGUUGCAGCUUCCAGUGGAAGUUUCAGGAGAUGCAAUAGUGUGUUCAUGGCACAUCAUUUACUCAAGAAUCAAAUAAUGAAGCAUCCACCACCUAGACCUACUGUGGAGAUCCAACAAGCAGCAGCACAAGGUUUGGACGAAACCCAGAUUAUCAUGUGACUACGACUUAAUAUUAGUGCCACUUUGUACAUGCAUGUCUUUUUACAUUUCUACAUGCAAGCCUUUUUUUUAGCUUUUUUGAGAAAACUGGAGCGAACUACAACUACGGCGGCAUGGACUACAACGUGAGUGUUGUUGGCAUCCGCCCACCCUUUACCGAAAAAGGGUUUCCCCUGUUUUGUAUUACAAAGCACCAACACUAAUACAAAGGAUUGCUCGGGCGAAAAUCACAACAAGCCCAAAGGAAAGAGAAAGAACAAAGAAGAACCUUCCUAGCGCCGGUGAGUGGAGAGGACCUGUGCGACGAGGACGCGCCCUUCGGGGUCAUCAGCAAGGUGAUGUGUGAGGACAGGGUCGCCGUGUUCGCCUUCUCCUCACGCACCGGUGAGUGGCGUAGCCACGGCUCGAGCGAGCUGUCCAACGACUUUGCACUGGAGUCCUUGUUUGGGCGGCGCCACUACGUGCAGGCCUGCUUCUGCUGGGUGUUGGAGUGGAUUGCAAAGCUGCUCAUGCUCGACGCCGGUGACAAGGACGAGAGUCAGUUCGCCAUUUUGGAGGCAGGGCAGAGCAGGAUUGGUAGGAUUUGGAGAAUUCUCCAUAUUCGACCUCCCACGCCGAUUGCUUGUUUCCAAUUUUAUGGUGGAUUUGAUAAUAACAUUUUUGCUUUCUUGAUAAAUAAUCAAAAAAUUAAUUGUUUUUAUACUAAACGUUUAUACUUAUUUUAAAUUAAGUAUACCAUAUUAAAAAAAUUGUAUUACUUAUGCACGUAACAUUAUUUUCAAAUAAUAAUUAUAUUAUUCAUUGUCGUACAAUUUGUAAUGUAUAUCAUUGAAAUUUUUUAUUUUCCAAGAUUUAAAUUGUGUAAUGUACCAAACAAUCUCGUUCUUAUUAAAAAUAUUUGGAAUUACUUUCCAAUAUUGCAUAAACUAUAUAUUGUACACACACACAUGCGUGUGCUCAUAUAUCUUCUAAUAUUAUUGAAUAACAUGAUAGAUAUUUUUAAAUCAUAUAGACAUUAACACAUAUUUUAAUAGUGUUUUCUAGUGUAUUCUAGGCAAUCAUAUUCAUAGAAACUUUUAGGGCAUAGCAAAUGUGACUUGCAAGUUGGGUUCGGUAAAAUGUUGUUGAUUGUACUUUUGCGUAUGAUUUGAUUAUAUGACAUGCUCGUCUCAGUUCACUUGGUUUUACGUGGUGCAAAUGAGAUCUCCUACCCGUUCCUCAAAUGUAUUGAAAUAUAGUUAUCGUAAGUUUUAUUACGAUAGUAAGACAUCCAUCAUAAAGGCAGGCUAGCAUACUUAAACUCAACUUUGCUAGUCGGAUUGAUUUGGCUCUGUGUGGUAUAUAUAAACUUUUUGUAUGUAAUCUCUACCUCCUAUCGGUGCCGCCGCCGAUUCGUCUCAUCUCACGUGGCCUUAGGGCCUUGGCGGUGUGGCCCUUGCCGGUGGGAGGGUUCUGGCUUUAGAUAUUCCUUCGAGUUUUGUUUGGAUUUGUGUCCUGUUCAGGAAGGCGAGACGACGGCGGCUUCCUGAAGAUGGAAUAAAGUUCUCCUAGCCUAGCCCCCGCCUGGUGGUGUGUCUAGCAUCGUUGGUACAAAUCUGGUUGUAAUUUUUAUUAUUUCUAGUGUUCAUUAUGCGGCGGCGUCUAUUUCUCACAUUAAGUGAGACGAGAGGUUACUCUCGCGCGAUGGUGGGAUUCGAACCUUGGUCUACAGGUUGAUUGCACUAGCUGCUUGCCAUUGGGCUAGAAUCACGUCGGUGCCAAACUAGUAGGUCGGACCUACUUAAGUCGAAUCGAGCGGGUUUCAACUAUUUCUUGUUCAUUUUUCCACAUUUUUUGUUUCCUUUUUCUUUUUCUUAUUCUCAGAUUUUUUUUCCUCUAUUUUAACUCUACAUUUUAGUAUAUGUCCAAUUUUUUUAAUAAGUGAUCAACAUUUUUUUUGUAUACAUGUUGAACAUUGUUCGAACGCUUAUUCAACAUUGUCAAAUACUUAUUCAAAUUUUAAUAAUUAUUUAGAUAUUUUAAAAUACUUGAUCGACUUUUUACAAAUUCUCGUUCAACAUUUUAAAAUUCUUUUUCAACAUUUUUUAAAUACUUUUUCAACAUUUUAAAUAUUUGUUAAACAUUUUGAAAUACUAGUUCAAUAUUUUUCAAAUACUAGUUCAAAAUUUUCAAAAUACUCAAUCAACAUUUUUUAAUAAUUACUCAACAUGUUUCAAAGACUUGCUCACAAAAUUUAAUAGUUAUUCAACAUUUUCAAAUAUUGGUUCAACAUUUUUUAAAUACUCAUUCAACAUUUUUUUAAUACUUACUCAACAUUUUUCAAAUACUUUUUCAACAUUUUAGAAAUACUCGGUAACCACGUUUUUAAUACUUACUAAAAAAAUUUCAAAUACUUGUUAAAUUUUUUUAGUACUGACUCACCAUUUUCAAAUACUCAUUCAACCCUUUUGAAGUACUUGUUCAAUAUUAUUCAAAUAAUUGUUCAAUAUUUUCCAAAUACUCGUUCAACAAUUUUAAAUACUUACUCAACAUUUUUCAAAUACUUGUUCAAACUGUUUAAUACUUAUUCAACAUUUUCAAAUUACUCGUUCAACAUUUUUUUAAUACUUUCUAAAGAUUUUUCAAAUACUUGUAAAAAAAUAAAUACUUACUCAACAUUUUCAAAUAUUCAUUCAAUAUUUUUAAUACUUUCUCUACAUUUUUUAAUACUUACUCAAGAUUUUUCAAAUAAUUGUUAGAAAAAUUAAUACUUACUCAACAUUUUCAAAUAGUAGUUCAACACUUUUGAAAUACUUGUUCAACAUUUUUCAAAUACUUGUUAAAUAAUUUUUAAAUACUCGUUCAACAUUUUUUAAUAUUUUCUUAAAAAAUUCAAAUACUUGUUCAAACUUUUUAAUACUUAUUCAACAUUUUCAAAAUACUCAUUCAACAUUUUUUAAAACUUACUCAACAUUUUUGAAAUACUUGUUCAAAUUUUUUAGUACUUAUUCAACAUUUUCAAAUAUUUUUUCAACAUUUAUGAUACAAUUUAAACUUUUUUUCAAAUACAUGUUAAAUAUAUUUCAAAUACUCGUUCAACAUUUUUUAAUACUUACUCAACAUUUUUCAAAUACUUGUUCAAAUUUUUAAUACUUAUUCAAUGUUUUCCGAAUACUCGUUCAACAAUUUUAAAUACUUACUCAACAUUUUUCAAAUACUUGUUCAAACUGUUUAAUACUUAUUAAACAUUUUCAAAUUACUCGUUCAACAUUUUUUUAAUACUUACUCAAGAGUUUUCAAAUACUUGUAAAAAAAAUUAAUAAUUACUCAACAUUUUCAAAUACUCGUUCAAUAUUUUUUUAAUACUUUCUCUACAUUUUUUUAAUAAUUACUCAAGAUUUUUGAAAUACUUGUUAAAAAAAUUAAUACUUACUCAACAUUUUCAAAUAAUCGUUCAAGACUUUUGAAAUACUUGUUGAACAUUUUUCAAAUACUUGUUCAAUAUUUUUGAAAUACUCGUUCAACAUUUUUUUAUUAUUUUCUUAAAAAAUUCAAAUACUUGUUCAAUCUUUUUAAUACUUAUUCAACAUUUUCAAAAUACUCAUUCAACAUUUUUUAAAACUUACUCAACAUUUUUCAAAUACUUGCUCAAUUUUUUUAGUACUUAUUCAACAUUUUCAAAUACUUUUUCAAAAAUUUGAAUACUUAUUCAGCAUUUUGAAGUACUUGUUCGACAUUUUUCAAAUACUCGUUCAACAUUUUUUUAAUACUUACUCAAUAUUUUCAAAUACUUGUUUAGGAAUUUUCAAAUACUUGUUCAACAUUUUUCAAAUACUUAUUCAACAAUUUUCAAAUACUCGUUCAAUAUUUUUCAAAUACUCGUUCAAAAAAUUUCAAAUACUUGUUCAACAUUUUUUUUAAUAGUUAGUCCCUCCGUCCUAGUUUAUUGGGCCCGUGAGCAACAUAAGGACAUCCCUUAUUCUAAGGCCCCUCCUCGAUUAGCAUUAAAAACGUUAACGAUGGCCUCUAAUGAAUAGUAUGCUUUUAAUUUCGUCCGUCAUACUAGCCACUGCAUGUCGUUCUUUCCUCCAUCAAGGGCCAGGCACCUGAGACUUUUGCCUCGGCCAGCUUGCAGCGAGCGCCCUUAUAGGGAAGUUACCAGUCAUCGUUAAAUUCAUUUUAUUUACUGUCUAAACUAGCGCACAUAAUUAAUAGAUUGCCUUGGUACCUGUAUUUUGGUCGAAGGGCCCAAUAAACCCGGACGGAGGGAGUACUCAACAAUUUUAAAAUACUUGUUCAAAUUUUUUAAUACUUAUUCAACAUUUUCAAAUAAUUGUUCAACAUUAUUGAAAUACUUGUUCAACAUUUUUUAAUACUUAUUCAACAUUUUCAAAAUGCUUUUUCAACAUUUUGAAAUUUUUUAUCGAAUUUGAGAAAAGUUCAUCAAAUUUGAAAAAAAGUUCAUUCAAUUCUGGAAAAUUCGUUCAAUUUGGAAAAAGUGCAUUGAUUUUGAAAAUACUUCAAUAAUUUGGAAAAAAAACUCAUCAAUUUUCAACAAAAGGUACAUUCAAUGAGCAUUAGGAAAAAACCGAACAAAAGCGUUCCGAAUAAAAAAGAAAAACAAAAAAGAGAAAAGAAAAAGUAAUAGAAAAAUAAAAAAUGUGUAAGAAAAAAAAGGAGGAAAGAAGUUUCUAUUGAGCACAUAAGUUGUAGUCAGUAGGGUGGUUAGCGCAGCGAGUAUCGACCGGGAGGUCCCCGGGUUGAAUCUUGGUGCGCGCGAUCUUUUCUGUUUUCCAAACAGAAAAAAAAAAUAGAGUGCGUCGGCCCGACUAGAAUACCUGUCCUGUACCAAAUGGCCUAUAUUCGGCGUUGUACUGUCAUGAUUGAAGAUGCGAAAUCACUAAUUAAGGAGUACUCGUUGCAAAGAAUAUUCCACCUUCCUAGGUUUUACAAGUGGCGCACAUGCACAGCGCCACUUGUCGCAACCCGAGAGUUUUCCCUUUUUUCGUAGAUCCGUUUAUUCAAAACGUUUUAUCUCUUAAACUGUGCGUCCAAAUCUCGAACCGUUUUCACCAUUGGAUUUCUCGCAUCGAGAUCUUCAAAACUAGAUCCCAUGUUGAUAGGUUUUGACGAACUGUUUUUUCACGAAAAAAACCAGACAAAAAAACCAAACCGGGAGCACGGUUUUUUUCCCUUUCCGAAAGAGGCACGCCCGUGCCUCUCGCGAAAUCACAGCUGUACCUCUCGUGGAAGCAAAACCGCGACUCUCGUGUAAGGAAAAAAACAGAAAUCGUGUUUUUUUUGUUUUCCGAGAGGCACGGCUGUGACUCUCGCAAAGCAAAAGCGUGACUCUCGCGAAAGAAAAAAACAGAAAACGGCUGUGACUCUCGCGAAAGCACAACCGUGCCUCUCGCGGAAGCAAAGCCGUGACUCUCGUGAAAGAAAAAAAAAAUAAAAAACGCGUUUUGUUUUUCCCUUUCUGAGGGCACAGCCGUGACUCUCGCGAAAGUACAACCGUGCCUCUCGCGGAAGCAAAACCGUGACUCUAGCGAAAAAAAACAGAAAACACGUUUUUUCCGUUUCCGAAAGGCACGGCCGUGGCUCUCGCUAAAGCACAACCGUGUCUUUGCGGAAGAAAAACCGCAACUUUUGCAAGGAAAAAACACGUUUUUUGGUGUAAAAAUAUAUUUUUUUAUCGAAAAGCUAAGGAAGACCGGGGAAAAACCAAAACGUCAAAAAACCCCGGAAAAAAACUCAUUUAAAAAGCCGAAAACACGUGCGAAAAAAUAAAAAAACAAAAUCUGAAGGGAGCGUCCAAAGUGCGACACGUGGCGAAUGACUGAGAGCGCGCCUAACAAGUCUAACAAGGAUAGAAGAAGCUAGCGGUAGGUGGAAAACGGUAGCCUAACAAGUCCUGAAACAAAAGAGACAGAAUGUGUGUAAGUCCAGAUCAAACAACGGUACUAAUGCUCCGGUGAUAGGGCUGCAACUUCAGUGGGAGUUUCAGUUGACGCAUUGUGUUUAUGGCACGUCAUUUACUCAAGAAUCAAAGAAUAAAACAUCCAACAAAUGAUUGAAUCCGGACGAGAUCUUUUCUUUUUCCCGCAAAGUUUUGACAAAACCUGAUAAUGUAUCAGUGUCACUGCCACCCCACCAGUCACCAUAUAUGUGCGGCUGGUGUACAGCUCUACGUGGAUGCAGUAUGAAAAAAGCAAUAGAGCUUGCACUACUUUACAGUUUACACAUGACACAGCUAGUGAAAUCCAAACCAGAAAAAUAAGAUAAAUAGAAGAAGGGAUUUCUCCGUUAUUUCCAUUUGUCAUUUACACAUGACACAGCUAGUGAAUUCCGAACCAGAAAAAUCUCAAAUCCGAACCAUUACCAGAGUUUACAGUCAAAAUACAAACAUUCACCAGCUGCGCCCAAAGCUACGCCAGAACAGAGAAGCAUCCUUCUCCUGACGCGCUGCGCCGCGAGGAGGAGCUUCGCCGCGAGCUGCGGGAACUCCGACGGCCAUCGCUAUGACCGGCGCUCUCCGGCCCGUCGGGACACCCGGGGCAGAUCCCGCUCCCCCCGUCCGGCGGUUUCGGGCGAUUGGCGCCCCCGCCGCCGCUCGCCGUCCCUUGUCCAUCGGCGCGGCCGAAGCCCGCUCCCAUGCUCAGCCAUCCGCCCCCGCUCCGCGGAAGUAUGUCCCGCCCCACGCCGCCGCGCCUGCGGUGCCGGCUUCCGCGGCCAUCCCGGGCGCCGGCCUGUCCCGCGCCCGCCAAGGUCCGGCCAAGAAGAAGAAGCGUCGCGGUCAGGGGCGGGGCGCCCAAGCUCCGCUUCCCCCGGUGGCCCCGGGUUCCUCCUUGGCCCCGGGUCCGGUCUCGAACCUGCAUCGCGCCCCCGUGCUUCAAUUGCGGGGUGGCGGGUCACUCGCAAGUCAGCUGCGUCAACCCCCGGUGCUGCUGCAUAUGCAAGGACCCUGGCCAUCCCGCUCUGCUGUGUCCUGAUCGCCCUAUGACGUCGGAGCUCAUGAUGUACGACCACGGGAUCGAGGGGCUGGGCUUCUUCCACCUCCAGGUCCCCGAUCUCCCCCCGUCCACCCCCUCCCUUCAGGCGGUCGUCACUGUGGUCGACGGGGUGGCAUCUCCGGAGAUGAUUGAGGCUGAGCUCAACCACCUCUACCAUCGCCAGUGGGACUGGGUGGUCACCCCUACUGCCGGUCACAUCUUCACCGUGGUCUUCCCCGACUCCGUCAGCUACGGCUACGCCACUCGUAGUGGCCGGAUCACCCUCGCCCUCAACCAGCUCGUCGUCGACAUCACCGAGCCGGUUCUCGACGCCCCGACGGUGGCUGUUCUGGAUACCGCCUGGAUCCUUGUGGGUGGUCUCCCCGACAUCGCCCGGUCCGAGCUCGUCAUCCGCCAGAUGUCCAGGAUUCUGGGCAAGGUGAUGGUGGUUGACGAGCUCUCCCUCCUCAAGGAGGAGGAGGUCCGGGUCAAGGUCAAGUUCUUAGACUCCUCCAAGCUCCAUGUCAUCGUCCGUGUGUUCUUCAAUGACCAGGGCUUCGACCUCCACAUCGCCCCCGAGCCUCCCAACCACGUCGGUCGCCCGUGCUCCACUGACGCUGGCCCGCCUAGCGGCAACCCGGGGACCGGUGGGGACUACCACGGUCGCCACCGCCCCCGCUCCCACCGGUCGGAGGACGAGGGGGGAUCCGACGACUCGCACUCUCGUUCGCAGUCUCGUUCUCCUUCGCCUUCGGCCGCUGUUGGGCAUGGGCGCCAGGUCGCGCCGGGCCUCCUCCUUGAGGCCCCCUUGGUCCGGUGGCCGAGUCCCCCGCCGCCAGCGACGCCUCCAGGGUGGGCUUGGUCGUCUGCCCCGCCUCCUCACCCCGCUCCCUUGUUUCCACCGCUCCUGUCGGGCCAGUCCUGGACACGGUGCUCCCCCCCACUGUGCCGUUGGUCCCGGACCCGCCCUCGUCGAUCGCUGGGGGCGAGGUGGACGCCCUGGCUCCCCCCGGCGCUGCUCUCGACGCUGCCCCUUCGGCCACUCCCUGCAGUCCUCCUCCGGCUGGGCGCCCGGGUGUCAUCGCUGUAGGACCUUGAAGUAUGUCUAGAGGGGGGUGAUUAGACUACUUGACCAAUUAAAAACUUAACCUUUUCCCAAUUUUAGUCUUUGGCAGAUUUUAGCUAUCUUAACACAAGUCAAGCAAUCUUCACACAAUUCAACCAAGCAUGCAAAGAGUAUAUGAGCAGUGGAAAUUAGAGCAUGCAACUUGAAAGAAUGUAAAGGGAAGGGUUUGGAGAUUUCAAACGCAAUUUGGAGACACGGUGAUUUUUGAGCCGUGGUUCCGAUAGGUGGUGCUAUCGUACGUCCACGUUGAUGGAGACUUCAACCCCCAUAGGGUAACGGUUGCGCGAGUCCACGGAGGACUCCACCCAAGAAGGGUCCACGAAGAAGCAACCUUGUCUAUCCCACCAUGGCCGUCGCCCACGAAGGACUUGCCUCACUAGCGGUAGAUCUUCACGAAGUAGGCGAUCUCCUUGCCCUUAAAAACUCCUUGGUUCAACUCCACAAUCUUGUCGGAGGCUCCCAAGUGACACCUAGCCAAUCUAGGAGACACCACUCUCCAAGAAGUAACAAAUGGUGUGUUGAUGAUGAACUCCUUGCUCUUGUGCUUCAAAUGAUAGUCUCCCCAACACUCAACUCUCUCUCACAGGAUUUGGAUCUGGUGGAAAGAAGAUUUGAGUGGAAAGCAACUUGGGGAAGGCUAGAGAUCAAGAUUCAUAUGGUAGGAAUGGAAUAUCUUGGCCUCAACACAUGAGUAGGUAGUUCUCUCUCAGAAAUGGUAAGUUGGAAGUAUAGGUUUGUUCUGAUGGCUCUCUUUCAAAUGAAGAGGAGGUGGAGGGGUAUUUAUAGCCUCCACACAAAAUCUAACCAUUACACACAAUUUACCAAUCUUGGUGGGACCGAAUCAACAAACUCGGUCGGACCGAUUCAGUAAACCUAGUGACCGUUAGUGAUUUCGGUGGGACCGACAUGCAACUCGGUGGGACCGAUAUAGUUAGGGUUAGGGCAUAACGUAAUCUCGGUGAGACCGAUUACACAAACUCGGUGAGACCAAUUUUGGUAAUUAGCUAACCAGAGAGUUGGUCAGGUAAACUCGAUGGGACCUAUUCGCUCUUUUCGGUGAGACCAAAAUGUUACGAAAGGGAAACAGAGAGUUUACAUUGCAAUCUCGGUGGGACCAAUCACUCACUUCGGUUAGACCGAAACGUUACGAAGGGAAACAGAGAGAUUACAAUCCCAUCUCGGUGAGACCGAGAUCCCUAUCGGUGAGACCGAUUUGCCUAGGGUUUGUGGCAGUGGCUAUGACAUCUGAACUCGGUGGCGCCGGAUAGAUAGAAUCGGUGGGGCCAAGUUUGACUUUAGGUUUAGAUCAUAUGUGGAUAUGAGAAAGUAGUUGAGGGUUUUUGGAGCAUAUCACUAAGCACUUGAAGCAAGAAACUCAUCAAGCAACACCUCAUCCCUCCUUGAUAGUAUUGGCUUUUCCUAUAGACUCAAUGUGAUCUUGGAUCACUAAAAUAUAAAAUGUAGAGUCUUGAGCUUUUGAGCUUGAGCCAAAUCUUUUGUCCUUAAUAUUUUGAGGGAUCCACUUUCAUCAUCCAUGCCAUGCCAUUCAUUGAGCUUUCCUGAAAUAUUUGUCUUGGAAUAGUAUUAGCUCAAUGAGCUAUAUGUUGUUAUGAAUUACCAAAACCACCUAGGGAUAGUUGCACUUUCAAUCUCCCCCUUUUUGGUAAUUGAUGACAACAUAUAGAUCAAAGCUUAAUAGUAAGGUUGAAAAACAUCGUCACUUUGAGAAGUAUGUGAUAAGCAAGAGCUCCCCCUAAAUUUGUGCAUAGUUUAAGAUUUGCUUUGGACUGCAAAUGCACAAGGAAUUAGGCUCAUGGGUUACUCUUCCAUGUCACAUACAUAUUGGUGGAGCGCUCAAAAUAAUAAAGACUGAAUACAUGCACUCAUCACCAAGCAAAGUGAAUGAUCAUAUAAAGAUAAAUAAGAUAAUAUCAUCUAACAAGCAUAAGUGUAGCUUAUGAUCAAACACAUGAUCAUCAAUGUCUCACAGAUAAUAGCAUAGUAUCUCAAGCAAUCAAAAGCAAAUAAAGCAAAUAAAGUUCAACCAUGAAGACAAGAGAGAACAAAAGCAAAAUCUCUCUCUCGAAGCCUAUGAUCUAUACAUUUUUCUCCCCCUUUGGCAACAAGUUACCAAAAAGUUCCUAGAAAAUGCAUAGUACUAUUUCGUCUCUCAGGCUUGGUCUUCAGUUGGUGGUGUAGAGAUGGCUCCUUGGACGAAGACUUCAGUUGAUGUGGAUGGAGCUGAAGGCGUUGGUGCUGGAGCUGGUUGCACUGGAGCUGUAGCUGGUGCAGAUGAAGUGGCUCUGGUGUUUGUCACAGGCUCUGCAGCUGAUCUCUGAGCUCGAGGCACUCUGGCAAAUGCAUCAGUAGUUGUCCUGCCCUUCCUCUCCUGCAUGUCAUCCUGUAGCUGCUCCACAACUGACUGAAUCUCAGUUACUUUCACAUCAAGGUCAUAGAAUUUUUGUUCCAUGAUUCUUUCCAGGCUCUCCUGGUUUUGAGUUAGGGUGACCAACCCUUUCUCAAUCCUCAGAGUUGAUGCUAUUAAGUAACCAAGCUGGUCCUGCUUGCUCUUCAGAAAGUACUCAGAUGCCUCCUCUAAAGUUGGCAUCUUGGCAGCCUUCUCCUUCUUUGUCUUCUCCUUUUUCUCUUGAGCUUGCACUGAUGAUGGUUCAUUCUCAUUCAUGACAACUUGAUUGUCCUCAAAAUCUGGAUAGAUGACAAAAUGUUCCUUGUCCUACAGAUAUUUUCCUGUGCCCAUCUUGGAAUUUAUCAACUCCUAGAUUUGUGGGGCAUACCCACAACUUCUCUUUUGGUCUGCUGCUGUCCUCUUGAUAGUCUCGACUAUGAGGCUCAUGACCUUGAAUUUCUGUGGCACAUCAAAUAUUUGUAGCAAAUUAAUUGCAUGCCCUCUGAUCAUGUUGUGGUCACCUGACUUGGGCAAUAGAGUGUGCCUUAGGAUCCAGUUGAUUGUUGGCAGCCCUGACAGAAGAAAAUGGACAGACCCAAACUUGAAAGUCUCAAGUGCCUUGUCCGGGAUCUCCUUGUACAUGUGUGACACUGAAUUGUGAUCCUUCUUCUUCUUGGAGUAGACAUCCAAGUCAUCUUCUUUCUCCUCUGGGGCAUUGAUCAGAUUUGCCCAUUCCUCAAUAGUUGAUUGGUACCUUAUACCUUCAGACAUCCAGACUAUUCUGCCAUCAGGAUAAAAAUGAGCUGUGGAGUAGAAUUGCAUAACUAGCUCAUCAUUCCAGUUUGUGAACUUCUGUCCAACAAACUCAUCAACUCCACAAGCCUUAAAGCUGUCAAAUACUCCUGGGUAGUGAUCCUCAUUUUCCUUCAUGUAUUUCCAGUCUACCCACCUCAUGUCACAAACUAUGGGCUUCUUGUCCAACAACACAGUCUCAUAAAAGUCCUGAUGUUCCUUAGUGUGGAACCUAUAAUCAAAAGCAGUUCUUCUUAUGAUUGCAUAGGGAUCAGACAAUCUCCACUGCCUAAGCCGUGCAUCCUUCCUCAGCUUCAUAUUCUCAGCCACUGGAUGAGCAUCGUUGUGGUCUGGAAUCUUGGGUUUGAGCUUCCUCAGAACUUGUCCUUCAUCUUCUUCCUCACCUGCAACUUCAGGCACUGGGGCCUUGUUCUUCUCAGCAGCUGGUAUGCUCCUGGUAUUCCUCUUAGGUGUAGACUUGGCCUUGGAGGCAACUUUGGGUGCUUCCUUGGGCUUUGAUGAUGCAGCCCCUGACCUUAUAGCAUCACCCAUCAGCUUUUGUGCCUUGGGUGCUGGUGCAGCAACCUCUUCUUCCUCCUCCUCUUCCAUCAUGGAAGGUUGUCUAACAACUCUGGCCAUGGUCUUUCUGACCCUUUCCUUCCUCUUCUUUCCUUCUGCAGCUGGCUCUUUGGGAUCAGGUUUCUCAGGUUCUUGUGUUGAUCCUCUGACCUUCAGCAUAGGUGUCCUCUUGGCAGGGACCUUCCUAUUCAGUCCAGGCUUUGUGGUCUUAGCUGAACCAUACUCCUUUUUGAGCACUACCUUCUUGGAAGUAGCCUCAUCUUCAGCUGCCACAUAGUCCUCAUCCUCAGAGUAUGAGGUUCUCUUCCUUCUGGCUCUUGUGGCUGCUUUGGGAAAAUUGCUAGGAGUGCUCCUGCUGCCUUCAUCUGAGGAACUAGAGGGACUAGUGCCCUCACUCAUGUGAAUUUGCUCUUCUUCCCUGUUCUGGCUGUCACUUUGGUCUGACAUGCUGCAAACACUGACUGCUGACCCUGUGAAUAGAUGUAGUUGAGAUAGAAUGGAUGAGCAUCACAGAAAGCAGAGAUUUUUGCAAAAGAAUGAUUCAAAAACUUAGUUUUAGUUUUCCAUAGAAAGCAUUUCGGAUCAACCGAUUUGCAAACUCGGUGAUACCGAAGCAGCUUUUGGAACCUAAACUAGUGAUCUCGGUCAGACCGAGUCACAGUUUGGUGGCACCGAGACUGCUAGGGUUUCACUGAGUUCUAAAAUCGGUCACACCGAUUUGCAAUUCUCGGUCAGACCGAGAAUCACUUGUGCAAUGGCGUUAGCCGAAUCGGUGGAACCGAGUUUGUCAACUCGGUGGGUCCGAGAUGGUUUCGGCGGAAACCUAACCCUAAAUUUUCAAAUCUCAUCUAAUCUAAGGAUUGUUUUGACUGGAUAGAUGCGUUUCAAUCGUGGCAAGAAUCAUAAUGAACACAAUGUGCUAGAAAUCGGACGAGGAUAGCACUGUGAUCGAGUCUAUACCCUAGUUUGGCGAUGAACUCGCUACGACGGCAACGGCGGGGAAGAAUUCCGUUGACGGCGGCGGAGACCAGCGACUGGAGGCGGCUGGCGAUGAAGUCGACGAUUCGGAGACCUAGGAGGCAGAGCAAGCUAUGCGCGGGCGAAGGGGUUUGGAGAAUUUUUCCAAAUUUUUGCCCGUGUGUAUAUAUAGCCCGACCCUGUCGGUGUGACCGAGUGGAACAACUCGGUGGCACCGAGAUGCAUAACUGUUGACAAUUACAGCAACUCAGUGAGACCGAAAAAUUCAAAUCGGUUGCACCGAGAUUUAAAACCUAGAUCGACUUAGUGAUCUCGGUAUGACCAAAAUGGAAGAAACGGUCAGACUGAAACACACAAAGAAGUUUUGGAAGUUUAAGUCCAUGACGAAUCGGGGACUCCGAGUGCUCCUCACACAGUGUGGUUCGAAUCUGACUUGAUCAAAUUUUGUGAUGUAGCAUGAAUAGAGUUUGAGACAAGAAAAGCAUAGAUAGCUAGAGAAGGUUCUUAGGCAUUCUUGUUCAUCCAUUUGGCAAAAGGAAAAAGAAGCCAAUCAAUCAAAGCAACAAGUGGAUGUCCUCGAAUGAGUCAAAUAUGCAACCAACAUGCUCACACAAUAAAAUGGCAAAUGAAAUAUGUGGCAAAGCAUGCACAACCAAUUCUAGCAUCUAUCAAACAAUUUGCGAUGACUAGGUCAUCUAUAUAUGAGUAUAUUGACUUAGGAUUCAAAUGAGAACAUUUGAUCAUAGGUCAUACUCAUCGUUUAAGCUCAAGUGGGGUUACCACUUUUACAUAAUGCAUUUAUGUUUUCACAUCAUUAGAGUUGCUUUGACUCAAUUCUUAGAUUUAAGACCCCCCUAGAUGUGAGAUCCCCCCUUAGAGGGAUUAACUAACCUUGGGUUUUGUCGAUGAUGACUUCAUGUAGGUGUUGAAGAUGUGGAUGCUCAAUGUUGGUGUAGAUCAUUUGGAGCAAUCCUUUGGAGUGAUUUGCACUUUCAAUACCUACAUGGGUUAGUCCCACAAGGAACAAACAAGAAUAUCCAUAGACAUAGAGUGAUGCACACACAAGAUGAUGUCCAUGAAAGCAUUAGGUUACCUUGUCCCUUGCCUUACCAACAUGAGGGUUUGUGACUCCUUGAACCAGUGCAAGAUGUGGAAGUUGAUUGCACUUGUCCUUGCCAUGAUGAUAUGAGUGAAGUUUGUUGGCGGAGUCACCCUCAAGAACUCUCUAGUUCUUCUUCUUCGGGAUCCACAUCAUCUUGAUGGGAAUCCUUGGAGUUGUAGUCAUGCUUGAUGAAGUAGAACUUGACGUAGUCUUGGGAACCCACUUGACCAAAGCCUUAGGAGCUUCUUCAAAUGCAUCAAUCUCCUCUUGAAGCUUGUCCUUGCCUUUGUGCUUCUGGUCUUGUGGUGGAAGAUCAUCUUGAGCUUGUGUUCCCUCGAAGGAAGUAGGAUCGUACUUCUCUUGUUGAGGAACAAACUUCGUCUUGGGGUAUUGAUCUUCUUCCCACUCAACUCCAUUAGCAUUGAACUUUCGUUCAAAACCAACACCUUGAUUAUUCCGGUGCCUUCCUUGCUUGCGUACAAUUUCCUCGAAUUGCUUACUUCUGGCAAGGCUCUUGUAAACACCUUUCUCUAUAAUACCCUUCAAUAAGCUAUUUUCUUGCUCAAGUUUAACCCGGCUAAGAGAAUCAUUAGUGGAAUCAAGAGAACUACUAAAAGCAACAAUAUUGGAUUUAGCAUGAUUAUUGUUACUACUAGAGGAAGAAUCCUUCUUUUUUCUUGUUACUAGACUUGACUUGAGGCAUGUAAGUAGAUAAGAGUAAACGCUUGGCAAUGUAAGAAGAACUUUUCUUGCGAAGAGCAUCAUUUAUUGCUUUUAAGAACUCAUGCUCUUGCUCAAGAUUGAGCUUUUCAAAGCGUAACUUCUCAUGAGUCCUCAAAAGUUCUCGAUGAUUCCCUAAGAUAGUUUCAUGAGCUAACUUAAGAGUGUUUAGUUCUUUAGUUAGAAGCUCAAUCUUCUCCUUAUCAUUUUCAUUCGUUUUAUCUUGUUUAGCAUGAUUAAUUGACGUUUCAUCAUAGUAUUCAUCACUAGAGUUGUCAAUAAGUAAAUCAUCAUCACCUAACAAGUCAUCUUCAUCACUAUUGAAAUCAACAUACUCGGGGUGAGUUACCUUAGGGCCUUGAGCCAUGAAGCAUCUUCCAAUUCCUUCAUUUGGUGAAUCAAAUAUGUCAUAGGAGUUGGUCGACACAAGUGCUAGACCGGCAACACCUUCAUCUUGAGUAUGUUCGGAGUCGGAGUGAUAGCUUCUCUCGGAGUGAUGUUCAGAGUUGGAACCGGAUACCCAUUCACGAACAUGAGCUUGAUGUCUUUGUUUUGUGUAGAUCUUUGAUGACUUGUCCUUCCUUUCCGAAUCCUUGCUUCUCCGGGAUGUUCUUCGUUCAUAACGAUCAUCUCUACUCCUUCUCUCUCUUGGCGGUGAUUCUUCUCUUCUACUUCUUCUAUUGGGAGAAUCUUCUCUUCUUUUGUAGGGUGUCGUACACUCAUUGGAAUAGUGUCCGGGUCUCCCACAAUUAUAGCAAUUGCGCUCUCAACUGGAAGAUCUUUUGUCAUUGUAAGACCUUGACUUGGAGCUUCUUUCUUUGCUUCUACUCUUGUAGAAUUUGUUGAAGUUCUUCACCAUUAAGCUCAAUUCUUCAUUGAAGGUUUGUUUCUCACUUGAUGAUGUAGGGGCUUCACAUGAGGCUUUGUAAGCACCACUUGACUUGUUGUGAAGUUCCUCCUUAUCCUUGAGUGACAUCUCAUGAGCAACAAUUCUUCCAAUGACCUCCGCUGGCUUGAGAUUCUUAUAACUGGGCAUCAUUUGGAUCAAUGUGCACACGGUAUCAUAUUUUCCAUCCAAUGCUCUUAGGAUCUUCUUGAUGAUGAAUCUGUCGGCCAUCUGUUCACUUCCUAAGCCCGAGAUCUCAUUUGUGAUAAGACCAAGCCUAGAGUACAUUUCAGCGACACCUUCACCAUCCUUAAUUUUGAACUUGUCAAGUUGACUUUGGAGCACAUCCAGCUUGGAUUCCUUGACGGAGUCGGUACCUUCAUGCAUAUGAAUCAAAGUAUCCCGAAUUUCCUUUGCAUUCUCAAGACGGCUGAUUUUGUUGAAUUCUUCGGGGCACAAUCCGUUGAAGAGGAUAUCACAAGCUUGAGCGUUGUAUUGCAGCAUCUUCAAUUCAUCCACACUAGCUUCACGGUUUGGUUCCCUCCCAUCAAAGAAUUCACCUUGCAAGCCAAUACACACAAUAGCCCAAAUGGCGGGGUUAUGUCCGAGAAUAUGCAUUUUCAUCUUAUGCUUCCAACUAGCAAAAUUAGUGCCAUCAAAGUAAGGACCUCUACGGUGAUAAUUUCCCUCGCUAGACGCCAUACUCUCCUAGGUUGUGAAACCAAGGCUAUGACCACCAAAAGCUAUGGAAAUCAAAGCAAAUGGAGACCAAAGCUUUGAUACCACUUGUAGGACCUUGAAGUAUGUCUAGAGGGGGGUGACUAGACUACUUGACCAAUUAAAAACUUAACCUUUUCCCAAUUUUAGUCUUUGGCAGAUUUUAGCUAUCUUAACACAAGUCAAGCAAUCUUCACACAAUUCAACCAAGCAUGCAAAGAGUAUAUGAGCAGUGGAAAUUAAAGCAUGCAACUUGCAACAAUGUAAAGGGAAGGGUUUGGAGAUUUCAAACGCAAUUUGGAGACACGGUGAUUUUUGAGCCGUGGUUCCGAUAGGUGGUGCUAUCGUACGUCCACGUUGAUGGAGACUUCAACCCCCGUAGGGUAACGGUUGCGCGAGUCCAUGGAGGACUCCACCCAAGAAGGGUCCACGAAGAAGCAACCUUGUCUAUCCCACCAUGGCCGUUGCCCACGAAGGACUUGCCUCACUAGCUGUAGAUCUUCACGAAGUAGGUGAUCUCCUUGCCCUUACAAACUCCUUGGUUCGACUCCACAAUCUUGUCGGAGGCUCCCAAGUGACACCUAGCCAAUCUAGGAGACACCACUCUCCAAGAAGUAACAAAUGGUGUGUUGAUGAUGAACUCCUUGCUCUUGUGCUUCAAAUGAUAUUAUCCCCAACACUCAACUCUCUCUCACAGGAUUUGGAUCUGGUGGAAAGAAGAUUUGAGUGGAAAGCAACUUGGGGAAGGCUAGAGAUCAAGAUUCAUAUGGUAGGAAUGGAAUAUCUUGGCCUCAACACAUGAGUAGGUAGUCCUCUCUCAGAAAUGGUAAAUUGGAAGUGUAGGUUUGUUCUGAUGGCUCUCUCUUCGAAUGAAGAGGAGGUGGAGGGGUAUUUAUAGCCUCCACAAAAAAUCUAACCGUUACACACAAUUUACCAAUCUCGAUGGGACCGAAUCAACAAACUCGGUCGGACCGAUUCAGUAAACCUAGUGACCGUUAGUGAUUUCGGUGGGACCGACAUGCAACUCGGUGGGACCGAUAAGGUUAGGGUUAGGCAUAACGUAAUCUCGGUGAGACCGAUUACACAAACUCGGUGAGACCGAUUUUGGUAAUUAGCUAACCAGAGAGUUGGUCAGGUAAACUCGGUGGGACCGAUUCGCUCUUUUCGGUGAGACCGAAAUGUUACGAAAGGGAAACCGAGAGUUUACAUUGCAAUCUCGGUGGGACCGAUCGCUCACUUCGAUUAGACCCAAACGUUACAAAGGGAAACAGAGAGAUUACAAUCCCAUCUCGGUGAGACCGAGAUCCCUAUCGGUGAGACCGGUUUGCCUAGGGUUUGUCGCAGUGGCUAUGACAUCUGAACUCGGUGGCGCCGGAUAGAUAGAAUCGGUGGGGCCGAGUUUGACUUUAGGUUUAGGUCAUAUGUGGAUAUGAGAAAGUAGUUGAUGGUUUUUGGAGCAUAUCACUAAGCACUUGAAGCAAGAAACUCAUCAAGCAACACCUCAUCCCUCCUUGAUAGUAUUGGCUUUUCCUAUAGACUCAAUGUGAUCUUGGAUCACUAAAAUAUAAAAUGUAGAGUCUUGAGCUUUUGAGCUUGAGCCAAUCCUUUUGUCCUUAAUAUUUUGAGGGAUCCACUUUCAUCAUCCAUGCCAUGCCAUUCAUUGAGCUUUCCUGAAAUAUUUGUCUUGGAAUAGUAUUAGCUCAAUGAGCUAUAUGUUGUUAUGAAUUACCAAAACCACCUAGGGAUAGUUGCACUUUCAGUCGCUCCUCCCCCCGUGGCCGGCCUGCCUCCUCUGGUUGUGCCCCCCCACCGCCCCCGGCCCUGCCUGUGGCCCGGGCUGCUCUCGUCGACGACUCUGCUCCACCACCGCCGUCUUCGACACCGAUGCCGUCGCCGACUUCCUCCCCGACCCUGGUUCUCCAGCUCCUCCCCGAUGCGGUCUCCGGCCUAGACGGGGAAUCCGGGUGACCACCCCCUGGCUGCCCCGCCACCUCCUCCAUGUGCCACGGCCUUCUCUCGGCGCGCCCGUUCGGCCUCCUCUCCAGCGACUGCCUCUUGCCGGAGCACGCGGCUAGACGCGGCGCGCCCAGAGGGUAGCCUGGCGCUGGCCAUCCGCGAGUGGGCGGAGCUCCGUGCUGCUACGCGGAACGUGGAGCCAGGUACCCCUUCAGUCCCCCUCUCGGCAGCUACUUGUUCCUUCUCUGCUCUCGAGUUGGUUCCGCUUGGACACCUUGUGAGGAUCGCGACUGAUUCCGCGAUCAUCUUCAGGGGAGAGGUUGCCCCCCAUAGCCCAGAUCGAGGCCAUUAGGGCUCGCGAGAUCCUCGACGGUAGGCUUGCUGCGGCUAGAGCAGCCCUGCUNNNNNNNNNNNNNNNNNNNNNNNNNNNNNNNNNNNNNNNNNNNNNNNNNNNNNNNNNNNNNNNNNNNNNNNNNNNNNNNNNNNNNNNNNNNNNNNNNNNNNNNNNNNNNNNNNNNNNNNNNNNNNNNNNNNNNNNNNNNNNNNNNNNNNNNNNNNNNNNNNNNNNNNNNNNNNNNNNNNNNNNNNNNNNNNNNNNNNNNCCCGGGCCCGUCGACCACGUCGGCGGAUCUUAUUCCGCCCCCUCUGAAGGAAAUAUGCCCUAGAGGCAAUAAUAAAGUUAUUAUUUAUUUCCUUAUUUCAUGAUAAAUGUUUAUUAUUCAUGCUAGAAUUGUAUUAACCGGAAACAUGAUACAUGUGUGAAUACAUAGACAAACAUAUAGUCACUAGUAUGCCUCUACUUGACUAGCUCAUUAAUCAAAGAUGGUUAUGUUUCCUAACCAUAGACAUGUGUUGUCAUUUGAUUAAUGGGAUCACAUCAUUAGAAGAAUGAUGUGAUUGACAUGACCCAUUCCGUUAGCCUAGCACUUGAUCGUUUAGUAUAUACUGCUAUUGCUUUCUUCAUGACUUAUACAUGUUCCUGUAACUAUGAGAAAUAUGCAACUCCCGUUUACCAGAGGAACACUUUGGGUACUACCAAACGUCACAACGUAACAGGGUGAUUAUAAAGGAGUACUACAGGUGUCUCCGAAGGUACAUGUUGAGUUGGCGUAUUUCGAGAUUAGGUUUUGUCACUCCGAUUGUCGGAGAGGUAUCUCUGGGCCCUCUCGGUAAUGCACAUCAUUAUAAGCCUUGCAAGCAAUGUGACCAAAUGAGUUGGUUACAGGAUGAUGCAUUACGGAACAAGUAAAGAGACUUGCCGGUAACGAGAUUGAACUAGGUAUUGGAUACUGACGAUCAAAUCUCGGGCAAGUAACAUACCGAUGACAAAGGGAACACCGUAUGUUGUUAUGCGGUUUGACCGAUAAAGAUCUUCAUAGAAUAUGUAGGAACCAAUAUGGGCAUCUAGGUCCCGCUAUUGGUUAUUGACCGAGAAUGGUUCUAGGUCAUGUCUACAUAGUUCUCGAACCCGUAGGGUCCGCACGCUUAACGUUACGAUGACAGUUUUAUUAUGAGUUUAUAAGUUUUGAUGUACCGAAGUUUGUUCGGAGUCCCGGAUGUGAUCACGGACAUGACGAGGAGUCUCGGAAUGGUCGAGACAUAAAUAUUGAUAUAUUGGAAGCCUAUGUUUGGACAUCGGAAUGGUUCCGGGUGAAAUCGGCAUUUUACCGGAGCACCGGGAGGUUACCGGAACCCCCCGGGGGGUUGAUGGGCCUACUUGGGCCACGAGGGAGAAGAGAGAAGGAGCCAGGAGGGGGCCGUGCGCCCCUCCCCCUCCUAGUCCGAAUAGGACAAGGGAAAGGGGGCGACGCCCCCCCUUUCCUUCCCCUCUUCCUCCUCUUUCCCCCCCUUCUCCUACUCCUACUUGGAAAGAGGGAGUCCUACUCCCGGUGGGAGUAGGACUCCCCCCUUUGGCGCGCCCUCUAGGCCGGCCGCCUCCUCCCCCUUGGCUCCUUUUUAUACGGGGGCGGGGGGGCACCCCAAAGACACACAAGUUGAUCUACGGAUCGUUCCUUAGCCGUGUGCGGUGCCCCCCUCCACCAUAUUCCACCUCGGUCAUAUCGUCGCGGAGUUUAGACGAAGCCCUGCGCCGGUAGAGCAUCAUCAUCGUCACCACGCUGUCGUGCUGAUGGAACUCAUCCCUGAAGCUUUGCUGGAACGGAGCCCGGGGAUCGUCAUCGAGCUGAACGUGUGCUGAACUCGGAGGUGCCGUACGUUCGGUGCUUGGAUCAGUCGGAUCGUGAAGACGUACGACUACAUCAACCGCGUUGUCAUAACGCUUCCGCUUAUGGUCUACGAGGGUACAUGAACGGACACUCUCCCCUCUUGUUGCUAUGCCAUCACCAUGAUCUUGCGCGUACGUAGGAAAUUUUUUGAAAUUACUACGUUCCCCAACAGUGGCAUCCGAGCCUGGUUUUAUGCGUUGAUGUUAUAUGCACGAGUAGAACACAAGUGAGUUGUGGGCGAUAUAAGUCAUACUGCUUACCAGCAUGUCAUACUUUGGUUCAGCGGCAUUGUGAGAUGAAACGGCCCGGACCGACAUUACACGUACGCUUACGCGAGACUGGUUUCACCGCUAUGAGCACUCGUUGCUUAAAGGUGACCGGCGGGUGUCUGUCUCUCUCACUUUAGUUGAACCGAGUGUGGCUACGCCCGGUCCUUGCGAAGGUUAAAAUAGCACCAACUUGACAAACUAUCGUUGUGGUUUUGAUGCGUAGGUAAGAACGGUUCUUGCUAAGCCCGUAGCAGCCACGUAAAAAUUGCAACAACAAAGUAGAGGACGUCUAACUUGUUUUUGCAUGGCAUGUUGUGAUGUGAUAUGGUCAAGACGUGAUGCUAUAUUUUAUUGUAUGAGAUGAUCAUGUUUUGUAACCGAAAUUAUCGGCAACUGGCAGGAGCCAUAUGGUUGUCGCUUUAUUGUAUGAAAUGCAAAUGCCCUGUAAUUGCUUUACUUUAUCACUAAGCGGUAGCGAUAGUCGUAGAAGCAAUAGAUGGCGUAACGACAACGAUGCUACGAUGGAGAUCAAGGUGUCGCGCCGGUGACGAUGGUGAUCACGACGGUGCUUCGAAGAUGGAGAUCACAAGCACAAGAUGAUGAUGGCCAUAUCAUAUCACUUAUAUUGAUUGCAUGUGAUGUUUAUCCUUUAUGCAUCUUAUCUUGCUUUGAUUGACGGUAGCAUUUUAAGAUGAUCUCUCACUAAUUAUCAAGAAGUGUUCUCCCUGAGUAUGCACCGUUGUGAAAGUUCUUCGUGCUGAGACACCACGUGAUGAUCGGGUGUGAUAGGCUCUACGUUCAAAUACAACGGGUGCAAAACAGUUGCACACGCGGAAUACUCGGGUUAAACUUGACGAGCCUAGCAUAUACAGAUAUGGCCUCGGAACACGGAGACCGAAAGGUCGAGCGUGAAUCAUAUAGUAGAUAUGAUCAACAUAGUGAUGUUCACCAUUGAAACUACUCCAUCUCACGUGAUGAUCGGACAUGGUUUAGUUGAUUUGGAUCACGUGAUCACUUAGAUGACUAGAGAGAUGUCUGUCUAAGUGGGAGUUCUUAAGUAAUAUGAUUAAUUGAACUUAAAUUUAUCAUGAACUUAGUCCUGGUAGUAUUUUGCAAAUUAUGUUGUAAGAUCAAUAGCUUGCGUUGUUGCUUUCAUAUGUUUAUUUUGAUAUGUUCCUAGAGAAAAUUGUGUUGAAAAAUGUUAGUAGCAAUGAUGCGGAUUGGAUCCGUGAUCUGAGGUUUAUCCUCAUUGCUGCACAGAAGAAUUAUAUCCUUAAUGCACCGCUAGGUGACAGACCUAUUGCAGGAGCAGAUGCAGACGUUAUGAACGUUUGGCUAGCUCAAUAUGAUGACUACUUGAUAGUUUUGUGCACCAUGCUUUAUGGCUUAGAAUCGGGACUUCAAAGAUGUUUUGAACAUCAUGGGCCAUAUGAGAUGUUCCAGGAAUUGAAGUUAAUAUUUCAAGAAAAUACCCGAGUUGAGAGAUAUGAAGUCUCCAACAAGUUCUAUAGCUAAAAGAUGGAGGAGAAUCGCUCAACUAGUGAGCAUGUGCUCAGAUUGUCUGAGUACUUCAAUCGCUUGAAUCAAGUGGGAGUUAAUCUUCCAGAUAAGAUAGUGAUUGACAGAAUUCUCUAGUCACCAUCACCAAGUUAGUAGAACUUUGUGAUGAACUGUAGUAUGCAAGGGAUGACGAAAACAAUUCCGAGCUCUUCGUGAUGUUGAAAUCAACGAAGGUAGAAAUCAAGAAAGAGCAUCAAGUGUUGAUGAUUGACAAGACCACUAGUUUCAAGAAAAGGGCAAAGGGAAAGAAAGGGAACUUCAAGUAGAAUGACAAGCAAGUUGUCAGUCCCGCGAAGAAGCCCAAAGCUAGACCAAAGCCUGAAACUGAGUGAUUAUACUGCAAAGGAAAUGGUCACUGGAAGCGGAAAUGCCCUGAAUAUUUGGUGGAUAAGAAGGAUGGCAAAGUAAACAAGGGUAUAUUUGAUAUACAGGUUAUUGAUGUGUGCCUUACUAGUGUUUAUAGUAGCUCCUGAGUAUUUGAUACUUGUUCGGUUGCUAAGAUUAGUAACUCGAAACAGGAGUUACAGAAUAAACAGAGACUAGUUGAAGGGGAAGUGACGAUGAGUGUUGGAAGUAGUUCCAAGAUUGAUAUGAUCAUCAUCGCACACUCCCUAUACUUUCGGGAUUAGUGUUAAACCUAAAUAAAUGCUAUUUGGCAUUUGCGUUGAGCAUGAACACGAUUUGAUCGUGUUUAUUGCGAUACGGUUAUUCAUUUAAAGUUAGAGAAUAAUUGUUAUUCUGUUUACAUGAAUAAGACCUUCGAUGGUUAUACACCCAAUGAAAAUAGUUUGUUGGAUCUCGAUCGUAGUGAUACACAUAUUCAUAAUAUUGAUGCCAAAAGAUGCAAAGUUGAUAAUGAUAGUGCAACUUAUUUGUGGCACUGCCGUUUGGGUCAUAUCGGUAUAAAGCGCAUGAAGAAACUCCAUAAAGAUGGAUUUUCGGAAUCACUUGGUUAUGAAUCAUUUGAUGCUUGCGAACCGUGCCUUUUGGGCAAGAUGACUAAAAACUCCGUUCUCCGGAACAAUGGAACAAGCUACUGACUUAUUAGAAAUAAUACAUAACGAUGUAUGCGAUCCAAUGAGUGUUGAUGCUCAUGGCAAGUAUCGUUAUUUUCUGACCUUCAUAAAAUGAUUGAGCAGAUAUGGGUAUAUCUACUUGAUGAAACAUAAGUCUGAAAUAAUUGAAAGGUUCAAAUAAUUUCAGAGUGAAGUGGAAAAAUCAUCGUAACAAGAAAAUAAAAUUUCUACGAUCUGAUCGCGGAGACGAAUAUUUGAGUUACGAGUUUGGUCUUCAAUUAAAACAAUGUGGAAUAGUUUCACAGCUCACGCCAUCUGAAACACCACAAUGUAAUGGUGUGUCCGAACGUCGUAAUCGUACUUUACUAGAUAUGGUGCGAUCUAUGAUGUCUCUUAUCGGUUUACCACUAUCGUUUUGGGGUUAUGCAUUAGAGACAGCUGCAUUCACAUUUAAUAGGGCACCAUCUAAAUCCGUUGAGACGACACCGUAUGAACUAUGGUUUAGCAGCAAACCUAAGCUGUCGUUUCUUAAAGCUUGGAGUUGCGAUCUUAUAUGAAAAAGGUUUUCAACCUGAUAAGCUCGAAUCCAAAUCGGAGAAGUGCGUCUUCAUAGAAUACCCAAAGGUAACUAUUGGGUACACCUUCUAUCACAGAUCCGAAGGCAAGUUAUUCGUUGCUAAGAUGGAUCCUUUCUAGAGAAGAAGUUUCUCUCGAAAGAAGUGAGUGGGAGGAAAGUAGAACUUGAUGAGGUAACUGUACCUGCUCCCUCAUUUGAAAGUAGUUCAUCACAGAAAUAUGUUCCUGUGACUACUACACCAAUUAGUGAGGAAGUUAAUGAUGAUGAUCAUGAAACUUCAGAUUAAGUUACUACAGAAUCUCGUAGGUCUUACAGAGUAAUAUCCGCACUAGAGUAGUACGGUAAUCCUGUUCUGGAAGUUAUGUUACUAGACCAUGACGAACCUACGAACUAUGAAGAAGCGAUGGUGAGCCCAGAUUCCGCAACAUGGCUUGAGGCCAUGAGAUCUGAGAUAAGAUCCAUGUAUAAAAACAAAGUAUGGACUUUGAUUGACUUUCCCAAUGAUCGGUGAGACAUUGAGGUUAAAUGGAUCUUUAAGAAGAAGACUGACGCUGAUGGUAAUAUAAUUGUCUAUAAAGCUCGACUUGUUGCGAAAGGUUUUUGACAAGUUCAAGGGGUUGACUACGAUGAGACUUUCUCACCCGUAGUGAUGCUUAAGUCUGUCCGAAUCAUGUUAGCUAUUGCAGCAUUUCAUGAUUAUGAAAUUUGGCAAAUGGAUGUCAAAACUGCAUUCUUGAAUGGAUUUCUGGAAGAAGAGUUGUAUAUGAUGAAACCAGAAGAUUUUGUUGAUCCAAAAGGUGCUAACAAAGUGUGCAAGCUCCAGCGAUCCAUCUAUGGACUGGUGCAAGCAUCUCGGAGUUGGAAUAUAUGCUUUGAUGAGUUGAUCAAAGCAUAUGGUUUUACACAGACUUUUGAAGAAACCUGUAUUUACAAGAAAGUGAGUGGGAGCUCUGUAGCAUUUUUAAUAUUAUAUGUGGAUGACAUAUUGUUAAUUGGAAAUGAUAUGGAAAUUCUGGAUAGCAUGAAAGGAUACUUGAAUAAGAGUUUUUCAAAAGCAAGACCUCGGUGAAGCUGCUUACACAUUGAGCAUCAAGAUCUAUAUAGAUAGAUCAAGACGCUUGAUAAGAUUUUUCAAUGAGUACAUACCUUGAUAAAUUUUUGAAAUAGUUCAAAAUGGAACAGUCAAAGAAAGGAGUUCUUGCCUGUGUUACAAGGUGUGAAGUUGAGUAAGACUCAAGACCCGACCAUUGUAGAAAAUAGAAAGAGAAUGAAAAGUCAUUCCCUAUGCCUCAGUCAUAGGUUCUAUAAAGUAUGCUAUGCUGUGAACCAGACCUAUUGUAUACCUUGCUCUGUGUCUGGCAAAGGAAUACAAUUUUGAUCUAAUAAGUAGAUCACUGGACAUGGGUCAAGAAUAUCCUUCGUGAGGACUAAGGAGACGUUUCUCGAUUAUGGAGGUGAUAAAAGAGGCCGUCGUAAAAGUUACAACGAUGCAAGCUUUUACACCAAUCCAGAUGACUCUAAGUCUCAAUCUGGAUACAUAUUGAAAGUGGGAGCAAUUAGCUAGAGUAGCUCCGUGCAGAGCAUUGUGGACAUAGAAUAUUUGCGAAAUACAUACGGCUCUGAAUAUGACAGACCCGUUGACUAAGCUUCUCUCACAAGCAAAACAUGAUCAUACCUUAGUACUCUUUUGGGUGUUAAUCACAUAGCGAUGUGAACUAGAUUAUUGACUCUAGUAAACCCUUUGGGUGUUAAUCACAUAGCGAUGUGAACUAGAUUAUUGACUCUAGUAAACCCUUUGGGUGUUGAUCACAUGAUGAUGUGAACUAUGGGUAUUAAUCACAUGCAGAUGUGAAUAUUGGUGUUAAAUCACAUAGCGAUGUGAACUAGAUUAUUGACUCUAGUGCAAGUGGGCGACUGAAGGAAAUAUGCCCUAGAGGCAAUAAUAAAGUUAUUAUUUAUUUCCUUAUUUCAUGAUAAAUGUUUAUUAUUCAUGCUAGAAUUGUAUUAACCGGAAACAUGAUACAUGUGUGAAUACAUAGACAAACAUAUAGUCACUAGUAUGCCUCUACUUGACUAGCUCAUUAAUCAAAGAUGGUUAUGUUUCCUAACCAUAGACAUGUGUUGUCAUUUGAUUAAUGGGAUCACAUCAUUAGAAGAAUGAUGUGAUUGACAUGACCCAUUCCGUUAGCCUAGCACUUGAUCAUUUAGUAUACUGCUAUUGCUUUCUUCAUGACUUAUACAUGUUCCUGUAACUAUGAGAAAUAUGCAACUCCCGUUUACCGGAGGAACACUUUGGGUACUACCAAACGUCACAACGUAACUGGGUGAUUAUAAAGGAGUACUACAGGUGUCUCCGAAGGUACAUGUUGAGUUGGCGUAUUUCGAGAUUAGGUUUUGUCACUCCGAUUGUCGGAGAGGUAUCUCUGGGCCCUCUCGGUAAUGCACAUCAUUAUAAGCCUUGCAAGCAAUGUGACCAAAUGAGUUGGUUACAGGAUGAUGCAUUACGGAACGAGUAAAGAGACUUGCCGGUAACGAGAUUGAACUAGGUAUUGGAUACCGACAAUCAAAUCUCGGGCAAGUAACAUACCGAUGACAAAGGGAACAACGUAUGUUGUUAUGCGGUUUGACCGAUAAAGAUCUUCGUAGAAUAUGUAGGAACCAAUAUGGGCAUCCAGGUCCCGCUAUUGGUUAUUGACCGAGAAUGGUUCAAGGUCAUGUCUACAUAGUUCUCGAACCCGUAGGGUCCGCACGCUUAACGUUACGAUGACAUUUUUAUUAUGAGUUUAUAAGUUUUGAUGUACCGAAGUUUGUUCAGAGUCCCGGAUGUGAUCACGGACAUGACGAGGAGUCUCGGAAUGGUCGAGACAUAAAGAUUGAUAAAUUGGAAGCCUAUGUUUGGACAUCGGAAUGGUUCCGGGUGAAAUCGACAUUUUACCGGAGCACCGGGAGGUUACCGGAACCCCCCGGGGGGUUGAUGGGCCUACUUGGGCCACGAGGGAGAAGAGAGAAGGAGCCAGGAGGGGGCCGCGCGCCCCUCCCUCUCCUAGUCCGAAUAGGACAAGGGAAAGGGGGCGGCGCCCCCCCUUUCCUUCCCCUCUUCCUCCUCUUUCCCCCCUUCUCCUACUCCUACUUGGAAAGAGGGAGUCCUACUCCCGGUGGGAGUAGGACUCCCCCCUUUGGCGCGCCCUCUAGGCCGGCCGCCUCCUCCCCCUUGGCUCCUUUAUAUACGGGGGCAGGGGGGCACCCCAAAGACACACAAGUUGAUCUACGGAUCGUUCCUUAGCCGUGUGCGGUGCCCCCCUCCACCAUAUUCCACCUCGAUCAUAUCGUCGCGGAGUUUACGCGAAGCCCUGCGCCGGUAGAGCAUCAUCAUCGUCACCACGCCGUCGUGCUGACGGAACUCAUCCCCGAAGCUUUGCUGGAUCGGAGCCCGGGGAUCGUCAUCGAGCUGAACAUGUGCUGAACUCGGAGGUGCCGUACGUUCGGUGCUUGGAUCGGUCGGAUCAUGAAGACGUACGACUACAUCAACUGCGUUGUCAUAACGCUUCCGCUUACGGUCUACGAGGGUACGUGGACGGACACUCUCCCCUCUCGUUGCUAUGCCAUCACCAUGAUCUUGCGUGUACGUAGGAAUUUUUUUGAAAUUACUACAUUCCCCAACACCCUCCUCGGAGGGUCGGUGGCAUUCCUCCCCUGACCGCCGCCGAACUUCAGGGUCGCACCCGGUCUUGGACUGCUACUCUCCGCGCCCAAAGCGCAUCUCGUCUCCUGGGGUCAAGCAACCCCUCAAUGGUUGCGUGAUGCGUGCCUUUUUCUGGAACAUCCGCGGUUUCGGCCAUGAUGGCCGCCGCCGCCAACUCAUCGAGUACAUGCGUGAUGAACACAUUGAUAUUGUCGCUAUCCAAGAAACCAUGUGCACGGAGUUCUCCCUUCCGGAACUCGACCGCCCGAGCUCUCACAUCUUCGCCUGGCAUUGGCUCCCUUCUAGUGGGAGUGCGGGCCAUUCCGGUGGCAUCCUGUUAGGUGUGAAGGAUGCCACCUUCAAAGUGGGCAGUAUGGACUGGGGUCAUUUUUUUGUUAGCAUGGAACUUUUUGAACGCUCCCUUAACUUCAAGUGGGAGGUCAUUAUUGUCUACGGUCCCUCUGACCACAGCCGAUCCGCCCUCUUCCUCGAGGAGCUUCACCGGAAGGUCUCGGCUGCGUCGCUGCCGGUUGUUGUUGGGGGUGAUUUUAAUCUCCUUUGGCUCGCGGAGGACAAGAGCAAUGCCAACAUCAACUUUACGCUUAUGCAAAUGUUCAAUGACUGCAUUGCUGAUCUUGGCCUCCGUGAGAUUGAUAGGGUUGGGGCCAGGUUCACCUGGACCAACCGUCAGGCUGCUCCGACCCAGUCCGUACUGGACCGGGUCCUAGUUUCCCCGGAAUGGGACCUCUGUUGCUCUCUUGCCUCCCUCCGGGCCAUCACCCGGAUUGGUUCCGACCACGUGCCCCUCCUUCUGUCUUCCGCUGACGAACGCCCCCCGAUUACUCCCUGAUUUCGGUUUGAGAUAUUUUGGUUGUCCCAAGCCGGCUUCGUCGACGCGGUUGGUACCCGUUGGCUAGAGGCUUGCGCCCUCUCGCAGUCUCUAUCUCGCCCCCCCCUCCGUUGUCGACUCUUGCCAUGUCUGCGCCAAGCGAGGCCGGCAGUUCAUGAAGGUGUGGGGCACCAACCUGGGGCGAGACCUCCGCGUGCGUAAGAAGGGCCUGCUGUCUGCGAUCCAGGCCUUGGACCUGCGCGCUGAUUCUACCGGCCUCUCUCCUGAGGAGUGGCUUUCCCUCUAUGACUUGGAAGACCAACUCUCUAUCAUCUACGCCGAUGAAGAGGCCUACUGGCAUUUGCGUGGUGCUCAGAAAUGGGUCUUGAAGGGCGACGCGAAUACGGCGUAUUUCCAAGCCAUAGCUAAUGGCCGCCGUAGGCGCAACACCAUCCCCCUCCUCUGGGAUGGCCCGACUCUCCUACAGUCCCCGCGAGACAUUAGGUCCCACGUCGACGGCUUCUAUAGAUCCCUGUUCACAGCCGCUCCUCGGAGCGGCUUAUCUCUGGCUCCCGACUGUUGGUCCGGCCGCCAGCUUGUCUCUAAUUCGGAGAAUGCGGCUCUUACGGCCCCCUUCUUCGAGGGCGAGGUCUAGGCCGCCAUCAAGGGCAUGAACCCUGCCUCGGCCCCUGGUCAUGAUGGCCUCCUGGUUAAGUUCUUCCAAUCCUUCUGGAAUGUGAUCAAGCCGGAGGUCAUGGCAAUCUUCGACGAGUUCUACGUUGGGUCCAUCGAUCUCGGGCGCCUUAAUUACGGGACGAUCUCGCUUAUCCCCAAGGUUCCUGGCGUGUCUGACAUCAGUCAGUUCCGCCCGAUCAUGGUGAGAAAUGUGAUCUACCGGAUUCUGGCAAAAGGGUACGCCAAUAGGGUGACCCUGCUCACGGACCAUAUUACCCAUCCCAACCAAUCGGCCUUCAUCCAAGGUCGCUAUAUUCUGGAUGGGGUGCUUGUUCUUCACGAAGUCCUCCACGAGGUCCUCUCCAAACACCUCAAGGCGGUCUUCCUGAAGAUCGAUUUCCAUAAGGCCUAUGACACUGUUAGUUGGCCCUUCCUUUGGGAAGUUCUUCUCCCGAAAGGUUUCGAUGACCGUUGGGUUACUAGGGUUAUGCAGAUGGUCUCUUGUGGUCGCACGUCCGUGAACAUCAAUAGGGAGAUCGAGCCGUACUUCCGCACUUACUGUGGGGUGAGGCAAGGCGAUCCAUUCUCCCCGUUCCUGUUCAAUAUGGCAGUGGACGCACUUGCGGCCAUCCUGGACAAGGCUAAGGCCGCUGGCCAUAUUCGUGGGGUCACCCCCCACUUGGCCGAUGGCGUCGGCAUCUCCUUGCUCCAGUACGUCGACGACACCAUCAUCAUGGUCGAAGGCACGAAUACGGACAUCGCUAGCCUUAAAUUCCUCCCCCUCUGCUUUCAACAAAUGUCUGGCCUUAAGAUCAACUUCGACAAGAGCAACGUGAUGGUGAUGGGUUAUUCUCUGUCUGAGGCCCUUGACAUUGCCAACCGCCUCAAUUGCCACCUGGGCUCCCUCCCCACGACCUACCUGGGGACGCCCAUUAGUGACUCUCGGCUUACCGUUGCCGACCUACGUCCAGCGGUGACCAAGUUGCAAACGCGCAUUGAGCCUUGGUAGGGUCGGUGGCUCUCAAAGGCGGCUCGGACGAUUCUCAUCAACUCCUCGCUCUCCAGCCUCCUCUUGUUCCUUAUGAGCUUCUACAGCCUUCACGAGACCCUCCAUCACGAGAUUGCCAAAAUCCAAGGCCGCUUCUAUUGGGCUGGGGACAAUAACAAGCAGAAAUAUCAUAUGGUUAGUUGUCCCACCAUCUGCAAGCCCCGGGAGCAAGGAGGCCUCGGCAUCAUGUGCUCGAAGCGCAUGAACAUUGCCCUCCUCUCCCGCUGGCCCUGGCGCAUCUCACAAGGGCACGAUUGGCUGUGUUUAGACAUCAUCCGGAACAAAUACUUGCGUGGCCAACCUCUGGCCUUCUGCCAACGUUCGGGUGGGUCCCAGUUCUGGCAGUCGGUCAUCCAACUGCUCCCCGUCCUCCGCAUUGGGACUUCCAUUUCAGUCGGAUCGGGAGCAGCGACCCUGUUCUGGUUUGACCGAUGGGCAGGCGACGCCCCCUUUGCGGCCCGCUUCCCCGAUCUCUUCUCCAUCGCUGUCGUUCCAACGAUCUCAGUUCAACAGGCCCUUAUUGAGUUAGGGCGUAUCGUGUUUCGGAGGCCAUUUGGGCCUCCGGAAGUUGCCACCUGGCAUGAGCUGCUUGAUUGCAUUGCUCUCCAUGAGCCAUAUGUCGAUGCUGGCCCGGAUGAGGUUCGGUGGGCCUUGAGCCUUCGGGCCAAUUCUCCACCAAGUCCCUCUACUCGGCGAUCGCCCCCUCCUCCGCCCACCCCCCUCCAAACGGUAUAGUCCAUUCCUCUGCCCCUAAAAAUCCGGAUCUUCAUGUGGCAAUGGAUCCGCGGUCGGCUCCCUCCUGGAGUUGAGGUCCGCAAGCGCAAUGGCCCGGGAUCUGGCCUGUGCCCUCUCUGUGAUACCCCCGAAGACUCGAACCACAUCUUCUUCGCCUGCGUGUCUGCUCAGUUCGUGUGGAGCUGCUUUAGGGAGGCGGUUGGUGGAGAUUGGUGCCACUCCAACUUCCCCGACCUCUUCGCCGAACUCCAGACCUCCUCGCUGACCACUCGCCACAUUAGGUGGCUUGAGAUUGGGGUUCUCGCAUGGACGCUCUGGACGAUUUGCAAUAAGCUUGUGAUUCAGCGCACCCCACUUCGUCGGUCUACUGACGCUCUCUUCAAAUUGUCUGGUUACUUGCAGCUCUGACGGCCGCUUAGCCGCCCUCGGGACCGGGACGCCAUCUUCGCCUUCAUCGCCGACCUCCGCUCGGUGGCCGUCCGCCUGUCGCCGCCUCCACCGCUGCCUCCUCCAGAGCCUGAUUAGAUGUCUGUUUGCUCCCCGGCCUUGGCCCCAGCUGAGCCUUGGCUUUAUUUCGUGUGUGUGUGUGUUGGGCUUGUUGAGCUGUGCCCUCAGCAGUAUCUCUGGAUCUCUUGCUGUGUGACUUGGGUGUGUGUGAUCUGUACUAGACCUUGUAUGUGUGCUCUUGGCGGUUUGCUUUAUUUAUAAAACGGGGCGAAAGCCUUGUUCGAUAAAGAAAGACUGAGCUAAGCUAUGGUCCUGAAAAUAACAGGCAGAACGUCGAGAGCAGAAACUGGAGUUUGACAGUACAAACAACAGCGCUAAGCCAACAGCCAAAUAUGCCUUGAUGCAGCCGAGGGAGAAGCAAUCGACAGCAGAAAUCUGAUUCAUCAACCUAAUAAGUUCAUCCUUCACCAGCCGCAAUACGACUGAAAUUGAAAUGGAGUUACAAAUUCAACGCAAACAACGAAAUUGGCAAAAGAGAUGAGAUUACAUGCUUCAUAAGCCACAAUAAGACUGAAAUCGAAAUGGAGUUACAAAUGCAACACACUAGCAAAAACGGAAUUACACAUUACUUGAUUUGAGGAGGAGAACGGCUUUGCAGAUUGUUGGCAUGCUCUGUCAGUCAGCAGCUUUCGGUGAUCUCAUCCUUCCAGCCAUUCUCCACAUCCAUCUUGGCAUCGCUAGCAGCACUAGCCUCGACAGUCCAAUCAUCUACUUUGACCGGCUUUGGUAGCUUGUGCAUGGCAGCAGCAUAUUGAGUGAGGAGCAGGAUGUGGGUCAGAAACUCGCCACCAUUGCUCAGCUGCCUGGCAUGGAAUCCCUCAGAUGCAUUGGUUGCUGCGUAGCAUAACAUCUCCGUCCACACCUUUCCAAUUAUUACCAUCUUAUAUGUGACCCCCAAGGCCCCCAACUUCAGGUCGAGCAAUAACCCAGCAAGUGUAUUUGCUUUCUCCAGCACAGCUUUGCCCGCGGCAUCAGCGGAAUCAUAUGUGAAUGAUUGCUCACGAAGAC
rnacentral:lncRNA from 1 species